rnacentral:lncRNA from 1 species
CAGGAAACCAUAGAAAUUACAAGGUAGGUUUGGCAAGGGCACAGAGGUGCUCUGUAUGUUCUACCAUGACUUCGAAUGACCAUGCCUUCCUAUGAGUGCAGGCACCUAGUUUGGACUAAAACAGGUUGUGUACUUCACCUAAGGACUUUCACAAUGGCAAGCAUGUCAUCUUUUUAAACCUAUAUAUGCUUUCUCUUGUUCUCAUCUGGAGAUUUUCCAUUAUCCAGUGCUAUGCAUGUUGUGUGAAAAUGGGUUUUAGAUCAACAGACUUUUUAUAUGCACUUGUGAACCUUUUGCCAAGACUUUCCUGUCCACGUUUUGUGAUCUCCCUACUAGUAGCACGUUCUGCAUUUGUACAUUGAUUCUACACUAACCUUGGUCCUACAGCAGACGAUCAUAUUGGUGUUUCUUUCAUAAUUUUAGCGAUCAAUAUGUGUGAUCGCUUCCUGUGGCAAUCAGUUCUUGAACGGAGCCUUGCAUUCUUGCCCUCUUAAAGAAGUAUCAGUCUAUUGUUGCACCACUGCAGAUAGCAAGAUCUUCCUUUGCCCUCACUUGACCCUUCAACAAAAGUUUGACUGCAAGAAGACAAGAAGGACUCCUUACCAAACCUUUAGAGACUGUGGAUAUAGCUUUUGUGGAUUACUUUCUUUGGAGGUAUAAUACAGAACUCUCCAUUGCCAUGAAGAGGAAACAAAAACGGUUCAUUCAAAUGGUAUUGCUGUUUAUGGUGGCUUUAAUUUUCUUGCCCAACAUUGGUCUCUGGUCUUUGUACAAGGACAAGCAUUUCAUGAAAUCAGCAGAAGCUGGAGAACAGGUAGGAAAUAAGCAAACUUACUGUGAGAAACACAUUGCUUUUGGUGAAUGAGGACAAUGUCAGCAGGCUACCCUCACAUUAGUCACUUGAAACGAUCUGUUUAAAGGGAUUGAUUUUACACUGUCCUCAGCUCCAGGAAUUGAUGGGGAUAAGUGAUGGGAUUCCACAUAUGAUUAAGAGAUUAAUCUUAAACCCUUUUGAGAAGGUGUUCUGGAAAGUCUGCUGAAAUUUAGUAUAAAGAAAUGCUCCUGCCAGCAACCCAUUUUAAUGUUUCCCCUAGGACUGUUCAAGAGUGUAAAUAAGAUGCAUUUAAACAAGCUGUUUGGUGUAGAAUGAUAACAUCGGCUUGUAUAAUAUAUAUAUAUAUAUAUAUUCAUGCGCUCUGCACUGGUAUGAUAUGAGCUGUUCCAGUUGAAAUCAUUUUAAUUGUUGCCUAUGUAUAUUCAGGGUAUAUUUUGGUAGUGUUUCUUUAAGCAUCCUCCUUUAAGUUUCCUUACAUGCCCCCAUUUCUCUCUCUCAUCAUUCUUUGAAACACAGUAAGAUAAAGUGAGGAGACAGAUAUGUUUAUGGAUGGGUUUCACCCACAGAGUCCAGAUAGGAAUGUGUGAGUUUCAGCAAGUGACUUAAUAAAACUCUGUCCCCAUGGUUAAAUGUUAGGUGGCUUAUUUAAAUGAUCAUAUUAGACAUCAUAGUGUCUGCACUAUGGACUUUUGUGAAUUUAAAAAAAGUUUCAUAUGUUUGCUACAUUGAUGUCUGAUAAAGCUUUAUAAAUAAUCCACUGAAUAUUAAACCAAUUGAUUAAUGUGAUUGCACAGAAUUUGAGGUUUAAUUUAAGUCAUCCACUGUGCUUUUUUGGGAAACAUUUUGCUUGCUACUUUAAUGAAUAUUUAAGUUGUAGUGAAAACAGGCCGUUACUUGGAACUGGUAUAUCAUAAAUAUAGAUCAUUGGAAUCUGGAUUCUAGACUCCAGCCUCAGAGUGAACUGUAUACUGGCCCUGAAAAAGACUUAAAACUGAAGUAUUGCAGCAAUGAUGGCCACAUCUUGGGACCUAAACUGUUUCUUAACAUAACCCUAUCUUAACAUGUUGAGCCUGCAUCUAUGAUUAAACUUCAUUCAUUGUCUUCUAAACUAAAGCAUUGGUGUCAAACACAGAAUGGUUUAAUGGAAUAUAUCCCCAUUCAAAUUACGAGGAACUCACCCACCAGUGCAUAGUUUAGGUGUUACAUGUCAAUUCAACAGCAGGUUGGUAUGUUUGAUCAGAGGUAUGUUUGAUCACUUACUAAUAUGUAAUAAUUUCAAAUUUAACAAGCUCAUUUCCAAAAACUGUCUGGGAAAGUUUGCACCCAAGCUUUUCACUCAUGUUUGUCUUUAAAGGACUAUGUAAUACAGGGUUUAUGAUUGAUCUGUGGUGACAUAUAGGCUUAAAAAGCCAAGAUGGAAAAAUUGAUAAGCGUUUCCAACUCUAUUUUCCCUAAUUUUACAACCACAGUUCACUGCUUAGUAAGUACACUCCACAGAUGGAAACCAGUUACAGUUUUACCUGAAUUAAAAUAAAAAGAUUCUCAGUUUUAGACACAGUUUAAACAAGGUAAGAAUGAAAGGGACAAUGUAGGUACCAUAAUCACUUAAUUUUAUUGACAUAGUUAUGGUGCCUGGGGUCCAUUGGCACUGUCCAACUGCUCGGUGUCAAACCAUUCUUGAUUGGUUUAACACAGAAUGAGGGUCCCCCAUGGACCCAUAGCUGUAGCCCCUGCUGGAAAGUAUAUCUAACACAGAGAUUAUUCCACAAUAGCUAUAUCAGCGAUGAUUAGCAGUCCACUCCCAGCCAACCACUUCUACCCAUCUCUGCACUGGCUAAUGUAUUGACACUAUCUCAAGCUCCAGAGUGGGGUAGGGCUGUGGGCAUCCAGGGACCCUCAAUCAGUGUCAAACCAAUUGGGAUGGUACUAGAGGACUCCAGAUACCAGAAUCAAUUUAAAAAUAUAAAGUGGUUAAGGCUCCUAGACUGUCUUUUUAACCAAGUAAAAUGUAAGAUUGGUGCCUCCGAAAAAAACUUAAUUUAUGGAUGUACUGGUUAAAUGCAGCUCUUAAGUAUGUGUUUUUUUGAUAGGUUUCCUCAUAUGGACUGCUAGCUUUGUGGCCUUAUUGAUAGAACUGAUGUCCUGCUUUAAAAAAUGCACCUGUACCUAAACAUUCAAUUCAAAGAAGGUCUUGCUGAACAGUGUUUUUAAUGUCUUUGGAUUUGUAGGUCAAAGCAGCAUCAUUUUUGAUAUUCUCAGUUUUGCAAAUGUUACAGAAUUGCACAAAUUGCUUCUGAAAGAGGUACUGAUAUCGGUUUAUUGAAGGGGUUAAUUCAUACAUACCAUAUUCAAUCUAGAAGUGUUCUUGACAUAUCAAGAUCUAUCAGCUUUCUUAUGAAAAUGCCUUCAGUACUCAAUCUGUGCCAGAUUCAAUUAGCUAUCUGCUUCAGUGUGGCUGUACAGUCAAUAUGCUCAGUGGUGCACAGUGUUUUCAUGAGCACACAAUUCCUUGUUACUUUAUCAGCUCUUUGAUAGAACUUAAGAUUUAUGAUUUGCUUUUUAUAAAUCAUUGAGUUUCUGCAGUAGUCAUGACGUAGAGUAUGUAGCCAUCAUAUAGCCUAGAUGGGCAUGAAUAGUUUAAUUUGUACUGUAAUGACAGUCUGUGAGCAGUGUGGUGUAUAAUGGUAAAUAGUUGAUUGGCCAUAUAAAUAAAGAUCAAGAUAAUCAGAUAAACUGAUAAACAUGAUUAAAUAAGUCCUUGAACAUAUCGCAGGCUGUCUUCCUGGACACGUCACUUCUAUAAGUACAUUGUUUUUCAGAGAUCCAGCACUAAAACUGUUAAAGAAUAGUGUCUAUUUUAAAUGUGCAUGGUAAAGGUUAACAAUUCAGCACAUUAACAGUUUCAGUGCUGGAUCACAUACUUACAAGAAUCUUGACGGGUCACUAAUUCUCUUUGCUCCAUGAGACUCACCUGUACUUUACAUAAAACAGUACUGUGGAGAAUACAAAAAGGGUGGGCACUGUCGUUACAAUGAAACACAGUAGUGUAAACAAAAACAAAGUUAUUUGUGUUUCACUUUACAUGAAACUUACCUAAAGGGUUAAUGAAAAAUAUGUUGCUUUGCAAUCUGCAGAAUCCUCUCUGAUCUCAAUAGUUGACAUUAUAAAAAACAGAACUCUUUGUUAGAAAUUUCCUUCAUCCUCUUCAGGGGAUGCAUGUGAGGUACCCCAGUCAAAGUUCAAUAUAAGUUGUUGAUGACUGUGAACACAAUUCAGUAAAGAUGAAGAAGAAUACUGUGAUGCUCUGAUGAUAAUGGAAAUCAGAAAACAAAUCACAGGAGAUAAGAAAAUGUUUUUUCUUCUCUGCAAUAAAUAAAAUACAGAGUUGAGUUGACUGUCACUGAAUUUUGGUGAGCAUAAACAAGUUAAAGGGACACUGUAGGCACCCAGACCACUUCAGCUCAUUAAAGUGGUCUGGGUGCCAACUGCCAUCACCCUUAACCCUUCAAGUGUAAUUAUUGCAGUUUUUAUAAACCGCAAUAAUUACAUUGCAGGGUUAAGUCCUCCUCUAGUAGCUGUCUACCGGACAGCUACUAGAGGGACUUCUGGCUUCUUAGACGACAUUUGGUCAUCAAACCACGCUGGGUGUCCUCACACCAUGCAUGAGGACCUCCAGCAUUGCCGAAAUCCCCAUAGGAAAGCAUUGUACAAGGUCUAAUGCACACCUGCGGCAAGGGACGGAGACUGGACGGAGACUGACCCAGCGCCGAGGGACAUCGGCGCUCGGUCCAGGUAAGUGGCUGAAGGGGUUUUAACCCCUCCAGCGACGUGGGACAAGGGGUGAGAGGGAGGGGUCACUCCAGGAUUCUCUAGUGCCAGCAAAACGGGUUUGUUUUCCUGGCGCUAGAAAUCCCUUUAACUACACAGAUGUUUCCUGAAUAUCUAUGUGUGUUAUCUUUUAUAAGAGCUACUAUCUGACAAAGUUUUACAGAGUCAUUCACGGAUGCAUGAAUUGUCAUGAAAUCACAAGCAAUUUCAAAUUGCACGGUGAAAUAACCAAAGUAAAAACAUUGACAGGGUCAUUGACUAAAGUGAGGAUUCAAAAUGAAUGUCAAAGUGAAGGUAAAAAUAGCAGAACUGGAAAAAUUAUCUGCUUCCAGUUUGGCUACUUUGGCCUUACAUUUGAAAUUCACUUUAAAAUCUCACUUUAGUUAAUAGCCUUGUAAGACAAAAAAAUCUAAUUCAACCACUGUGGCCUAAAAUAAAAGAUUAUGCAUAAAUCCCCGACAAUUCAAAUUUUAUUGAGUGAUCCUGCCAGUCUUUAACAUUUUCAUUAAUACAAUCAUUAUUAUCCAGUAAGACUAAAUUGUUGCAAAAAUAGUAAAUUCAACAAAAAGUUUAGGUUAAAAUUGCCAAACCAGAAACACAGCUAAAUCAGAGAUAUUUUUUCCCUAUUUAGAUCCUAUGAUUAUAUCCUAUGUAAAUUGCAGGGCAUUGUUCUAGCACUGAUGAGGCUUGAAAAUGUCAUCAUUCUUGGUGUAAGUCAAGAUACGUAAUAAAUGUACUAAUUUUUCUUAAAAUGCUUGGUCAUUUUCUGUGUUAAACAUUUUCAUAACCUUGGUGGUUGUUUCACCAAACCUGCUAAAGGAACACUAUAGUGAAAGGAACACAAACAUGUAUUCCUGUCACUAUAACUGCAAUAUCACUAUUUAGCCACUGACACCUCUGUAACCUAUGCAAAAGGUAAGUUAAUUACAUUUAUUCCAGUGCCGCAUGGGUCUGCCUGCCCUGAUCCACCUCCAUGGCUGAGAUCAUCAAAACUGAUGAUCUCAGCAAAUCCAAUGUCUUUCCAUAGGAAUGUUGGGAGGCUAUCGCGCAUGCAUGGCAAAACACUGGAAGUGUCCCUAGACAGUAGUGUAAACACUGCCUUUUCUCUGAAAAUGCCUAUAGACACCAAAACAACUACAUUAAGCUGUAGUUGUUCUGGUGACUAAAAUUUCCCAUUAAAGUUCAAAUAGUUGGAUAUCACCCCAUGACAUGCGAAAUCUUCUGAAGAUACAUUAACUAUGUGUGCAUGUAUUGUUGCACUAAAAUGCUAUAAAUUGUUAUUGAAGUUCACUUUUAUUUAGAUUUGGAACUUGUGUUUUUUUUAUCAUUUUAUAUUCUACUCAUGUUUGUUUCUGACUAUCUGAAGAUAGCUUGCUAACUAGAUAGAUAGACAGACAUAUAGAUAGACAGACAGAUAUAUAUCUGCUUCACCAGUUAUAUUUGAUAUAAUUUAGAUAUAUAGAAAGAUAGAUAUAGAUAGAUACAUUUAGUAUAGGAAUACAACAACUUUCUAUCAAACUGGAGUUUACAGUACAGAACAUGUAAGCUUUAAUAUUUUCAGUCUCGGAAAAACCACAUACAAAUACAAAACAACACCGUAAAAUUAGAAAUUGAAUGGGUUACUGGUCUCUUAAAUCAUCAUGUGACAGCCUAUAUGCAACUGCAGCCAUUUUAUAGACAGAUAUAUUUUCAUGAAGAAAUAUGGUGCAGUCUUUACUCUUAUAUGUCACCAGUCCUAUUGUCUGAAGGUAUAUUAUUUAGUGUUCACAUUUGGAGUACCAGUGGAAAAUCCAUAAAGUAUAUUUUUAUAUGAUUCUUGGAUGUGUUUUAAAGUUGUUUAUGCUUUCUAAAUUCAAAAAGCAGGGCUUCUCCAAAAGACAGGAGAUGUUUCAUCCAAAAUCCUAUCAACACAACAUGAUAUAUUAUUUGGAGAUAUUCUGGAUACAAGUUGCCUCUUACAGAGUUAUUUACUAAAGUGUAUAUUUAAAGUGAAUUUCAAAUUUAAGGCCAGAGUAGCCAAAACAGAAAGAAUAGCGGUCAUAGAACAUGUUUCCAAUUCUGCAAUUUUUACCUAAAAAUUGUAAUUCACUUUGAAUACAGCUUGAAAUUUUACGUUAGUGAAAAAGCCUGUAAGACUAUUAAUAAGUUCAACCAGAAUGACUAUCGUGUUUCCCCAAAAAUAAAACAUCACCUUUAAAAUAAGCCCUAGUGUGUUUUUUUGGGGAAAAAUUGAUAUGGGACCCUGUCUUAUUUUUGGGGAAAGACGUUAUUAGUGUCUUACCUAAAGUUUUGUCUCAAGCUGUUCAAAUAUCAUGUGUUAGCCCGGAGUUUAUUUUCUUUCAUAAUGAGCAACAUUUUCCCUCUCAGAACAUCAAAUCAACAAUAUGUAGAUUUUAAGAAAACAUUUUAGUGACACAGAAAGAUGCCUUUUGUUAUUUAAGCUAAUUGUAUAUAAUCUGUAGAAUAGCUGUUUUUAGCACUUAGAAGCUAUAUAGAUAAUCUAGUCACAAAGAAGAAAUAUGUGAACAAUUUAAUGUAAUGCUAAGAUCUUGAUUUAUAGAAUAAUUUUCUAGGCAGUGAUUCAGUAUUCACUGGCUAGCAAAUUAUUCAAUAAACUGUUUAGGCUAUAUGAAUUUUGUGAUUUACAAUCAAACAAUAGACAAGCUUUGGGCAGAUGAUAUUAAAUCAUUUGUGCACUGUAGUAGAUUUUAUAGAUUAUGGAUUUGAUGUCAGAUUUAAGGCAUUAUAAAAAUCCCAAUGGGUAACAUUGAACCAGCAGUCCAUGGCUGGAAGAUUAUAAAGAAGAAUUAACUGAGUAGCUUAGCACUCAACAAUAAAGUAUCUGGGUUGCAAAAAAUAUCUGAAAUUUAACCCCUUAAGGACACAUGACAUGUGUGACAUGCCAUGAUUCCCUUUUAUUCCAGAGCCAGAUAGCACCAUUUAGUUGGAAUUUCAUGCUUUUAAUGAACAAGGGAAGAAUCAUGUUGUAAAUGAAGCUGUAUACAAUAUAACUGCAUAGGAUCAAAAAUAAAAUAUUUCCCAUUGUCACUUUUGACUCUGUUUUAAGUUUAUUUUUGUAUUCUUGAGUUUCCAAAAUAAAAUUAUUUUGGAGCUAUGGAUAGUACAUACCCUUAGGAAGACCAGCUUCUCGUGUAAUGAGGUCAUGCACGAAUGUUUGGAAUUUGUUUACUUCUUAACUGAGCCUGUAGUACAAUUGCACUAUAAAUUGUGAACCUUGACUGAUCAGCAGUAAUUUAUAAUUGUAUGUGAUAUGUUCUUAUAUUGUUUGCUUGUAAUAGUUUUCACAUAUGGAUUGUGUCGCAUUGAUUUGUGUGCUAUCCUGCCUCUCUUAAAUAAAGAAUUUAAAAAAAUCAAAUAUCUUAUAGUUUGGCUCCCAAGCAUCCAAAUAUAUUAUUGUUAAAUGGUGAGGCAGAGGUUAGGUAACUUUUGCAAAGCCAACAUCUAUGGACUUGGAAUCACAUCAUGAGUAAUUUCUCAGUUCAUGCUGCAGUGUGCUUUCCAAAGGCAUAAUUUUCAGCAAUUUUGCCCACUUUUUUGUCCCAGAUCAGUCUUUUUGCUUUUAAAUGUUUCAAUAGAAUAAGAAGUGGGAAGUUCUCUGCGUAACCAGAGGGUUCAUAUAAGUUCCCACUUAGAGCCAUUGCAGCCAUUGGAAUCUACAAGAUUUAUUUUUAUGUACGGAAAACUGAGCCCAUUACCUGACUCUGUUCAACAUUAAUAGCAAAUACAGAAAGGCUGAACUUGGAUGCUUGUCUCUUUUCAGCUAUGUAACUAUGUAAUCUAUGUAAAAUAUGCAGGAUGGUAUGACUCAGCAGACCUACAUCACAAAAUUAGAUUUCAAGACGGACCCUACAAUUCACCAGUUAUGUAGUGUAUCAUUUAAAUCCUGCUUUGUUAAGCUUAUAACAUUAAUAUUCAGAUCAUAUUGUAAAAGUCCAGAACUGAAAUAUAUAUAUAUAUAUAUAUAUAUAUAUAUAUAUAUAUAUAUAGCUGAUAUGCUUAUCAACUGCUAAAAACACAUUCAUUUAUUGAAAUGACAGUUGCAGCUUAUUUAUUCUACUAUGGUUAUUCUAUCUACAGUUGCAAGAAAAAGUAUGUGAACCCUUUGGAAUGAUAUGGAUUUCUGCACAAAUUGGUCAUAAAAUGUGAUCUGAUCAUCAUCUAAGUCACAACAAUAGACAAUCACAGUCUGCUUAAACUAAUAACACACAAAGAAUGAAAUGUUGCCAUGUUUUUAUUGAACACACCAUGUAAACAUUCACAGUGCAGGUGGAAAAAGUAUGUGAACCCUUGGAUUUAAUAACUGGUUGAACCUCCUUUGGCAGCAAUAACUUCAACCAAACGUUUCCUGUAGUUGCAGAUCAGAUGUGCACAACGGUCAGGAGUAAUUCUUGACCAUUCCUCUUUACAGAACUGUUUCAGUUCAGCAAUAUUCUUGGAAUGUCUGGUGUGAAUCGCUUUCUUGAGGUCAUGCCACAGCAUCUCAAUCGCAUUGAGGUCAGGACUCUGACUGGGCCACUUCAGAAGGCGUAUUUUCUUCUGUUUAAGCCACUCUAUUGUUGAUUUACUUCUAUGCUUUGGGUCAUUGUCCUGUUGCAACAUCCAUCUUCUGUUGAGCUUCAGCUGGUAGACAGAUGGCCUUAAGUUCUCGCAAAAUGUCUUGAUAAACUUGGGAAUUCAUUUUUCCUUCGAUGAUAGCAAUCCAUCCAGGCCCUGAUGCAGCAAAGCAGCCCCAAACCAUGAUGCCCCCACCACCAUACUUCACAGUUGGGAUGUUGGUGUGCUGUGCCUUUUUUUCACCACACAUAGUGUUGUGUGUUUCUUCCAAACAACUCAACUUUGGUUUCAUCUGUCCACAGAAUAUUUUGCCAGUACUGCUGUGGAACAUCCAGGUGCUCUUGUGCAAACUGUAAACAUGCAGCAAUGUUUUGUUUGGACAGCAGUGGCUUCCUCUGUGGUAUCCUCCCAUGAAAUCCAUUCUUGUUUAGUGUUUUACGUAUUGUAGAUUCGCUAACAGGGAUGUUAGCAUUUGCCAGUGACUUUUGUAAGUCUUUAGCUGACACUCUAGGAUUCUUCUUCACCUCAUUGAGCAGUCUGCACUGUGCUCUUGCAGUCAUCUUUACAGGACGGCCACUCCUAGGGAGAGUAGCAGCAGUGCUGAACUUUCUCCAUUUAUAGACAAUUUGUCUUACCGUGGACUGAUGAACAGCAAGGCUUUUGGAGAUACUUUUAUAACCCUUUCCAGCUUUAUGCAAGUCAACAAUUCUUAAUCGUAGGUCUUCUGAGAGCUCUUUUGUGUGAGGCAUCAUUCACAUCAGGCAAUGCUUCUUGUGAAAAGCAAACCCAGAACUGGUGUGUGUUUUUAUAGGGCAGGGCAGCUGUAACCAACACCUCCAAUCUCAUCUCAUUGAUUGGACUCCAGUUGGCUGACAUCUCACUCCAAUUAGCUCUUGGAGAUGUCAUUAGUCUAGGGGUUCACAUUCUUUUUCCACCUGCACUGUGAAUGUUUACAUGGUGUGUUCAAUAAAAACAUGGCAACAUUUCAUUCUUUGUGUGUUAUUAGUUUAAGCAGACUGUGAUUGUCUACUGUUGUGACUUAGAUGAUGAUCAGAUCACAUUUUAUGAUCAAUUUGUGCAGAAAUCCAUAUCAUUCCAAAGGGUUUACAUACUUUUUCUUGCAACUGUAUCUAUCUAUCUAUCUGUCUGUCUGUCUGUCUGUCCAUCCAUUCAUCUGUCUGUCUCUCUGCAUUUAUUUCUAAAAUAAUAAAUAUUUAUAAUCUCAGCAUUUCAGUCUACAGUACAAUGUUUCAUAUUUUCUGUUCAUAUGGAUAAUCCUUUUCCUUUCUUUUCUUUUACCUCUGUGACCUUGGAUUUUUAAGCAAUUAUUCACAAGCUAAUUUUGUGGAUGGCUUGGAAACAUUAUUGCAUUGGAUUUGUCUAGUUUUUCUACAGAGCUGAUAUAAAUUUGAUUGACAUUAAGCAUCGCUGAAAUAAGUAAGUAAUAAUAUCAGCCUCAGUGAAUUGCCUUCUCAUCCUUAAAUUCUAGCAGAUUUCCUACGUGGUUCUGUUUCUUCAGCAAUAAGUUAUAGCUACAUGGGGAGAAAUCUACCCUUUACGACUCUUAUUAAGGCUAAGAAACAUGUAUAUUAUUUCAUUUCUUGUUUAAAAAAUCAAUACGUUGAAGUUGUUUCAGUAAAUAAUGUAAUACAGGUGAGAAGAAGAGUGCAUAAAAUAUAUUUCUUGUACAUUGCAAAAGUGCAGAGACUUUUAUACUUUCACCUAAUCCAGAUCCCUUGGCCAUCCGUUUUUCACAGUAGAUGGCACUAUAGUCUGUGUUGUCACCCAGACUAUGACUACUGCAUUUCUUUUCCUAUGUAUUUUCUUGUUUAUUUUCACUUCAGGGAUGUUUGUCUGUGUCUAUAAACUAUCAAGUCUGUUUUUAUUUAUUUUUUUACACUGCAUUAAAAGUUUAUUUCAAUUCCAAUCCAAACACAGGUUUUAUAGAGAACUUUAGACUAUUUAAGAUUGAACAUGACUUUUGAUGUUUCAUUGGUCUGAAUGUAUUUUUUAAUAGAAUUAUGUGCCCCUUUACAUUUGCAUUUUCAUAUAUCCCUCUUUGGAUUUGGGCAUUAAAUUUAAUAUAAUUCCUAAACUUCCUCUAGUACUCCCUUAGACACCUGUUCAUUAUGGGGAAGAACCAAGAUAAUGAACAGGCAAUAAAGUGGUGACUUCAUUUUACUUGCUAUGGUAUUGCCGGGUACUUGUCUAACAUAAGACAUUUUAAGGAUAAAGUGCCUUCUGUUACUAAUCACUUGGCUCUGGUCCCAAGUUCUAUAUGUAGAACUUAAUCCACCUUACUACAUUUCUUCUUUCUUUUUAAUAGAUCUUAGAAUGUUUCUUGAGCUGUUUAUUUGUUUGCAUUUUUCUUUGACAUGUUACUUGUUUAAUGUUUAGUGUCCUUGGUGAUCCUAUAAAUAAACAUAAGAAAAUAGCAUAGAAAUUAUAUUUUAAAACAUGAAAUGCAAGUGUUUGCAUAUAUAUGUAUAUUUAAUCUGUUUUUUUGAGAAAAAGGAAAAAAAGGUCCAAUAAAUAUUAUGUUGAUUCUUAUUGGCAAUAUACAAGCACCAAUACCAGUGGCAACAGGGCUGAGGGUUGUGGCGCACCAGUGACAGAUAUAGGGGUGGUCCAGGAAGAGGUGACAGCAGGCACAGACAGGGUCAAGGCAACUGAGGAAGACAUAUCCACCCUCUCACAGCGCCAAGCUGACUCAACUGAGCAGAUCCACCAUUUACAGACCUCACACACGGCCAAGAAGGCAUGGCAUAAUAAUCUAAAGGUCAGGGGCAUAGCAGAAUCCGUAGUGGAUGGCGAAUUACCCCACUUCUUCAGAUGCCUCUUCUCCGCCAUACUGCCCCAACGGCGCACAAAACACGCUCUCACUAAUGGGGUUCAACGACUCCCUAAAUCCCCAAGGGCACCGGCUGCAGCCUCCCGAGACAUCCUGAUCCACUUUCUAACAUUCCAGGACAAGCUGGUGGUACAAGAGGCGCCCAAAUCCAACACCCCACUCAAGCUUGAGGGCAUGAAACUCACCUUUCUCACCUAUGUAGGGCCACAUUGGAGUGGAGGUGCUCCAUUCAAGGUAUCAUGAAAAGAAGGGAGGUAUGAAUCAACCACAGGUGGGGACCAUCCCAUACUUUAAUUGCCACCAAAGACAGCACUACACACCGGCUUAAAACAUCAGACCACAUCCCGACAUGCAUUUAGUAUUCAUGCCCUUACGAGCGAUGCACUACCUCCCAUAUCUAUCUAGGGACGCUUACCAGCCCACAUCAGAAUGUACCACCUCCCAUUAUACCACUUGUUUUUCAUUUCCCCCACUAAGUUGGGUCGAUCACCAAUACUAGGUCAGCAAUUGCCAAACUAUUGUUACAGCCCGAGGGGUCCUCAGCAUCUGUUUUUUGGGUAGUUACACUCCAGUUAUAUUUCUGUUUAAUGGUUAUGAACAGCCUAAUAUUACUUAUACUAUUUUCUCUACAAUGUAUUCUACAAUUGUCACAUAGUGGGAAAAUGCAUAAGAAAAAGUAGUCUCUAAGUUAUUUUAUGAUAUCCUUUGAAUGCAUUGGAAUUUCAGUCAUUCAGCCAAUGUAAGUAUUUUAUAAAGAUGUUAUCUUUAUGAACUACUCAUUUUUUGGUGGGAAGGAGUUUAUACACUGCCCCUUUAAUAAAUAUGUGUUUUUAUGUUUAUCUUCUAAUGUAAUGUGAUAAUAGACAUUGGGAUCUUUAUUCUAGCUGUCUUUGAGAUUUGCUUCCAAGAGAAUUAUGUGUGUAGUGGUCAGUGGUGUAUUUUGGAUUUUUGCUGCCCUAGGCACGACUAAAUCCGGGCACCCCCAAUAUCUAAAUUUGCCCCCCCAAUUCAUGUCAAGGCCAUUUUUUGGACUGACAGACACAUGCCUUCAUUGAUACAUGCACUGAUAUACACUCACUGACAGAUACACAGUCAUUGGCACACACAUACAGUCAUUGGCACACACUGUUUAACCCCUUAAGGACCAAACUUCUGGAAUAAAAGGGAAUCAUGACAUGUCAGACACACUCUCAGAUACACAUAAAAUGACAUACACACACUGACAGGCACACCCAUUCUCACUCACAGACACACACUGACAGCUACACUCACUCACUCACUCACAGUAAGGUGGACAGCCCCAGAACACAAGGCAAACAAGACAUUUGUCUGGGAGCUUGGAGUGGCAUUUUUUUGGCACCCCCCUGAAAGUGCCGCCCCAGGCCUUGUUUGCCUUGUAGUAAAUAGAUCCCUGGUAGUGGUGCUAUUGCUAGUUGUUGUCGCUCCCUUGUGAAUUAUAUUUUUAUGUGUUCAAUCUUACUCCAAAUAUUAGGUUUCAGCUUCUGUUUAGUGUCUAUUACCUUUAUAACAAAGUAUGAAUGACUCUUAAUAGAUAAAUAGGCUACAUGGGCUGUUAUUUAUUUAAUAAUAGUUAUAAUAAUAAUUUCCAAAAGUGUCUACUGGCUUUACUGAUGAUUUCUUUAUUAUUUCAUUUAUAAGCAUAGUUACCCACAUAUAAGAAAUAAGAAUUAGAUGUGUUUGCGUAAAAUCAAUUAAAUUCACUUUGAUACUUGCACAUUAAGGUUAGGUGAUCUAAUGGAGUGAUCUGUUGUCAUUUCCACAGAUUUGAUCAGACCUAGCUAAAAUGUAUGACAUUUUUACUAUAGUACAUGCACUAAAAGAGCAUUCACCCUUUAUAUUCCUGUUCCAAUCAUCUUCCUGGGUCUCCUGGAAUUUAAUCUUAUAUCAGAGGUGCUCUUGGGUAAACUGAUUGUCAACAAUUCUUCCAUUUCCAGCUGUCAUAGCGUUAUAAAUAAUUAAAUGAAUUCCCUGCUCAAGUCGAGAAUGCAGACGUGCCUCUCUUAAAUAAGUGAAAUUAUUAAAAUCAUAUAAAAGGUUCUCUUGAUCCCCCAGCUAAUAUUAGCCCUUUGGGGUAUUCUGUUUUUACUGUGUUAUAUCAGAAUGAACGAUGCUAUCAAGCAUCAAAUUAGGUAUUAUUUGGUUCUACUUCUAGCAAUAUUAUUUAUGGGAAUAUAAAAAAUACAAUUAGUCUCUUACUGUAUUUUAUAUAGACAAAUCAUUUUUUAUGAAUAUUAAGCAAAUACGCAGACAGCAUUUACAUUAUGCUAGAUAUAUAUUUUUACUUUGUAUUAUUGAUUUCAUGAGCCCAUAUACCGUGCACUUUUCACUUUUCUAGCAGAAAUGGAUGCCAUCCAUAGACAAUUUUUUAUGGAAAACUGAUAUAGAUAACUAUUUAUAGAGGUGUCCUGCCAGUUCCAUAUUUAAAGCCUAAGCAAUGCUUAAUUAAAACAAUGAUACGAUGCACACACAAGCAUUAAACGUUUGUGUAAAAAUCCUUGCAAUUUUUAUAUUGUAUGUUAUAAUUGUAUCAGAAAGUAUUAAAACCCUUAGGGCUCAUUUUUAUGCUUCCUGGUAAAAUCAAUCAUCAACCAUUGUCAAUACCAACAGCUAAUAGCUGUUUAUGACUGAAAAAUAAUGUCAGGGUUUUGUUGCCAACACUAGAGUUUAAAGUUUGCAUCCUACACACAUUCACCUUCAGCAAUACAGAUCUCCAUUUCAGAUGUAUCAUUUUGCAAACUGUACAUACAUCAAGAAAAAGUUGCAGGUUCCAAUUCACUGCACUAGCAACUCCACCCUGACACUAUAAAAGGUCAGAUCAAUGUAUGAACUCUUCACCUGCAAUUAUCUAAGUGGGUUGCCCUUUGUGUUAGCAUACAAAAGUAUUUUCUGAAAACUGCAUAUGCCAUGCUUAUAUAGAGGCAUUAAGGCUUAAAGGAUCACUAUAGUGUCAGGAAAACAAACUUGUUUUCCUGACACUAUAGCAUCCUUAGGUCCCCCCGACCCUCAGAGCCCCCCUCCCAUGGCGCUGAAGUGGUUAAAACCCCUUCAGCUACUUACCUUUAUCAAGGGCCGGGCUCCCUCGGUGCUGAUGACCUCUCCUCCCCCGCCAACAUCAGCUCCAGAGUGGAGCGGAAUGCGCAUGCGUGGCAAGAGCCGUGCGCGCAUUUAAACAGUCCAUAGGGAAGCAUUUCUCAAUGCUUUCCAAUGGACAUUCUGCACGGAAGACAGCCACUAGAGGCUGGAUUAACCCUGCAAUGUAAACAUGUUUACAUCUGAAGGGUUAAAACCUGGAGGACCUGGCACCCAGACCACUUCAUUGAGCUGAAGUGGUCUGGGUGACUAUAGUGUCCAUUUACUUAAAUAUGGAAUCAAUGUAUUGUUUUAAUGGUAUAAUAACUAUUGAUAGUUUGCAGUCAUGAACUUGUAAUUUCCGUUUUAUAUCUAGACAACGUAGAGGUAAUAUUUAUCAGAUGCAAACGAUAGUACAUUUUAUCAUCUAGCAUUGAAAUCAGGUGUUACUUAAUGUUUAGCAUGUCCUAUUAAUCUCGAUAAUUAAACAUUUUAGAGCCGUUUUAGAGAUUACCAACAUUUUGGAUAAUGAUUGCCACUGGUAAGGAAGCGAACCCUCAGCCUAUCAUUAGGUGAUCAUAAUGUAAUACUUGUACAUGUGUAGGCUAAUAAUAAUAAUAGGAUUGCAAUCAAACAUUGCAUUUUUGAUUACAUUUAAAUUGUCACUCAAAGUAGAGUAUGUCAAUCUUAAGCAGGAGUCUGAAAAGUGUAUAACACAGUGCGUGGUUCAAACUUUAAAAAUGUCUUGAACACUUUCUGACAGAACUAGCAUAGUACCUAAUUAAUCAAGGAUCUGUAACUGCUGUGACCAAGAUCAAACAUUUUCAUCAAAUGGCACUUAUGAGGUCUAAACAAGGUCAGAAUGGCUAAGGGUGAAAAGUUCCUUUUGAGUGUGUGAAGCCAGUAAUUAACAUCCUCUGAAAAUACAAGCAAAGAUAAAUUCAACAAGAAGCACAUAUUAUUCAAUAUCAACUGGAAAGAUUUACGUUGAAAAAUGAAAACAACUGGUAACAUCAGAAAUUAAAUUGACACCCCAAAUCCCUACAAAAGCACUUUAAAAGCGCUUACUGAAAAGCUUUAUGUGUGAAGGGUGUGUCCUCUUUUUUAGUUUAUAAAAAGUGCAGAUUUUUAUUGAAAUUUGCACUUUUAUAAAUUAACCUCAAUCAGAAAACAGGACCUGUUACUUCCUGGUUUGGUUAUCUCAGUGGAGCUAACCUCAAGAGGCAGCGAUUGCUCAGAGCACCUGUUUAGCAACGAGGUCUCAUUGAUCUGCAUUAGGAAGUCUGUGACAGGAUAACCACAGUAAGUCUGGGCUAAGGAAGAUGGGGAUGACCUUUGAGAUAUGCCCUGAAUGAAAAAUAAUGCAUAAUUAAAUACAUGCAUGUUUUCAUUAAGGCUAUAUCUAUUACUUUUUUUAUUUGGAAGUGUAGUUUCUCUUUAAGAAAAAGGGACUUGUCAGAAAAAUCACCCAGAGCUUAUAUCUUCAUUUGCUCUUUCACUUCAGUUCACAUACUUCCUGCUUAACCUUAAAUCUAUUUUGGAAAUAUAGUCCCUCAUAGGGGAUAUGCUAGCAUUAUACAAAUACUGUAUAGUCGGGGCAAAUGCAAACCAUUUUCUGGAGAUCUUUUCAUACAUAGGACUCAGGGUCAUACAUUUAAACUAGAAGUAAGGAGAUUUAGUCAAUGGCAUACAAAAUAGAUAGAUAGAUAACUUAUCACACAAGUUAGACCAUUCAAUGAAUGAUGAAAAGUAAAUAAUAAAUUAAUAUGUACAUACAAACAUUACAGUAACAAUAACAAGCAGCUUAACAAUAUAAGAUAACACUUGCCAUUUAGUUAUCAAGAUUGCUACAGAGUCUUUAUGUAACCCUAUGGCACUUAGAGAAUAAACAGGAGGUAACUAUCAGAGUAACUGAUAUAGCAGCAACAUCACACAGAUAAAGAAUAGGAAAGCAAAAUAAAUAUAAACUGACAGACUACGAGCAUUUAUAAAAUAGUUAGCUAAUAGAGAGCCAGCUUGGAUUGUGACUUACAAAUAAUAAUAAAUAGAGCAUGCCUGAUCAUGAGUGCUGGAUGGUAGGAAUAGCCAAUGCCUACGUUGGCAACUAAACUUUGCAGCCCCAAUAGAAGGGUUCUGGAUUUCUGUAGCCAAGAGGGUGCAGGAGCCCUGUAAUAACUACCAACUAACCUCCAGGUCGGUAAUUAAGCAUAUACACUGUACCUUCCAGAAGUAACACUUCAGGUGUAGGAAUCCAUGUAGUAAAGGUGGUAUCAGGGAGCAAAGCCUACUAAUGCUCUCCUAGAGAAGGUCCGAAACUGGAACCUCAGGAGCCCUGCUUUUCCAUCCCAGGCCCUGUCUCUGCCUUUGUUCUCAGUGGGGGGUCUGUGGGAUCUCUGUAGGGACUUCACUUUUGGCAAAAAAGUGUUGCAUAGAUGAUAAUAAGCCUUAAAAAAGCCCAUAAUUGUUUUCAUGGGCGUAGCCUGCCUCGAGGUCACUGCAUGGUGGUGUUCGGUCUCCAUAGAGAGAGUUCAGACAGGCCGGUUGUGUUCCAAAGAACCCCUGUGGUCCACAUACUUGAAUGCCACAGAAGGAGAAUGUCAGCAUAUCCCUUAUCUAUGGGGGGGUGAUGACAGGGAUCUGAGUAGAGGCUGUGGAAUUAAUUACAGGUGGGAAGAUUGGAUACCACUCUUCACUUGCUUCACUAGAAAACCUGCACGAUCAGAUCUACUAAAUGUUCUCAGAGGUCCUCCAGAAUGUUUGCACCCCAAGCCCUCCAGUUUACCAGGUGAACCCAAGUGUUAUUGUGCCAAUAGAGUCAGAAAUAAGUAGAAAAUGUUGCUUUGCACACAGAGCUCAAACUAAGUGCGACCACUCAGCAAGGCAGUGAGGCCCUGCCCCUGCAAAAUACUUUUGAACACAUCCCAGCAAUUCUAGAUAAAUCUUGAGAACCACAUACAUUGCUUAUGAGUCUGUUGUCAGGCACAGCAUGGCUACCUUGUUGAAUGCAUGGUCUAAAGACAAUUUUGUUGUGUCUGAACAUUGCUUGGGAUUGAGUUUUCGUAUUGAUUGUAAUGUAUAUUGCAAAGGAGUUUCAUUUUCAAGCAUUUUACAAAUAUAUUGCCAUAAAUUGUAAGACAUGGCAAAUUUGCUGGGUGCUAUUAUAUAAUUUAGUUUUUGGACAAAUGAUACCUGACUUUGUUUUCCAGGUUUGAGUAGUAGGAGAUUUUUGGAUAUCUACCACUUUAUUGUGGGUUUUUGGGUACUGGGAAAAAGUCUGUGGAGUUAUAUUUGUGAGUAAUCUGGUUCUUUUGUGUGACAAAUAUGAGGAAAGUGUGAGAAAGAAAGUAAAGUUAAGUGUUUCACAGAUUUUGCACUGCGUCUGCACAACAUUUGCACAUUCCAAGCUUUUUGCAAUCAGUUAUAAAUCCACCGAAAGCUUGGAAUAAAAAUAGCACUUGUAGGUCUUCAUAAAGUUCUUCACGUGCUUCAUAAAACUACAAAAUAUGAAUAAAACUGUUGACAGCAAACUAACAGUGAAUCUGCAUUAAAGGAACAUUCCAAGCACCAUAACCAUUACAGUGUAUUAUAGUUAUUAUAAUACUAGGAAUAUCCCAUUUUAGAAUGGCUUGCCUUCUUACUUUGAAUGCCUUCUCUGUAGAAGCUUUUGUUAGAUCUCCUGAGCUACACUGCGCAGUGCAAGGCCAAAGCUUUGGCUGAGAAUGUAAGGUCUACAUCACAACAUGAAGAGACAGGAACAAUUGCAGCUGCCUAAAUCCACAAAAGAACUGUGAUUAGUUGUCGAAGUUAUCUAGAACAACCAACCUGCCAAGUUUGUUACAAAAUUGUGUGCAAGUGUACCUAGAAUAAUUGAUACUGUUUUGAAGUUGAAGUGUGGGCAUACAAAAUAUUGAUUUGAUUUAGAUUUUUCUUCUGUUCACUUAGUGUGCGUUUUGUUUAUUGAUAAAAUAAACUAUUAACAUUUCUAUUUUUGAAAUCAUUCUUAUUUUACAGCAUUUUUUUCUCAGCUGCCCCAAAUGUUCAUAGAAUGUCGGUGUACAUGUGUAUAAAAGAUUUUUGGAAGCUGCCUCAUUUCUUUUCAUUAAUGUUAAGAAAUUGCCCAUGCCUACCGAGCCCUCAACUGCAAAUUAGUAAUGAAUGGAAAAGGAAAAAGGCACUACUAUGUGACCUUCACUAAACUGUUACAAGGGCAACAUGGCUCAUUAGUAAAACAUUUAAGGGCAGUAUAGAAUUAGAUUAUUUUUUAUGUAUAAGAAAAUAUUAUGUAUUGUAACUGUGUGUUUGUCUAAUGCAGGAAGCGAGAAAUGAAAAAUGCAAUUUAGAAAAGAUGUAUAAAAACACGUCUGCAUUCGUGAUAACUUUCUUGAUAUUGAAAUAGACUAUAGACAGAGACAAAGCUUUGCACACUGUAGAUCUCAAGGUUAAGUAAGCAAGUCACCAAAGCAAGACAUGCUAAAUUAAUAUGAUGUGUAACCAAGACAAGAAGUGCUCCAAGUUACUGACCUUUCUGUUACCUCUUCAAACUACACAAGUCAUUUAACCAGGACUACAUUUGCAUAAUUGUGAACUACAGUAAGAUAAAUGGCAAGAAUGUUGGUAUUUCCUUUAGGAUAAUGGACUUUUAAUCUAUAAUUAUGUAAAAUUUUCUGGAAACCAAAUAUGACACAGGCCGUGGAAUAUUGUGUGUCCUAUUUUGUUUAGAAUAUAUCAGGGUUAUUAAUUCCUAAUGUUACUAAAGAGAACAGGAAAACCAAUUUUGUUUAGUUUAUUUCUUUUCAACAGUAAGGAGUAUUGUUGUCCAAAUUGUUAUCCAAAAGUGGAAUGCAGUCCAUAGCAUCUGGCCUUGAAUUUAUGUAUCUGUGUGGGUUGAAGACUACUAGAUUAAUAUACUAGAUACUAUCACUGAUUUGGAUUCAAUCACUCUGAUAUGGAUGAAAACAAUGCCAGUCACAAGCAUUGUCGUCAUGUAUUGCUUAUUCAACUUUGCAUUGUUUAGAAUUUAGUCAUUUUGCAUUUGUGUUUGUGUGAUAAUAAGAACGAAACAGUUUUUUUUCUACAUUACAAAAAAAUUUUUUUACAUUUACAUUUAUGCUCGAAAAAAUGCUUUUAAUAGAGAGAAAUUAAAAAAAGAGAAUACUUGAGAGAAUUAGUAAGUAUUGAGCAUAUUCUAAUGUUUCCAGAGAUGAAGACUUUAUAAAUAAGGUAUGGUGUUCUAAAGUGUUGAAGUAAAGUGUACAUUUGGGCACUGUAUGAAGUGAUUGACUUGCUGGUCAAAAAGUUAUAAUGGAAUAUAGGGUGACAUGAUGUCUUUGAAAUAGUAUGGACUCAUACUGAUUGGGGGCUUCGGAGGUCAACAAGCCUAUAUUAAAAAACAAAACAAAAAAAAAUUCAACAGAUAGCCAGUAGAGAGAAAGGAAAAUAUAUUAUAUGACAUACAAGGGUUUAUGUUAUUUGUAAUGAACACCACACAAGAUUUCAGAAAUUGUAUAAUUAUUUAAACUUAUGUAAAAAUAUGAAGAGCUCUCAAUUGUAGUUUUUUCAAAAUUCAGUCCACAUAUUGUACCUAAUCAGAAAGUAGCAUAGUUAAUAUAUACAUUUAGAUGUACAUGCAUAAUUAAUAUAUACAUAUAUACAUACAUUUAUUUUUUGCACAGAUAGAAACAUAGAAUGUGACGGCAGAUAAGAACCAUUCGGCCCAUCUAGUCUGCCCAAUUUUCUAAAUACUUUCAUUAGUUCCUGGCCUUAUUUUAAGUCUAGGAUAGCCUUAUGCCUAUCCCACGCAUGCUUAAACUCCUUCACUGUGUCAACUUCUACCACUUCAGCUGGAAGGCUAUUCCAUGCAUCCACUACCCUCUCAGUAAAGUAAUACUUCCUGAUAUUAUUUUUAAACCUUUGUCCCUCUAAUUUAAGACCAUGUCCUCUUGUUGUGGUAGGUUUUUUUCUUAUAGAAACAUAGAUCAUUGAUCAACUUCUGGCUAUAUGGAUGCUUUGCACGAAACACAAAUAGUGUGUUAUGUCAAUAUAAAGACAUAUUAGCCAUACAAAGACCUAAUUAGUGAUGAAUGAUAGUAAGCAUAACAUAAUAGCUGAAAAAAAGAUGUGUCCAUCAAGUACAGCCUUUUUCACAUAUGUUUUUGCUGUUGAUCCAAAAGAAGGCAAAUACCCGGUCUGAAUCUAUUCCAAUUUUGCAAAAAAUAGGAAAAAAAUUCCUUCAUGACCCCACAAUGUUAGUGUUAGUGUUAGUAUUACCUCAAUAACUAAUAAUACUAUCCCUGUAUGUUGGUUAUUACAUGGGACAUGACAAGUGUGCUUUUUUUUCUUAGCAGAGUAAGGGUUUGUUCUGUUUACUGUAUUACUAUUUUCCCAAAGAUCACAAAGGGGAAAUUGGGAUUCGGUAAGCCAAUUACUUUGAUAACAUAAUACAGCUCUAAGUUUUUAUAUGUUCAUAAUAAUCACUAUAAAAAGGUAAUACCACAACAUAUACACAAGCUGGGCAGUGUACCCUCAUUUCUCAUCUCCCCAUAGUUGCUAGAUUGCAGGUCUGUACUUUUGAGCCAUAUUAGCCUAACUGUGGAGCAGAAGGGUGUCUUGGAUUUAUAGCACCUUUUUAUGAUGUUGAAUGACAGACUGGAGCAACAUUGAAGAAAAUUGUGUCUCUCCUAGCUUAAAGGACCACUCUAGGCACCCAGACCACUUCAGCUUAAUGAAGUGGUCUGGGUGCCAGGUCCAGCUAGGGUUAAUCCAUUUUUUCAUAAACAUAGCAGUUUCAGAGAAACUGCUAUGUUUAUGAAUGGGUUAAGCCUUCCCCUAAUCCUCUAGUGGCUGUCUCAUUGACAGCCACUAGAGGCGCUAUGCUUCUCACUGUGAUUUUCACAGUGAGAGCAUCCAGCGUCCAUAGGAAAGCAUUGUAAAUGCUUUCCUGACGACUGAAUGCGCGCGCAGCUCUUGCGGCGUGCGCAUUCAGCCGGCGUAACGGAGGAGGAGAGGAGGCAGAGAGCUCUCCGCCCAGCGCUGGAAAAAGGUACAUUUUUACCCCUUUCCCCCUUCCAGAGCCGGGCGGGAGGGGGUCCCUGAGGGUGGGGGCACCCUCAGGGCACUAUAGUGCCAGGAAAACGAGUGUGUUUUCCUGGCACUAUAGUGGUUCUUUAAGCAAAGCUUCAGUAAACAGGAAUAUUUUGUUGUAUUUUCAUCUAUAAUUAUGCUAAAUUUUCUAGAAACCAAAUAUGAUAAGAUUUCUUACUUAUUCUUAGGGUUAGAAGGAAAGAUAUUAACCAGAUAUUUUCUUAUGUAAAAUUUAGAGUGAACUUUAUAAUGUAACUCAAAUUAUUUUAUUCAUCCUUUUAACUAGCACAAUUUUGUGUAAAUAAGAUAUUAUUUACAUGCUGUUAAAGAAUGUCUUGUCAUUUUUGAAGGAAUAAAACAUUACUAGAGAGCACUGUUUGAAAAUUAGUGAUGCAUUGCUUGUCACUUUCUACUUUCUAAUACAAUUUAUGCCUUAAAAUGUAACAUCGCCCAAUCAUCAUGCAUCAGUGCACCAAUUUGACUUGUUUUUAGUGUUAUUUAUUUUCUUUUUUUAUAUUCAUUGGUAUUAUGCAUAAUUUGCUUGUCUGCUAAAAUAGCAAAUAGACAUCAAUUUUUUUCUUCUAACACCCACUCCUUCCGAAUGGAAAAACUCUGUAAUUUCUACAGAGGUCACCAUAUAUAUUUGCCAGUCACCUUGUUCUCUUUGCUAAGGCGUACUGUGCUCCCCCAAGUGCCCCACCACUGUUCCUGUUGAUCCCUUUGUUGCCUGACCUUUCUGCUUGCUUACUCAUUCAUGAACCUGUGCUGCCUUGACCCACUUUUCUACUAUUCUGACCUUGUCUUUGUCUUGUCCCUAUUGGUGCCUCAUUUUGGUUUACUAAAUAAUUACAAAUUACAGCAUUCUAAGCUCCUGCUGCUUUAUAUCCUGACAGAACAACUGAGCCUAAAUAUGGAGCUCACAGAAGUGGCAGAAAUACUCAAUACCCUUUCAAGACAAGUAAUCACACUUACAUAAGCAGUUCAAGAAUUAGAAGCACAAGCAACUACUUCUAUGGAAAACCUGCCAUAACCACAUCCUGAAGGUCUUCUGAUACCCCUACUCCAGGAGCAAGCAAAUGAACCAGAACUGCAAAUUCUACUCCAUGUAUGCUUUUCUGUGUGCAGAUCCAAGUACCUCACUUUCAUAAUGGCUUGUGAAUUGCUGUUCCAUCUCAAUCUCUGCACCUUUUACUCUGAAGCAAAACAAAUCCAUACUGUGAUUUGUCAGUCUAUACACAUCACUGUGAUUUGUCAAUGUGUACACAUCACAGUAGACAAAAUAUAACAAAAAAUAUGUGGAUGGGGUAUGAAAUCCACCCACAGACGAUACCGCAACUGCAAGUAAAAUGUCUUAAAUGUCAGGUGAAAUAAUCCUGAGUUUAAGGCCUUGAUAGAGUUAAUUCCAGUGCUGGGCAAUCCCACAUAUGCAGUAAGUUGCACAAAACAAAAUGCAGUCUGCACUCAGGAGUAAACCCUUAUGAUCCAGAGAAAAUCACAGAAAUAAUGAAAAAGUGCACAUUUAUUGAUAUAAAAUUGCAGCGAUGUAUGGCAGAAAAUAGUCAUGGCAGCACUCCAAAACUCUGGAUAUAAGAGCAGGAAUAUUGAGUAAUGCAAACAGAAUAUUAUAAUCACAAGGUGGAUAUACAGAUAUCCAGGCAAGGGCAACACACUUGUAAAAAAUAGGAACACUUAAGGAAUGAAAUAUUAAGUAGUUGUGAUACACUGGUGCUUUCUACUGUUGAGAAAGCACCAGGGGUGUGUGAAACGCAUCCAGGGUACAUACUCUUACCUUUUUGCGGGUGGUAGUGUAGGUGGUCUUCCUCAACUCUGGCAGCAGCAGGUAUCACAACUACUUAAUAUUUCAUUCCUUAAGUGUUCCUAUAUUUUGCAAGUGUGUUGUCCUUGCCUGGAUAUCUGUAUAUUCACCUUGUGAUUAUCAUAUGCUGUAUGCAUUACUCAAUAUUCCUGCUCUUAUAGUCAGCUUUUUUUGGAGUGCUUACAUGUCUAUUUUCUGCCAUACACCACUGCAAUUUUUAUAUCAAUAAAUGUGCACUUUCAUUAUUUCUGUGGAUCAUAAAGGUUUACUUCUGAGUGCGGACUGCAGACUGCAUUUUGUUUUGUGUAACACAUCACAGUAGAUUUGCCCACUGCCUCUUACCCCCAGUAAUAUUGAAAGAUCAAAAGAACCAACCAAACCCUCAAAGCCUACCUUGAUUGUUAUACCACCCACCUCCAAUCUGAUUGGAAAGAUCCAUUAUCUUUUGCCGAUUUUGCAUAUAUUUCAAACAUUCAACUUGUAUAUCUCCCUUUGUACUCAAUUAUGGCUACCAACCUUUCUUGGUCUUCCUAGUCCCACAUCUGUACAAGACACCAACAACUGCCUCCAACUAUUAUCCCAGGGUUUCAAGCAUGCACAAAGCACAUUACAGGAUAGUCAACGCUCUUAUAAAAACAACUGCUGAUCGCAAAAUGAAUACCAGCCCCUACGAAUGCUGUGAGUAAAUCGUUUGGUUAUCAACAAAGUAUCUAAAACUUUCCUGCCCAUCCAAGAAACUGGGAGCAAAGUACAUAAGGCUAUUCGGCAUCAUUAAACUGAUUUCUCCAGUGGUGUCACAACGAUCUGCCAUCUAUCCCACAUUCCAUGUCUCUUAGCUGAAACCCAUUAUGGACAACCCAUUCCCUGCUAGAAUACCUCCAUAUUCAGUCAUAGUGUCUAAUGAACCAGAAUAUAAAGUCCAAAAUAUACAUCGCUCCUGUAUCAGGUAGGGAAUCCUUUUAAUACUUUAUCAACUGGAAUGGAUAUGGCCCCAAAGAGAGGUUCUGGGAACUGGCUUCCAACGUUCAUCCUCCAUACUCUAGAUAGGGAUAGCUAGAGUUAAAGGUAGAGCUUGUUAACUAGAGCUAGAUCAGAAUUCGAUGUAGUUAAGUUUAGGGUAAGCAAGGAUUUACUAGAGUUAUAGGGUUAGAGUGUGCUAGGCUUAGCAUAAAAUGUAUGCAUUAAUUUAGAAAAAAAUAAAUAAAUAAAAUAUAUAUUUAUAUAUAUAUAUGUAAUAUAUUUAAUAAAAAAUAUAACAUAAAUAUUGCGGGGGUUUCUACUGCUUUUGCAAAAUGGAUCUGUAUGCCAUAACUGCUUCAAUGAACUAACAUAGUUUUGGUGAUUACAAUAUCUCUUUAAACGAAACCUCAUGAACACCAGAGGUUUUAUUACUAAAAAGGUCAUAUCCAAAAAAGUCCUGUUUUAAGAAAUGUGUACAAUGUGCUAUUCCAUGCUUACUAUUUUGUCUGAGUUUUGUGAUUUAUUUGAUAGAAUUUCUUUUUAAAUUUUUUUUUUUUUUAAAUUACCACGUGACAUGGGGAAGAAAACUAAUUUGUGGUUUUACCGAUAUGUAUACAUGAAUCUGGAAGAGAUUUAUUGAGACAGAAUCAUUAACUGAGGAGACAAGCUAAAAAAAUGGAAGCUAAAGGAACACUCGUAUAUAGGGUUAACCCAAAAACUGUAGAAGUAAAAGGAAAGAAGAAAUGAGUGUCCUAUGAGGAUAUAAAAUUUAACCUUUAAUAGUAAUAAUAAAAUAUUGUAUAAAUGUCCAUAAUUAAGGUAAUACUAAAUAAUAAACUGAAGUGUAUGUACACUCUAAUAGGUGACAAUCAAAAUAGGAAAAUAUGUGAAGACUUCCUGUAAUUUGAAAUAAUUUGAUACAGGAAUGGCUAGGUUCUGUUUAAAAGUAUACAGAUACCUAAGUGUACAUAUAUACAAUUAAAAUAACUGAUAAAUAACAGAAGUAUAUACAUGCGGAUAGGAGGUCCUGUUCGAAAAUGACAGAGACCUUCACUGCUAAUAUAAACUGAAAAAAUACAUUUAGUUGUUCUAUUCCUAACAUAUUUGUGAUCUAAUACAUGGAGAUUUAGAGCUUAAAUGUCACGAUCGCAUUCGAACACAUAUCAUCACCAAUAUGUGCCGCCGGACAGCAUUUAUUCUCCUAUUUAAUUUACUAUUUCAGUUUCAUGUCUCCAAUCCUGUGUUGUACUUUAUUGCUACCGAAUAUUUCCUUUUUCUUGUGGGGAGGAUUGGUGCUUAUGUAUUAUCAAAUAUCUAGUUAUUGAACUAGACAGGUCUGUUGUUACAAACACAGACUAAAUCACUUAGAAUUUUCCCCCACCCACAGCGGUAGCAUAUUUUUUCCAUCUAAGAAGCCUAUAUUUAACAACUAUCCUCGUUACAUUUAUGGUUCAUGAAUAUAUCUCCUUUUAGAUCUUAGGGAAAUAUAUUUCUUCUGCAAUAUCACACCUAUCUGUCUAUACAAUAUUUUCUAGGCUACAUUUUCUUUAACUUAAAGACACCGGACGUGCAUGCCUGACUUACCUGUGGAAUAGUAUCAUAUACCAAUCUAAUUCAUUGGUUAUACAAGUUAACGACAGUUUCGGUUACCUACUAAUUGUGAAACAUCUGGUUUCGCAUACAAAUUAAUAUUCAAGUCUCUGAAAACUUUUGAACAGGACCUGCUAAUGUCCAGGGUAUUUGUCAGUUAUUUUCUACAUUGAAUACUAUUGAAUAACGGACAGCUAACUUCUAUUCAGAUUCAGGCUCCGUGGAUUGCAAAACAUAGUUUUUGCUCACACUACUGAGUGAAGGUUUCCGAGAACAUUCAAACAGGACCUUCCUUUCAUCAUGUAUAUACCUUAGUUUUUUUAUUUUUUCAGUUUAUAUUAGCGGUGAAGGUCUCUGUCAUUUUCGAACAGGACCUCCUAUCCGCAUGUAUAUACUUCUGUUAUUUAUCAGUUUAUUUAAUUGUAUAUAUGUACACUUAGGUAUCUGUAUACUUUUAAAGAGAACCUAGCCAUUCCUGUAUCAAAUUAUUUCAAAUUACAGGAAGUCUUCACAUAUUUUCCUAUUUUGAUUGUCACCUAUUAGAGUGUACAUACACUUCAGUUCCUUCACUAUGGACAUCUAUACAAUAUUUAAUUAUUACUAUUAAAGGUUAAUUUUAUAUCCUCAUAGGACAGAAUCAUUAACUAUUCUAUAGCAACUUACUACAUGUUGAUGGACAUUAUGUGAGUUGCUAUGGUGAUCUGUUUGCAUUUUGCCCCAGAAGAGCACCUGAUUUUGCAUUCAUAACUCUCCAAGCUAGAGUUUUAUGCAGAACUGCCAAUCUACUGUGGAUUUUUUAUAUUCUUCAACAAGUGUCAAGAAUAUAUACGGCUUUAUUGCAUUCCUCUUUUAUUAAACAUAGGUUGCAAUAAAAUUCCCUGUCUGACUUUUCAAUUUUGAAUUAUUAUUCUAAUUAAUAUUGUUCAGUGAUAAUAUAUUUCCCAGUAAAAGUUUUACAUUUUGCACAAUUGUUCAGUAAAUGGCACAUUUAUAAAUCUAUUCUUUUGUGCCUUUAUAGAACAACGUGUAUGUUUGUUUUACCCUUGCUAUGGAUGUCUGCCCUACCUUUAUAAAAUAUUCCCCAAAUAUUUGCCUUGUUUCUUUAAGGAAGAGUUUAGUUUGUAUAAGUAAGCACAUUCUUAUAUUUUCUUUGCUUUAAUUUGUAUCUCUAAUGGAUUUUAAUUAAGUUGAGAAUUCGUACUGGAAUUGCUUAUGGACAAUUAAUGCAGAUACUUUACUAGUGGUGUGAUAAUACAAAGUCUUUGGGGUGAAUUUACUGUAGUUUAUUAAAAAUAAAAAUUGCAAACAGCGACUGAAAUGCCUUGUUUUUCCAUUUUAGCCUACAUUUUCUAAUGUUAUUUUAAAUACAAAAACAUCAGCUAACAGGUGACUGUACCUCGCAAUUUCAGUGGCCUUAUGGAAAUACGUUAGCCAUUGAGACAUCUCUGCUUUUAUCUUGGAAUCUUUAAAAAUAAAUUACUUGCUUGGUGUGUAUUACAACAUAUAUAUAUAUAUGGUAUCUCACACUGAAGAAAUGACACUCUGCUACAAUGUAAAGUAGUAAGUGUACAGCCUGUAUAACAGUGUAAAUUUGCUGUCCCCUCAAAAUAACUUAACACACAGCCAUUAAUGUCUAAACCGUUGGAAACAAAAGUGAAUACACCCCUUAGUUGAAAUGUUAGAAAAUAAUUGAACAUUAAUUGAUUUGAGGCAAUAAACAAAUACUUGAAAAAAUAUGAAGAAGUGUAAAGCAAAAGACAAAAAUGCUUACUAUUAAAGGAACAUACCAAGAAUACAGUAGAGGUUAUGUGUCAAGUGUGCCCUGGGCCCCUCAUGGGUCUUUAAUGGUUAUGGUGCUUAUUGGAGCUACACUUGCAUACGAAAUAUUGCUGUGUGACUCCUUCAUUGGGAAUAGUCUCCACCACUAACAAGACUUUCUUUUUUGAUUGUGCAGAAUAAUUUGACUACAAUUUUUUAUUGCACAGUAUGAGUGAAACUACUUUACAAGCUACUAACGGCCAUGUCAUGAUUGUUAUUAUUUUAUGCAAAAAUUUACAGACUCUUAAAGCAGGCUUUGUACAUCAGCUAAGUCAUUUCCCACGCAAGCAUGAUGCUGUGGCUUGGGUUUUCCCCAAAGAAGGUAGCUGCACAACUUAUUUGUAACUAAAACAGAAAAUAAUUAUUUAAAAUGUCCCCCUUUUGACCUAUACAUUCCAGAGUUUGACUUAUAGCUACAACACGUUCUGCAGUUCUCAGGAGUUAUGAUCCACCCUGGGAAGCAGAAAGUAGAAUAACCUAUGAACAAUAGACUUUGCAAUUAUAUAAAGUUGUUGUGGUUCUUCAAACAACUUUUUAAUUCCUUACGGACCAAUCACAGUUCAUGUCAUCAGAAUAAUCUACAGUAAAGAAUGUUAUUCGAAAAUGUCACAGUCAACAAUUGCUGGUGCUGAAUUUUGUUGAUAUACCAAACCUAAAUUAAUAAGUAUAUGAUAACAUUAGCAUUUAGGGGCCAGGUUUUUGUGACAGCAAAUAGUAACAUUUGGUCUUUAAGCAUCGAGAUUAGAAAAGAGACUAGAAAACUACCACAACAAGAUGACAUAUUCUUAAAUUAGAGGGGCAAGAGUUUAAAAAUAAUCUUAGGAAGUAUUACUUUACAGAGAGGGUAGUGGAUGCAUGGAAUAACCUUCCAGCUGAAGUGGUAGAGGUUAACACAGAGUUUAAGCACAGAUGAAUCAAACUAAGUGUAGCAUCUCAAGUAGUGGUUGUAUUCAUAUGAAUACAACCACUACUUGAGAUGCUACACUUAGUUUGAUUCAUCUGUGUCUUCUAUAUAUGUUGUGGAGAGGAACAUACUUUUCCUUGAAGAGAGGGGUCGUGUGAUCUACCCAAAAAGACACAAGACGCUUGGAAGUUUAGAGCCUAAAAACUUGAAAAGGCUCUAAUAAAUGUUAGUUUAGAUACAUUUGUCACUCACACACUGUUUUACUAAAAUUUGUAAUCUACUGCACUAUUAUUUGUAUAUAUCUUUUUUCUCUUUUUAUGUAUAUCACUUUGAGAUCAACGUAGAGGGUAAGUGUUUUUUGAAUUAUUGAAAAACACGUUUUACCUCACAUUAUAAUAUAGCGCUGCACUCUUUAAAAGCUGAGGACCUAAAGGUGGGAACACCAGUAAGGUCUAAAGUUUUUUUGGUGUUUAUAAACCUAUCUUAGACUUAAGAUAAGGCCAGGGACUAAUGAAAGUAUUUAGAAAAUUGGGCAGACUAGAUGGGCCAAACUGUUCUUAUCUGCUGUCACAGUCUAUGUUUCUGUGUUUUUCUGAUAUGCUUUUUUUUUGUUUUUACAAUUUAAUAGUACAUUUAAACAUCAUUAAAUUAACCUAAGUAUCAGUAUUCUAAUAUGAUGCACUUAGUAAAUAUAUUAAUGCUAUAUUGCAUUAAUUUGUAAAUAACAAAAUAAAAAAAUUAAAGACUUUAACCCCUUAAAGACACAUGACGGAAAUAUUCCAUCAUGAUUCCCUUUUAUUUCUUAAACUUUGUCCUUAAAGGGUUAAAGCGAUUUUUAAGUAAGAAUGUAUGCAAAGGGUAUUACAUAUAUAAUCCUUUAUAUUAUGAUGGCUUUGAAUAUAAAUGUGUAAUAAAUGCUUUUGAAUAGAUUGUGUCAUAGUUUGAGGUUUAUGGCUUUAGAUGAUUGGCUACCGGCUGCAAUUUAAAAUGUGUUGUAUAGAUUAAUAGCACAUUUAAUCAGUUUUAUACCAACAGUGGUCAAUUAUUGAAGCUGUGCCAGAAAGUGAAAUUUCUUCUAGUUGUAAACUCCAUAAAUGGUGCACAAACUGUAAAUGAGAUGUUGUGCUUAAAAAUAUGAAAUCAUUGUAUUUUUCAAGGAAAAUUACAAAAGAAAAUGAUAGUAUAUUUUUAGUUACUAUGUGUUAAGCUUAAGAUUUAGCUUAUCAAAAAAAUGUCAGUAUGAACUGUAAAUUAAUAUUCCUUGCAUUGAUACACCACACCAACACAGUCCAACUAUAUUUAUACUUUUUAAAUACUUGUAUAAUUUCAAUUACUUGUAUAUAUUUUAUACAUCCAGACAUGUAAUUCUUCAUUCUGAUCAGUAGAUACAACAAAAAUGAUGUGGCAUUGGAAAGUCUAAUAGCUAGCUAAAGGGCUGUCGUGAAUUGUUCUUCUGGCUUAAUAGUUCUGGUGGUAUGUUAUACUAAAAAAAAGAGUCAAUAAUAAUAAUAAUAAUAAUGAUAAGUAUUAUAUUUCAUUAAAAGCUAAUCUUGGAAAUGAUGUAAAAAAAAUAAAAACAUUUAUUGUUGUACAAAGUUUUUUUGCACUCGUAUUUUUAUAUUUUCUUAUGGAAAAUGAAAUCUGGCCUUUUUUGAAAAUGAAAAAACUUCAUCUCAUAAAUGAAUAAAAUAAAGAACAUCUAGUGUCUGCAUUAGGAAAGAUCACACACUAUAACUUUACAACUUUACUCUAUUUUCACUAUGUGAAAUCUUUCUUUCUUCUAGUCAUCUUUUUUUCUUUACUUCACUCGUAUUACAUUUCUGUAUUUUCAAUUGUUGAGUUUCAUAUGAAUCCUAAAUUAUAAUACUUUUUCCAAAUGAAUGCCAGUUGUAUUCACAAACUUCGGAGGCACAAUAUAAUUAUAUCAAGUAGUAAUAGUUGGGUUGUGUUACUGCUCAUUUCCAAUUGCUGACAAUUUCAUGCUCCAUUUAGUUCAUCUCAUUUAUCUUCCAAUGGUGUGAAGAAGUCCAUUUACUUCCUCUCUCACUGCCUUCAUUCAAACAUUCUCAUCCUUGUUUCAUAAAAAAAAAAAAAUCCAAUUUAGCAUUGGCGCAUGUUAUUAAUUUAUACUUAGUUUAUCUGUAAUGCUUUGCCUAUGUCUAACUUAUGUUGUAACAUGGAAUGCAAACAUGUUUUCAUUAAUAAUAAAACAGAACAGUUAAUCAAUAUGGAAAAUUAUUGUGUUAUCCUUACCUUAUGUUUUUAUUACAUUUUAUCUGGGAUAGGUUUACCCUGAAUGGUUAAAAAUGUUUCUUUUUCCCCCCAGAUGUCAAAAAAUAUUUAAGAACAGGUAUUGCUUUCUUCAUUUUAAGUAUUCUUCCAUCAACACACAACAUUUAAGUAAAUGGAUUGCAAUAGUAUGUUGCUUUUAAGAUCACAGUAAGGUUAUAUUUAAAUGUAUUAUGAGGGUUGGACCUGCAAAAUCUAUUUAUUAAAAUAUUAUAAUGGUGUUUUGUCACUUGAAAUUAUUUGGUAUCUUUUUUUAAUGUAUUAUGUAUAUAUUUUCUAGUACACUGGUAGAAGCAUUUUCCUAGUUCACAGACCAACUAAAAAAGUAAUCAAUAGAAAAAAAAGAGUAGGUGCAGUUAAAAAAAAUAUAUAUUUAUAUAUUAUAUAGUGUAACAAUGCAGUUAUUGUGGGCACAGGACAUACUUGAAAAUGAGAAAAAACUCAAUCCUUCCUGGUAAAAUAUUUUAUAAAUAAUAUAUAUAUAUAUACACACACACACACACACACACACAACUAUAAAAAAGUUUUACUGCUCCACAUUUUUUUCCUUUGUUGCUCACUUCCCACUUAAUCUGUGAAUAAAAUCAGCAUUUGGUGAUGGUACCCUUUCCAUCAAUCAUCUUUUUUAACAUAAACUAUUUAUUUCUUUGGUGCCAAGCAAAGAAUACAGAAUCACGAAUUAAAAUGGACAUUUACGUCCAUUGCAGAGCUUGUUUGAUUCAUGAUUCAGUUACAUUUCAGCUUGGAUGUAAGGAAUUAGACCGAUCACUCAAUUUUCCCAAAUUCGGAUGAAUUUCUGUUUGUACGAAAAAGAAUCUCCACAUGUAGAACUUACACCUGUAGGAGCACAGGAGGUCAUACAAGGUACCUCAAGCUGUCUCACAAGCACACGAAGAACAAACUACUAUUUUCACCAAUUUCAUUGCCCCUAAUCGAUUCCAGGUCUAAUUUCCACCAGCAGUAUUUCUGACCUUGGCUUUAUACCUGAUGGAAAAACAAAAAUUGACAAAAAACUGAAUGAUUGCUGCAGCAAUGUCUUUUUUAUAUUUCUGACUAUAGUUAAGAUCACAAGAAAAUUACAUUGUAAUCUCUGCAGGCUUAUAUAUUAGUGUCCCUGAGGAUCUCAGUAUAUAGAGCUGCCUACCCUGUCAUCGCUAAAAUGUAAUUCAGAAUGCAUAGUGACAUAUUUUGUUUCCCAGAAUAACAUUUGUACUUGUUAUUUCACAUUAAGAUUGUAAAAGUUUAAUAUCAAUUACAAAGAUCUGCUCAUAUUUUAUUGUAAGUCACUUUCUAGCUGACUAUACAAGCUUUGUUCAUUACUGCUUUAUGCUCAGGAAUAAUAUUAUUCCUUAUUGUUCUGUACUUGGCAGAAUCAGUCAAAGGGCCAUUAUUUUCAAAGAAAGCUGUGACCAAUUGCUUUAAAAAUAAAUGAUACCUGCACUGAAUCAGAAAGGAAGAAGGUUCAUUAAAACUGCUGUUCUUUUGCACUCAUCAGUCUCUCUCCAAUGGAUUUGACGUUGCCUGCGAGACUUAGUAUAUAUUAUGUUUAUUGUUAGAGAUUAUCAUUCUGCAUAAAUUUAUUCUUUUACAUGAAAUAAGCAUCAACAGUUAAACAGUUAUCGUAUCUAAGACAGAAAUAUAACUUUGUAAAGAUAGUAAAAUACACUGUUCCCCUACAUUGUUGUAUUACUUAUUGAAGACUGGCUAAGCAUUUCUUUAAAUCCAAUUUUCUUCUUAAAAUGUUUUCCUCGGAAUAAUGUAUUUCAUUUAAAUAAAAAUAGAUGAGAAUGUAAUUAGGUCAUGUCCUAUUCAUUAUUUUAUGAUUAUUUGACGGUUAGUCAAUACUCUGUAUACCCGUAGUUUAAUCUAAGUUGUAGGCAUGUGCAUGGGAAAAAUUUUCGGUUCGGCAUUCCAAAAUUCAGGACUUUGGUAAUUCGGGACUUCGGCAAUUCGGCACUUCGAGACUUAGGGACUUCGGCAACUUCGGCACUUCAACACAUCGGAAAUUCGGUAAUUUUGGAACUUCUGCAAUUCACUCUUCUGAACUUCAGGUAACUUUGGCACUUCGCCACUUCGGGACGUCGGAAUUUCUGAACUUCUCUUGCAGCCACUUGGUAGAUAACUCUCUAAUUCCCACGGUAUUAGGGAGUUAUCUACCAAAAGGCUGAAAGACCUAAAUUGGUCUUUCAGCCAAAUUUACUAAUACUAAGUAAAGAUUACUUAGCAUUAGUAAAUUAUGCCCCUACUCGCUAUACGGCGAGUAGGGGCAUCUCUAGUAAACAGUGGGCAGCCAGUGGCUGCUCACAGUUAAAAAAAAGUAACUGCUAAGUUACUCAGUCAGCCACAUCCCCAGGCGCAUUAUUUUAAAGAAAGAGAUACCACAAUCUUUAUCUACUUCGACAAGCAGAGAAAAUGUAUACUUUUGUGUUUUUUAUUGUUAAUGAUAGCCGUCAUGACUUUCCCAAAAAAAAAUAAUAAAAAAAUAUAUAAAUAUAUAUAUGUAUAUAUAUAUUCAUGGUUUAUAUGAAGAGCUAUCAGAAAAUAAAACAAAUUGGUUUCUGUUGAUUACAUUUAGUUGAUCAGUUCAUUAGAACAGACCAAUGGGAAAUGCGUCUGGUCUUUUUUUUUUUUUGUAUUUCGAAGCACUGAUGGUCAAGUAUAAAUUAUAGACCUUAAACCUCAUAUCCUGCAACCCACUCCUUUACCCAUUUUAUCACUUGUUUCUAUAAACGUUCCUCUAACAUUAAAGGGGCACAGUCACUUUGCUAGAAUUUACAUCACUGCAUAAAACUAAAAAAGCCCCAACAACUUGUGUUAACAUUUGUUUUUAUUUUUAUUAAGGGUUAGAUAUCCCAAUGCAAUAAAAUAGUAGUGGUGUUAUAGCAGAUAUAUAACAAACAAAAUGGGAGAAGGGAGAAUGAAAAGAGGAAUUCGUAAUAGUUAAAUAUUUGUGUAGAGAUAUAGCAUGACUAUCUAGAAUAAAACCAAGGUUGAGCAGGACAAUAUGAAAUAUACUUUAUCAUAGUUCAGAUAGUAUUAGUGAUUGAUUUCUCUACCAUUUUGCAAGGAUAAAAUAUAUAUGUUAAAGAGUCUAACCUCUGGAGAGUUUUUAUAAAAAGAAUUAUGCAGUAGAAGAGGACUGAGUAACGAGUCCAGUGGAAAGAAAUAUAAAUAGAGAAGAUUAAAGUUUUGAAAUAGAGAUGAUUAAGAAGAAUGGAGAUGACAAAAAAUUGAGUAGGAGAGAAAGAGGAAAAAAAGAUAGUGAGGGGGAUGAUCAGUGCAUAAAAAGGAUUUCAUAUGGAUUUCUGUGUUUAAUUUUAUUUUUCAUACAUCACACAUACAUACUUCUUAAAUAUAGGGAUAGGUAAACAUAAUAGUAAAAUCCUGGGACAGUUCCCAUUUAAUUCUUCACCCUUUUUUAACCAUAAGCUAUUUUGUAAUUCUAAGUUGAAUCUGUCAUGUUCCUCCAUAGAGGCUGUAGGAAGCCUAAAUGGAAAGCCUUAAGGAAUAAGAGGUGUGUGUGUGUGUUGAAGGAGAGAAAUGUUUGCACCUGUGCCUCCUAAGCAAUUUCAGUUGUAUUGUUAACUGCUGACAUUAGUCUUGCAAUGCAAGUUAAUUCAGCUUAUUAACAGGUCUAAAGACCUUGGUUGUAAAUAUGUCUGUUGUGCAUGUAAGUAUAGCAGUUAUGCUUUCUUUUUAUGGAGGAUGGCAAUAAAAUAAUAUUCUACCAAUAAAAUGUGAUUUAAUCAUUAAUAUUAAUGAAUAAGUCAGUAUGGUCAAUUACUUUUGCCUCUUUGACACUCUCCAUGUAAAAUGCAACAUACAGUUCAUCAUAGCUGAAGGUUCUUCUUUAGUUUAUUCCAGGUGGUGAGGUGUCACUGGAAAUAUGCAGUUAUUUUAAAAUAUAGUCAGCAAAACUACACUUCUUCAAGUAAAAUUACUCAUUAAUAUGCUGCCUGCAAAAAAAUAGCUUGAAACAGCCAUUUUUCCCCUACUAUAUAUUUAUAUACCACUACUAAAAUAGGAGUGCACUUGCAUCCAAAACAAUUUAUACUAAGCUUCGAGGUGAUGGAUAGCUUUUGCAUUUUGUGCAUAUUCCUGCUUUUCGUGUCAGUGCAGAAUCACUUGAUACUGAUAUUAUUUUUAAAGUAAUGCAAAAAAUGAAAUUAUAAAAGUUGUGUUGCUUAAAUAUAACCCAGUUUCAACAAUACACCAGAUGGCAAAUAGGAAUUUUAGUAACUUAAUUCCACCAAAUAACAAAAAAAAGCAACUUUACUGCCCACUCAGGGGUAUUUAGCAUGCAUGUAAUCUAACAUUUAGGGUUGUCACCAUGCUUGGAGAAAAAUACUGGCCAUGCUAAUUUGCAUAAUAAAUUACAUAUGAUUGACAUCACAUGGCAUGAUAUAACGGUUUGUGUGUAUAAUACUGUGUCAUUGUGUGUACACUUUGUCUGAGUGUGAGCAUACUGUGUAUGUGUUUGUACUAGUGAGUCAUUUUAUGUAUUGUGUUCUAACCCCAUGAUGCCUUUUCAUUUAGGGUUGACAUUCCUGGCUUCCUGAUAUCCACAUUGCUUUAGCUAGAAUGGUAUAUUAUAUAUAAAUAUAUUAAGUAUAUUAACAUACUUAUCAGCAUUAUGCAGUGUAGGUAAAAUAAACAUACAAGCAACGGUGGCAGAACAAGUUAGGCAAACAGGAACAAAUGGUAAGAUGAUCCUAAUUAAACCAGCUUUAAGCCUAUUGACACCAUACAGAAUGCUUGUCCUGUUCAAUCAGACAUCUUACCAAUUAAUCUGUAAGUAUUUAGUACUGUGUACGUUCUGAUACUCUUUUAUGCAAUGCUCACUUAAUUAAUUUUGCACUUAGAAAUGGGGUAUCAUGUUCACAAGCAAGGGGUGACCACAUAUUCCCUUUAACCCCUUAAGGACACAUGAAGGAAAUAUUCUGUCAUUAUUCCCUUUUAUUCAAGAAGUUGUGUCCUUAAGGGGUUAAACUGGGUGUAGGAGACUCAAUUUGGUUGUCCAUAACCCCCUUGUUCGUCUACUGAAAGACUUAUGAGUGAUCCCCUGUUAUGCCCCAGCCACCAACCCCCCCUGGCUGUUAACCACAAAUUUUUGGGAGAUAUAAUCUACCAAACAGGGGGAGCAUUCUCUACAUAGCAGCCAGGGUGAGCGUUCGUUGGUUUUCGCACAUGAACUUCUGAAAGCCAACAGGCCCUCCUGCAAAUUCUCUGGAACUGUUUUGGGCUAUCACCUUGUGGCCAGUCGGUCAAAACUUUGCUUGUUCAAUAACUUUCAUUCUACCAAAUCGAUCUGAGUGCUUUUUGGAUAUAUUGUGUGCUCAGAUCGGUACUAUUCAGGAUUAUGAAUUUCGUGGGGUUCCUGUAUUGUUUUAUGUAUUUUUUUUUAUAUUGUAAAAUAUGCAUGCAAGUUUGUGUUUUUGAGAGAUAAUUGAGUUUUACUAAUUUGAGCUUAAUUAUCUCCCAAAGACAAGGGGUCACAUAUAUAAAGUGCAUUAUUCAAGGCAACAAUAAAGUUAAUGCCGCUGCUUCUGUUGUCAAUAUGAUGAACCACAAUUUUAAAGAGGAAAGUUCAUUUGCAUGCAUUUAGUGACUGUAGAGUGUUUUGAGGUACAUUUGAUAAAGUUGUAUUUAGUCAAGAUAUGUUAGGUCUCUGUCUGUAGCCUGACUUAAUCCUGAUCACACAUCCUGACCCCUUUGGUUCCUGAUGAACAAUCCCUAGACCCUGCUAUAUAUAUUUAAUAUGUGCCAGUGAUGCCUGACAGAAAGGGAAUAGUAGGAAGUUUGGUGCUUGAUUAUACCUGUCUGUUCAGCCUCUUAAACCUACAGUGACUUCCCUAACAAAAGAAUUAAGAUAUUGAAGUGUGAAAGGAUCAGUUUAAAAAACAUAGUGCAUUUUAACAUGAUAACUAUGCUUAAAAUUAUCUGAUUUACAGAAGUUAACUUAUCUGCCAUGAAGAAUCUUAAAAAAAUGCUGUAUGUUUGUUUGCUUCUUACUAAUGUCAAUUAUAUGUAAUUAUGGUACAUACCAAGAACACAUUUAAAUCAAUUAAUGUAGGUAAUAUUUAAGUACUUUGAAGUAUUCAAAUUUUAUUUUGCUGUCAACUAAAACCUCUAAAAUAAGAAAAAGUAUUAAGUCUGUGGGUAGAAUAAUUAAACUGGAAAAAUGUGAUGGCCCAGUAUAAACAUACAUAUUUUAUUUGUACCUCUCUAAUCAACAUUUCCAUUUGGAGACAAUGCAUGACAAUAUGUCCUUUCUACAAUUCAGGAACAUUUUUAUUCUGAUGGGAACAUACACCGAUCCAGUGAGUUAGGCUCAUAAAUAAACAUAAGAUAAUCUUUUGCAAUUUAUUUAAAAAGCUAUUUAAUUAUGCUAUAUAUGUGUUAUUUAUUUUAUGUAAACUGAAUCUGUCACAUUCACUAAGCCUUGCUUCAUGAAGCUUGACGUUUAUUUCUUCAAACCUAUGGCAAGUCUUUGAUAUUUUAAUUAAAACAUACUAACUAUUCUACAAAAUGUUCAAAAUCUACAUCAUUUGUAAUUGAAAUUUGCACAGGAGGCAUACGAUUUUAAAAUGUCUUCUUCUGUUAACAUAUUAUUUUGUGAUAAAUAAAGCCAUAAUGUGUCAAUCUAGUGUAUUGUUACAGUAAUACAGUGAAGUAUUAUGAUGGCGUGUUGGUUAGUGUUAGCUUAGAAAUAAUACAGGGUUUGCAUUAUAUACAUAUUAUUUGCAAUACUCAGCUUUUCAUAAAGCAAAGCAGAUACUCAUGAAAAUAUCAAGUAGUAGAUUGUCCAAAUACAACUUGCACAAAAAAUGGUAAAUACUAAACUUUGAAUUGUGGUGAUUGCACUUUGUGAUCAGAGAUAACACAAUGUAUUAAAAAGAGCAGUUUGUAAAAUUCAUAUUUAAACUAAAAAUGUUUUUCUUUGCAUCUGUUUCGUAAGUUGUGUAAUUUUUUUUUUUUUUUUUGAAAUUACACUUGAAUAAUGAAUCUAUACAUCAAAAUAAGUUAUAUUAAUACUUGUAUUAAUGGCGUACCCCAAUCAUUUUAAAAUACAUUUCAAUGUCACUUAGCAAUGCCAUGUUGGGUAUUUGCAAUUAGGUCCCCCUCUGCAAAACUAAACAUCAACUUACACAGAAUCCAGCAUUGUAAAAAGCUCCCUGUGCUGGUUUUCCUUCCCCCAUUGAUAUCACAUCUGCCCUUGUGAGGUCCAGUCAAAUGCUUCUCAUAGAAAGGCAUUUGAUUGGGCCAUUUUCACAGGCUCAUUUUGAGCUCUGAUCCAGGAAGCAGAGGGAGGGAGUUGGGUUGGACAAGGCUUGAGAGUUAAAUUCAAAUACUAAAUGCUAAAUGUAUUUAUGGAGGGGACAUUACAACUUCCCCUUACUGGCACACUUCCUACAAGGGGAAGUUUAUUACAUCAUAUGAACUCACUGUGUGAUGAUAAUAGACAUCAUUUUUACACAGGAUUGAUAUUGCGUAGCAUUUAACAGAGUUCUGGGCUGCCUAAGUCACAUUUGUGUAACAAGCCCCCUGGCAUGAAAGUGCAAAUAUCCUCGUGUUUGCAGUGUUUCAAGCACAAACAUUGCAUAUUCAGAUUUCUACCACUAUGACCACUUCUAACAGCAUGGUGGCUGGAGUAACCCUUUAACAGUGGAUCCAAAGCGUACACAUUGGACACAUUUCUUUACUAUUAAUGCAGACGUGUUUUUAUUAACAUUACUUUAUUAGAAAUCAACUAUUUAUCCUUUAUAUAAUAUAUUUUUUAAGUUAUACAGAUGCCAAAGUAGUAAUAAAAUAUAUAUAUAUAUAUAUAUAUAGCACAAAACACACCUUAAUAAAUCUGUGAUUAGUGUGUAAAGAAAGAAAAUGUAUCUUUUGUGAAUAUUGCACAGCUUCCUCUAGGGAUAUUCCAUACUGUAUCCUUGUACAACAAAUAUAGCCAAUAAAAAAAAAAAAGAAAAUACAGAGGAUUCAGCUGGAGAUCUACAAGAAUAAAAAGCAAAAUAGCGUAAUACAGUAUAAAGUGCAGCUAUGUGCGCUAAACGAAGUUACACUCACAGGAUGGAGACUUGUAUAAUCGCCUUAGGGUGCCUUCCCUUAGAAUAGUGGGGAGGCUGAUCCAGUCCUCCUUCUCCACUUCUGGUAGUGUCACACCAAUAUGGAAGGCAAAAAUAUAAUCUGUGGUCUUACUGAGAAGAUGUGUGUGUGAGGAGCUAUGGCUUGAUAAGCUGAUAAAAUCCCCUUUUGCCACGAAUUUAUCAGGAACCAAGAAUUUAUGAGGAACCAAGAAACUCACCUGUUCAGGGUGCACAAACCUCCUUUGAGGGGCUGCCAAUGCAGGCCCAAACUAAAAUGGCAUCUGAGAGGACUAUGACUCAGGAAGGAGAGGAGACCCAGACAUCACAGGCAGCUGGUAGUGUGUAUCAGAGGAAUACCUCCAACUCAGAUGCAUCUCCCUCCACCAAGGGAGAUAUUAAAAAACUCCUCCUGGACUUAAGAGAGGUCUGGAUAGCAGACCUUGCCAGAGUACAAGUGGAGGUAGGCAGGCUGAGGCAGCAGAUUGGAAACAUCCAGUCCAGAGAGGACAACUCGGAGCAGCAAGUAACAGAAACUCACUCCCAGGUGGCAUUCGUCACCCAACAACUGCAGCACCUCUCCAGUACAGUGGCUUCACUAGAAGCACGGAAAAGCAUUAGGGUACGUGGAGUACUUGAGGCUAUAGGCCCAGAGACCAUGGUGGACUAUGUCCUCAAAGUCAUUCAGGUGAUGGAGGGCAAGGUAAAAAGUGAACCACCACAUAUUGUGUCAGCCUUCCGGAUCAGAAAGGCAAAUACCGCUCCUGCGGAUGCACCCAGAGACAUAAUAGCAAUUACCCAAGAUGUCGCCGUCAAGACAUCCAUAAUGGCCCAUUACAGGAAGCUCCCUAGUGUUACAGUUUAUAACUGCAGAAUCUCGGUGUAGCGGAUCACCUGGUAACCCUACCGGUUACCUCCGCUAUUUCUCUUCCUUCAGCUGAACAUUUAGGGCAUAAAGAGACCCAUUUCCCCCCAGUAACUGGAUGACACACAGUUCUGGAGGUACAACAACACUUUAUUGGCCACACAUGGCUUUUAAGCAUAACCCCAUGCAUGGGGUGUAACACAUGACAUACAAUGUUCCCUCCCAGGAACCUAGUGUGGGAAAGGGCUUUGUCCCUUUGUCCCCAAAAGCCUGCCACCCAGCCACAGGGUUUCCCACAUCCAGGUACAGGGGUCUUCACCCCAUGAGCUUCUGUACCUGGGAGACCAAGCACAGGAAAAAGGGACCGUCCCUUUUGUCUCCCAGGCACAGAGAGCCCACACGCGGGAAAAGAGCUGGUCUCAUUGUCACAGCGGGCACUGCAAAGCCCGCCACACUUGCCAGUGCCCUAGAAGUGCCUACACGAAUCUCAGGUACCCUCACAGCUGUACUUCCCUCAACCAGGCUCCGCUCGCGAAGUCUUUGUGUGAAACCCUACAAAGGUAGGGUCUCCUUUCGAGACACGUAUGCUUCCCCUGGAUGGCAUUCUUUUGUACGAAAUGGCGGCCACCCAGGGUAACAACCAUUAAUUACUUCCCUUCUGGUUUUACACGCAUGUUGCAAAUGUGAAUGUUCUGAUUAAUUGGUGUGAUUGUUCUAAUGGGGCACUGGGGAGGUCCUCGUUCGGGAAACGAAGGAGUCAGGAAACAAUCCAUGAACACUCCCGCUGGCUGGAGUUCAUCUGCACGAAUUGUGGCAAGCCAGCAGUAUGCUCAUUAAUUGCUUCCCUUGUGGUUUAUGAUUUGACACCAUGUUGCGAGGUGUAAAUGUUCUAAAAUAAUAUUCUAAAUGGGGUAUCGGGGUGGUCCCCAUUCAGGAGACGAACUAAUUUACUUUGUGGAAGCACUCCCAAAUUGGGAGCAGGCAGAAAACAUGAAAAGAUGGGGAAACACACAUAAUAACAGACAGGCAAUUAACAGGCAGCGGUCCCACCACACUCAUUAUACGAUGACUUACCCUUCUAAGUCCUCAUGGGCAGACGCAAGUUUAUGCCAGUGACCAGGGUCCUGAGGGAGCAAGGCAUUAGAUACCGAUGGGGAAUGUUGGGAACCCUGGUUGUACAACAUGAAGACGUGAUCCAUAUACUCUCGGCCUCAGAAGACUCAGCGGAGUUCCUGAGGGGCCUUUAAAUUCCACAUGUACCUUCUGGAGCACAAAGGGUGGAAGUGGCUCAGAAGACUACAGUCCCUAGAACAGAAUGAGAGCACAGAAUAAAAAGAGGAGAAGAAGUGCAUUCCCAGCAACUGCAGAGUCCCCCUUAGGACUUUCUAAAUAAAAUAUCAGCCAGUCAGCAGGGCAAACUCCUAACCCUACACGCACUUCUUUCAGGCCGUUACAUACUCGGCAGAGCAGACACCACAACCGUGGCUCUGAUGUUGGCUUACCAAAACCAGAAAAAGAGUGCUUUUUCCCUUUGUUAUUACUAUAUGCAAACUUAUGAAUCAUUCCUUGUUUUACUUUCAUUGAUAUAGGUAUGAUGUUAACACUGCAAAAUUUUGUGGCUGUGUCCACAACUAAAUAAAGAAUUUAAAACAAUAUAAUCUGUUUUAUUUGGUGUAAUAAAUGUAAAAUAUACAUACUUAAAAUUAAAAAUGAAACAAUACUUGGUGCGUUUCAUUCCACUAGAAGGGAGCAAUACUUCUAAAUCAUAUGCUAUUAUGUGCCUAAAAAGAGCUAAUUGCAUAAGCAACAAAUAAAUGUUAACAGUUUAAUCACAGUAAGUGCAUAAAAACACAUGCUUUGGAUAGGGAUUAAAUAUAACAACUGGAUUCGCAUAUUGAGAGAUAUAUGAUACGGUUCUCUUUUGCAUUUUUAGCCUUUCAGGCUUCCAUCUUCUUAUUUUGUCUGGGGUGGAGCUUUGGGACUCAGUAAGUUUUGCAACAGCUUGCAAACCGAGUGUUGAAUGCAAGAUGGCUGCCAUUUGGAAUGCACACAUCAUCAAGAUACAACCGCCAGAAGUGGCACACCGAAAGUGACAUCACGCAAACACCUUGAAAGCAGAAAAAAUUACUUUUGGUGAUCUGGAACAGCUGACCAUCGCUGGAAACACACACUGGAUCACCAAUGGGAUCAAAGACUGUCCAUUUAUAAGGAAGGACUGAGGGGGAGGGGAAUUGCUUUAAAAUGUUAUUUAUUUUUUAUUCUUUUAUUAUUUUUUUUCAUGUUAUUUGGGUCUCUGAGACAGCCCCAUUAGUCAUACAAAUACGUAGGCUUGGCUCGGCUCUGGCAGACAACAGUCCAGAGACCUGAUUACCACCACGGUGUCUUAUUACUACAGGUAUCCGCUAGCCCAUAGGAAUCACGACCAAAGAGCUUUAAGAAUACCUACUUUCACCUAAAGUAGUGGUUGGUGCCGGAUAUAUAUCCUGGUCUCACAAUAGUGCUGUUUUUAUGUAUAUAUAUAUAUUUUUAUGUAUAUACUUUUAUGUAUAAAUAAAUGUUGUUACUUUUAUAGUCAUACUUGACUAUCUUGUAGUCACUAUAUCUCGAUUUCCUAAGUGCCCUCAGUUGGUGUACUAUUUGGAGAUAGUUGAUAAUAUCACAAAAUAAUAAUCUAUAAUCAUUGAUUUGUGCUAAGCUAGAUACAUAUCUGUGCAAUUUUUUAGGUUAAUUUCUACUAUUUAAAUUGUCCACUUUUAUACAUUAUGUGUCUAGUCUUUUAUUUGUAUCUCUAUUUGAUAUUGUUUUAUAUGUAGUCUUAUGCAUGGGCUCCAAAUCAAUGACAUGUAGCUAAAAUAAUUUUCCUAUAGGAUGUAUAGGGAGCUAUUUGUUGUUAAACAGUGCAUUGCAGUGAGUGCACUUUUGUGAUUAGAGAUACAAAAUAGUAAGAAGUUUAAAAAGAGCAGUUUGUAAAAUUCAUAUUUAGAAUUUUGUUUUAUAUAUCUUUGUAUCAGUUUAAAUGAAGUGGUCUGGGUGCCAGGUCCUUCUAGGGUUAACCCAUUUUUUUAUAAACAUAGCAAUUUCAGAGAAACUGCUAUGUUUAGUAGUGGGUUAAGCCUUCCCCCUAAUCAGGGCCGGACUGGCCCACCGGGAUACCGGGAAAUUUCCCGGUGGGCCGUCGGCACCUGGGGCCAGGCAGACACCUGGGUCUGCUGUCGGCCGCUGGGUAGGUCUUCUGGCGGCCGCUAGGGAGGUCUUCUGGCGGCCGCUGGGGGAGCUGCGCUGGCUCUGCUCCCCAGCGCGCAGCUGAAUGAGACCGGCACCGGAAUAUGACGCCCUCGCCGGUCUCAUUCAGCAGCGCGCGAGGGCGGGAGGGCAGAGCCAGCGCAGCUCCCCCAGCAGCCGCCAGGACAAGUCCGCCAGCGGCCGCCAGAAGACCUCCCCAGCGGCCGACAGGACAUGUCCCCCAGAUGCCCCCAGAAGACCUCCCCAACGGUAAAAGUCCCCCAGCGGCCCCCAGAAGACCUCCCCCUGGCAGGUAUAAGUAAUGUGUCUGUCUGUCUGUCUGGUGUGUGUGUGUCUGUCUGUCUGUGUCAUGGUGUCUGUCUGUCUGUGUCAUGGUGUCUGUCUGUAUGGUGUGUGUGUCUGUCUGUCUGUGUCAUGGUGUCUGUCUGUAUGGUGUGUGUAUGUGUCUGUCUGUAUGGUGUGUGUGUGUCUGUCUGCCUGUGUCAUGGUGUCUGUCUGUAUGGUGUGUGUGUGUGUCUGUCUGUGUCGUGGUGUCUGUCUGUCUGUCUGUGUCGUGGUGUCUGUCUGUAUGGUGUGUGUGUGUGUGUCUGUCUGUCUGUCAUGGGGUGUGUGUGUGUCUGUCUGUCCGUCACGGGGUGUGUGUGUGUCUGUCUGUCCAUCAUGGGGUGUGUGUCUGUCCGUUAUGGGGUGUGUGUGUGUCUGUCCUUCAUGGGGUGUGUGUGUUUGUGUGUCUGUCUGUCCGUCAUGGGGUGUGUGUGUCUGUCUGUCAUUCAUGGGGUGUGUGUGUGUCUGUCCGUCAUGGGGUGUGUGUGUGUCUGUCCGUCAUGGGGUGUGUGUGUCUGUCUGUCCGUCAUGGGGUGUGUGUGUCUGUCAGUCAUGGUGUGUGUGUGUCUGUCAGUCAUGGUGUGUGUGUGUCUAUCUGUCCGUCAUGGUCUGUGUCUGUCUGUGUCAUGGUCUGUCGUGGUGUGUGUGUGUGUCUGUCAUGGGGUGUGUAUCUGUCAUGGUAUAUGUGUGUUUCUGUGUCUGUCAUGGUGUAAAUGUGUGUUUAAAAAUAGUGUUUUUGCUCAAUUUUUUUUUUCCCACGCAGCGUGCUGGUCUCCCUCAACUGGCCCUGCCUCUAUAGCUGAGAUCAUCAAGCUUGAUGAUCUCAGCCAAUCCAAUGCUUUGCCAUAGGAUUGGCUGCAAAACGCCACUCCAAUCAGCAUCUCCUCAUAGAGAUGCAUUGAAUCAAUGUAUCUCUAUGGGGAACGUUCAGCACCUACAGAGUGUGGAGGCCCUGAAUGUAGGUGCACUAACACAGGAAGCACCUCUAGUGACCGUCUGAGUGACUGUCACUAGCAGUGUCACUUUGAAGCAAUGUAAACACUGCCUUUUCUCUGAAAAGUCAGUGUUUACGUUGAAAAGCCUGUAGGGACAUGCUAUAGACACCAGUACCACCACAUUAAGCUGUGUGUGUGCGUCUGCUAGUGAGUGAGCUUGCUUGCAUGCGUGUGCCUGCUAGUGAGUGAGCUUGUGUUUUUAUGUCAAUGAGCUGAUGUAUAUCAGUAAGAUUGUUUGUCUAUGAGGCUGUGUAUCAAUGAGCUUGUGUGUGUCACUGAAAUGUCAGUGAAAUUGCCUGUGUCUGCAUGUGAGUAUGCUUACUGUAUAAUUAAAUGUUUUACCCUGAAAGGACCAAUAUUUUAUAUUAGAAAAAGCAAUAUAUUAUAUAUAUAUAUAUAUAUUUAUAUAUAUAUAUAUAUUACUCAAUCAUCUGUCCUGGCAAGACAUAGCCUUACAUAUUACACGCGACAAUAUAUGGCGCAGUGACUUAUGGGGCUGGCACAAUUUUUUUUUCCAGGGCUGCUUUGUAUCCCCAGUCCGGCCCUGCCCCUAAUCCUCUAGUGGCUGUCUCAUUGACAGCCACUAGAGGCGCUUGCGUGCUUCUCACUGUGAUUUUCACAGUGAGAGCACGCCAGCAUCCAUAGGAAAUCAUUAUGAAUGCUUUCCUAUGUGACCGGCUGAAUGCGCGCGCAGCUCUUGCCGCGCGUGCGCAUUCAGCCGACGGGGCGGAUCGGAGGAGGAGAGGAGGCAGAGAGCUCCCUGCCCAGCACUGAAAAAAGGUACGUUUUUACCCCUUUCCCCCUUCCAGAGCCGGGCGGGAGGGGGACCCUGAGGGUGGCGGCACCCUCAGGGCACUAUAGUGCCAGGAAAACGAGUAUGUUUUCCUGGCACUAUAGUGGUCCGUUAAUGUAAGUCGUGUAAAAUUAUUUUUAGAAAUCACACUUGAAUAAAGAAUCUAUACUUUAAAAUAAAUAAUGUUAAUAAUUUUAUGAUAGGGUUACUCCAACCUUUCUUACAUAACUCUCACCUAGCUGUAGCGUGUAACGAGUAGCAACAUGGUUUGGAACAAUUUGCUAAGGAAGUUAGCAGUUGCAAUUGAGAAUAAUGGGAGUCAUAAACUGCUACUUAGUGACUGUCUUUAAAGGGACACUCCACUGCACGCAUAUAAAAUAAAUAAAAAUCACUGUUUAGUAGAUAUAGCCAAAAUGAAAACUUGCAUGAAUUUAAUUAUGCAUUUACUAACUGGGGAAAUACCUUAAAACAGCUUGCAAAACCUGAAAAUCUAUUGUCCGCUGCCUUUUCAAGUCCUCCCCCUCUAAUCCCACCGAGACUUUCUGUGGCUGUCCAAUCACAGACAUUCCAUGCAGCUCCAUGAGAGGUCUUUGCAAGGCAGGUGCUCUGGACAAUUGCUGUCUCUUGAGUUUAGCUCCAUUGAGAUAAGCAACCGGAAAGGACCAGGAUUGGUUGCCUGGCUGACAGCUAGGUGGGUGUAACAAGGUUAUUUUAUAAAAGUUUAAAUUUCUAUUGAAAUCUGCACUUUUUGCAAAAUUUUAAAAAUAGGACACGCUCUUCAUAUAUAAAGCUUUUGAGCAAGCAAACAUGCUUUAGAGGUCUGGACUGCCCCUUUAAGUAGAGGCAAUUGAUAAAUGGUCUCUGCUGGUGAAAUUGUGCAUUUGUUAAACAACAGCUACUUGCUAACAGUGGAGACAGACAAUUUAGCAAGUAGUGGCUGGCUGGUAGAAAGUAGUAAAAACAUUGAAAACAAACCCCAAUUCUGAUGGUAAUAAUCACUGGAACCUCUUGUGCAGCGUUGAAAACCAUAGUGCAAACCCUAGGCAAAAAUUCUUAGAGUAUGUUAUAGCAUGGCUAUUUCAGCCUAAAACUUUAAUUUUAAUUUCAAACAAUUCCAUGUUAACUGUCUAAAGCACAAUGUAAAUUCAAUUUGCAAAAAGGAGAAUACCAGCAUGAAAAUUCUGAUUAAACCAACAAUCUUGCGGGAAUCCCUUUUUGUAAUGUUGGACAAGAAUAACAAUACAACGGUAACGAGCUGAGAUGAACAGAUGGCUGUUUUUCCUAAGGUUACUCUCCCACAGGUAAUACCUGCCAUUAAUAAUGGCAUCUAAGAAAUGCAAAAUAAACAACGGUCUAUUUUAAUUCCUUCCAGAUUACUCAGGUCAGGUGUCACUAUAUAUUUGGUAUUUGCCAAACCCUGAUGCUAAAGGGGUUAACAUUGAUAUAAUGUAUAUUUUCCUUUAAAUGACAGCCAUAGGACAAAUAUACCUAUUGAUUUUAUUUUAUUAACCAAUUAAUGCAAUAAUAUGCUUAAAGCAUUUUGGUGAAAUAAUUAAAAUUAUUGAUUGCGUAUUUUUAUUUUUGCACUUUUGUUUUUGUAAUUUGUCUCAGAGUUGUUUUCCACAAUGGAUAAAAUAUUCAGAUAAAAUAAGGACUGCCAGAAAGGGUGGUUAAUGUAUAAUUUAUAGCUAUAAUUAAAAAGUAUUUUUAACAAAGUGUCAUAACAUAGUGAAAACUAAAUUGGAUUGUGAUUUACUUUGUCUUGUAGAGCAGCUUGAUUUAGUGCCUGUGACAAGACGAACACCUCUGAUACUGCUUAAAAUGUGACAUUGUAGAAGUAUGCUUGUUUUCUUACAGCUAGUUGUAUUCAAUAUAGAUACAUUUCUGUAUCAACUGUGACUGGAAGUUGUAUAUAUGAAACAGAUAAAUAAUGGAGUGAUUAUACAUGUGGAACACUGAUGACACCCCUGACACACAGAAGCAUCUGAGGGGGGCAUUCAGUCCUUGGCUAAAAGCUAGCCAUCAAUCUUGGAGUGCUGAAUAAAUGUUGUUCAUAUAAUUUCGUUUUUGUUAUUUUUGUGUUAAUAGACAUUUUCAAAAAAAUAUUGACAAAAUGUUUGCAUAUUUAGUUAUUAUUCCUGCCAUGUACAACUACCAGCAUCUGCCCCUCUCCUACUGCCCUCUUCCUUCUAAUUUUGAAUUUAACCGCUUAAGGACACAUGACGUGUGACAUGUCAUGGUUCCCUUUUAUUCCAGAAGUUUGGUCCUUACGGGGUUAAUGAGGAGGUUAGGAGGGAGGGAGGGGCAUUCUCUGUAUGGGAGAAGUUGUGUUCCACAAAUUGCAGAGUAUGGGUGGGAUACAUUGGAGUCAUCUGAGGCAGUAUGGAGAUAGGUGUUAUUAGGAAGCACUGCCCUGUGACCAAAAGUAUAGUUAUCUUAUGCACAUAAAUUAGUAGAUUGUGCCCACAAGUUAAAGGACCACUAUAGUGCCAGGAAAACAUACUCGUUUUCCUGGCACUAUAGUGCCCUGAGGGUGCCCCCACCCUCAGGGACCCCCUCCCGCCCGGCUCUGGAAGGGGAAAAGGGGUUUAAACUUACCUUUUUCCAGCGCUGGGCGGAGAGCUCUCCUCCUCCUCUCCGCCUCCGUUCCGCCCCGCCGGCUGAAUGCGCACGCGCGGCAAGAGCUGCGCGCGCAUUCAGCCCGUCGCAUAGGAAAGCAUUUACAAUGCUUUCCUAUGGACGCUUGCGUGCUCUCACUGUGAAAAUCACAGUGAGAAGCACGCAAGCGCCUCUAGUGGCUGUCAAUGAGACAGCCACUAGAGGAUUAGAGGGAAGGCUUAACCCAUUCCUAAUUAUAGCAGUUUCUCUGAAACUGCUAUAAUUAUGAAAAAAUGGGUUAACCCUAGAAGGACCUGGCACCCAGACCACUUUAUUAAGCUGAAGUGGUCUGGGUGCCUAGAGUGGUCCUUUAACUAUAUUGUGCCCAUACAUAACUUAAGCUGUGUGCACAUGUUAACUAUCUCUUGGGAACAAUCUACUAAAUCAUGCACACAAGAUCGUAACAUUGUGGCCAACAUUUUCACAUGUCACAUUUGAGGCUCCAUACUGUUGUAUUCUAGCAAUACUGAUAUGUUUUAUGCACAGCUUUGGUUGUCUUUUGCUUUUUUUGGUGCUUUAAUACUCCAUGUUUUAAUUAUUUUUUUUUUUAAAUAACUCACUGUGUCCAUUGACUGCAAAUGCUAGUGAUAAUUGUUCCUUUCUUGCCAGUGUGGCGUUUCAUUAAAUUAAGGAUAUCUUUUUUUAAAACUUUACAAGGUGAUUUUCAGUGAGAAUUAGUAUUUGAAACAUUUGGUCACUGCAGUUAGAGUGGUAUAAUGAAUUACAUUAAAUCCUCAUUAUUGACUGAUAAAGGGUUAAUGAUUGAAGCGUUCAAGGUCAGCUCAUUUAGAAAGUAUCCAGGUAUGACAAUUGCCAAGCAGUUAAAUGAUGAAAGUGAAGAUGACAUAAAUGCCAAUUAACCUACAUCAUUAUAACAUGAGCAGGCAUUUGCAAGAACAGCAAAUAUAUAUAGUAAAAAUGUGCAGGGUCAGAUCAGAUGAAAUGAUCAUUAUUUAUUUAUCUGUUUGUCAGUCUGUCUGUCUAUUUCAUACAGACUGUGUUUUAGGUACAGUACAGCAUGGUAAGUAAUAUUGUAAGUGCAUUAUACCCAGUUGUACACAGUUUAUUAUUAUUAUUGCCAUUUAUAUAGUGCCAACAGAUUCCGUAGCACUUUACAAUAUUAUGAAAGGGGAUUUAACUAUAAAUAGGACAAUUACAAAUAAACUUACAGGAACAAUAGGUUGAAGAGGACCCUGCUCAAUCGAGCUUACAUUCUAUAGGAGGUGGGGUGUAAAACACAUUAGGACAGGAAUGUGCAAUCAAAUAAGGUGGGCUGCCCUUUAGGAGAGGGCAAGAGACGGGUAUGUGAGGUAGGGGUUCCUUUACAGUUUGACUGCCACCUUGCAGUGACCUAAUUCCAGAGCAGCUGUAGGAUAUGCAAGUCCCCGAUUGUCCGAGAUUAGUUGGGGUUAAGCUCCCAGAUACUAGUGAGAUCUUUGCAUACACUUCACAGCCCAGGAUUUUACAGAAAAGGCAGAAACUGCAAAUUCAUCUUAAUAUUUAUUUCUAUUUAUACUAUGUUAAUGCAAUAUCUUUAUAAUCAGUUAAAACAAAAUAAUCAGCUCCAUGCUGGAGUGUUCCUUUUAUGUAUUUUAAGAAUAUUUAUAUUUAGUAUAAGUAUAUUAGGUUCAUAUAAUCCAUUUUUUUAUGUUAUCAUUGGUCAUGUAACAGUAUUUAGAACUGAAAACAUAUUCUUCCACUCCUUAUUUUAUGAUAUUCCUUCUGCAUACCUACAAAGGGUCCCAAUUUAGGAGGGAGGGACAGUCCCUAUUUUGGGCCCAAAUCCAGGAGGCACUCUUUUCUAUCUUAAUGUUCCUCUUUUCUAGGAGCUCCAUAUUGUUGGUGUGUACAAGUGUAUAUCAGCAAAAAUACUCACAGUAAUUUACCUUUAACUUACAAUAAAUAUGUUUAGAAAUUAGUCUGUGUAAUAAGAUACAAUGUUCUUGUUCUAAAUUACAUUGUAUUUGUAUAAGUCGAUAUUAGUAAUUCAACAAAAAUUUCUCAGAACAAUCCAACCCACUCACACCCCUAAAAUUAAAGUGUCUCUCUUUGUCAAUUUGAAAUAUUGGGAGAUAUGCUUUAACAGAUUGUUGAAGGAUCAUAAUCACAUUUUACUUUAAUAUUCAAGGAGAUACGCAAAAUGAGAUUUUUGGUAGUUCAGUCUCGUUAAGAAAUAAGCACCUUUUUUCUUUCCUCCUUUUUUGAGAUGGACAUGGGAAUGUUAGCCUCUGUUGGUUUUAUUAAGUUUGCUUGAUUGAACACACAUGUCUGCACUUUAUUGAUUUGUUUGACUUUGAUAUGUAAAAUGUUUUGUACUUUGCACUUUAUACAUGGCUUGAUAAGGAAACAUUUAGUGUCGGAAUGUUGCCCACUUCUUUGGAUGGGUGAAUAAAUCAUCAUUACACCAUUGAAUGCCAUGUGAUGGAGUCUUAGUUUUUCUUUUAUUGUUUUGAUUCUGUGGGACAAGGGUCUGGACUCUUGGCACAGGCACCAAAUAUAUAUUUGAUUUUUCAAUUGUGCUCCUGUAAUUAUUGUUUUUCAUUGAUAUUGCAUAGCGUUAUUGUUAACCCUCACACCAGCAAUUGAUUAUGUUAUUAAUUAUUUGCCCACUGGCUGGUAGCACUGCCUUUGGGACAUCGAGAAAUUAGGUUAUUUGAAACUUUUCACUGAAUAUCAACCGAAACAAAUAGACACGUGACCAGAAGUUGGUCAAAUCUAAAACAUUUUUUAAUUUGACCAAAUGACUGACACCACAGAUUGCACAUGUCUGUUUGUCAGCAACUACUAGUCCUUCUCAGUAGCUUUCACAUUUAAAUUGGCACAUUACUUUUUCAGUUAUAGUUAUAUUAUACAGUAAAAUUCACUUGUAUUGGCUUUUGCUAGGGCGAGAAUUGACACAGACAAUCUUAGAAUGACAAUAUUAAAGCUAAAAUUGCCAAGCAAUGUCUUUAAUUCAGUUGAGUUGAAUUGUAGAAUGUUUUCAGAUUAGCUAUUUAGCCUAUAUUUGAGAAAUGUUUCACUCCGAUGAUGACAGGAAGGUGUGCUCCUGCAGCUCAAAGUUAUAUGUAAAAUGUAUAAGAAAAUCUAUAUAUUAUUUAGUAGCAAUCCUUCAAGAGAUAGAUUUCAGAAGACACAUGUCUACAUACUUUGCCAAUUUUAUUUGUGUAGUAGGUAACUUACAAGAUGUAUAUGAAAUUGACAGAAAGAGUUUUAACUUUUGCUGAAAAACUGUUCAUAUGUUCAUGAAACCUAUAGAAUGCUAGGUACCUGGCUAGCAUUGCAUGUUUAGUUAGAACCUAUGUUUAGUCCCAGUAUGUGUAGCAUCAACAUAAAUAAACUGGCUUUUUAUGCUUUUAACAAACCUUCAAUCCAUUAACCAAAUACAGCACAAUGGUUCUUAUGUGUAAUAAUCCAGUUUUUCCAUUGCCAAAACACAAUCUGUCUGUUGAGUAUUUUUGCUCACCAUUUCAAUCUAAGUACGGCUCACAAAGAACUUUUUUCUUUCCAAAACAACACUUGAAGUAAAUGAUAAAGUUUAGAGAAUUAAUCCUGAAAAAAUAAUUAAAAUUAUGGUUUUAUAGUUUGGAUUGAAUUUUUGUAUUUUUUUUUUGUUUUUGCUUAUUUCCAUUAGAGAAAUUCAGGAGCAAUUUCAUGAAUACGUUUUCACUUCAAAAGCUUUCUCUUGAAACAACAAAGUUGAUGAUCACAGUUUUAAAGAUCUUAGCUCUGCUUAGUACAUGAAAUAAAAUCAAAGAAAAUAGCUUAAACAAAUUCCAUUCCAUGUUCAAUUACUGAAAAUCCGAUGUACAAACUUUGACUCUUUGGUUAUGUACGAAAAUAAUAAUUGGGACAGUAUUGUACUUGCAAAAGCUAACAAGAAAUGGACUGCUUCUUGUUUGACAAUUAAUUAUUUGACAAAGUAAAUAUUAGAUAUUUAUUAAACAUGCUAAAAAAUGACUAGAUUUAAUUUUUUUCUUACAUCACACUUUUUGCACUGUAAUUACAUUUUAUAAUUACUUAUUUGUUGGCAGCUGAUAGAUUAAAAUUAAAUGUAGCUUUCAGCCUGGGGGUAUAUUCACUGAAUAGUGAGCUACUGUGACUAAACCCUUUCACUACCAGAUAUUACCAGCUUUUAUGUUCAUCUAGAAAGUAACUGGUCACAUCAAUGUAAACCGUGACAUAUAGCUGUAUCUAAAAUUAGGAGAGAAAAGAAAUCAGUUAUAGAUACAUAAAAAAUCUCUUUAUGUAUAUAUCUCAACAUUUUUACUUGUCUUUUUACAAAAUACAAGUCUAGAAAAUUGAGGGAAGCAAGGACACCCAUACUGCUUGUAGUCGCAAGGUGUAGAGAAGCCAUCAAGUGUUCUGUAAGCUCACAGAUGAGUUCUACAUACAGCUCCUUGCAGCUCCUGUUGUACUAAUGCACAACAUCACUACAGAUUGAGACACAAAGGAGCUGCUUUUAGAACCAGCCCAAGUACAGCUACCUGCGACUCCCUCGUGCCACCAGACACCAGAGAUGAGGUUCUUCUGCUCUAGUAAACAAGAAGGAGGGAACCUCAUUCUCAUGCCCAGUGAAUAUGAUUGAUCAUUCAUGGCAAAGUGUUGUCAAUAUUUGUGAUUAUGCAAUGAAUGCAUAAAAUGGUCACCCAGUAGAGGUGCCAUGAUAGACUUAUGAGGUGAACUGUGUCUGGGAAAUACAGAGUUAAAUCUUUUUGUUGACUGGUAAAUACCCUGAAAUGGUACAGUAAUUAACGCAUGUUAUAUUUUCCUGUUUUGUAAAAUCAAAUAGUGUAGAAGAAUUUAUGACUGAUCUUUGGUUCUGAGAUCCAUCUAUAACUAUUACCGUGGCCUUAUCAUAUAUGUUCUCAGAGAUUUGUAUGAGAAACAACAGAGCGUGCAUGCAUAUUUUUUGUUCAAUGAAGGGUUAUUCUCAUAAAGUUCUGGAAGUGAUUUUAGAUGCUAUUUUAUUUUUUCUUCCUUUCUGUAUUUCUCUAAUGUCCAGCUUUUCUAAUUGCAAUGUUUAUUUGCAAGACAGUUUAAUGUCAGUUAAGUGGCACUUAUGUGAAGAGCUGACAUGACCCUUUUGCCAGCCAUGCCCAAUGUCCUGGUAUCAGAUCUUUGGAAUUGGUGAGAUAUGGUAGCAGAAACUGUGUUAAAGGUAAGGUAAAGUAAGUCACCAUACUAUUAAUGUUGAGAAUAGAACAAGUCAUGAAUUUCUUUUUAAAAAAUUUAAGCAGAAGCACAAAUAGUAUUCAGUUUUUUCCAAUUUCCCACAACUGCAAGCUGAGUAACGCAUGUAUCCAGUAGAGAAUCAUCACUAGCAACUUGCAAAAGCACUUCAUUCAUGAACACUUACAAGAUUUUAUCAAAAGAGAGUAACCUUAGCAAAAUAUUUAAUGAAAUUAAAUUUUUCAGACUUUUAAGAAGGUGUUUGUUUUGAAUGCAGUCUUACUAAUUGACAUGCAUAGUAUGAGUUAAUGUUUAAAAAUGUUCUAAUCUCAGUUAUUCAGCAAUUCAGCUGAAUUUGGGCCAACCAGCUGAUUGGUUGGUUCACAAAACUUGUGCAAAGGACGAGCAUGUUCAUUUUUUUUUUUUUUUUUAAUUUGGAGUUCCACCACAGGGCACCAAAAGAAGAGAUGAGUGAUGGGAAAAAUGAUGGCAACGGGCAUUUAUUUUUUAUACAUUGUUGUAAUACUCCCCAUUUGGUACAUUGUAGCAAUUCAUUGAGUCCACCUUAGCACACUGUUAAUUAUUACAGUCUAGAGAUUGACUAUCAAUUAGUGGAUUUAUUAUAGAGGAAUUGAAACAACCUGAAAAUCUUUUGUUUCUGAAUGUCAUUCCAAUUGUGUUAUUAUUAAAGAUUGGUAUAUGUUUUACUUAGUUUAUUUUUAUUAUUUAUUAUAUUAAGGAGCGCACAUACUGUAUUUCAUAUUUUGAGUUUACUGCUCAUCACGUCGCUUACAAGUGUAUGUAGCUGCCCAAGUUUGGAUUAUUUUUAUUUUGUACCUAUUCUUAUAUUGUUUAAGAUCGGAUCCCCCUAAUAUGAGAAAAAAAGCAGACACUCCAAUGCCUUAUGGAAGUAACAAUGUAAAUUGAUUACAAAUAUAAAUAUAGCUAUUGGAACAAUGUUGCAACAAUCUAUGGGGAUCCAGUAAGAACAGUAAGGUAGGAGGUACAGGUUUAAAAAAAACCCUUCAAUUUAUUCAUAGGAUAAUAAAAUAUCCAGUAUAGGUGUAGGGAAAGAGGUAGGCAUGGGAAAGGGAGGUGGGUAUUAGUGUUGAGACAAAAAGUGGCUGCUUGAGAGAGAUUCCAGCCAAUUAUGGUAAAUUUAAUAAUCUGAUUAAAGGGAACACAAGGAGGGUAAAGAGCAGUAGUAAUCUACACACCUCUACCUUAUCAAUCAAAUAACUAACAGUUCAGACACUAAGAGGUGAGGGUAAAAAUGACACUCAAGUACCAAAUUGAUGUAGAUAAAGUAUCUUGGAUAAGUGCUGUAUCUAGGCAGCACCCUAAUCAGGAUGAAAGCAUGCCCCAGCCACUUCCCUACUAAGAUACUGGUUGAUAAGACUGCACUUGAAGUUAUCCUCCCAUAACUGAAAUGUUCCAGUCAGUCCCAAUCUGCUAAUGGAAAGCAAUAAAAACAGGGGGGUAGGUGCAGCGUUAUUUAAUUUGCUUCAGACUGUAUCAUCUAGAUUUCUCAUUAUAUAAAGUAUAUUUUUAAGCUUUUAUUGGUAUUUACAAAGAUGCUCUUAGAUAGUUAUAACCAUGUACUCCAUUUUUUUUGUAUUAUUUUCGUCCCUUUUUACUCUUUUUACUUUAUUUUCCCUAAAUAAUAAUUAUUUUUAUCUAAUAUUGUUUAUGCAUAGAUAAUUUUAUUAUUAAUAGAAGUUGUUUUAGUGUCUUAUCUUAGUUUUUUAUUUUUAUUUUAUGUCUAUAGAGCGGGCUAUUGCUCCUCUUAUUUCUUUUUAGUAUAUGUGUUAUUACAGUUUUUUGCCUGUAGGGAGCUACUGACCCUUUUAUCUUUGUUAUACAAAUUACCUGUCUACCAUUUUUUUGGAUCCCUAGCUUAUCCAGGUAGACGCCAUUUUGUUGGAGCCAAAAAAACAAAACAAAAACUUAAUAGGUCAUGUGACUAUGAUGUCACAAAACCGUUAUUUUCAAAAUCCUAACCCUAUUUAAGAAGCUCAGGUCCCAUUCACUUUGUAAAACACUUUUGAUAAAGCCUAUCCAAGGAGAAAAUCUUUAAGUGUAUUGUUUAUAACUUUUUUACAACUAUUUUAUUUUAUUAUAUAUUGAAUUCCUUUUAUUAUUUUUUGAAUAUUAAAGUACUUUUUUAAUUGGAAUAAUACAACACAAAAUAAUUUUCCUAACUCCCCAUCCAAGGUAGAAAAUUUGGAGUGGGGGUAAGGAAAGAAGGUCAGGAUGGUGGUACCAGCUCCACCUAAAUAUGGGCUUGAACCCCGAUAUAUGUAUGAUAUAAUAAGUAUAUUCACCGUUAAGACAAUGUUACUCAGGAAUAAGGUAUCUAAAAAGUAUAAGCAGUGAGAAUUCUAGCAUCUCUAAUAAGGCCAAGGUUAUUGGAGGACAAAAAUAAAUAUGGGUGCAAAAACAGCUUUAUUAACCUUAAAAUGUCCACAAAAUACUGAAAUAAACAGUAUAACCAAUAGCUAUUAGGACGCAAUCUAUAAGCCCCCCCCGUAGCACCUAAAUUAAAUGUGGGUAUGCUGUUAAUCCACAGUAAAGUAGGGGCUCAAUAAAAAUAAAUAUAAAGAAACCCCAAACUAAAAAGCAAAAAGAGGGGGGGUGGUAAAGGAGGAGGAGGACGGGUCACAAAAAGCAGAAUACCUUAAUCGAUGCUAGAAUUCUCACUGCUUAUACUUUUUAGAUACCUUAUUCCUGAGUAAUAUUGUCUUAACGGUGAAUAUACUUAUUAUACCAGUUUCUUGGAGGAUCCCUUAGGGGGUUAUCGCUCCUUUAGUUCAAUUUUGUUUUUUCAUACUUUUUUAAUUGGACCUGACUUUGCUACUAUUGGAUUGUUUGGAGCUAUAUCCCUGGUGGGGAUCAUAUCACCCAACCGCUUUGGAUUGAGCAAACCGGAACUUGCUCUUUAGCAUAUGAGUAGGUUUAACUUAUUUAUUUCAGCUUACACUCCUUUUUACGGUGUACACUAUUGUGGUUCUGUUUGUUUAUCUUCACAUAUACAUGAAAGGAAGAAUUUAUAUUUACACCUGUAUCCUUGAGUGGGGAUCAUACCACUUCAAGCGCUAUCAGAGGAGCCAGGUUUUACGGCUCCAUUACACAUGAGUGUACAUUUUAUAGUUUUUACCUACCCUUGUUUCAUAGCUCUACAUACUUCACCAUAUACAAUUUGUAUUUGUUUAUUUUAUGAGGAUACCCCCUACCACCCCUUUAAUAUGAAGAAUUACCUCUGCCCUUGAUCCAUAGAUGGGAAUUAUUCUACCCAGGCGCAUACACUGGAGCUGUAUUGAAUCUCCAGGAAAGUGUGAGUGCACAUCUUUUAUCUUACUUAUCACCACUACAGUUUUAAAUACUACACUAUUAUUUCUUCUCUGGUUCUCUCCACAUAUACUUUGUCAAGGACUACUGAAGCACUGCACCUACCCCCCUGUUUUUAUCCAGUUUUCUGAUCAGAAAAGAUAGACUCUGUAUUUGUGUUCAAGCUGCUUUUGGACUAUUAUCAUUUUGCUUCUGCGCUGAAUUUAUUUUGUGUGAUUGUGUAAUGGAAAGCGUUUCAGCGCUAUAGUGCGCCUUUAUCAAGAGCAUUGUAUUGAGAAGAUCCUGCCGGGUAUUUAAAUGGUAACGGUCCAUGUGGCAAACCUAGCCACUUAUAAUAUUCUGGACUAUGCACAGAAAAGGUUGCCUAUAAUAAUCCUUGUACUGUCUGGUGUAACUUGGCUGUAACGUGUAUUACUGUAUGUGUAUAUAGCAUUCGUAUGCUGGCUGCUUACCAGCGGUGGUUUGGUCGUCAAGCGCGUGGAGCCGAAAUCAUCUACUCGACGGCGAGAACCCCGCUGGACUUCCAGGCCAUUCGGGAGCUCCGAUAUUCCCCUAUUACGGUUUCCCAUCGGUGUUCGGUAGUUUCAGGUGAACUCAUAGGCAAAGUGUAUUUCGUGCGGCGUUCGGUUGUUUUAGCUGGGAUCUGAGCGGUAUUCUCACGAAAGGUGCGCUCAGACCUCAGCUAUCUACCGAACGUCCAUUCAAUAAAAUCUACCAAGUAUUGUAAAAGUUAUAGAUUUUAAUGUGAAUUGUCGGUUCUGCUGCACGGAGGGAUAAUCCACUUAACGGUACAUCCCAGUGGGAGUAUCCCUCUCGUCCAGCAGUGCCUGAUGGGAGAAAAGGUCUGAAUGUUAAGUCCCCCAUGUAGUUCCCUACUGUAUUACCUCUGCUAUGACAGUAUGGAAACCCCUUGCAUGUGGACUUGCAUAAAUACUGGAUGCUGUGAAUAAAAACCUCAGUUGACUCCCAGAACUGUGUUUCGUCCAGUUACUGGGGGAUUUGGGAUAUCGCCUUACUUUACAGCACUUGACUGUGGAUUACCUUCUUUACCAGUGGAGUUCGUGGGAAUUAAUAUUGCCGCUCCGCUACAGUCCAUCCCUCAGAUGACAUCAUACGGCCAAUCGAUGCCGCAAUAUCAGAGGGGGUGGAGAUAGCCCACAAACCGGGGGGUGGAGUGGCAGGUACUGUUCAAGCCUGCAUGUUAGAACAGAAUUAACCCUUUGGGACUUAAAAGUAAUAAAUGAGUGAUACACAUUAUACCUGGAAAUAAGCUCAAAGUAUUAAAGAAUAUUAUGAAAAGAUCAUAUUGAAAAGAUGAGCAUUGAAUAAGACUCUGGGCAUUACUAUGGAAAGACCAUACUUAAAAGUACACGGACAGCAGGACCACAAGGGUAUACUGUGCUAGGAAUAAAACACAAGUUGGUUAGAUGAUAUGUGCCUAGAAAGUCAAGUAAAAUAAUAAUUUGCACACAUCACAGUAAAUGUUAUGUGCACUUAUUGUUAAGUAGUUUAAACCCAGCAGGAUAAAUUAGAACUAAAGCAAAACAUAUCCCAAGAUGUAUACAUUUUAAUAGGCCCUGCUUUGUGAUUAAUUAUGGUGACUAGAGAUCUGAGAACAGAAGUACCAUAAUAUUUAAAUCAAUAGAAUAUGAUAUAUCAUGGUCCUGCCCAAAUACAGUGUCCAAAGGUCUUAACAGAGAAGACAUACCAUUUCAUUUGAACCAAUAAUUUACAAACUGAUCAGGUUUAGAUAGAAUAGAUAGUUAAGAAAAAUACACAAUUAAUUUAUUUUUAUUGUUAUUAUUUUGUUUUUAUUGAUGUCAGGGUCAUUUUUACCCUCACCUCUUAGUGUCUGAACUGUUAGUUAUUUGAUUAAUAAGGUGGAGGUGUGUAGAUUACAACUGCUCUUUACCCUCCUUGGGCUUCCUUUAAUUAGAUUAUUCAAUUUACCAUAAUUGGCUGGAAUCCUCAAGCAGCCACUUUUGUCUCAACAUGAAUACCCACCUCCCUUUCCCAUACUUACCUUUUCCCCUACACCUAUACUGGAUAUUGUAUUAUCCUAUGAAUACAUUGAAGGUUUUUUAAACCUAUAUCCUACCUUACUGUUCUUACUGGACUCCCAUAGAUUGUUGCAACAUUGUUCCAAUAGCUAUAUUUAUUUAUAUAUUUAUUAAAUUUACAUUGUUACAUCCAUAAGGCAUUGGAGUGUCUGCUUUUUUUUCUCAUAUUAGGGGGUUCCGAUCUUUUUUUAGCAGAUGAAAUUCUGAUAAGUCAAACUGUCUGCAAAUCAAAAACAAAUUUGGAAGCAGAAUUUUGGAAAUGUGGCAAAGAAGUUUGGCUGUAACAAAUUUUUAUGCAACGCACAAGGCUAAUUAUAACAGGUCUACUUUGAUAACAAGAUUGAAUACUAGUACUUUCCCAACUGAACGCUGUUAUUCUUCCAGGUCUACUCAAUCAUCGGAUCAGAAUUUUCUUUCUUACUUUUUCCUUCUGAACUGUGCAUUUGUCCUUAACGUCUAAAAUGGAGAAUGACUUUCCAUUAACAGAUGAUAUUCAUGCUUAAUUAAAGUUACUGUAGCAUUACUUAACAAAACCUACUGCAAAUUUAAUGCAUUUAAACUUUAAUAGUAUGUACCUUUGAAAUGAUGCAAAAUGUUAAAUGUUCUAAAUUAUAAAUGUAUUUUUUUUAAAUGUUUGCAAUUUAAAAAUUAAACAUCAUUUUAAGUAAAAGUGUGUUUAAAUAAUGAAGUGUUUUAAAAUUUAAACAUAUGUGAAUAAUAAAUCACUUUUAAUGUUUCAAAUCCGUAGCUACUUUCCGUACUAAUGUAUUCCUCUUAAGACAGGAUGGUGCGGAUAUCAACUAAACUAUGAAAUUGCCAAGGCAUAUUCAGAGGAAAUAAUUUGGUAUUUUUAAACGUAUUUCGAAGGAUGAAUUACACAUGUAGUUUGCUAGAUUUACCAUCCUCUGUAAUUUUCCAAACUGACUCUAUAUCGAUCAAGAUGAGUCCACAUUCAGAACCCUCCCAAAUCAGCUGACUAGCCCUAAAAGUAUCUAAGAUUGAAUUUCUAGAUCUAUUUUCCUCAGUUAAUAUUUGACUACUGACAGAGCAAGCAUGUCAAGCAAGAUUAAAUAAAUAAUCAUUCGGUGAUUGAUAAAUAUAUGAAUAUUUUUCUCUGUAUGGUAUUUGGAAAGUUUCCACAUUGAUUUUUUUUGCAAACAAUGAAUUGUUCUGGGCCAGAUGUACACAGAGUCCAUAUUUAUUCCUGAAUUGCCUUUAGUAAAUAUCAAUUUGCAUUUCCAGGGAUUUUGGUAAUCUAGACUGUAUGUGUAUGUGACCAAAUCCCUUUCUGGAUGGUAUUGCACACACCUAGAUUUAAUAUAAAUAUUUUAUUAAGUGGAAAAUGUGAAGAUAGAGUCAUAGCUAAUGUUUUAAAAUGACUCAAUGAUGUGUGGUAAAAACAACACCCGCUGUGUAUCAGAUCCUGUGAAAAUAGGAACCAGUCAAUGAUAUUGUCAAAGAAAGAGGAGACACAAACAUACAGCAGAGGGAGGAUUUAUCUGAAUGAUAUUAAUCACGUCUGAGUUGAGAAAAGUUUGCAUAACCCAUGGGUUUGCAUUUGUUAAAAUAUACAUUAUAUAUAUGUUUUAUUCACCCAUGAUGUGUGAAGCAAGCAUGUAGUUCUCUCAAAUCAGCCUCAAGCCCCUUGUCCAAAUAAUUUUUCAGACAGGUAUACUUCGAAGAUCUUUCAUAUUCAACAAUAUGAAUAAAUCAUUUUUUUAGUGAAUUGAGAGGAAGUGAUAUUCUUUUAGUGUUUUUAAUAAGAACACUCUCAGUGUAUCUAUGUACACAUACUGGCCAUGUUAUCAGCAGAAAUCUGAUGAAUUGAGCGAGUUGCCGAAGUAGAUUGCAGGUUAGAAGUAGCAUUAAAGUGACACAAUACUCAGAGGUGAAGUAAAUCAAUGAAAUAUAUAUUCUGUAAAUGUAUAUUGAAACAUGUGAACUAUAUAACUUACAGAAUAAAAGUAUAUAUUAUUUGUUAAGGAUCUAAACACAAAUUAUUCCAAUGAACAGCCUCAUAAAAUAUUAAAUACUUUCACUAUUUGGUUUAACAUCUUCUUGCAAACUUGGAUUACAGUUUUUAUAUGACAAUAAUUCAUUUUUAUAAGCAUCUUCUUUUGACUUUUAUUUUUAUUCAAUCCAAUGAUCAACUCAUUAUACUCUCCACAAAAAGGACCCACACAUGAUCAUUAAGUCAUCAAUUAUAUUUGCUGCUAUAAAAAUGUGUCCUUGAGCUUUGUUGACCAUUGAUUAUCACUUAGCAUUUUGUAUGUACAAUGAAUUAUGAAGCAAAACCUGUUUGUCUUCUUAAUCCAUUUGCAAAACCUGUACUUUUGCCAAAACUUUCCUUGGAACAAAUUAUGUUAGUGUGUUGUGUCAUCUUAUUGCGCUUGCCAAAAAUGUACAGAAUCAGAACAUGAAAUGCAGCUGCAGCCUGUUUAAAACAUAUGCACUUGGAUAGGCUAAACCUUAUUGACACAUGCUAUCUGUUAACCUUAUUAAUAACGUAGCACUGUAUUUAACCCAUUCACUACUCGUGUGUUUGUAAAAAAAAGUUGAGUUGCAGAUUUUUUUAAAGAUAGAUACGUUGUUCUAAUUGAAAGCAUAUUGCAGUGAAAAGGCUUACAAUUGUUUUUUAUUUUGCAAAGUAUUAUAUUUUAGGUAAUUAUUUUAAUUAGUUGUAUAUGUAAUUAAUGUUUGUGGGACUCCUGGGGAAAUAUUGGAUAACAGAUUUCUGCUUUCUUUUUUCAACGUCCAAUUCAAGCUGAAAGGACAUACAUUCCAAUUAAAGAGUUUGAACAUAUUAUUGGCUAGGAAUAAUCAAACAUCACCUCAAGAAGGAUGAGUCAUUAUUAAGUGUGAAUCAGCUAAUUCUGCCUUCACAUACAAAUCAAUCCCCUUUGUGACAGUUCUUAUUUAUUAUUUAUUUCCAUGAUUUCCAUUUUUUGGCAUGUCAAAGUAAAAGGAAAACACAUUUUAUCAUACACAGAACAAUAUGGUUGAUCUAGAUGAAAACUCUCUAAUUUCUUAAUUACAGUAUAAAUGCCAUAGCAAAUAUUUUAUGAUAUGUAUGUGUGGUCAAACAAACGCCACACCUGACUACUUGUAUCAGUUCUCUUUUCUGACAGACAGUAAGGCACAACAAUAAGAUGUUCUAUUACAACAUUAUUAUUGCAAUUGUAGACAGCACUUGACAUUAAAAAAAAUAUACCGUAUGUCACCAAUCUUAUUGAAUAGGAAACCAAGAGGGCCACACACACCUGAACACACUUAUAAUGGUGCUGCUGUGGCCAAUUCAUACAUUGUACAAGAUGCAGCACACUCACCCAUUCAAAAACAAAUUAAGUGUGGGGCAGGAUCUGAUUAUCAUGGCAACUGGACGCGUUUUUAGAGAGCUCCUCGAGGCACACAAAGAAAGUCCAUUUUCUAGCUAUUUUAAUAAUAUUUUCACGGAGUGCAACAAAUUCUAUGCUAUACACCAACUGAGAGAUCUGGGAGCACUUCCCAUGGUCUUUACAGUCAUCCCAGAUGGCAAUUACCAGUGAGGGCGAGCAGGUGCUGAGAAAGGGAGAGGCGGACAGUUUCCUGAACAGAUAAAAGCAGAGCUCUGAACAUGGUUCUGACACCCUCCUCCCCAUUGGACCGGUGGGGGUGACCCCAGUCGCUACCAUGAUGGCUCCCAAGUUUCAUUAAGGAACUUGGCAGUGUCGCAGAAGCAAGCAAUACUGUUGAAGGUACAUCUAAUAUGGUAGACACCACAAGUAACACACUUCUUGGAGAAAAGAGGUCCACUAUUCUCCCACAUUUAGAGGCACCCUUCGAUGCAUUCUGGAGGAAGCUGAGGAACAAACAGACCUUACCUGGGAUGGCAGAAGUUCCUUCUAAACCAUCUCAAUGCAUCCCAAACUGUCCUGCAGCUCUCACCAAGUGCACAACACGCCUGAGGCGGCAGAGGCCAAACUGGUGCUCACAAGGAAGGCAGUAUAUCUGCAAACAUUGACGCUGUGAGACAUGUUUAAUUAGCCUGGUUUAUGUCAUAAUAUAAAAUUAUGUAGAAUUUACGUAUGCUAUGUUCCUGUUUUUUACAUUUUAUGUUGUCAUACUUGCUAAAGCUGUGGUGGCACUGCAUGCUUGACUGUGUUUAAACCCAUGCACAAAAAAAAAAAAUAUAUAUAAUAAACAUCUAAUGUAGUCGCAAAUAAUUUUGGCAAGUCCUUUAACCAAUUAUACUGCAGCAUCUGUUUUUAGGAUUAACAUUUUAUGUGACUAAAGAAUAUUUAACAACUCCUUACUACUAUAUCUUUGAAGUGCACUUUCAGUUUAGAGAAGAGCUCUAGAGCAGUCAGUUUUCUCCGAUUCAGAUGCUCAGCAUGAUUUUUUGGAAUUGAAUUGUUGGCAGUGGUUAGUUUUGACUUUAUGAGCUAUUCUUUUAUAAAUAUCCUUGCUGGUGGGAAUCUGAAACCUGCUCAUCUAUUACAGUUCACUUAAACUAGAUUCUGCUGCUGACUUGUUACAGAUGUUGUGCAGGAAAGUCGUAAUAUUGAACAUUUACAAAGAUAAGCACAUUAUCAUAAUAAAAUAUGGAAAAUGUGCUUAAAUAAAAAAAUAUGGCUGAAGAUUUUUCUUUAAGCUAUUACCAUAAGCAAAUUGCUCAGAAUGUUGUAAAAGUAACAUCUAUUGUUGAUGAAUUGAAUACAAUAUAGUAAUAUCACAGCUAAAUCCAAAGGCUACUACUCCUUACUAAUUAUUCUUGACCUCUCUGCUGCCUUUUACACCGUUGAUCAUGCUCUCCUUCUUCAAUUUCUUCAAUCGCUCAGUCUCUGUGACCCUAUCCUAUCAUUGGUUUUCCUCUAACCUCUCCCAAUGUUCAUUCAGUGUCUCCUUUUCUAAUGAAACCUCAUCCCCUCGUCCUGUCUCGGUUGUAGUCCCCCAAUGCUCUGUCUUUGGUCCCCUUCUAUUUUCUCUUUAUACUGCCUCUCUUUGCAAACUUAUCUCAUUUGGAUUCCACUACCACUUGUACGCUGAUGACACCCAGAUAUAUCUCUCCUCCCCUGACCUCUCCCCUGCCGUCUUGCAACAUGUCACUGCUUCCCUUUCUUCCAUCUCUGACUGAAUGUCCUCCCGCUUUCUGAAACUCAAUCUCUCUAAAACGGAGCUCCUUGUCUUUCCUCCUCCUAAUACUGAUCCUACUCUUUCACUCUCCCUUCAAGUUAGUGGUAUCCACAUAAGUCCAUCCUUACAAGCGCACUGUCUUGGCAUCAUACUUGAUUAUGGCCUUAACUUUGAGCCUCAAAUCCAGUAUAUUGCCAAAUCCUGUAGAUUCCAUCUUAAAAACAUAGCCCGCAUCCACCUCUUUCUUACGCAAGAUGCUACCAAGGAGCUUGUCCAUGCUCUAGUAAAUUCCUGCAUGGAUUAUUGUAACCCUCUCCUAAUUGGGCUCUCUGCUCUGCCUUCUCCUGUCCAUUGCUCGCAACUGUACAGCUAACUCGCGCUUGCAGGACUUCUCGCGGGCAGCUCCCUUCCUAUGGAAUAGCCUUCCUACCACCAUCAGACUCUCCUCUAGUCUUCAAUCAUUUUAAGAAGUGCCUUAAAAACCAUCUCUUUAGGACAGCUUAUGGCCUCCCAGAGUAACCCCUACAUCACAUACCUGUCUCUUGCUCUCUCCUAAAGGGCAGCACUUUACUCUCUCCUCCAGCUCUGCUUCACCCCCACCUUAUUUGAUUGCUAUUUCAUGUCCUAAUGUAUUUUGUACAUUCUAAUUAAUCAGUUUGUGACAUUUCUCAUGAUACGGCCUUAAAGCAGACCUGAACUAAAAUACAGAGAAACACGUUUGGCAUCUAAUACAUUAUAUAUCUGUAAUUUUUUUCCAAUUCCCUAUAUCUGGAUAAGAGAUGUAGAAGGAGACCACUAUCUUGCUCAUGAAUCCGCGUAGGACCACUUUGUAAUGUUGGUGAUUCCUGACUUUACCUGAGGUCCAGUUGCCAAAUUCCAUACUUUACAAGGUAUUUUCAUUUACCAGUAUGUAUGUGUAGUGGGGCUCUAUGCACAUAGGCAUUUUAUUUAUUUAUUUAAUUUUACAGCAAUGGAUUAAACAUAAGAAAGCAGAUGUAACUAGUGGCUAGUAAAAUGGGACAGUUGCAAAAUACAUUGUAAUCAAGGACAAGUCUAUAAAACAUAAGAUUGCAGUAUCAUUUUGUCUUAAUCCCUUUCAAAAUGUGCCACAACAAAUAUUUCUUGCUGUGUCUUUCUUUUCUUUGAACUCCUUUGCACAUAUCACUACAAUUCUUAAGGUCUUCUUCUGUUGUCCAGAAACAGAUAUUGACAUGAUACUUAAAUACUAUUCUCAGUAGACUCAACAGACUCAAGUAGAGUGCAUUACUAUAUUGGAGCUGUAUCAUAGUUAUAGUAGUUUUUCCAUAUUUGAGAGUAUAUAGAGUAAUUAUUCAAAAAUACAUACACUGUGAAAGAAUGCACAUAGUAGCUCAGGAAGUAUUCAUAUGUAAUAAAACCACAUGGAAGGAUGCAAGCAAAAAAAAUAACUAGGGACAGACCUCCUUAGGUUUCUUUAAUCUAAACAUCUUGUGACCAUACACGCAUGUUGUGCUUCCUUCCUCCAAAUCACUCUUCUGGCACCAUUUAUUUUAUGUAGUUAUUCAGAAAGCAUCUUACGUGAUAAAUUUAAUGAGCCACUGUACUUACUGAAACAGGCUAAGUGAAAUGUUCUUGGGCCUACGGGAAGAGAGGUCUUAUGUAUUAAUGUCUUAUUAAUGUUUACUUACUUAUGCAUUCAGAGAGGCUUCCAUAAAUUGAUCAUUAUAGUAUUGACUUCUAAUCAACAAUUACACACAAUAAGUAUACUUAGUGAGAUACUUUGAUUAUAUAUACAAAUCACCAUUCUUAAUUACACUACUUUUAUUGCAAAUGUAAUUUUCAGAGGCAGACAUAGACAGUAACAGAGGUAGACAGUAAAACGGGUGAUCAAAGAGACAGAUUUGUGAUGGAGAAACAGACAUGGGGGUGGAUGAAUCUAUUUUGUGCAUGCUAGGAUGUCUACAUAUUUUUGGGGUGUGUUUUAUGAAACUAUUUUAAAAUGUUUACUUUUAGUUUUUUCAUGGAUACAUAUUUUUAAUAGAAAUUGAUUUAUAUUCACUGAAAAAUAGUAAUAUAUUGAACAGGUUCUAGCAAAUCUAUAGUGUAAAGUUUUUGACUGAAGAUAUAAAUUAAUGUGUCAUGUACAUUAUUUUCCUUUGUAUUGUAAAUUUUUUUCAUUGUAUUUUUUCCUAUACAUUUAAAUGUAUUUACUGUACAAUUUCAAAACUCAAAAAGAUAUGAAUGUUAAAAGAAAAAAUAGAAAUAUAUUCUAUAAAUUCUUAAUUAUAAUAAAGUUUCCCAUUAAUCAGGUUUUGGUUUGCGAUACCCUUAUUUUUCUUUGCACAAACUCUUGGAAUCACAAUUCUUCAUGGAGCUGCAGGUGUGCAAAAACCUAGUAUUGAAGGACUAAAGAUGUUUUGGAAAUGUAUUUAUUUGUAAGAAAGAAAAGACAUUACAAAGAAAGAAAUUAAAUCUUUGGGCUUCAGUCCACUUGGAUAAUGACUUCCUGUACUUAAUGAAAAUGUCUGCUUUUUAUUUCUCCGCAGUGUGCUUUCCCGGCAGAGAACAAAAGGCAGGAAUAAGAAGUCACUUCUUUUAGGAAAAAAUUAGGAAAUAAAAACAUAAAAAUAUGAUUGGUUCCUUGAUAUUUUCUAUGUGUUUUGACAGUUUUGAAAACAAAUGUUAAGUGUAAAUUAAACAGAAUACCUUGCUCUCCUUUCCGUUUUCAUUUGUUUUAAAUAUAUUAUACCUACUUCUCUUUUAAAAAAUGGCAUAUUAAUGUAACAAUCAUGUCAGCAUCUCCAUAAUAGGUUAUUGUGGGACAAAUUGUUACUUAUCUUUACUUUUUUAACACCAAGUUUUUUUUUUAUUGUUUCCAUAAUCUCGUAGUGUGCUUAGUGAUGCAUUUUUUAGGGAAAGAUGGCAUUUAUGUCCCAUAGGUGUACUCACGAAUUGUAUUAUUUAUGAAUGUAGAUAUCUUUGUUUUCACUUCAAGGAUCCUCUCAGGAGAAAUGGUGUUUUAUUUUUAUUUUUGUAUAUUCUUCAACAUUUUGUUUUAUACUGAAGGCAAGCUUAUAUACACAGCUUCCUUGGUAGACUUGUGCAGAAAAAAGAAUAUAGUAAAGAUAUUUCAAAGUAUCACCUGUCCCAGAUUAUUAAUUUUCCAGUGAACAUAAAGAAUACUGUGUGAGAAACUCAUUAUACCAAGCAUCAAGGAGAAUUAGAUUAUCAAAUUAUGUUGAUAAACAUAUUACAAUGAAUGAAUCAUGUUAAUAAUUUAUUAUGGGGAUAUCACAUUUAUUUGGCAUCAUACAGGAUAAAUAAUAGCAUUAUUUUAGACAAGGAUAAAGGAUGGAAUCAUGGGCUUUAAAAAUCAUAGUUACCAAAUGAGUUCAGCAAUCUCAAUUUCUUAAAUAUUCUGGACACCCAAUUGCUUGGACACUGUCUUAUAAAAUAAAGAUUUUUACUUCUUAAAAUAUAGAAAUAAUCUUCUACAUUUAUUUUUUAGAACUUGUUUUGUGCAUAUUUGGAUUGGGAUAGUAUCCCACAGUGUUGUAUUGUUUGACUCUCUAGAGAUUGCCUACUUUCUUCAGCAUUCAAUACUGAAACAACAUAGUUUUCUGUGCCUGUUCUUGUUGGUUAAAAUAGCUAUCAGAGUUUAAGCCCUUAGUGACCGCGGAUGUACCAAGUACAUCCACCAAAAAAUGGUCGUUAAUGACCUCAGACAUACCUGGUACUUCCACUGCAAAUUUGAGCGCUGGAAGCUUGAACGAUAUUGCAGCGAUGCCUGUUGAGGCAUCCUGCAAUACCUCCCCUGAUUGCCGGGCUGCCAGGUGAUCGCUUCCCUGGCACCCGUCAGUGGCGCCCAUCUGUGUAGCAGAGCAUCGGAAGCCAAAAAAAAAAAAAAGUUAAAAAAAUAGGUAAUAACCCCUACCCCAGGACUUCGGACAUACCUAGUAGGUCCAAGGUAUUCCUAAUUACUUACAUGAUCACCACCAUUCCCCCGCCGGCGAUAGGUCUUCCUCUCCAUCUGGGGGGACUGUCUGACAGAGCAGUCCCAUGGCCACAAUAGGUGUCCAUAGUGUUGCCUGCAAAGGGACUGCCUGAACUGACAGGCAGUCGCCCUGCUGGUGAAAAAAAGUUUUUAAGAAAGUAAAAAAAUAAAAUAAAAAUAAAGUUAUUAUAUAUGUAAUACUAAUAUAUAUAUAUAUAUAUAUAUAUAUGUAUAUGUGUGUGUGUGUGUGUGUGUGUGUGUGUGUGUGUGUGUGUGUGUGUGUAUAUAUAUAUAUAUAUAUAGAAACUGGCUUGCACUCACGGUUUUUUGAAGUUAAAACGAUAUCAUUUAUUGCAAAUUCAUAAAAACUCCGGUCAAUGUUUCAGCCCCCUUCUCUGGCUUUCCUCAGGAUCAUACAGGUAUUGCAAGCCAGUUUCUAUAUAUCUUAUAUUUUUUGGCACUGGGCUAUUGCACCCGGUAAUAUUAAUUUUGGCGUGUGAGUGCAAGGACUAAUAAGUUUCGAAAGUCAUAAUAUUAAAGUAUCACAAGAAAUCACCAUAUUAAUCUCCCUCUGUGCCAAUUAUUUAUUGUGCUAGAUGUCAAAAACUCACUGCCUUUACAAGAUGAUAACGUUGAGAGGCAUUCAGAAAUGCAGGUAUUGAAUACUUAAAAUCAUAUCAGAACUGUUGUUACCACAGAGCAAAUGGGGCAAUUUCCCUGGAAUGCAGAACAUAGGGUUCAUGGUAGUUGCCACUUGAGCCAUUUAUUCCAGGGCGGUGAGACAUAUGGCAUAGGCAAUAUAUGGCCCUUAGAUCACAUGAAUAUGGCCAUCAGCUUAAACAAUGGUGGGUUAGCCAGCCAGGGGAUGGGGGAGGUUAAAAAAAAAGUCCACAACUGACCAGUAUAUUGGCAACUCUUUAUUUAUAAUAUUUUUAAGUACAAUUUAGAGUUGAGAACUUGUCCAUCCUUAUUGAAAGCACACAUACUGAUGAAUACACAGAAUGAAUCUGCUGUGAAUGCAGAUGACUACAUCAAUCUGUUGCAUUAUUUUUAGUUGAACACUAUAGUGUUAGGAACACAAAUGGGUAUUCAUAAUGCUAAAGUGCCCAAGUCACUGUUUGAAUGACUGAGCUACACUACCAGGGUUGAAAAGGUGAAUUUAUUUACCUUUGCUUGCUUGUAGCACUAUCUCUGGUGUUCCGCUAUGUCUCGUUCGCUGGAAUCAUCUAGAUUGAUGAUCUUAACCAAUCCAAAGCUUUCUAAUAAGACGACUGGUGCCCAUGUGUGGCAAAACAGCAUUCUGCACCAAUCAGAUGGUCUCUCUAUCACAAGAAAUUACAGCUAUGCUUGUUUAAGCAAAUUUAAUAUACUGUUGGUGUGCUUAGAUUGUUAUAACUUAAAAUACUAAGCACACUUAAUAAAUUAUGAUGUGUUCUAAAUAGACAUCAGCGUGGUGCAAGUACACAGAGUUAGCGCUAUAAUGAGUGAGAUAAGCUUAAUGGAGCUUUGGCCAAAUUUUAAAAAAAGGUCUAAUUUCUUUACCAACUUUGCAUCAUUCUCAGGUCCAGUAUGACAGUUUCAUUUUUGGACACUUUUUUUUUUAUCUUUGUUUUUUUCUUCUAUUUAGAGAGUCCCAGAAAUCUAAUAAGUGUGCCAUUUCAAAACGUCAGCCCAGGUGAGACUGUUUUAAUUCUUUCUAGAGAGUUUUCUAUUACUCUUGUAUUCUUACUUUACCAAUUACCUACCUUCACCUCAUGCCUACUCCUUUUACAGAGUAGACUGAUGUACUGGACUAUUGUCUGGCAAAAUGAUUACUGAAUUAAAAACUCUUAGAAAGACCAUUAAUGUAGACUGUGAAAAGUAUUAACCAUUAUUUUCUCAUUUAGAAUUUUUAUUUUGUAUAGAGCUUUUAAUCAAGGACUGCCUUGCCGAUAAUUGAGUUCAAGUAAAUGUUUCACAUUACAAACAUGCACACAGAAUCCCAGAAACAGGUUCCUGAACUGUUUCUUUAGAAAAUCUCUUUAUAUAUACUAUAUAUACUAUUUUAUACAGAUAAGAACAACACAAGUUGUUAAAAGCAUUCAAAAUCUGCAUACUUUUUGUGUAAAUAUAAAAAAAAAAAUUCUUUUGAGGCAUAAUCUUUCACUGUAAGUAAAGAUUUGUGAAGUAAAUAGGUUUAUUAUGAACUAUCAGCCACAUGUGAUUCCUGGCUCUCAGCUCAAGUGACUACAGCCUUGCCUCAAGGUCUUCCCUUGUCAUGUACACACAUUCCAUUAUCCAACACAUUUCACAUACAGUUACCCAUUUUACAGCGAGUCAACACUAAUAUAUUAACCCCAGCAUAGCACUUCAGUGACUCUUCAACUUGUUAACCCUAAAUAUAUAGACACAGAAACGUUAAAUAACCACAGCUUCCCAAUCCUUCCAAAUUUUACUUAGCUUUUCCUAUGUGGUUCUCCAAACCUAUUUGUUUGUUGUUUUAACUAAAAUUACUUUGUGCUUGUAAGAUUUACGAAUCGCAAAAACUAUUUUUUUGCUAUAAGUGUACAUCUGUCAUUUAUUAAGUAAAAAUUAAUUCUGCAGCGCUCUGUAAGCUAAAGAAUGGUGAAAACAGCUGUACAGAGUCAAUAUAGAAAAGCCAAUAAAAAAAGCCACUGAAGGGGUUAAAAAGCCCACUGUCAAGUUACCUGUUUGAUAAUGUGGACCAUAAUUUGUUUAGUGCUUUUAUUUAAGUCUUCUCGCUCAGACAAUAUGACCAAUAUUAAGUUAUGCUAAAAUAAUAAUAAUAAAAAAUAAAAUGUGGAAAAUACCCAGGUGUUCUUCUGUGCACUUUGUCAAAAUAACUGCUGACAAUAUUCAGCUGGAGGUAAUGACAUUUGUUUCUGAGAAUGUAGUUCGAAUAUUCAAUCUCUAUUAUCUAUUUCUCAUGACAACUUAAAAUGCAUGCUGUAAAAUGUGCACUUGAAUGUCUAUUUUUGACUUGUAAAAAUGCAUAUGUAUCUAAAUUGAGUAAUAUACAUAACAAACCUGAUUUAACUAACAUUUUACCUUUUAACCUUAAUAGUAAUAUUAGCAUUUCCAUUUGGCUUGCUAGGGCUUCUAUUUAUGUAAUCACAAUUUAAAAAAAAAACAUUAUUGUGAAAACAUGUUAUUAAAGCACUAAAACAAAAUGUUCUGGUCUGCCUUUCUCUGUAAAUGUAAAAUUACAGUUGGAUGUUGGAUGCAGGUCUGAGCCAGGCUUGAGCCAACAGCCCAGUUUAAUAUAUCUCAUGUUAUUCAUUUAUAUGACAAGCAAUAAUGAAUGGGACUUAUUUUCCCAAUGUUGUAUGCCAGUUAUAAUAUGCUGUCUAGAAUGCAAAACUGCUGUUAUGAUUUACUACAUGGAAAAGACAUGCUAAAUAUAAUUUUGUGAAUGAGCAUAGACUUAAUUUCUGACGUGACUUCUAUCAGGGUUAUUCAGAUUGCAAAUGUUCAUACUAUUCAACAACGUCUUUAUUUUGUAAUUCAGGAAACCAAAUGGGCCUGACUUUGGUCGAAUUUUCAGCUGGACUAAAUGCCGGUGGAUUGCUAAAAUCCAAACUGAAUGCUGGAAAUCCAAGCCCAAAAACUUCAAAUCCGGGUCCAAAUAAAAAUAAAAAAAAUCCAAACCAGCAGGAAAAUAGUUAAGAACCUUUUCUUGCACAAGGGUUAAGUACGUGGUGGCUGGCCAGAACUUUUUAGCCAGCCACCACAUUACAAAUAUAAAAAUAAUAAUACACAAAAAAAUAGAACAAAAAAGCGCAAUAUAAAAUAAAAUCGUCUGUAUGACACCAAAUAUUACAAGUCCUAAGAUUAAAUUUUUGUAGCUGCCAGAUAUAAAAGGUUAUUCCGCAAACCUAUGUGAUAAAAUUGGAUAAAAAUAAUAAUAAUAAUAAUUUGGUAAUAAAUCUAUGAAGGUCAAUAAGAUGUUACCUCUGUGUUACUAUAAUGGAGGGCAGCCAUUUCUAUCUAGUUUCUAUGGGGACUGGGAAAUAACAGGGGCAGUGCAUAUGUUAAGCAUUUUUAACAUAUUAUUUAUUUGAUUUUGAUUUAAUGGUUGUCCCCUAACCUGUGACCGUGAGGUGGGGGACUUCUAAAAGUGUAAUGGGGUGUGGAGAGAUCACUGUCCACCCUCUGUCCGCACCGGUGGCCAGUGGGUGGGGAUCGUUUAUAUUCAUUUAUAUUCAUUGUCCUUAGGUGAGGAGACCUUACCACAUGGGUCCUUACUAGUGACUGGAAGGCAAAGACUUCCCAGUCUCCAGUUUCAAAUAUUUAGUAGACAUGCCCCCACCUGCCACAAAAAAUAUUAUUUACCCCUUGAAUUUUUAAAUAUGUAUUUACAUUUUUACACCUUUUUGCUUAAGCUAAUUCUGGUCGUAUGAAAAAUUCCAACCAGAUUCCAUCCAAAUAAAAUGGUAAUUAACCAUUCAAAUAUGGUCCACAUUCAGCCAAUAUUUGGAUUGUGAGCAGCUGGUUGCAUAUUUUAAGCAUUUUUAUUAUUCUUUUUUUAUUAUUCAUUUGAUCUCUUUCUAUAUUUUAUUAAAUGCCUGUCCAUAUGCCAUGGUCAGAACCCCAAAUCAUAAAACAAAUGAGCAGGCUUAUCCAUUUUCAUUGUUUCUGUCAUGGGUGGCAGUAUGGAAACCUGGGACCCCUGAGUGCCUGAUGAGAAGUUGAGUCUUCAGCGUGGAAGUGGAUUUAUCAGGGCCUGGUGCAGGGCAACCACAUGCCCCCUGGUGUUGAGCACCAGCGUUUGUGCGGCCACAUACCAGGUCCCUGAUACAGCUUAGCGGAACAAGGAGCUUGGAAAUAGAUUAUAUGCAGACCUCCCAGGAACUAGAUAUGGAGACUCUGCAGCAGACAUGUAUCCAGUACAGAAACUGGGCAAGGCUAGGAUAGUCACCAAACAUGAAAACAAGACAGAACUAAUAGAACCCAGAACCAGAGAAGGAUAGGAAGCUAAACCCAGAAUAUGUACACAAUACAUGGGCAGGACUGGACAGGACUGUACAUGGAAUGGGAAUACAAACUAAAACAAGACAAGAUAUGAAUGGCAAAACAGGAGGAGAAUUAACUAAGUACUAUAUAUGAAAAUCAUGGGGAUUUAGUCACAUUAUAUGAUCAUACAUUGCAUAAGCCUGCCAACAACGCCAAUGUACCCCAUAUCUGGCAGGUCCAACUCUGCCUAAUGCAAGCUAAACCAACCAAAGAAAACACAUAUAGUACUUACCUGCAAGAAAGGGCAGAAGACUUGAGCAGCUGCCUUCAGGAACACAAACAAAAGGAAUGAUGGAAAACAAACGGGUGUGGCAACAUAAAACAAACAUUUAAAUGAAUCCAAGAGACUGGGAAUUCCAGGGACGGAUUACAGGAAUGAACCCAGAAAAACCCAGCAUAAAGAAAACCAGACAUAGAAUAGAAAACCAAAAAAAUAAGAAAAACUAAACAAGAACUGUAAAAAGAGUACUGGAUACCAGAAGCCAUCAUCAGACUGAUCCACAGAACAUGGCAUGAUGUGACAUUUUCAUGUUUUCAUCAUAUGGUGAGUCAGAAUUACAGAAUUAGAACAACCUGCAGAUUGGCCAAAAUUCAGACUAAUUGAUUUCAAACCAAAAUGAGCCGGUCUAUUUAUCAGGGAUAAGGUAAUUGUCUAACAAGGACUUUAUUGUUAUUGAUGCAUGAAAUAUCCCUAGCCUACAGCAGUUCUUGAAAAGUCUGUGGCGCAAACCAUCUUAAAUAGUGUAUUUUAAUAUGUUACAUAGUUACAUAGCUGAAAAGAGGCUUGCGUCCAUCAAGUUCAGCCUUCCUUACAUUUGUUUUUUGCUGUUGAUCCAAAAGAAGGCAAAAAACCCAGUUUGAAGCACAAUUUUGCAACAAGCUAGGAAAAAAAUUCCUUCUUGACCCCAGAAUAGCAGUCAGAUUUAUCCUUGGAUCAAGCAGUUAUUACCCUACAUUGAAAGAUUAUAUCCUUGAAUUUUCUGUUUUUGCAAGUAUGCAUCUAGUAGCUGUUUGAACAUCUGUAUGGACUAUGAUAAAACCACUUCUUCAGGCAGAGAAUUCCACAUCCUGAUUGUUCUUACAGUAAAAAACCUUUCCUUUGCCUUAGACGAAAUCUUCUUUCUUCCAGUAUAAACGCAUGACCUCGUGUCCUAUGUAAAGUCCAGUUUGUGAAUAGAUGGUUUGUAUUGGCCCCGAAUACAUUUGUAUAAUGUUAUCAUAUCCCCUCUCAGGUGAUGUUUUUCUAAACUAAAUAGGUUUAAAUUUGUUAACCUUUCUUCAUAGCUGAUAUGUUCCAUUCCUUUUAUUAAUUUUGUAGCCCGCCUCUGCACUUUUUCUCUUUAGAACAGGUGCCCAAAAUUGACAGCAUAUUCAAUAUGUGGUCUUACCAGUGAUUUAUAAAGAGGCAAAAUGAUAUUCUCGUCCCGAGAAUGAAUGCCCUUUUUCAUGCAUGACAAUACCUUACUGGCCUUAGCCACUGCUGAUUGACAUUGCACAUUGUUGCAUAGUUUGUUGUCUAUAACAAUUCCCAAGUCCUUUUGGUGUGUUGUUAUCCCUAAUUCACUUCCAUUAAUGGUAUACAUUGCUUGUGUAUUCUUUACGCCGAAGUGCAUAACUUUGCAUUUUUCAACAUUAAAUUUCAUCUGCCAUUUGAGUGCCCAGUCCCCCAGUCUAUCUAAAUCCUUCUGCAGCAAAGUAGUAUCUUGCUCGCAUUGUAUUAUUUUACAGUUUUGUGUCAUCUGCAAACACUGAAACAUGACUUUCAAUGCUGUCUUCAAGAUAAUUUAUAAACAUGUUAAAUAGGAGUCCCAGAACAGACCCCUGAGGGACACCACUUGCCACCUCUGUCCAGCUUGAAAAUUUACCAUUAAUGACAACUCCUUGUACUCUGUUUUUAAGACAAUGUUCUACCCAAGAACAAGCAUUUUCAUCUAGACUGAUUUCCUUGAGUUUGAACACUAAUCUAUUGUGUGGAACUGUAUCAAAUGCCUUGGCAAAUAGAUGACAUCCACUGCAACACCCUGAUCUUACUUACUUCUUCGUAGAACGCAAUCAAGUUAGUUUGACAUGACCUGUGCUUCAUAAAACCGUGCUGAUUUUUGCUGAUAACCAUGUUCUUCACAAGGAAUUCUUGAAUAUUAUCCCUUAAUAACCUUUCAAAUAUUUUCCCAGCCACAGAAGUUAAGCUCACAGGUCCAUAAUUUACAGGCAAGGAUUUUGAACCCUUUUUGAAUUUAGGAACCACAUCUGCCUUCCUCCAAUCCUCUGGAACUCUUCCUGAAAGAAAAGAAUCUUGAAAGAUUAAAAACAGAGGUUCAUUUAUUUCUUCACUUAGUUCCUUAAGUACUCAAGGAUGGAUACCGUCAGGCCCUGGAGCUUUGUUUAUAUUAACUUUCUUUAGUUGCUGCAGCACCUUGUCUUGAGUUAACCAAUUACAAUUAUUCUACAAGUUUUUAGUAGCAAUCAUUUGCACAUCUAUUGCCAUGGGUUCUUCCUUGAUAUAUACAGAGGAGAAAUAGUUAUUUAAAAUUCCUGCCUUUUCCUGGUCUUCAUUAACUAACACCCCAGUUUCAGUUUUUAGUGUACCUACACUUUCAUUUUUGUUUUUUUUAGAAUUUAUGUACUUAAAAAAUGCUUUGGGGUUGGUUUUGCAUACUUUAGCUAUCAUUGUUUCAUUUUGAAGUUUAGCAAAUCUAAUUGCGUUUUUGCAUGCAUUAUUUGCUUCCUUAUAUCUUUUAUAAGAUGCAUCUGAUUUGUCCGAUUUAAAUGCUUUAAAUGCCCUUUUCUUAUUUUUAAACUCUUGUUUUACUUCUCUACUAAGCCACAUUGGUUUUAAUUUGUUUCUUUUAUAUUUAUUUCCCAAUAGUACAUACUGAGAAAUGUACCUUUGUAAUAUUUGUUGGAAGAUGAUCCAUUUAUCCUCAGUGGUCUUUUCAGUAAAGAGUUUAUGCCAGUCAAUAUAUUGUAAAACUGCCCUUAACUUAUUGAAAUUGGCCUUUUAAAAAUUAUAAGUUUUAGUAUACCCCAUGUGCUCUUGUUUUUUUGAGUUUAUUUCAAAGGACACUAUAUUGUGAUCACUAUUUCCCAAGUGCUCACCAACUUGAAUGUUGGUCAAAAGAUCAACGUUGUUUGUUAAAACCAGGUCCAGACAAGCGUCCAUUCUAGUUGGUGCUUGUACAAGUUGUGACAUGAAUGUGUCAUUUAACAAGUUUAAAAACCUAAUUCCCUUUGCUGAGCUCCUAGUCUCUCUGUCCCAAUUUAUGUCCAGGUAAUUAAAAUCACCAAUAAUUAAAGUGUUACCCAGAUUUGCAGCUUUCUCAAUUUGCUCCAACAGCUGUUGUUCCUCGUCAAUAUUAACAUUAGGUGGUUUAUAACAUAUUCCAACCAAUAGUUGGUUUCCCUUCUUUUCCCCCAAGCAGAUAUUUACCCAUAAAGCUUCCACAUUUUCCUCAUCGCAUUUCACUAACUUAAGAUUUGGCUUUAAAUCAUGGUUGACAUACAAACAUACCCCACCACCCUUCUUGUUUUUCCUAUCCUUCCUAAAUAACAUGUACCCAUUUAAGUUAACUGCCCAGUCAUGUGUCUCAUCCCACCAUGUUUCAGUUAUGCCUAUUAUAUUGUAUUGCUACUGCCUCUAGUUCCCCCAUUUUGUUAUUUAGGCUUCUUUCAUUAGUAAGCAUACAUUUAAUAUCAUGAAUCACUUGUACUUUUUGUGAAUUAUCAACAUUACAUAGCUUCUCUGUUCUGAACUUGCCCCUCCCCCCCCGUCUCCACCACCCUUAUACUAUGAAUACUGUUUGUACUGUGCAGUGGAAAAUAAUCUUGAUAGCUGCAGGAUUUCCUGUGUUGUAACUGUGAUGUGCAAGUUCCUAUAAAGAGAAACACUGGAAGAAGAAUGUAGAAUAGGUGUCUGUAACAUUUACAAGGUUAUUCACUUGAGUGAAUGACACUCCGCUAAAUAAAGCAAAAUAAUCCAUCUGGAAUUCAUUAAUGACCAGAUUUUGUUAUACAGGCCCCGAAUAGUACUAAAAUUGGUCUGGCUUUAAACCAGGAAGAACGCAACAGAAAAGCUUUGACAAAUGUGUCAAAUCCAGACUCGGAGAAUUCAACUCCGUGCCCACACUUGCAGCCGUUCGGGCAAAUAGUCAAAACCCUUGGCAGCAUGAAAAUGUGUUAGCUAGCAAAUGCUUGAGAGCCACCGGCCACGGGGGUCAGUUAGACCCAGAUUACUAUAAUGGAGAGGUUGUACCAACAUAUGCCACCACCUGCAUAUAUGGAACAUUUAAUACUACCGACUGGGCAUGCAUUGCUGCCCAGUAACUUAGAAGGCCCCAUCCCAUUGGGACAGGAUCUGCAAAAUAACAAAAAACAAGAGGACAUCAGAUGUGAGCUUCUUGAGAGGGAUUACCUAGUGUCCCUUCCAAUAACAUUGUGUGGGAGCCCUGACAAUUAUAAAAUUGAGACCCUGGUGUCCCUCCCCUGGGCCCCACCCAUGCCAGUUUGUGGGGGUCCUCAUACUUACUAAAUAGGGUGACACUCUGGCACUCACCCAUGCUAUCACUGUUGGCUCUUAUAUUUAAAAAUGGGGAGGACCUUGUGUCCCCUCCCAUAACCCCCACCCAUGUCGGCGGAUGGGCCCCAUUAUUUAUAAAAUGGGUUGGAUCUAAUGUCCCCUCCCCAGCCCCCACCACAACUUUUGAAACACAAAGAAAAUUCCCAAGAAUACCAAUUUGCAUCAUCAUACAUGUAAAGAACAAAAACAAAACACAAAACAAUAGCACUCUCUGCUCUACAAUAUUCAAUAAAUAAAAAUACUAAAGUGUAAUAUGUACCAGUGGCGGAACUACUGUCUGUGCAGCGGGUGCGGCUGUACGAGGGUCCUCAUGCUUUGGGGGCCCAUGGACGUAGGGCCACCCGAUGGGUAUUGGUAGCAGUAUCGGACGCUAGGAGGAAGUGAGAACAGGUAACAUCCUCCCAGCUUAAAUAUAGAGCCACACGGGAGGGAAGAGGAGGUGAGCAAAAUACCGCCCGAUGGUGGCUAAUGAUUAAUAGCCUAGAAUAAUAAUAAUAACAUCCAUCCAUCUGGGAUUUCUGCCAGGGCUGAGUGGCGAUGUGUCCACGGUUUAGGCCGGGGUAUUAACCUCCCUAUUGCCGGGCUAUUGUGCUGGUAGACCGGGUGGAUCAGGAGCGAGGAGUGCAGGGUUCAAGGACAUUCAAGUAAAUUGCUGUAAAUAAGUAUUUCAAAGUUGUUCUAUUACCAACUUUUGGGUUUAUUAUGUGUAUCUGUGAUCUGUGUGUGCAUAUGUAUCAGUGUGUCAAGGUGUGUGUAUGUGUCAGUGUGUGUAUCUUAGUAUGUGUAUUUUAGUAUGUAUAUAUGCCAGUGUGUGUAUCUUAGUAUGUGUAUCUGUUUGUCACUGUGUGUAUCUGUGUGUAAAUGUGUGUGUGUGUGUGUUUGUGCCAGUGUAUGUAUCUCUGUGUCAAUGUGUGAAUGUGUUUGUAUGUAUUAGUGUAUUUGUGUGUUUGUAGCUGUAUGUCAGUAUUUGUGUCUGAGUGUGUAUAUGUGUGUGUCAGUAUGUGCCAGUGUGUGUAUGUGUCAGUGUGGGUAUGUAUGUAUCUAUCUAUCUAUCUAUCAGAGUGCGUAUCUGUGUGUCAAGAUGUGUAUGUGCAAAGGUGUUUGUAUGUCAAGCUGUGUGCAUCUGUGUAUCUAUGUGUGUAUAUUUGUAUGUAUAUCUAUGUAAGUAUGUAUGUAUGUAUGUAUGUGGCAGUGUAUUUACAUACAUCCCUGCAAUCAAACAAGAACACAACAGGAAAAGACACUCCUGCAAUCAAACACCAAUACUACACACAAAUGUACAUCUACAUUUAAAAGACAACACUACAUCCAAACAUGCCCAAGUAUUCAAAUGCAAACAAUACACAUAAGUACACCACUGCAUUCCAAUGGCAACAAUACAUACAAAUACAUCCCUACAUGCAGGCACUCUAUAGAAGAUCCAUGCCUAAAUAAAUUAAAAUGCACAAACACUGCUCACAAAUACAACCCUGCAAGGAAGGGCAAAUGGUAGAUGCCCAGUUAUCACAGCAUGAUGGGAGGUGUACAAUAGAUGGGGAUAUAGCCUUUUGCAACUAUAUUAGUUACAUCACUGAUAUGUGUAUAUGUCUUAAUGUCAAAAUACACACACACACACAUAUAUAUAUAUAUAUAUAUAUAUAUAUAUAUACACACACACACACACUAAUGUUAAGCAAAGCAUUCCACAGUGUCCCAAUCUAUUCAGAACAUAUCUUGUGCUAUACUGUUAGUCAUAUCUAGCAAAAACCUACUUAUUUCAUGUUGCCUGACUCAAUAAAUUUAGUAUGAUUCUUUGAAACUAAAAUUAGCUAGAUAGUGAAUUAAAUAGUACAAAGUUAUAAAGUUUUUGCAAUAUUAAAUUAAAUUAAACAAAAAAGAAAAACAUUUUAUAGAAGACUGCUGGUAUUCAAAAUUGUUUUCUAAAAUGUUUAUCAAAUUUAAAUGGUUUUGAUCUUGGUUGUGUAUUGAAAGGAACUGUUUUGAUACAUAUUCCAUAUCUAGUUAUUAUGAACUUACAGAAUCAUAUAUUUUGAUCAAUAAAAUCUAUCAGUUCGUGUGUGGAAUAACAGAGAGGGUGCAUGUGCUGGUUGAUCCCUAUACUUGUCUAAAAGUAAAAAAAAAGGAUUUCUAAUCCCUAAAUAUUUGAGAGCCGGCUCAUGAUCCCUCGAUGUCAGAAGCCCAACAUAUAAAGUUGCCAAAAGUUAAUCAGAAUAAUAGUACCCUAAUACCCAAAUGCCAUAUCAUGUAGGAGAAACAAAGUAUUAGAUAAGUAAAUAACUUACAAUGAGAACAAAAAUCCCAGUGUCACGCAAAAUUGUGGUACACUGGGAGAAAGUACAAAGCCUUAAACUGUAUUCUUAGUGAUACAAAAAGUAAUGGUCUACUUAAAAAGAAAAUAUAAACAGGGUUAUAAGAGGUGGGUGGUGUCCACCUUAGGAAAGAGGGUAUUUACAAAGAGCGGUAGAAGGUCUGCAUCCUUAAACUAGACUCAUCCGAACCUCCCCUGUUCAUUGUGUCCCAAAAUGCCAGAGAGGGAACCAAGAGGUUGCAAAAGAUAAAGGUAGAACAAAUUAAUAAAAAUCUUUCACUGUCCCAAUAUACCUCGGCACUACACAGAGCUAAUGCCAGUAACCCUGAACAGUCAAAACAAAAAUUCAAAUGUUCAUAGUGCUACCCAAGUGCAAAUUGAAAAUAAAAGAGCUCAACACACGUUUCAGCAUGCUAAGACACCGUCAUCAGGAGCAGAGUGGUCAUAGGUAUCCUCUGAGUUGGUUUAAAUACCCAGCCCUCAAUUAGCCAUGUAUGAAUAAUCCGAUAAUCAGACAGCCCACAAGCCAUUCUGAUGGCAGAGGUGUGGCCAGGGAGUGUGGCAUCAUAUCCAAAAAUGUUGAUCAAAUAUAAUUUUUUAAUUAUAAAAGUAGUUUUUCAUAAGAGGAUGCAAAGGAAAGGAGAUUGUUUGUUGUAGUUGAUUGGUAGCUCAUAUACUUGUAUAUCAAACAUCUAUUAACAUACAUAAAAGAGAAAUUGUGAAGAAAAACUCUGCGUGUCUCUCUUCUCAAGAAUGUUUGAGUUAAAGAAAUAACAAAAAAAAAAAUACAAGAUGAAUCAGGGAGUUAUGUAGUUACUUAGCUGAAAAGAGCCAUGCAUCCAUCAAGUCAGUCUAUCUUACAUUUGUUUUUGCUGUUGCUGUUGAUCUAGAAAAGGCCAAAAAAAGCAAUUUGAAGCACUACCUUUUUUCAACAAACUAGGAAAAAAAAUACGAGACAGGGGGAUAUGAUAGAAACAUUUAAAUACAUAAAGGGAAUUAACACAGUAAAGGAGGAGAGUAUAUUUAAAAUAAGAAAAACUACCACAACAAGAGGACAUCGUCUUAAAUUAGAGGGGCAAAGGUUUAACAAUAAUAUCAGGAAGUAUUACUUUACUGAGAGGGUAGUGGGUGCAUGGAAUAGUUGAAGUGGUAGAGGUUAACAUAGUGAAGGAGUUUAAGCAUUCGUGGUAUAGGCAUAAGGCUAUCCUAGACUUAAGAUAAGGCCAAGGACUCAUGAAAGUAUUUAGAAAAUUGGGCAGACGAGAUGGGCCAAAUGGUUCUUAUCUGCCAUCAUAUUCUAUGUUUCUAUAAGAAGUUAUUACCCCACAAAUGAAAAGUUAUAUCCCUGUAUAUUCUGUUUUAGCAAGUAUUCACCCGAUUUCAUAUGUACAGACUCUGAUAAAACCAUCUCUUCAGGUAGAGAGUUUAAGUUACUAUAUUUACUGUAAAAAGCAUUGUAUUUAAUGAUAUCAUAUCCCCUCAAAGGUGGUGUUUUAUCAAAUCUUCCAAAGAGAUUUAAAAUUGUUAACCUUUUUAUAAAACUAAAAUAUUCCAUUUCUUUUGUUAAUUUUUUUAUUACGCCUCUGCAGUAUAUCUUGUGCCAUAUCAAAUGCCUUGGAAAAUUGCAAGUAGAUUACAUCCACUGAUCUAUUUACCCUGAUCUAUACUUCUACUUAAAAUUCAAUUUAGUUAGUUUGACAUAACCUAUGUUUUAUAAAACCAUGCUGAUUAUUGCUAAUAAUAAUGUUAUUCUCACUGAAUUCCUGAAUAUUAUCCCUUAAUAACCCUUCAAAUACUUUCCCAGCCACAUAAGUUAAGCUCUAGGGUCUAUAAUUUCCAGGCAAAUAUUUUAAACCUUUUUGAAUAUAGGAAACACAUGUGCCUUCUUUCAAUCCUCCGGUACAAUUCCUGAAAGAAAAUCAUUUUGAAAGAUUUAAACAGGGGUCUACUUAUUUCCACAUAGCUCCUUAAGUACUCAUGGGUGAAUACUGUCAGGCUACAGAGUUUUGUUUACAUUAACCCCUUAGUGACCAGACCAUUUUUCAAUUUUCCAACCGUUAAGGACCCAGGGUUGUUUUCACAUUUCUGCGGUGUUUGUGUUUAGCUGUAAUUGUCCUCUUACUCAUUUAGUGUACCCACACAUAUUAUCUGCAGUUUUUAUUGCCAUUAAAUGGUAUUUCUAAAGAUACAAUUACUUUCAUCAAAUCAUAUAAUUUUCUAUAAAUUCUUUUUAUAAAAUAUGAUGAAAAAUAAAAAAACACUUUUUCUAAUUUUGAUCUCCAAAAUCUGUAACGCAUCUACAAGCACCAAAAAACACCUGUGCUUAAUAGUUUCAAAAUUUUGUCCUGAGUUUAGAAAUACCCAAUGUUAACAUGUUCUUAGCUUUUUUUUGCAAGUUGUAGGGCUAUACAAGUAGAACAUUGCUGUUUCAAAAUAUAUAUAUUUAAAAGGUAUCAAUAGUGACAUUGUAACAUUAUCUGUCAUAAAUCUCUGAAUCACACCUCACAUGUACAUAUUUUUUAAAGUAGAAAACCAGGGUAUUCAAUAUGGGGUAUGUCCACUCUUUUUAGUAGUCACUUAGUCACAAACACUGGCCAAAGUUAGCAUUUAUAUUUGUUUGUGUGUUAAAAUGCAAAAAACAAUUAUGAACGCUAACUUUGGCCAGUGUUUGUGACUAAGUGGCUACUAAAAAAGUCUGAACAUACCCUAUUUGUAAUACCUUGGUUUGUCUUCUUUUGCAAAUGGUAUGCCAUCAUGGGGGUAAUUCUCAUUCCUGGGCUACCAUAUGCUCUCAAAGGCAACAUAACCAAACUGACAAUAUCAUCACUGUGAUAUGUUUUACUGUUUUGAAACACUAAUAUUUCUGUUCAGCGAAGUCUCGCGAGUAAAACUGUACCCCCCAUGUACAGGUUUUAGGGUGUCAUGGAAAGGUACAAGGUUAAAUAUAGCGCUAACAAAUUAAAUUCUUUGGACUUUCGGUCUGGGUUGUCAGGCAGAUCCUUCAAAUUGCAAUCAAUAAAAUUACUUAAUUAUGUAAAAAUAUUACAUAAAUGUACACGUAGAAUUUAAAUAUAUAUACAUAUUUAUUUAUUUGAAAUCUAUGUGUAUAUUUAUGAAAUUAUUUAUGUAAUUAUGUAUAUUGAUAUAUAUAUAUAUAUAUUAGAUAUAUAUAUUUUGUAUUUUUAUAUAUAUAUAUAUAUAUAUAUAAAAUUUCAUUCUAAGUGCAUAUUAAUAUCAAAAUAUAGUUAGAAUAAAUCUACAUAUAUAUAUUUUUUUAUCGUACGUAACUAGUACAUCCGCGGUCUUUAAGGACCGUUUUUUGUCGGACGUACCUAGUAUCUCUUGCCAUAGGAUACUCCUUAAUAUAUACUGAGGAAAAAUUAUUUAAAGUCCCUCCCCUUUUCUGAUAUACAUUAACACACCCUUCUCUGUUUUCAGUGUACCUUUUUUUUUUUUAAUUGAUAUACUUAAAAAAAAUGUUUUGGCUUUGGUUUUCCUCUCUUUGGCUAUAACUUUCUCAUUUUCUGGUUUAGCCAAUCGAAUUGCCUUUUUGUAUGCAUUAUUGGCUUCUUUAUCUUAUAUAGGAUGCCUAUGAGUCGUCUGAUUUAAAUGCUGUAUAUACCCUUUUCUUAUUUUUGAUCUCUUGGUUUACUUUCCCACUAAGCCACAUUGGUUUCAAUUUUUUUUUUAUAUAUUUAAAAAAAAAUUAAAAAAAUCUAAGGAAUAAAACCCAGAGGGAGUCCAGAAAGACUUUUCAACAAUUUAAGAUUAUGGUCAGAUGAUACGAUUAUGGUCAGUUGAGGUUCAUCAAUGAUUAGGGCACAGCAUUUAGUUUUAUUGAUUGUCAUUUUGUUAAUUUUUCUGGUUUGUUUAAUAUUGAAAGUUCAGAAAAUCUAAGGCACAUAUCUGAUUGAGGAACAGCUUUUUAUUCCAUUACAUUUUACAAUGUAUGCUGUAUAUUCUGUAAGAAUGUAUGCUCCUGGCACAAUUUGAUCUGAGCUCUGUAAAUGGAAAAUAUUAAGAAACAUGCAAUAUUUUUCUUUACAAUAAUAAAGCAAAUAUAUUUAGGUAUUUGGGCACUUACAAUAAUAAAGCAAAUAUAUUUAGGUAUUUGGGCACUUAGUAGAUGACAUAUUCACAGUAGGAAAAACUGUAAACAGGCUUUCCUAGCCAGAUUAAAUAAAAGUGAUGAGUAGUUUGUGUCACUUUUUCCAAUUUUAUUUAAGUUAUGAACUUUGCUAUUUCAGCUUUCUAAUUUAUACCUUUGUAGAUAAACACCAUAACAAACAGAAUUGUAGCAUGCUGUAUAUUGAAUAUUUAACGACCCAUCUAUUAUAGUUAUUUUGAAGUUAUUAUACUUCAUAAUUCUAAGUAUUUAACGUUGAAAAAUCUCUUAAAUAACUUGGUUGAAAUACAGCCUUUCCUCCUAGCAUGUUAGCAAGAAACCUUAGAAAGAUGAGGCUUGUCAUUAACAUUAUCUACAUCUUUGGGAUGAAGGUAAGAUUAUUAGUAAAAAAAAAAAUGACAAAUCAUGUUUCCUCUAUUCUAGAGAGAUUUAUUAGAAGAAUAGGGUGUCUCUGAACAUCUUCACAUGGGCCAAAAGCAAACCAUGUUUGGAUGUCGCCCUAAUGCUGACACUGCCUUAUAAUCCUGUGUCCUUUUUUCUCACUCUUUGCAGUAAUUCUAAUUUUGGUUAUGAUAUCUAUGAUUUUCAUGAUAAUGUGUGCAGUGCAGUUAUACUCCUGAGAGCUUAGUUUCAGUAGUCACUUUAUUGUAGACAUAUUAAUGUUCUGUGUGUACCCCUCAAUUGUUAUACAAAGCCUACUCUCGUACUUCCAGCAUGUCCCGUAGUUCUCUUCUGUUUGAAUGUCUUAUCAUUAUUUGGUAUCUAGACAUGUUUACUAUGACCUCUACAUUAUAAAAAUGUGGUGUUCCAUCAAAACAAUGGAUAACUCUUUUUUGCUAACUGUUUGACUUCAUGCAAUAUGUAUUAUUGUGUUACCUGAUAUUUUUCCUUUUGAUUUUGCUGACAUGGUGUUGCAGGAUGUUUUGUACUCUUAAGCACAACAAAAAUAAAGUUUUACAAGAAAAAAAAAAACCUCAUAAUAUAUGUGGAAAUUGAUGACUUUUUCUGGAUUUUUACAUCCAGGUAGAAAAAUCUUCUCUGUCAGCUUAAAAACUAUUGUUAUUGUAAAGGAAUACUAAAAUUCCCAAAUGAUCUUUACUAUUACAUCAAUCGUUAGGGUCAUUGUUACAGGUAGCAUUAGAAGAGAGGGUAAAUAGUGCAAUACCAGCGUAUACAUGCCAUAUUCUACUAACAAUCUGUGGGAGGUAUUUUCCUCUGCAGCUGCCAUUUUCACCUGCUGCCAGUAAUACAGUUUGAGAAUAGAAUUAGUGAAAAACAUUGAUGCAUGUACAGCAUAGGUGAAAUACAUAGGAAGCAUGUAUGGCUAAUUCAAUAUAAUAUAUAAAAAGAAGAAUGGGUUCCGUUUGCAGGGACAGUCACUUCUUUGGGAUAAAAAGGAUUCUCUUCAUAUGUCCCACACAUUUGUUCCCCAGGGCCUUAUAUACUCUAGCGAUUUGACAAGAUCAAACAUGUUGAUGGGCUAUGGGGUAUCCAGUUCAAAAUCUAAAAGCAUUGAAUUUGCUUUUACUGUUUUAUGACAGCUGAGACUAGUAUAUGCUCUGAGACAUGUCCACCCAGCUUGCAGUUUGUUUCAUUUUCCAAUUGAAUGUUGGAGAACCCAAACAAAAUUUCAUUAUCAGAAAAGAUUAUUUGGAAGGAACCUACAAGCAAUUUAUACAUUAACUAAGAUUGAGUUAGAGAUAAAACUAAAUGAAGAGGACUUGGGAAUAAUUAUAGAUAACAUUCUAGGCAACACUGUGCACAAUGCUGGUCUGCCAUUGCAAAAGCUAGCAAGGUGCAGUGAUGUAUAAAAAAGGGGUAUUGAAGGAUAUAAUUCUGUCUAUCUAUAAAUCAAUGGUAAGACACCUACCUAAAUAUGCUGUGUAAUCUUGCACACCCUUUUUUUGGAAGAAUAUUGCAGAACUAAAAAAAAGUGCAGAGGCGAGCUACAAAAUAAGUAAAGAAGGGGUGAAAGUCAUUAGUUAUGAAAUAAAACUAUUAAAACUGCAUUUGUUUUCUUUAGAAAAAGGGAGACUUAGAGAAGAAAUUAUAUUACUAUACAAAUAUAUACAGGGUCAGUACAUACUGCCAUGUGUUAACCUGUUCAUUACCAGGAAUAUACAACAGACAAGAGAAAAAAAAGAAAGAAAGAAAAAGAAAGGUGUUUUUUUGCUUACAGAAAAGUAACGGGUUCAGAUAACCUAGUUUGAAUUAGUAAAUAAUAUUUUAACUCAAAACUAGGUGGAUUUCUUUUUAAUGCUCGCUUCUAUUGAAGAGGAAAAGGUUAAAAAAGUUUGUUACUGCUUUAUUUUCGUUUUAUUUUUUAGUUAUACAUUUCAGUCAUUCCACAGGGCUACUUUUAUUGAACACUAUAGUCUUGUAUUCAUUACCUCAUUCUGUACAAUUAGAUUAAGGUGUCUGUACAACAGGUUUCAAUACAUCACUCUGUGAAAUUAAAUAGCAUACUAAUUAUCUUUGAUUAAAUAGAACUCGUAAGAAAAGGGCAUAUUUUUUGUAUAUUCUUUUGUUUUGCAGAGAUACAUUUUCUUUAUUUGCUUUGUUAUAUUGUUGUUGCAUUUUUAAUUAUAUGGUAUCUGCCUACUCUGUUAUUUACAGAACAAAUACUUAUUUAGCAUGUCAUAAAUCAAAAGAUAGAUAUAUAUAUAUAUAUAUAUAUAUAUAUAUAUAUAUAUAUAUGUUUUUUGUUUUUUUUUAAAGCUAGCAAUUAUCAUUUGUUUGUAUAAUUGGAAAUGUAUUAAAGGGCUAUUAUUUUUUUCAUUUGUUUUUAAUUCUUGUAAUAAUUUAUAAGUGUGGGAAUAAAUUGAUAUACAUGAUGCAAGAAUAUUACCACCUUUCGAUGCUUGAUUCUUAUAACAGUUGAACAAUGCAAAACAGUGUAUUUUAUUAACAAAAAAUUAAAGAAAAGGGAGAAAUUAUUUGUAAAUUUGUAAGUGAUAACAAUCAAUAAUCCAGUCAUGCUAGAAAUAUUAAACUGAAAAGGUAAUUCAUAUAAUUUUAAAAUAAAAACAAACCUCCACUCUGUGGGUUGUGUCAAAAAUGGUAAACCGGAUUAAUACAUUAAUAAAUAGCUCUCUCUGUAUAAAGUUGCAUUAGGUCAUCAUAAUGGUUGCCAGAAGGACCCCUAAUUGGAAAAUGCUACUAAUUUCUAUAGAAAUAUGUAAAGCUGCAUCUUGCACUAUAGCAGAUGAGAAACAUAUAUAAAGCAUUUCACAGUUUAUUUCACAGAAGAAAAUUUCCGUUUUUUGGUUUUCAAUUUACAGUUGCAAACUGUAUAAUAAUAUGUAUGUGUCAUAAUAUAAGAACAUUUUUCAUUGAUAAAAACAUAUAUAUUUUAAAAUGUUGUGCAAAUUGUAAAUUGCCUAUGCUUAACCAAGAUUUUAGGUCAAAUUAGUAAAAUUGGCUAAAAUAUUCCAACUAAGCUCUUUAUUCACUUUGAUUUUGGCUUAAAGAAUUUAAUUCUCUGGUCAGUUCCCAACUAUUGUUGGUUUUGUAAAUAGCCUCAAAUGCAUAUGGGGUGGCAUUAUUUUACUGUGAGCAUUGUAGUAAUAAAUAGCGGUUGUCUAAUAUUUAGAACUUUUAGAUUAAUCUGUACAUAUUUAAGUGAGGGUGUAAAAAAUUCUCAAUACAAAUUAUAUGGCAUGUUAUAUAAGAUAGAGUAAAAUGAUAGGUGGAGCACCUUAAAUAUCAUCAUAAGUUUGUGAAACGAUAAGAGAAGAAACAAACUUAUAGUGUAGCAAUCCUUGGAAUAACAAUAAAAUAAGGAAUACUAAUUAUACUGACACUUUUUAGGAGCUUAAGUCCAGCUCCGACUUAAGCGCUUGAGCAGUAUGAUCCCUGCCAGUGGAUAUAGAGUAGUAGUUUUGAUUUGUCCAAUUGUAGUUCCUUGUAACGUAGUAUAUAUAGGUGGAGAAAGUAUAAGAUAAAAAUACUAAUAUAUUGCAGUAUUAACUAUAUAAAAUUCCAGAGGUAGGUAAGUAUUGGAUUACACUCAUGUGGUUUGAAGCCUAGGAUGUAUGGUGGAGUGGUAUGAUUCCCACUCUGGGAUUUCUAGGUAAAGCAGGUAAAGCAGGUUCUCAUAGAUAAAAGAGAAUAAAAAGAUAUAUAGUGCACACUGUGUGGUAAAAAGUGUAAGAUGGAUAAAAACUUAUUUACAUGCAGUUGGGCAAUUUCAGAUUGCUCAUUCACAAGCACAUAAAUGGUUAGUAUCUCCAUCAAGUAUCAAGAGGUAGCAGUGUUAAGGUCCAAGAUAAAAAAAAGGACUUUAUUAAUAAAGCCGAGAAAACAUAUAUAUAUAUAUAUAUAUAUAUAUAUAUAUAUAUAUAUAUAUACAGCCAAAAGAAAUCAGCACUCCCAGGAUUUAUUCAAAAAACGAAAACUUUUCUUUUUUCCAAUGGUCAGCGUUUCAGUUCCGCUAGGGAACUUUCAUUAGGACAGAAUACAAACAUAUUUAAAAAUCAGCAUUGCUUAAAUAAGGAAAGUAAUCAAGUAAACUCACAGUUCAGAUGUGCAGGGGGCCGACCGUUCUCUCUUCCGAGUGAGUGGGUGGGUACAGGGAGCAUACAUCCCUCUGAUUAUGUGCUCAGGUUACUUCCUGAAUGCCUGCGUCCUCCAUCUCCAUGGAGACGUCGGGCGCAUGCGUAUUGGACAAACUGCUAUCUCUCUGCAUCUACCCCUUGUACGGGAGCUGGAUCUCACACGCCAUGCUAAAAGAAUACAUUAUAUCAGUGUAUAAAGCCUGUUACAUUAUGAUACACUCCUCUAUGUGAUCGUACACAGGCUUCCAGUAUAUCUACUAGCCACUGUCACUACAUACAUAAAACUAAAGGUAUAAGAAAACCUAAUUAGCAAAUUAUUCUAACUCAUAUAUAGGUCAUCCUGUCUAACACAUCUCUGUGAUUAACCCCAGUGAACACUUUACUUUAUAUUCCAAAAUCAAGUGCUCAGUGUAUAUUCUAUGAUAUUACAGCCUGAUAAGAUGCAAACUAAUAUGUAAUCUGCAACCUCUCUUCUCAAGUACAUCUCAAAGUGCAUAUUACACUAUGUUUAAAAAAAUAAUAAAGUGCUCAUUUUGUUCUAUAUUAUCAAAGGCUAUUUAAGCCUAAUCAUCAAACUAUUCCUACAUUUUAUCUAUGCAAAAAAAAAAAAUUCUAUAAAAAACAAAGUGCCAAGUGCAUAAUGUUAAAGUGAAACUAAUGCUACUAAGUAGUCCACCUAAGUGAUCCUUUGUAAACUUCUAAAGUCUCCCAUAAAAUAAAGAACUAUGUGUAUAAUUUUAUAUGUGCCAAACCUUUCUAUUCAUAUAGAGACCUAAAUUAUGAUAUUCCUUAACUAAUAUAGAAAAAUAAGAAUAAACCAUACUUUUAUAUCUAGGAAACAAGAAAAGCAUACGAGGCAUAGCAUGCAAAGGAUCCUUAACUCAUCCUACAUUAUAUCCAGAGCCGUGGUUAAAAGAUUACCAUAAUGGUGUAUAUUUGAUGCAACUUCAUAAUAAUCUAAUCAACAACAUAAAAAAAAAUUUAAAUUAAAGUAGGCCUGACGACACAGUUAUAAACAUAUUCACAUGUUCUUAUUGCUAUACUGAGCUAUAUUCCAAUAAACUAUGUCCCUCACUGCCAUAUAGUGCCACAUAGCCUGUUAGAGAAAGGAAAUGUAUGUUAAUUUCUCAUUAAGUCCAUAAGGGGCCAAUGUCCCCAACUUUUGAAUCCACCAUGUCUCCUUCUGUAGCAACUGCUCCUGUCUGUUGCCACCUCUCCUUGAUAUUGGAGAGGCCAAAGGGUGGCCUUUCUCCAGGAAAAUAUAUAGUGCACACUGUGUGGUAAAAAGUGUAAGAUGGAUAAAAACUUAUUUACAUGGAGUUGGGCAAUUUCAGAUUGCUCAUUCACAAGCACAUAUAUGGUUUGUAUCUCCAUCAAGGAUCAGGAGGUAGCAGUGUUAAGGCCCAAGAUAAAAAAAUGACUUUAUUAAUAAAGCCAAGAAAACAUAUAUAUAUAUAUAUAUAUAUAUAUAUAUAUAUAUAUAUAUAUUAAAAAAUUAUAUUAAAACAAAGUUCCAAUAUACACUAGCGCAUUUCACCAUAAAGUGGGCGUUAUCAAAGUGUAUUACAGAACAUUGGGACCUAAACUGCUUAAAUAGCUAAAGCUACAUUUUUACUUUUAUUAAUUAUUUAUUUCUAAAAUAUUUUACCAGGAAAUAUACAUUGAGAUUUCUGUUGUUUUCAAGUAUGUCUUGCGUCCACAAAAUAAUGAUCAUGUGACGUCAUAGCUAUUAUGUAGAUAUGAACCAUUUUAUCAGGCAACGCUUUAAAAAUAUAUAUUUUAUGAUAAAAAGAAUGGGGUAGAUACAAAACAUAGCAAUAAAAAAAACUGCAUAUCUUAAAGAAGUUAUUCACAUUUUACAGAUUUUGGAAGUAAUCUCUUGGAAAGAUAGUUAUAUUUUGUUACAUGUGAUGACGAUGAGACAUUUUUAACUAAAGCAAGUUUUAUAGAUUAACAAAUACAGUAAAUGUUUGUCAUAUUUUUAAUCCUAACAAAUAAUUAUCUUUGGUUCCUGGAGACUUUUUAUAUACAGGUUCAAAGAACAACGAUGGGCACCAAGUUUGCACCAAGUUAUGCAAAUCUGUUUAUGGCCUGUUCGGAAGAAAAAUGUGUACCAAGGCCAUCCUUGGAUUGCAAGCUUAGUGUCCUACCAUCGUUUGAUCAACAAAAUAUUUUUUUUAUUUGGACAGGCAAUAACACAGAUUUGAAUCUAUUUUGAAAGUACCUUAAUGAUAAUAGUUGGGGACUUGACCUUAUGUCCACUAGUAGCCUGAUAGAAAUCAUUUUUUUUAGAUUUGAACAUUCCAAUACAGGACUUUGUCACUAAGACAAAACAUUUUUGAAGUCAGCUAUUUUUCUGGCCAAUGUCUUAAUCAUCAUUCAUGUAAAAAAGCUAAAGCAGCUAAGAUAUCCAAUUAUAUUGUAGCCAUAUCCUAUAUAUGAACUUAAAAUAUAUAUCUUAUACACAGUUUAUAGAAGCCAAAAUGACUCUUUAACUGAUGAAAGAUCAAUCAACUUUUCUAGCAUUGCCAUUGUCUUAUUGAUUUUGUAUUUAGAAGGUGCCACUAUUUGCUAUAUUAUUUUUGAACAGUGUAAUAUCUUUAAACAUAUUUGAAGUAUUUGUUUUAAAAGAAAGUUAUUUAUUCAAAAUGUGAAAUGUGAAAAAAUAAUCUAAGCUGUCUAUAAUUUUUUCAUACUCACAGUAACUACCAAACCAUGUAAUAACUAUCAUGUAGUAACAGGCUACCACAAACACCAUGACACCUUCAGUAUUUUGAAGUGGUCAUGGUGCAAGUAGCUAUGUGCAGUGUUUCAAUCUGAAACUCUGCACAUGCUGAUAUAUUAUUAGUUAUCUACUACAGCUUUCAUUAGCCUAAUGUAAUUAGCCAUACUGUAAUCAGUGAUGCUCAUCUGACCCUCUCAGUCAAUGAAUGGCAAAGGUGAUACUCUACAGAAGCUGAGUGUCAUUUAUCAGGGCUGUCUUUAAAACGGGGCAGCUGCCCUGGGCCCAAUUACUCCUGGGGGGCCCAAAGCAGCUGCCCUGUGAGCCCCUUGCCUGAAACCAGGACCUGGCAACCCACCGGGAUCCUGAGAAAUGUCCUGGUGGGCUUCAGCAGGCAAAGUAAUGAAGGUGUGUUCAUGUAUUAGUGUUUGUGUGUAUCUACAUGCUACUGUGUAUGUAUAUCUGUGAAUGUAUAAAAUGUAUGUGCAUACAUCCCAGCAAUCAAACACAAACAUUACAUCCAAACAUACCCCUGAAUUCAAGCUCAAAAAGUAUAUAUAAAUACACCCCUUCAGUCAAACACAGAUACACACUCACUAACAGAUGCACACACUCUCACUAACAGACACAGAUACACUAAGACACUCACCAACCGACAUACACACUAGCACACUCACUAACAUAAUUACACACUCUCACUGACACACACUCUUUGGCAGACACACACACUCACAAACAUACACAGACACACAAACACACUCACUAACAAACACAGAUACUUACACACUCACCAACUGACACGCACACACUAUCAAUAUUUUUUUUAUUAUUUCAAUCCACCCAGCCUCCAUACCUUUGCUGGAGUGCUGCAGUGGAUUCUCCAUUUCCCUGGGAUCCAGUGAGGAUCCUUUAACUGCCGGUGGGACAGGCGUGCGGUCAAUUAAGGCCGCAAGGGAGCUCUGAUCUCCCUGCUCAGCUCCCUUGCGCACCACUCAGUGAUGCCGGGGCGAGAGUGAUGUCAAAUUCCACCCGCCUCCCACAUCAGGUAAUGCCAACCUAUGGGGGGGCCUGAGGUGACCAGCCGACCAGCUCCUGGGCUCCCAGUGACAAGAGGCUGGCAAGAUAUCAGGGCGUUUGAAAGUGCCACCCAAGGCAAAUGCCUUGUCAGCCUCGAGGUAAAUACACUGCUGGGUGGAGGGCAUGAUUGCAUGCCAUGGGGUGGAAGUGUGAGGGAGGGCAGGAUCCAGGGGGCCCACGCAAAUGCUUGCCCAGGGUCCAAUCAAUGUUAAAGAUGGUCCUGUCAUUCAUUGCAGCUCAGUGCCAGAUGGGACCCAUUAAAUUUGCAAAGAUGGCUUGCCCCCUUUCUGAGGAAUGGCUUCAGGGUACUCCUUGCAUCAUAACUAUUAUAGUCAUUAAGAUGCUUAGAUUAACCUUUACAAAAAAAAAAAAAAUAAUGAUGCAGCUAAGCCAAUCUAAUUGUUUCCUUAUUCAUUAAUUGCAGGUAAUACAUUUUUUGAUACAUAAAUAAGAAACACUUAUUGACAUUGUGCUUUUGGUAAAAGAACAGUGAUUCCCAAACUAGCCCUCAAUGUGCACCAGUGAUCAAAGUUUUGUCAAUGUCCCCUGUCAACUGGGAAAUGCCUAAAUCCCGAGCUGUUGGUAUGCCUGGAAACUAUUAAGAUAGAAAGAGAAAGUGGGGGAUUUCAGCUGUCCAAAGCACGAUUAAAUAGAAAAAAAAGAUAAGACAAUAUAUAAAAUAUAAAAAGUAAAUGAUACUCUAUACCUAUUUUUUUCUAAUUAAAGAUUCCUAACAUUAGAUAAUUAAUUUUGCAAAUCAUGUUACAAUGCUUACUAUUCAUUCAAUAUAAAUCAACAGAAAAAUUAUAGUUAUGAUGCAUCACUAUAGAGAGACAAGCUGGUUGGACAACUGCUUGCUAUUAAAUGUGUAAACAAAUAGUAAUUUCUUAAUCUUUUUUAACAUGGACCCAAAUUACAUAACAAAACAUUUUUCAAAUGUAAAAUUAGCCAAAAUGACCUUUUUUUCAUAUGGUGUAUUAUAUAAGAAACUUAAAUCUGUAAAACACCUUUAUUAUGUAAUUUCCUAUGUACAAGAGGUCUUUAUUAUAUUUAGGAAAACAGUGUUGCUACACUCAUUAGUGUUUUUUGGGCAGGUGCCACUGGUUUUGAAGAAUAUAAUAUGCAUUUUCAAGUCUUUGGGGGUCGAGUGAAACAACAAAGGUAUUGAGUCCCAACCAAGUGUUUGAGAACAGAGUGUACAUGCUGGCUUAAAACAUGUAAACUAUAUUUUUAUUGGCAUUACACUGAGAAUUGUGCACACAAUUUUGACUUUUUUUCUCUUUAGUUUCAGUAUGUAUUUUACAAUGCAUAUUAAAUAAAACAUGCUAAUACAUACAUUAUACACACACACACAUAUAUUUAAACCACCUGCCCAAUAUUGUGGAAGUCCCCCUAAUGUUCCAAAAACAGCUCUGAUGCAUCAAUGCAUGCACUCCACAAGACCUCUGAAUGUAUCAUGUGUUUUCUAGCACUGGGACAACAGCAGCAGAUUUUUUUUUAAGUCUUGCAAGUUGCAAGGUGGGUCCUACAUGGAUCACAUUUGUUGUUCCAGCACAUCCCACAUAUGCUAAAUCAGUUUGAGAUCUAGGGAAUUUUGAGGCCAAUGCAACACCUUGAAUAAUGCACCCUGCCACACUGCAAACCAUUGCUGAACAUUUUUUGCAUUAUCCUGCUGAAAGAAGCCACUGCCAUCAGGAAGCACUAUUGCCAUCAAGGGGUGCACAUGCUCUGCAACAACUUUAGGUAGGUGGUACAUGUCAAAGUAACAUCCUCAUGCCAGGACCCAAAGUUUUCCAAAAGAACAUUGCCCAGAGCAUAACACUGCCUUCAUUUUCCCUGCCUUCUUCCUAUAAUGCAUCCUGCUGCCACCUCUUCCCCACGAAAACUACAGAUAUGCACCUGACCAUCCAUCUGAUCAAAAAGUAAAUGUGAUUUAUCAGACCAAGCAACUUUCUUCCACUGCUCAUUGGUCCAGCUUGUUCCAACUUUAUUUCAUGCCCAUUGAUAGUGCUUUCGGUAACAGACAGGGGUCAUCACGGACACUCACCUUUCUAAUAUGACCAGCAUUACGUUUUGUUUUUUUAAGCAAUUUGUGUUUUAGUAGUUCUUCUGUGUGAACUGGGCAUACAUAACCCAGACACUGGUUCACUUGUUGUCUUUUCUUGCACCAGUUAUUAUGGGUACUAACCACUGCAAAAUGGAAAACACCCCACAAGACCAGAGCCGAAUAUAUAUUUCUUUUUCUAAUAUAUAAUAUUGGUCCUUUCAGAGUAAAAUGUUUAAUUAUACAGUAAGCAUACACACAUGCAGACACAGACAAUCUCACUGACACACACAAGCUCAUUGAUACACAGCCUCAUAGACAAACAAUGUCACUGACAAACAUAAGCUCAUUGGCAUAAAAACACAAGCUCACUUACUCACUAGCAGGCACACACAUACGCAAGCAAGCUCACUCACUAGCAGGCGCGCACACACACACACAGCUUAAUGUAGUGGUUCUGGUGUCUAUAGCCUGUCCCUGCAGGCUUUUCAAUGUAAACACUGAAUUUUCCGAGAAACGGCAGUGUUUACAUUGCUUCCUAGUAACUUCACUCAGACAGUCACUAGAGGUGCUUCCUGUGUCAGUGCAUUGGAUUGGCUGAGAUCAUCAAGCUUGAUGAUCUCAGCCAUAGAGGUAGGGCCAGUCGAGGGCAGACCAGCACGGUGUGGGGAAAAAAAAGGUGAGUAAAAACACUUUUUAAAUACACACAGACACACACAUACACCAUUACAGACACAGACACACAUAUACACCAUGACAGACACACACACCCCAUGACACACACACACACCAUGGCACAGACACACACACACCAUGACACAGACACACACAUCAUGACACAGACACACACACACCAUGACACACACACACAUACCAUGACACACACACACCAUGAUACAGACACACACACCAUGACACACACACACAUACCAUGACACAGACACACACAUACCAUGACACACACACACACACACACACACACACACACAGCACACAGACACACACACUGACACAGACACACAUACCAUGACACCAUGACAGACACACACACACACAGAUACCAUGACACACACACACACACACAACACACACACACAUGACACACACACGCACACACACCAUGACACACACACAUACCAUGACACAGACACACACACAUACCAUGACACACACACCAUGACACACACACACCAUGACACACACACCAUGACACACACACACCAUGACACACACAUACCAUGACACACACACACCAUGACACAGACACACACACCAUAACACAGACACACACAUACAUACACACUGACAGAAUGACACAUAUUACCUGUGGGUGACCGGCUGAGUGUGCUAGUGGCCGCAGAGGGAGGUCAUGGUGAGGGUGUGUGUCAUGGUGUGUGUGUGUCAUGGUGUGUGUCUGUGUCAUGUUAUGCGUGUGUGUCAUGGUGUGUGUUUGUCAUGGUAUGUGUGUGUAUCUGUGUCAUGGUGUGUGUGUGUCAUGGUGUGUGUGUGUGUGGGAGCUGGCCGCUGGGGGAGCUGGUUGUUCUGUCUCUGUUCCCCCGCCCUCACACACAGCUUAAUGAGACCGGGGCCAGAAUAUGACAUCAUAUUCCGGCCCCAGUCUCAUUAAGUUGCGCGCUGGAGAGCAGAGACAGAACAGCCAGCUCCCCCAGCGGCCGCCAUCAGUCCUCCCCCUGCGUCCGCCAUCAGACCUGCCCCAGCGGCCGCCAGCCCACCCAGGUGUCUGCCCAGCCCCAGGUGCCGACGGCCCACCGGGAAAUUUCCCAGUAUCCCGGUGGGCCAGUCCGGCCCUGCACAAGUAACUCAGAUCAUUUUGCUUGCUCAUUUUUCCUGCUUCCAACACAUGAAAUUCAAGAACGGAGUGUUGACUUGCUUCAUAAUAUAUUCCACCCCUUGACAGGUGCCAUUGUAAAAUAUAAUCAAUGCUAUUCAUUUCACCUCUCAAAAUUUUAAUGUUGUGGCUGAUCAGUGUAUGCAUACAGUCAAUUUACUAAAGUUGAUAGAAACUCAUAAUGAAUUAAUAAGUUUAGACCAAAAUAACCAAAUUAGAAAUAUUCUAUAAGUCAUCUAUUUUGGCCAAAAAAUUUGCAAAUUCACUUUGAAUUCACUUUGAAUUACAGGUAAAAUACACCACGUGUACGUGAUUGUAUUGUUCAGUCGUGGUCAUAUACAUGAGAUGUACAGAAUGUUUUAUUAUAUAAGUAAGUGGACUUAUAUAACACUUUAUACACAUUAUAUAAAAUAAAUAUUUUUACGCAUGAAAAAUUGAUAUAACAGUGAAACAACAUUGAACAUUAUUUUGAUUAACACUAAUAUCAUUUCAUGGUAUGUGUGAAUUUUUAUUGAAAAUAUGUUGUUUUUAUAUAGAAAAUAGCUUAAUUAACCCCACUGGACCAUGCUAAUGCUCAACUAACAGUUAUAAAAAAUGUAUAUUCCAGAGAAUGAAACAUGUAAAGCAGUUCUUAAAAAUAUUGGCAUUUCAUCUUAGUUUCUCAUUAUGUGUAUCAUACUUGAAAAUAGAAAAUAAUAUAUUUAAGCAUUAAAAAACCUUAUAAACUAUAUAAAACUGUUACCACCGAAUAAAAGUAUCCCAUAUGUGCAUUCUGUUGCAAGAAUGUCUUUAGUGAGAUGACUGUACCCCCAAACUAGAAAACAACAGGAAAGUAUCCAGUAGGAAUGUGUGGUAAAAAUUAAUGAGAACACAAAAUAAAAAAAUGCUUUGGGGUUUACUUUCAAAACUUUAGUUUACUUUUGAUGUUAUUGUAGAUGUGCCUGAGUCUGAUUUUAUAUGAAGUCUUUUAUAUAUAGUAAAUGAUGUAGGAUUCUUUUUUAAUAUACAUUUGACUGUUUUAGAAAAUUAUGAUUAAUGAUAACAAUGCGUUUAGGCAAUGUUUUUUCUUAUCAUUAUCAUAAUGUUAUUACUUUUAUUAAAAUUAAAAAAAACCUCUGCUUUCUUUACAUUACAUUUUAAAUUAACUUAAAUUAACCUUGUGUAAAAUAGUGAAAACAUUUACUGUAUGAAUCUCAGACAUUCUCUUCUGAAGUAUAUCACAUUUUAAAAUACAGAUUUGGAUUCCAAAAUGCAGUGAUUGUAUUUCAUCUACAUAUAUACCGUUUUGGAAUGAAUGACCCUGGACUAUUAAAUUAUUAAAUUAACCUGUUCUUCUGAAGAUAUCAUACAGAGAACAUGUAUUGCUGUACAGCUUUGACUGCCUUUAAGAAAGAGAAACUGCAGGAAACAAAGAGCACUGGGUCACGACUAAUCAGUUCUGUCUGACCCUGGGCAUGUCACUUUAUUUCAAAAAUGCCUGAAGUACCAAAACUGUAAGGUUUUGUGGAGUGUUUUUCAUAGUAGUAUUUUAUGGCUUUUAUGAGCCCCUUUGUGCAAAACUGUUAUUAUUUCAUUUUUUUUAUAUUGUGCAAUAAUAUAAACUCCUAAAGUUUGUGUAAAUGUUAUAUAAAUAUUUCUUCUAUAUCCAUCCAUGAUCUAACACUAGCAGUAUAAAACAAGUAAAAUCAGAAUAAUUACCUGCACACUGCUUUAAAUCUCUGUGUACAUUUCAAUAACAGAGGUUUCUAGUAUCACCUCAAACACCAUUACAAUGUAAGCUCAACUGCUGAUGUCAAGGUAGAUCUCUUGAGUCCUAUGCUAACAAUUUACCUUGCUGCUUCCAGCUGAAAUGAAAAAUAUCUAAUGAGACAGGUGAGGGUAUUCAUUUGAACCCCUACAACCUCUUGGGUGAUAGCAAUAACUAAAGUAUUCAGCCAUAGUUAAUAAACAAAACAAAACACAAAAUGUUACCUACACCCAAUCCCAAUUGGCAGUUUUUGUUCUAUUGCCAUUAAAGUGUAAGCAUAUGAAAAAAAAAUAAUUCUUUGUUAAAUCUUAAAUUGUUUAAGAGAUCUAUAGCAAUAUACCUCAGCACAGAAUGCACCUGUCAUGGUUGAAUAUAUGUAUUACCUGUUAUGUAUUACAUUUAUAUAUGUGUGUAUAAAUAUAUGUUUAUAUAUAUAGUUCGUAUAUUGUAUUUUUUUAAUAGUGGAUCCUAUUGUAACAAUGCAAUGUUUUGUGGACAAAGACCCAGUACAUACUUGAAAACGAGAGAAAUCUCAAUGUAUCCAUCCUGGUAAAAUAUUUCAUAAAUAAAUAAAUAAAUGAUAAUAUAGUUAAUAGUUAACAAGCAGAGCAAUACGAUAUUUAUGUUUUAUUAAAUUAUUGAAAUUAGAGUAAGAUUACACGAGUUAUAUUUUACAUCAAAGCUGUAAUGUCAUAAUUCUAAGCAAAAUUUCCCCUGAUUUAGACAGGAUGGGAUUAGACCCCCUCUCUAAUGUAUACAAAUGAUAGGUAAUUGGCAGUCAUAUAAGAGCAUUUAAGAUAAUCAUAUUUUUAUAUAGGGUUUCUUUAAAUGUUUUGGACUUGAAAGGCAUUCAUUUUGUUCCACUCUGCUUCCUUUCAGCAUGGCCAGGGUUAAUAGUGCCACUGUGAACUUCAGUAGUGUUUUAAAAAUACAGCAAAAUUGUCAUUUUACAAGACGUGCAGUGUGAAUUAUUCUUGACUGACAGUUAACAAGCAUUUGUCUUACAAGCUAAUGAAAAUGUCAUUCUCCCAUCUCUAUCAUAUAGGAGACACCUCUCCUAAAAAAAUAGAUUCCACAAAAUAUUUUUUCAAUGUGCCAUAUAUAUUCUAAGUUAACAAAAAAAACACUCCCUGGGAAAGUCUCUCAAGGCUCCAUAACCAAAAUGGUUAUUGCUGGGACAAAUGAUUAUUCAUUCAAAAUGGGGUAUGCAGGAUUCAGUUCUGCUAAGUCAUGUUAACCCUUUUUUUCGCCAAAUUGUCACAGAACUGUAUUUUUGUGUGAGUCUGCACCUAUUGUGUUAUUGCAAGGUAAUCACUGCAAUCAGGGGGGAUAAUGCAUGUAUUGCCCCUUUAAAACUUUACAGUCACACAACAACUAACUAAGCAAAUAUGGUGGCAAUGACAACGUUGUCAACGAAAAAACUUUACUUGGCAAUUCAGGUUAAAAGACAACAAAUGGAAAACCUAGUUAUAUGCAGUGAAGUAUAUACCAUAAUUAAGACAGUGAAACAAAAAUGAAACAAUGUGUGCUAAAUAAUGCUAUGGGGCUCUAAAGUGUACCCUAGAAUAAUGUACCCUGGAAUGGCUAUACCCUCUAAAACAGUGGUGCCAAAAAUAUAGAUACCCAGAUGUUUUAAAACUUCAUAUUCCAAAAGGCAUGCAAACCACAUAUUCCAAAGGCAUGCAGAUCAUCAUGGGGGUUGUAGUUCUUCAACAUUUGGGGAGCUACCUUUUGGGCACCUCUGCUCUAAAUCAUCUAAACUCUGUCUGUGAAUAACCCCAAAAUAUUGAUCCACCUAUCUACAAACUCCCCUUUUUUUAGGUGUGCAAAAUACCACAUGUUCUAUGUAUGCCGAGAUGCAAUACAAAUCUCUGAACCCCAAAUACUAUUAUGCUGGUAAUGGAAAUAGGAGGUAAAUAUAUAAGCUGACUCAGACUUGUGACUGACACCACAUACAGUGGAGAGAUCAGGGAACAAUCUUUUCAAGUCACCUUUUUUAAUGUUCUAUGUAUGUGUACAUCCUACCACAAUGACCAGCACUGUAAUAUUUGGAAUUUAACAUUUUGUUAGUUCGUCUUAGUGUAUUUGCAAGUUAUGUGUUGUUUAGCACAGUCAAAUAUAGGGGUAAGAGUUAUGCAGUUUGUAGACAGAUUGACAAACCCUUUGGGUUAUUCCCAGACUUGAAUUUAGGUGAUUUUGUGGGUAUUGUCACUCAAAACGCCUUCACACCAUUAUUUAGUACAUAUUGCUUCCACAAUUAUUUGUGUGUUUUGAUCUUUGUAUGUAGUUGGCUUGUGUAUUUGCCUUUUAACCUGAAUAUGCUAUGUUUUAUUCACUAAGAAUGCUUUCAUAGCUACCAAAUUUGAUUAAGUAUUUCAAUAUAGUAUAGGGCUCCAAGCCUCUUCCCCCUGGCAUGGUGCAUUCAGAAUAUUGUUAGACAUUUGUUUGUAUAUUGCAAUCAUUAUUCAAGAGCAACACUCAUCUUUCUGCCAACUUAUCCAUGCAAACAUUUUCAUCUGUAGUGGCCCAUCAGACUACUCGACUUACAGGGGCAACUCAAUAACAAAAUGUUAAGACAUAUCUUACAUGAAGCACUUAGCACAAAGUACUUAGUACAUUUUAGUCUAUAAGCAGCACCGUCAGUGUGUUAGUGCGGGUUCCACAAGGCAUUGUGGGAAGAGGUCUACAUCUGGAUGUAUCCUUCUUAAGUAUUAGUAGCCAACAUAAAGAUGUACCACUUUUGUGUAGGGAUUAUACCAUAAGAUACACUGUACUUAUGAUUUUUAUAUAUUCUUUCUUUGUACAAAUGCAUUUUCUUUUUUAUCUUGAAAUUCUUGAAAUAAAUUACAAUGCAGCAGGUGUUAUAUAUUUUGAGAGGUGUCAACUUCAUGUUAAAGAGGGAAAAUUACCUUUUCAUUAGCUUGUAGGACAAAAGCUUCCUAUGCGACAGACAAGAAUAAUUUAUACUGCAGGCAAUAGUCUUGUGAAAUUAUAAUUUUGCAUAAUCACAACCCACUGUUUUGAAGAUUUGCUCAUAGUUGAAAAUAUCAGUUCUUUCCUUCACUCUGUGUAAAAGAACACUCCACUGCCCAAAUACAAAAUAAAUAAAAAUCACUGUUUAAUGCAUUAAGUCAUGCCUUUUUUCAUUGGAGUUGUAUUGAAAAACAGAUUGCAAAGCCUACAUAUCUGUUGUCUGCAGUCUUUGCAAAUCUUCAUUUUCUAUAAAUUAUAAAAGUGUCACUUUCUAUUAAAAUCUGUACUUUUUGUAAAAUGAAAAAAAUAGGACACACUCUUCACACAUAGAGCAUUUCAGCAAACUAAAGUGCUUCAGGGGUCUGAAGUGUCCCUUUAAAUUUAUUUGAAAGGGCUAUCUCCCGAUGUAGACCCUUUGCUCAGGAUUUUUCAUAGAAUCCACCCAUAUCUCACUGUCACUUAUGGAUUCUUCUUUUACAUAUAUGGAAAUUUCUCUUAUAUAAUUGAAAAGCCUGGUAGAAAAACAGUAUUUGGAUAUAAGUGGUGAAUGUACCUUAGGACAAUAUAUUAGGCAAUGUACAUACUUGAUUUGAGCUGUUUUCAUUAUUCACUAAAGGUACCUGGCCAUGUUACUAAGCCAGAAUUCCUUUAUCUAAUCUUGCAUGAUCAAUACUUUUCUGUUUAGGCACCUCGGCCCUUUGCUUUUAACAAAGUGGUUUCAAAAUACCAGUAUUUGGCUGCUAAACAUAUAUAUAUUAAAUAUACAUGUAUAGUCGUCUGUUGUACUCUUCUGCCAAAACAAAUUUUUAAUAAGAGCCACUAGUACGUGAAAACAGGUACUUUUUUUACCUACACAGAAUACCGUUUUAUAUUAAAAAUUUUUUUUAAGAUUUUCAGUUUCAAUGUCACAAUGUAAUCAACCCCUUUUAAAAAAAAAAAAAAAGACUGCUUAUAUUAUCCAGUUUUUUUUUUACUUGAAUCUCCUCAAACUUGAAGCAUUAGACUGGGUAACACGGCAAUUAAGAGCUGACAGUCUGAGAUCACCAUCAAUACACUACAGCUCCUAAAAAUCAUAAUUAAUGAAUCAUUUUUAGGACUUUAUUCAGGGGGCUGUCAAAUGAAUGUGAUACUGUUACCGUUGUUUGAAUACCCAUGUAUAAAUGCAUCACAGUUUUGCAAGUAUUUUACUUGCCUAUAGCCAUUAUUCUGCUAUCAUAACAAAGGCAGUAGAGUGAAUGCUCUAGAUACUCAGGGGAAAGCAGACACAUUCAAUGGCUGAUAACCUGUUUGAUAAAAAGGAAGAUUACAUUGGAGAUGUGCAGUUAAAAUGUGUCCAAGGCACUGAUUGAUAACCUUGUGCCCUAGAUGUUAAAAAAAAUUCCCUUGAUGCUAUGCCAGCCUUUAUGCUGGUUUAGCAUAAUAGGAAAUGAAGUUCAGAAACAAAGAAAGAUAAAGAUAGCGAUCACAAGUCUAUGAUAAAAAAAAGUUAUGGACAAAUGUGUAAGAAUGCCUAUGAAAUAAAAUAUAUCAAUACAUACGCCCUAACAAAAAAAUGAACCAAUAAAAUUAAAAUGUAUAUAAUGUAUGUAUUGAAGCUUUAUAGAAAAAGGGAAAAGCAGUUACGUUAGCAUUUCUGAAAACACAAGCUACACUAUAAUACGAAAUAAUGUACAAUCUUGUCUUUUCAGUUCAAUUAACAAUCAAAUAAAUGACAAUAACCUUUGUUUAGUUUACCUUAUUCAGUCAAUACUUAGUGGCAAUUGCAAUGUAGUCAAGUGUUCAUUCUGCAUUUUAUUGACAUAAGAUAGUGUGAUAUGUUUUAGGCUUUUAGUUUGUGUUUUGUGAAAUUGCAUUCUUAAUCACAGCAAGGCAAACAAUUAGAGAAAACAAGUUAGGAACAGCCAUUCAAUUAAGAGACACGCAAACACAGACAAAACAAUAGCACAUCCCAAUGUAAAUUCUAGAUGGUAUUCUUAAAAGUAAAAAUUUAAUUUCCAUAUAUUUUAAAACUGUUCCUGUCAGAUGGCAGUAGUAUCCUAAAGUAUUGCACAUCAGCUUGCCUGCCUUUAGUGCCUUAUAAUAAACUAAAUUAAACUAAAUUAAAAAGAAAAGAAAGAAGGCAAACCAAUGGCUUUGACAGUGUCAGGAUACAAAGCAUUUAUUCAGAGUUUUAAAUCCUAACCUCGUAGUAUUUGAACAGCCAUGGGAAAAAUACAUAAGAGAAGCCAAAACUAUAUUACAAAACAGACUAAGGGAACACUGUAGAGAACAACCCCUACACAAUUAUAUAUGUAUACACACAAUCACAAAUUGCAAACAGAGGCUUGCAUUUUGUGUCCUCAUAGGAGUGGUCUAUAGCUCACUUGUAUCAUUACUGAAUAAUCUUGUUAAUGCACACCUCCAUUAGACCCUACUUAUAACUGCAGUGAGGAGAGCAAGUCUAUUCUUCAUGGGUGCUAUCAGGGAGUACUGCUAUUGGGUUGGAAGAAGGCUUUAAUUUGGCAUCUUUUUUUUAAUAAUGCAAGGUAUGUGGGAUGUUUUUAUCUGGAGACUGGAGUAUCUGUACGUAGGACGACAAUUACCCGUACAGUCCGUAAAUUUGGGCUUUAUGGCAAAGUGGCCGGAAGAAAGUCAUUACUUUCAGCAAAAAAACAAAUGGCACAUUUUGAGUUUGCGAAAAGGCAUGUGGAGACUCCCAAAAUGUAUGGAGGAAGGUGCUCUGGUCUGAUGAGACUAAAAUUGAACUUUCUGGCCAUCAAAGAAAACGCUAUGUCUGGCGCAAACCCAACACAUCACCCAAAGAACACCAUCCCCACAUCGAAACAUGGUGGUGGCAGCAUCAUGUUGUGGGGAUGUUUUUCUGCAGCUGGGACUGGUAAACUGGUCAGAGUUGAGGGAAAGAUGGAUGGAGCACCUGUGCGUGAUUUGAGGCUAGGACGGAAGUUCACUUUCCUGCAGGACAAUGACCCCAAACACACUGCUAAAGCAACACUUGAGUGGUUUAAACGGAAACAUGUAAAUGUGUUGGAAUGGCCUAGUCAAAGCCCAGACCUCAAUCCAAUAGAAAAUCUAUGAUCAGACUUAAAGAUUGCUGUUCACAAGCGCAAUCCAUCCAACUUGAAGGAGCUGGAGCAGUUUUGCAAGGAGGAAUGGGCAAAAAUCCCAGUGGUAAGAUGUGGCAAGCUCAUAGAGACUUAUCCAAAGCAACUUGGAGCUGUGAUUGCCGCAAAAAGUGGCUCUACAAUAUAUUGACUUUAGGGGGGUGAAUAGUUAUGCACAUUGACUUUUUCUGUUAUUUUGUCCUAUUUGUUGUAUGCUUCACAAUAAAAAAAAUUUAAAAAAAAUAUUCAAAGUUGUGGGCAUGUUCUGUAAAUUAAAUAAUGCAAAUCCUCAAACAAUCCAUGUUAAUUCCAGGUUGUGAGGCAACAAAACACGAAAAAUGCCAAGAGGAGUGAAUACUUUUGCAAGGCACUGUAGGUGUUUGCAGUUACUGUGUUCAUUAUGCAGAAGACACCUGCCUUUAAUUUUAGUUCUAGGAUGACCUCACUGGUGGGGCCUGUAUGAUAAGGCAAUAAACACUUUUGUGUGAAAUGGACACAUGCAAGGUAAAUUAAUUUGUGGUACAUCUAAACAGGAAGCGCCCAUGGUAUCAACUCAAAAUAUUUUGUCUUGUGCCAUUGAAUAUCUGUUACGAUCUGUUAUAUGUUCAUUUUAUCAGUCUGCUAUCAUAUUUGUAGAAGUUAAUUCUCAUUUACCGCAACAAAAAAAACUGUUAUUUCAGCAUUACAUUAAAUGCGGUCCUAGGAAUUUUAUUUCUGUCAAUGCUGAGCUUUUCUUUAAAACAAAAUAAACACAUUUUAAUUAAACAUGUUAAUUCUACUUUUUCAUGUUGUGUAUUGCUUAAUGUGGCUGCAUGCUGUUAGGAGGUAUCUAAGUUCAUGAUUACCUCUGUGGGGAAUUGACCCGUAUUUCAAUUUAAAUUAAGCAAUUAAAUAAUAAGAUUCAGACUACUGAAUUAGCAAGAGUAUUAUGGUGAAAUAAUGAAAACUUUUUGAUUAGAGAUCAACAACCACAUCUGUGUUCCAUAUAUAAAGCCACAUGAUUUUAAUUUCGUGGAACGUCAAACUUCAAAACUGCUUAGGGCCCUACUAAAACUGGUGUACAUUGCCAAUGCUUGGUGUGUAGGAGAGCUGUACACAAAUCUAUGAAAAUAAAUGAUACAUCUUUUACAAUUAGGUUAAUAUGUUUAGUAUUUGCUCUGUUUUGGGUAGUAAUAGGAGAGCAUGUAUCAAAUGAAGCUGAGAAAUGUGGAAUAAUUGAUAUACUUUCUAUAACUAGUUUAAACAAAAACAUACCAAAACAGAGAAAAACUUUCACAAAAACCAUAGCUCAGUUUGUCCUAAAUUUUGUGACAUGAGCAGUUUAUUAAUCUAGGUCAGAGAGGUGAGAGAGGUAAUUAUGUUUCAACAUAUACACUUUCAAAAUAAUAUGGUGAAAAGCUAAAGUUGUAAACCAAAAUUUAGACCUAAAUUGUGGAACUACAAAUUCAAAAGUUCUUUAUAAACCACUUCCAUACUAUGUCAAGGCAUCCAUAAUCUUAAUCUUACUGUACACUACUUAAACAGCCAACAACAUGUCUUCUCUAUUCAUCCAACUCUCAUCAUGUAAGGGCUGCCUGCUGAGUUCUGCCCUAUCCCUACUUGAACAUAUAAUUCCACAGAUAUUAAAUAACAAUAGGAAUAUGUUUUAAGAAGCUGCGCCUGAUGACAUCACUGGGAUUUUCCAUAGUACCAGGGCUGGUGCAAGGCCUGUCGCCAUAGGCAAAGAUCCAUUUUCUGUUAUCUGAUUAAUGCAACUUCAUUCUCUCAGAGUAGCUUGGUAUGCCCCUAAAAUUAGGAGCAGUGGGAUCCAGGAGUCAGUUCACAAAAAAGGCUUCUCUAUAUUGGGGUGGUUAGGAAGGAAACACAUCCAAUGUAUAUGGGGUGUAUGUCUUUAAAUCUGCUAAAAGGCAGAGUCAAAUGUUACACACCAAAUUGCUCUACUUAGGAUUUCAAGAUACACACUUUAAUUAAAAAAUAGAAAAAACAGUAUGAGGAACUGCUUUCUAUAUAUUAGAACCUAGUGUGGUUUAUGACUUUAAAUUGGUAAAAAGUGACAGGACCUGUAUCAAUGUCACGUACUACGAUGCAGAUAAAAAAGUAUAAGAAUUAAAUAUAGAAUCUAUCCUAUUAAUGACACUACAGGUCUAGGACAUAUAGAUAAAAAAUCAAAAAAGUGAUAUAAAAGGUAAUUAAAACUGAUAUAAAAUUAAAAUUUAUUUAAUCAUAACAGUAUUAAAAAUAACAUUAAAAAUAUGUUCAAAUACGAAGAGAAUCAAAAAAUAAGAAUCAGGAACGUGUUGCAAGAAUAUUACCAGCACUUCAGCAGUCCUAAUAUUAACUGAACCGCAGGGACCAUCCAGGAUGGAUAUGGAUACAGUAUACUUCUCACUGUGAUCUCUGGCUGUCGGCUGUGAGGUUGGCGUGCGUCCCAGACCUCACUCUGGGAGGUGCACGCUUGCCGAUCGGUCGGUCCCCAGAUGUUUGAAAAUCGUGUUCUCAGUAAGGAGAUGUUGUUGGCUGCUGGUGUACAAAGUUUCUGCGUCCGUAUCCUGUGUGUCUAACGCGUUUCGUGGGUGUCAGCCCCACUUCAUCAGAGACGUGAUGAAGAUUCAGUGAUCCAAGUUCAUUAAAUAUACAUUCAACUAAUUAUAAUUGAUAACAUCAGUAUCACUAUUAGAAACAAUUAGAAACAAUUAAAAACAAUUGAAAACAAUUGAAAAACAUUGAUCAGUGUUCAGCUCGUAUUACUUUAUACAUGCAAAUUAAAAAGAGCUCGUAAUUACAAGAAUAAAAUAGAAGUACUUAAUUGAUGUUCAAUUUUUCAUAUGUACAUCUAGAAAUUAAUUUAGAAAUAUGAGGAUGUAGAUUUACUGAUAUAGAUACGGAUAUAUCUAAAAUAAUACAGAUAUAUGUAUAGAAAUCUUAACUCUAUAAACGAAAUAAUUCACUAAGAGAGAUAGUUGGUUUAAUUUAGGUCCCUCAAGUGUAUAUCGAGAAGGGACUCGGAGGUGCAGAAACAAUGUGAGUUAAAAAUUGAUUAAGAUACAAAAUGAUCACAGAGUAAAAGGACUGGCUCCCGGAUGCAUGAAAGGGACACAUACUUUGUGUAUAGAGACUGAAAAACGAUCACAUAGUAUAAAAGUUCAUAAGGUGCAUUCAGAUAGUAUAAAGAAUGACAUGUAUUGUGUUUAUACAUGGAUGUAUUUAAAAAUAGAACACCGUUUUUACGUGCGAGUAUUUAAUAAAAUGUAUGUGGGAAAUAUAUGUCUCUAAUAUGAGUAGGAGACCUAAGGGAAAGAAGAUCUAUGGGAAAAGAAAGAAAAAUAUAAUAAAAUAAAAAUGAAUACAAUAAAUAGAUGUAUAGGUUGAUCGAAUCAAAAAAGGGGGUUGCACAGGGAGUGUGCAACACAUAAUAGAAACCACAAUGAUCUCCCAAAGUGGAUACUUCCAAGGGUGUAGUUACAUUAGACAUAAAUUUAGAAGGGGUUAAUUUUUACCUUCAAUGCUAAUAUGUGUAUCAAUCUUUGCUGUGAGCAUAAAGUGUGUGUGUGUGACGUGUGAGAAGAAGAUCGUGCAAUAGAAAUUAAUCUUCUGCGUGCGGUAUAUAGACUAAUUAUAGUUGUGUCCUCAAAAAUAUAAUGUGUGAUAGGAAUAGUAUUUAACAUACAUACAAAUAUAUAUAUGGUAUAUGAAUAGUGGUAUCAGAUAAUGAUAUUCAUAUAUGGGAGAUGUGGUAGAAGACAGAAUAAGCAUAUAUUAACUGUCCCCAAGUGUUCCCAGUUAUAUGAAAUGUAUAAUCCUGUACAAUUAAUCUCAAAGGUGACUAUAUUAAAGGGAGAACAGGAAAAAAAAAAAAAAAGGGUAGUUUUUAUAGAAUUUGUUGAAAAAAGGGUGUUAUAAAAAGGCAUUAAGUUCGAAGUCUAUAUUUAGACCAUUGGGGACAAGAGUCUCCAGAUUGAAAAUCCAUCUUGCCUCAAUUUGGUCUAGGUUCCUUUCAAGAUUUCCACCUCUCCAAUGUACAUUAACUUUUUCAAUCGGUAAGAACUUCAAUCCUGUAGAAUCUCCUCCAUGGAAUUCUUGAAAGUGUUUAGAAAGGUUAUGUGUUUGUAAUCCUCUCUUGAUGUUGCGUAUAUGUUCUGUCACUCUAAUUCUUAGAGAUCUUUUCGUUCUUCCCACAUAUUGUUUAGAGCAGGGACACGUGAUCAGAUAGAUCACUCCUGUUGUAUUGCAAUCCAUAUUGGUCUGUAAGUUAUGUUCUUCCAUGUUGGUUGUGGAUUGAAAUUUUGUGACCUCUAGUUCCAAGGAUGGAUUAUUUUUGCAUGCCAAACAUUUCGUGCAUCUUCUAAAGCUUUUCUUUGUUGAUUCAUUUUGUGUGUUACGAAAGGUUUUUAAUGUUGGAGCCAACAGGAGAUGGAGAUUUGGUGCUUUGGUAAAAAUAAUUUUUGGUUUGGGAUCUAGAAUUUUCAUGAGUGUGGGAUCAUUUCUAAGGAUAUCCCAAUGUUUGGUUAGAAUCUUCUCUAUACUGCGAGAUUGAUGGUUAAAUUUAGUUAUAAAGGCAGGUGUUGCUUCAUAGGUAUCUAUAAUUUUAUUUCUAUUCUUCAGGGUAUCUUCCCUUGGAAUAUUCUUUGCUCUUUUGUUUAGCCUCGGUGAGUAAGGUUAUGGGAUAUCCUUUAGUUCUAAAUCUCUGCUCCAUCUCUUCCAUUUGUUCCUCACAUGUCUCCAUUUUGGAGCAGUUCCUUCUGAUCCUUCUGAAUUGAUUAUAUGGGAUAUUCUUCAACCAAGUGUGCUUGUGAUGGCUAUUGAAAGGGAUAAAGCUAUUACAAUCCACUGAUUUCUUAAAUGUUUUAGUGUGUAUCCCACCAUCUUCAAUGUAGACAUUUAAGUCUAGAAAUUCGAUCUGUUGUUGAGAAUGGUUGAAGGUGAAUUUCAGAUUGUAGGGAUUAUUGUUGAGGUAGUCUUUGAACAAUUCUAGAGAUUUCAAAUCCCCUUUCCAGAUAAAAAAGCAGUCAUCAAUGUACCUACGCCAUANNNNNNNNNNNNNNNNNNNNNNNNNNNNNNNNNNNNNNNNNNNNNNNNNNNNNNNNNNNNNNNNNNNNNNNNNNNNNNNNNNNNNNNNNNNNNNNNNNNNGAAAUAACUAAACAUUUAGAUCUUAAUUUCCUUCCCUAUUGAGGGGAAGCUUAGAAGAUUGUGGUAGGGAGUUCCAAAGAUUUGUUGCCCUUUUUCUAUAUUUGUGUAUGAAUUUACCUUCUACAUCUUAGGUAGAAUGGUUUGGCAAUCCUCCCCACUGCAGAAUUCUAAAACUUUGUUUGACUGCCCCUCCCUUAAAUCUCUACUUAUCCCUCCGUAAACUACUUUUUUAACUCUCCCCUCUCCUUCAGCAGUUUCAGCUACAAUUUUCAUUUUAUUGUAUUGCUUUUUAUACUUUUUUUUCAUUAUAUAAAGGAAAAUGUAUUCAUACUUAUGUUUUAGAUCAAAGAAAACUUUGAUAAUUUGUCUAUCUACACCUUCCAAAUUGAUUGAUUAAUGCGUGCACGCUUUCCCUAGAAGUAAUUCACACCGGAGACAAAGUUUCUGAUCAGUGAAAAACCCAGGAAUGCUUUAUUCCCCGGAGUGGGGGCUCCUUCUUAAAGCAAAAAUACGUCACAGUUUAAACAUACAGUAUACAUUCACCAAUUGGUUAACAGUCUAAGGGGGGUCUUGUAUAAACCCCCCUACAAUAUGUAGUGUCAUCAUUACAGACUUCUGGAUACACGAUGGGAGGGGGAGUGAGUAGUUUCUUUCAGUUACUUUAACAGUGAUUCUCCAUUUUGUUAUACGUGGCAUAUAGCUGUUAACUGGCACAAAGGUAGUGGGGGAGGAGUUAGUAAAGGGAGCUGUUAUCACAGGAAUUUUGGUUACACAAGGUUUGCUUGAUUUGAAGGGGGAUGCUUAGCACGAUGAAGAAUUUACAUAGUAAACAGCAACUGAACACAUUGUAGGGAGGGAAGGGAAUAUUUACUCUAGCAGCCAGUUUUAACAUAGUGAACAGAGAAUAAAUAGACAUUAGUAAAUAGCCAAAAUGGUCUGGUAUGCCUAUUGCAACACCCAGGGAUGAGGGAGUCCGACUUAUAGCGAAAUGUCUCAAACUGGAUAAUGGCAGGGGUUUCACCAAAUACCCCGCCUUAAGAAUAGGAGUAGCUUGGUAUGCCCCUAAAAUUAGGAGCAGUGGGAUCCAGGAGUCAGUUCACAAAAAAGGCUUCUCUAUAUUGGGGUGGUUAGGAAGGAAACACAUCCAAUGUAUAUGGGGUGUAUGUCUUUAAAUCUGCUAAAAGGCAGAGUCAAAUGUUACACACCAAAUUGCUCUACUUAGGAUUUCAAGAUACACAUUUUAAUUAAAAAAUAGAAAAAACAGUAUGAGGAACUGCUUUCUAUAUAUUAGAACCUAGUGUGGUUUAUGACUUAAAAUUGGUAAAAAGUGACAGGACCUGUAUCAAUGUCACGUACUACGAUGCAGAUAAAAAAGUAUAAAAAUCAAAUAUAGAAUCUAUCCUAUUAGUGACACUACAGGUCUAGGACAUAUAGAUAAAAAAAUCAAAAAAGUGAUAUAAAAAGUAAUUAAAACUGAUAUAAAAUUAAAAUUUAUUUAAUCAUAACAGUAUUAAAAAUAACAUUAAAAAUAUGUUCAAAUACGAAGAGAAUCAAAAAAUAAGAAUCAGGAACGUGUUGCAAGAAUAUUACCAGCACUUCAGCAGUCCUAAUAUUAACUGAACCGCAGGGACCAUCCAGGAUGGAUAUGGAUACAGUAUACUUCUCACUGUGAUCUCUGGCUGUCGGCUGUGAGGUUGGCGUGCGUCCCAGACCUCACUCUGGGAGGUGCACGCUUGCCGAUCGGUCGGUCCCCAGAUGUUUGAAAAUCGUGUUCUCAGUAAGGAGAUGUUGUUGGCUGCUGGUGUACAAAGUUUCUGCGUCCGUAUCCUGUGUGUCUAACGCGUUUCGUGGGUGUCAGCCCCACUUCAUCAGAGACGUGAUGAAGAUUCAGUGAUCCAAGUUCAUUAAAUAUACAUUCAACUAAUUAUAAUUGAUAACAUCAGUAUCACUAUUAGAAACAAUUAGAAACAAUUAAAAACAAUUGAAAACAAUUGAAAAACAUUGAUCAGUGUUCAGCUCGUAUUGCUUUAUACAUGCAAAUUAAAAAGAGCUCGUAAUUACAAGAAUAAAAUAGAAGUACUUAAUUGAUGUUCAAUUUUUCAUAUGUACAUCUAGAAAUUAAUUUAGAAAUACGAGGAUGUAGAUUUACUGAUAUAGAUACGGAUAUAUCUAAAAUAAUACAGAUAUAUGUAUAGAAAUCUUAACUCUAUAAACGAAAUAAUUCACUAAGAGAGAUAGUUGGUUUAAUUUAGGUCCCUCAAGUGUAUAUCGAGAAGGGACUCAGAGGUGCAGAAACAAUGUGAGUUAAAAGUUAAUUAAGAUACAAAAUGAUCACAGAGUAAAAGGACUGGCUUCCGGAUGCAUGAAAGGGACACAUACUUUGUGUAUAGAGACUGAAAAACGAUCACAUAGUAUAAAAGUUCAUAAGGUGCAUUCAGAUAGUAUAAAGAAUGACAUGUAUUGUGUUUAUACAUGGAUGUAUUUAAAAAUAGAACACCGUUUUUACGUGCGAGUAUUUAAUAAAAUGUAUGUGGAAAAUAUAUGUCUCUAAUAUGAGUAGGAGACCUAAGGGAAAGAAGAUCUAUGGGAAAAGAAAGAAAAAUAUAAUAAAAUAAAAAUGAAUACAAUAAAUAGAUGUAUAGGUUGAUCGAAUCAAAAAAGGGGGUUGCACAGGGAGUGUGCAACACAUAAUAGAAACCACAAUGAUCUCCCAAAGUGGAUACUUCCAAGGGUGUAUUUACAUUAGACAUAAAUUUAGAAGGGGUUAAUUUUUACCUUCAAUGCUAAUAUGUGUAUCAAUCUUUGCUGUGAGCAUAAAUGUGUGUGUGUGACGUGUGAGAAGAAGAUCGUGCAAUAGAAAUUAAUCUUCUGCGUGCGGUAUAUAGACUAAUUAUAGUUGUGUCCUCAAAAAUAUAAUGUGUGAUAGGAGUAGUAUUUAACAUACAUACAAAUAUAUAUAUGGUAUAUGAAUAGUGGUAUCAGAUAAUGAUAUUCAUAUAUGGGAGAUGUGGUAGAAGACAGAGUAAGCAUAUAUUAACUGUCCCCAAGUGCUCCCAGUUAUAUGAAAUGUAUAAUCCUGUACAAUUAAUCUCAAAGGUGACUAUAUUAAAGGGAGAACAGAAAAAAAAAAAAAAAAAGGGUAGUUUUUAUAGAAUUUGUUGUAAAAAGGGUGUUAUAAAAAGGCAUUAAGUUCGAAGUCUAUAUUUAGACCGUUGGGGACAAGAGUCUCCAGAUUGAAAAUCCAUCUUGCCUCAAUUUGGUCUAGGUUCCUUUCAAGAUUUCCACCUCUCCAAUGUACAUUAACUUUUUCAAUCGGUAAGAACUUCAAUCCUGUAGAAUCUCCUCCAUGGAAUUCUUGAAAGUGUUUAGAAAGGUUAUGUGUUUGUAAUCCUCUCUUGAUGUUGCGUAUAUGUUCUGUCACUCUAAUUCUUAGAGAUCUUUUUGUUCUUCCCACAUAUUGUUUAGAGCAGGGGCACGUGAUCAGAUAGAUCACUCCUGUUGUAUUGCAAUCCAUAUUGGUCUGUAAGUUAUGUUCUUCCAUGUUGGUUGUGGAUUGAAAUUUUGUGACCUCUAGUUCCAAGGAUGGAUUAUUUUUGCAUGCCAAACAUUUCGUACAUCUUCUAAAGCUUUUCUUUGUUGAUUCAUUUUGUGUGUUACGAAAGGUUUUUAAUGUUGGAGCCAACAGGAGAUGGAGAUUUGGUGCUUUGGUAAAAAUAAUUUUUGGUUUGGGAUCUAGAAUUUUCAUGAGUGUGGGAUCAUUUCUAAGGAUAUCCCAAUGUUUGGUUAGAAUCUUCUCUAUACUGCGAGAUUGAUGGUUGAAUUUAGUUAUAAAGGCAGGUGUUGCUUCAUAGGUAUCUAUAAUUUUAUUUCUAUUCUUCAGGGUAUCUUCCCUUGGAAUAUUCUUUGCUUUUUGUUUAGCCUCGGUGAGUAAGGUUAUGGGAUAUCCUUUAGUUCUAAAUCUCUGCUCCAUCUCUUCCAUUUGUUCCUCACAUGUCUCCAUUUUGGAGCAGUUCCUUCUGAUCCUUCUGAAUUGAUUAUAUGGGAUAUUCUUCAACCAAGUGUGCUUGUGAUGGCUAUUGAAAGGGAUAAAGCUAUUACAAUCCACUGAUUUCUUAAAUGUUUUAGUGUGUAUCCCACCAUCUUCAAUGUAGACAUUUAAGUCUAGAAAUUCGAUCUGUUGUUGAGAAUGGUUGAAGGUGAAUUUCAGAUUGUAGGGAUUAUUGUUGAGGUAGUCUUUGAACAAUUCUAGAGAUUUCAAAUCCCCUUUCCAGAUAAAAAAGCAGUCAUCAAUGUACCUACGCCAUAGGGACAGAUUUGCGUCAAAAGGGCAAUCGUUCCAUAUGAAUUCCUCUUCCCAUUUGCCCUUAAAUAAAUUAGCGUAGCUUGGCGCAAAUCUUGUCCCCAUGGCUGUACCCUCUAUCUGCAAAUAAAAACAGUCAUUGCACCAAAAAUAAUUGUGUGUAAGAAUAAAUGCAAUGCACUGUAUUAAAAAAUCAAUUUGGUCAUUUUUUAAUUCCGUAUAUACUGCUAGGGAGUAUUGGAUGGCUUCGCAUCCUUGUAGAUGUUCGAUCACCGUGUAUAGUGAAGUGACGUCCGCUGUGACUAAAACCAUAUCCUCUGUCCAAUUAAAAUCAGCUAAAAGGUUUAAAAUCUGUGUGGAGUCUCUGAGGUAGGAUUUGAGAUGAGGUACAAUUUUUUGUUGGUAUUGGUCUACGUAUUCAGAGAGGUUUGCUGUGAGGGAUCCAAUUCCUGAUAUAAUUGGUCUACCUGGUGGUUUAGAUAACUGUUUGUGAAUUUUAGGUAGAUGAUAAAAUACUGGUAUUCGUGGAAAUUGGGUAAAUAUAUACCGAAAUUCUCUAUCGUUAAUGAUCCCCCUCUCUCUCCCUUGAUCCAAUAUAAUUCUCAGUUUCUCUUUAAAUUGUGNNNNNNNNNNNNNNNNNNNNNNNNNNNNNNNNNNNNNNNNNNNNNNNNNNNNNNNNNNNNNNNNNNNNNNNNNNNNNNNNNNNNNNNNNNNNNNNNNNNNUCCACGUAUUCGAUAUUGGAGCAGGACCCUACAACACAAUUUAAAGAGAAACUGAGAAUUAUAUUGGAUCAAGGGAGAGAGAGGGGGAUCAUUAACGAUAGAGAAUUUCGGUAUAUAUUUACCCAAUUUCCACGAAUACCAGUAUUUUACCAUCUACCUAAAAUUCACAAACAGUUAUCUAAACCACCAGGUAGACCAAUUAUAUCAGGAAUUGGAUCCCUCACAGCAAACCUCUCUGAAUACGUAGACCAAUACCUACAAAAAAUUAUACCUCAUCUCAAAUCCUACCUCAGAGACUCCACACAGAUUUUAAACCUUUUAGCUGAUUUUAAUUGGACAGAGGAUAUGGUUUUAGUCACAGCGGACGUCACUUCACUAUACACGGUGAUCGAACAUCUACAAGGAUGCGAAGCCAUCCAAUACUCCCUAGCAGUAUAUACGGAAUUAAAAAAUGACCAAAUUGAUUUUUUAAUACAGUGCAUUGCAUUUAUUCUUACACACAAUUAUUUUUGGUGCAAUGACUGUUUUUAUUUGCAGAUAGAGGGUACAGCCAUGGGGACAAGAUUUGCGCCAAGCUACGCUAAUUUAUUUAUGGGCAAAUGGGAAGAGGAAUUCAUAUGGAACGAUUGCCCUUUUGACGCAAAUCUGUCCCUAUGGCGUAGGUACAUUGAUGACUGCUUUUUUAUCUGGAAAGGGGAUUUGAAAUCUCUAGAAUUGUUCAAAGACUACCUCAACAAUAAUCCCUACAAUCUGAAAUUCACCUUCAACCAUUCUCAACAACAGAUCGAAUUUCUAGACUUAAAUGUCUACAUUGAAGAUGGUGGGAUACACACUAAAACAUUUAAGAAAUCAGUGGAUUGUAAUAGCUUUAUCCCUUUCAAUAGCCAUCACAAGCACACUUGGUUGAAGAAUAUCCCAUAUAAUCAAUUCAGAAGGAUCAGAAGGAACUGCUCCAAAAUGGAGACAUGUGAGGAACAAAUGGAAGAGAUGGAGCAGAGAUUUAGAACUAAAGGAUAUCCCAUAACCUUACUCACCGAGGCUAAACAAAGAGCAAAGAAUAUUCCAAGGGAAGAUACCCUGAAGAAUAGAAAUAAAAUUAUAGAUACCUAUGAAGCAACACCUGCCUUUAUAACUAAAUUCAACCAUCAAUCUCGCAGUAUAGAGAAGAUUCUAACCAAACAUUGGGAUAUCCUUAGAAAUGAUCCUACACUCAUGAAAAUUCUAGAUCCCAAACCAAAAAUUAUUUUUACCAAAGCACCAAAUCUCCAUCUCCUGUUGGCUCCAACAUUAAAAACCUUUCGUAACACACAAAAUGAAUCAACAAAGAAAAGCUUUAGAAGAUGCACGAAAUGUUUGGCAUGCAAAAAUAAUCCAUCCUUGGAACUAGAGGUCACAAAAUUUCAAUCCACAACCAACAUGGAAGAACAUAACUUACAGACCAAUAUGGAUUGCAAUACAACAGGAGUGAUCUAUCUGAUCACGUGUCCCUGCUCUAAACAAUAUGUGGGAAGAACGAAAAGAUCUCUAAGAAUUAGAGUGACAGAACAUAUACGCAACAUCAAGAGAGGAUUACAAACACAUAACCUUUCUAAACACUUUCAAGAAUUCCAUGGAGGAGAUUCUACAGGAUUGAAGUUCUUACCGAUUGAAAAAGUUAAUGUACAUUGGAGAGGUGGAAAUCUUGAAAGGAACCUAGACCAAAUUGAGGCAAGAUGGAUUUUCAAUCUGGAGACUCUUGUCCCCAAUGGUCUAAAUAUAGACUUCGAACUUAAUGCCUUUUUAUAACACCCUUUUUUCAACAAAUUCUAUAAAAACUACCCUUUUUUUUUUUUUUUCCUGUUCUCCCUUUAAUAUAGUCACCUUUGAGAUUAAUUGUACAGGAUUAUACAUUUCAUAUAACUGGGAACACUUGGGGACAGUUAAUAUAUGCUUAUUCUGUCUUCUACCACAUCUCCCAUAUAUGAAUAUCAUUAUCUGAUACCACUAUUCAUAUACCAUAUAUAUAUUUGUAUGUAUGUUAAAUACUAUUCCUAUCACACAUUAUAUUUUUGAGGACACAACUAUAAUUAGUCUAUAUACCGCACGCAGAAGAUUAAUUUCUAUUGCACGAUCUUCUUCUCACACGUCACACACACACACUUUAUGCUCACAGCAAAGAUUGAUACACAUAUUAGCAUUGAAGGUAAAAAUUAACCCCUUCUAAAUUUAUGUCUAAUGUAACUACACCCUUGGAAGUAUCCACUUUGGGAGAUCAUUGUGGUUUCUAUUAUGUGUUGCACACUCCCUGUGCAACCCCCUUUUUUUUUUUUUUUGAUUCGAUCAACCUAUACAUCUAUUUAUUGUAUUCAUUUUUAUCUUAUUAUAUUUAUCUUUCUUUUCCCAUAGAUCUUCUUUCCCUUAGGUCUCCUACUCAUAUUAGAGACAUAUAUUUCCCACAUACAUUUUAUUAAAUACUCGCACGUAAAAACGGUGUUCUAUUUUUAAAUACAUCCAUGUAUAAACACAAUACAUGUCAUUCUUUAUACUAUCUGAAUGCACCUUAUGAACUUUUAUACUAUGUGAUCGUUUUUCAGUCUCUAUACACAAAGUAUGUGUCCCUUUCAUGCAUCCGGAAGCCAGUCCUUUUACUCUGUGAUCAUUUUGUAUCUUAAUCAAUUUUUAACUCACAUUGUUUCUGCACCUCUGAGUCCCUUCUCGAUAUACACUUGAGGGACCUAAAUUAAACCAACUAUCUCUCUUAGUGAAUUAUUUCGUUUAUAGAGUUAAGAUUUCUAUACAUAUAUCUGUAUUAUUUUAGAUAUAUCCGUAUCUAUAUCAGUAAAUCUACAUCCUCAUAUUUCUAAAUUAAUUUCUAGAUGUACAUAUAAAAAAUUGAACAUCAAUUAAGUACUUCUAUUUUAUUCUUGCAAUUACGAGCUCUUUUUAAUUUGCAUGUAUAAAGUAAUACGAGCUGAACACUGAUCAAUGUUUUUCAAUUGUUUUCAAUUGUUUUUAAUUGUUUCUAAUUGUUUCUAAUAGUGAUACUGAUGUUAUCAAUUAUAAUUAGUUGAAUGUAUAUUUAAUGAACUUGGAUCACUGAAUCUUCAUCACGUCUCUGAUGAAGUGGGGCUGACACCCACGAAACGCGUUAGACACACAGGAUACGGACGCAGAAACUUUGUACACCAGCAGCCAACAACAUCUCCUUACUGAGAACACGAUUUUCAAACAUCUGGGGACCGACCGAUCGGCAAGCGUGCACCUCCCAGAGUGAGGUCUGGGACGCACGCCAACCUCACAGCCGACAGCCAGAGAUCACAGUGAGAAGUAUACUGUAUCCAUAUCCAUCCUGGAUGGUCCCUGCGGUUCAGUUAAUAUUAGGACUGCUGAAGUGCUGGUAAUAUUCUUGCAACACGUUCCUGAUUCUUAUUUUUUGAUUCUCUUCGUAUUUGAACAUAUUUUUAAUGUUAUUUUUAAUACUGUUAUGAUUAAAUAAAUUUUAAUUUUAUAUCAGUUUUAAUUACCUUUUAUAUCACUUUUUUGAUUUUUUAUCUAUAUGUCCUAGACCUGUAGUGUCAUUAAUAGGAUAGGUUCUAUAUUUAAUUUUUAUACUUUUUUAUCUGCAUCGUAGUACGUGACAUUGAUACAGGUCCUGUCACUUUUUACCAAUUUAAAGUCAUAAACCACACUAGGUUCUAAUAUAUAGAAAGCAGUUCCUCAUACUGUUUUUUCUAUUUUUUAAUUAAAGUGUGUAUCUUGAAAUCCUAAGUAGAGCAAUUUGGUGUGUAACAUUUGACUCUGCCUUUUAGCAGAUUUAAAGACAUACACCCCAUAUACAUUGGAUGUGUUUCCUUCCUAACCACCCCAAUAUAGAGAAGCCUUUUUUGUGAACUGACUCCUGGAUCCCACUGCUCCUAAUUUUAGGGGCAUACCAAGCUACUCCUAUUCUUAAGGCGGGGUAUUUGGUGAAACCCCUGCCAUUAUCCAGUUUGAGACAUUUCGCUAUAAGUCGGACUCCCUCAUCCCUGGGUGUUGCAAUAGGCAUACCAGACCAUUUUAACUUCAUUCUCUCAGAGGUUUAUUCACUAAGCUCUGAAUUUCAAAGUUUAAGCAAGAACAGCUGUGUUACCUAAUACAUAUAUCCAUACACACAGGCUUCCUGUACCCUACAGGUGUCAAUUUAAAAUACUAACCCUCACCAUAAAGCCCUAACCAACUCUAUCACCUCUUACAUUUCUUCACUGAUUCAUAGGUAUGCCCCCUCUCUGUCUCUCCGCUCUACUGGUGACCUUCUCCUAUCUACUGCUUGCACCCUUACUGCAAAUUCACGCCUGCAAGACUUCUCACUAGCUGCUCCUUUCCUUUGGAACAACCUGCAUACCCCUGUCAGACUCUUCCCUAGUCUUCAAUUCUUUAAGAUGUCCCUCAAAACCCAUCUUUUCAGGAUUGCUUAUGGCCUGCAAUAGUAACUUCUAUCUCUCAAACCUUCCUCUUGCUCUCUUCUAAAGGGCCACACUCCACUCUUACCUCUAGUUCUGCUACUUUCCCUCCAUGUCUAUUUUCUGUCUCCCUCAAUACACUUCCUAUUGUGUUUUUAUACCCCACCUCCUCUAGAUUGUAAGUUGGUUUGAGCAGGGUCCUCAACUAGCUAUUGUUCCUGUUACAUUUUGUUAUUGUCUCAUUUGGUAAAUUCCCCUCUUAUUGUAAAGCACUGCAGAAUAAGCUGGCACUAUAUAAAUAAUAAUAAUAAUAAUAAUACAUACACCCAUCUACACAUGCUGCCUAAUGCAUACAGUACAUACAUCUAUACACAUAUAUUGCCCAGUACAUAAAUCCAUAUACGCAUUCUGCUUAAUGCACACAUCCAUACACACAUACUGCCUAAUACAUACAGUACAUACAUCAAUGCACACAUAUUACCUAAUACAUACAUCCAUUCUCACAUACUGCCUAAUGAAUACAGUACAUACACCCAUACACAUACUGUCUUAUACAUACAUCAAUACACAUGUACUGCCUAUUGCAUACUUCCAUACAUUCAUACUGCCUAAUACAUAUCUUACAUUGAAUAAAUAAUUUAUCACUGUGACAAAUGAUGUAUUCAAUGUAUUUGGUGGGAUUUAAUUCAUAAUAAUCAUGGCAUUUAAUUUAUAAUAAUGGUAGGAUUUGAUUUACAAUAAUGGUGGGAUUCAAUUUAUGUUACAAUAAACUUGUCUGACAGGUUCACUGUAAAACAAAAUUCAAUAUAAGAUAAAUAUAUUAAUAUGUAUUAUAAAAUAUAAUUUAAUAUAUAGGGAUCUGGCAUACACACGCACACACUCUCGCUGACAUACACACUCAAAGUAGAACAAAAAUAGAGAGGUCCACGCACUCCAGAUCUCAGUAAAAUAGGCAGUUUAUUGAACUCACAGCCAAAGCAACGCUUCGACCAAACUGGUUUUUGUCAAGCAUGACAAAGACCAGUUUGGUUUAAACGUUGCUUUGGCUGUGUGUUCAGUAAACUGCCUAGACCGCUCUAUUUUUGUUCUACGUAUCUAUUGGUCUCUUGGUACUGGGGCCGACCUGGUUCCACCCAGACUCAGAUUACUUCCAUCUUAGUUCCAUCUUAUUUUCUACAAAUAAACACACAAAGUGUCCUGGUUCCCUCCUUAGGUGAUAUCCCCUUGUGCAGUACCAUUGAUCACCACUUACCCUGUUUGGUGAUAUUCCCUACAUCUAGGAACAUUAGCACUUCAGCCUUUAUGGUCUGGCCUCACCCUUCCUUCUGGGCCAGAUCAUUGUUUCAUUUUUCUUGUUGCAGUAUAGGCAUUGUACCUUGUGGCUCUAUACCCUGUGUCUCUGGCCUUGCAUCCUGUGACUCUGGCUUUGCAUCUGGUGACUCUGUAUCUUGUGACCCUGGCCUUGCAUCCUUUCGCUCUGACUGUGCAUCCUGUGGCUCUGGACUUGAACCCUGUCUAUUUCCUAUGCAACAUACCUGUUCCUGCCCAGCAUACUCUAUUUAACCCAGAAGGACUGUACCAUGAAACACAGUCCGCACCUCCUGUGCUAGACCUUGGUCUACUGUAUGAUUUAUAUUGUCACUGGAUUAGUGUAUUUUAUUCUUUGGUUACCUUGUAUCUUAUUUGUUUACUUCUUAUAAUAUAAUUCAUGUCUGCAUUCAUUCCUUGUGGUUGUCAGUUAUUUUCUCUGCAUAUUGGGUUCCUGUUCUUGAAGGGAUUUGCUGUCAUAGGUCAGCACCUCUUCCCACCCUCACAGACCCUGACACAAAGUCACUUGCACACUCACUAAACACACAUACACACUUUUACUGACAUAUAUGCACACAAUGUCACUUACAUACUCUCACUAAAACAUACACUGUUACUGAUAUACACACACAAUGUCACUCACACAGUUUACAUAGUCACACUUUAUUUAACCACACACAAACAAAUCAACUUAACACAAAAUUGCCCCCUUAGCCUCCAGAUGGGCCAUACCCAUGCUAAUGCUGGAAAUGAAGGAAACAAGCCCCACACAGGAGCAGCCCACCAGAUAACUUCCUGGUAGGCUUCCCUAACACAUCGCUGUCCCAGGCAAAUGGUGCUAGCAUACAGUAAACCAUAUAAUUUUUAAACUUUUAUUUUUGACCUUCCUUACUAAUAGCGAAGUACAAGGUAUAAAUAAUUGUUGUCUUACUAUAUAGACUAUUUCCACACAUAUAGCUUAAAACAACUUCUACACUGACUAAUAUAUAGAUUCUGCCACUAAUAUACAUAUUCCUCACUGCCAUGUACAAUUGUAUCUGCCUCUUUUUAAGUUAUCUUAUACAUGGACAAGUGGAAACACUAAAAGCUAUAUACUAAGAACUUGAAGCCCCUACUGAAGUUCAUUUUCUUUAUUUAUCUGAAGUUUAUUUUCUUUACCUACAUACACAACCAAUAAGAGUGGAUCUUUCAAAACGUCUAACUACGGGGUGAAAUGAAUUGUGUGCUAUUUUUUUUUUUGUAUUACUACUUUUCAAAUUCAUUUAAUCUAUAAUUGCUACCUCUGAAUCCUCCUGUUAUCCUGAUGUUGGAACAUCAUUCCUUGUAUAUCCCACCUAAAAUUUUGGAUUGAGCAUAAACUAUUUCUGUAAACCAAGUGAGUAGAUCUUCUGUUAUUUUGACUUUAUUUUAAUACAACGUGCACUAUAUUUUAUUUUUUGUUUUCAUAUAUCACAGUGAGAGUUUUAACCUUCAUAUAUCCGAGAGAGAUCUGUACAUAUAUCCACGAGCCAUCAAAAGGACCCAAGUCUCUUUUCAGCCUUUAUAAAUAAGUAACUAUGUAACAUUGCUGUUUUCCUAAAAAAAGAAAAAAAUAUGGUGUCAAUUAUAUGACCAGUGGGAUUAUGAGUAAUGUCCCUGUUGGCUCGGUCCACCUGUUGGGCUACCAAGCUUUGCCUGGACAUAGUUACAUAGUUACAUAGCUGAAAAGAGACUUGCGUCCAUCAAGUUCAGCCUUCCUCACAUAUGUUUUUGUUGUUGUUGUUGAUCCAAAAGAAGGCAAAAAACAUAGUUGAAGCGCUUCCAAUUUUGCAACAAACUAGGAAAAAAAUCCUUCUUGACCCCAUAAUAUAGUAGUCCGAUGUCUCCUUGGAUCAAGAAGCUAUUACCCCACUAAUUUGAAAUUGUAUCCAUGUAUUUUGUGUUUUUGCAAGUAUUUAUCCAAUCGCAGUUUAAACAUCUGUAUGGACUCUGAUAAAACCACUUCUUCAGGCAGAGAAUUCCAUAUCCGUAUUGCUCUCACUGUAAAAACAACAACUUUUCUUUGCCUCUUUUCUGUGCCACAUUAAAAAUGAACAUUUUUACUGCCAAAGCAUAGGGAAGUAUACUGAAUCAUAUUAAAAGCUUGCACUCAAUUCUUUUGACCACCAUUUAAUACACUUGAACAGAUUAAGCUACUGUACCCCUUUUGCCUUAUUAGCAGAAAUAAAUCAACCUAGUUAUCCUAAUCGACCUAAGGCCCAGCACUCCGUAGUAACCCCUUGAUGGAUAUUUUACUGGUUUGUCAUCUAUGGCACUGAAUUUGGACUUGUGUGUGAGGGAGGUUGUUUGCUUUAUUUUUUAUAAUUACUAAAUAUCCACUAGCAGAAAGAAAAGAAAGAAAAAAACCUCUUUAUGCUUUUUUUUUUCCAAAGAUAAUACUGUUGAGAAGAGAAGGUAGAGUGAGUGACAGUUUAAUUUGUUUAUUUUUGUAGUGUCUGCAGUCUUACUGCCAGGCUCAUUAACUUUUUUAAACUUUUUCCUUCCUCUGUGUCAAGGUAGAAUUAUAUUGGUAUCACAACAGCUGGGGUUCUUUUAUUUCUUUCCAGAUUAUUGCACUUUAUUUCUGGCAAAGGAAUAGAAAACCUGAGAUUGUCACCAGCUACGACUUUCACUUCAAAAACAUUUGAAGGAUAGAAUGCUUAUCUUUGACAUAAUUAGUAUAGUGAGUAACUGUGUUUCCACUCAACCAAGCCUUAAUGGGUGGCAUUACAUAUGAUAUUAUUUAUGCAAUCAUUAACUAUUAAUAUAUAAAAAUGGCAUGUGAACCUAUGCUUAGCAUGCAUAAAACCACAACGUUAAAACAAUUAAAUUCUAUACUGUGAUGUUCAACAUGGCUUUCAGUCCAAAUAAAUGUAUUAAUGUGUAAAACAGUCAUUGAGCUCUGCAUCUUUUUGACAUCUUAUCAACUGAGCUUGUUUUAAAAUUAAAUAUUAUAAGGGGUUAAUUAAGUAAUUGGUUCUGCUGAUUUUAAAACACCAGGAACAAUAGAACAAGAGACUUCACUGUCUGUAUAAAAGUACACUGAUCAGAUACACAGGAGCUGUAUCCCUGGUUAACAGUGCAAAGAUGGUAGACACAGUCAACCUUUCACUAUAUGUCAACAGUCAACACUCACUCAGUCAGAAUAAUAGCAGAUGAGCUGUAUUACAGCUCCUUAGUCAAUUCUUUAAUCAGUUGAAAAAUAUAGGACACAAGCCAGGGUUACCAGAUAUACCAUUUUUACAGGGACACAUAUAAUGUCAUAUUUAUGAAAAGGAGUGAAAACGGUUGCCCUAUAAUAUGUAUAAUGCAUAUUCUGCAUGAGUUCCUAAUCGCUUUUGCAUGAAUCUUCAUUGCCUAAUUGCUUAAUCUUAUACACCUUCUUCUGAAUUUUGCACUUUACAGUGCUACCCUCAUCAUGUGCUGCCCAUUAAUAUGUAUAUAUGAUAUGUGUCCUAGAACACAUGGUGGAUCUGCUUACCGUGAACACAACACAUCACCAAUGUGAAUUCCUAUGUGUGAAUACUAUUUCAUGGUGCACAUUUGGCUACAUAAUGUAGAUAACAUUUCAACAUGCUUAUUUUAGGAAGCCAACAUCAGUUUCCAACUGGCAAGACAUCUAACAUACAAAUGAUAGACCUCUUAGUGUGUUCAAGGAAAUUCAACACUAUGUACCAAAAUAAAGUCUAUGAUAGGAGUGGAAUAAUGCCACAAUGUUCAGGUAUUUUUAUUUUUUUUAGUUAGUUUUAUACUUGUCCCUGUUUUGUUUUCUCUUUAUUAUGCCUCUCUUGGCAAAGUAAAAGAGAACACUUUACUGUCCAAAUACAAAAUAAAUACAAAUCACUGUUUAGUAGAUAUACACAAACAAAAACAUGCAUGUAUUUUAAUUAUGCAUUGUUUUCAUUGAAAGUAUAUCUAAAACCAGGUUGCAAAACCUGCAGAUAUUUUGUCUGCUGCCUUUGCAAGCCCUCCUCUUUUAACCCCGCCCAGGCUUUAUAUGAAUGUCCAAUCACAGACUUCCCAAUGCAGCUUAAUGAAAAGUCUUUGAAAGGCAGGUGCACUGGACAAUUGCUGCCUCUUGAACUCAGUGCAAAUAAGCUAACCAAUCCAGGAAGUAGUAAUACCUGUUGUCUGCUUGAAAAUCUAUAGGGGUAAAACCAGUAUAAUUUAUAAAUGUGUCAAUUUUCAAAAUGAAAAUAAGAGGACACACUCUUCACAAAUAAAGCUUUUCACCAAGCUAAAGUGCUUUUAUAAUUACUUUGGAUUCCACUAUCACCUGAAUGCUGAUGACACCCAGAUAUAUCUCUUCUCCCCUGAUUGUUCACCUGCUGUCCUAGAACAUGUCACUGCUUGCCUUUAUUCCAUCUCGGAUUGGAUGUCCUCCCGCUUUCUGAAACUCAUUCUCUCAAAACUGAGUUUCUUAUUUUUCCUCCACAUGAUACUAAUUCUCCUCUUUUGCUCUACUUGCAAGUUGAUUGUACCUGCAUCAGCCCGUUCUUGACAAUUCCUGUUGAUUCCAUCUUCGAAACAUUGCCCCCAUUCACACCUUUCUUAUGCAAGAUGCUACUAAGGAACUUGUUCGUGCUCUAGUCAUGUCUCAUAUUGAUUACUGUAAUUCUCUGAUCAUUUUCUUUCUGCAGUCCAUAAUUAAUGCUCCUCUGUCAAUCCUUUCAUUGGCUUCCUGUACCCUAUAGGAGUUAAUCCAAAAUACUAAACCUUACCUAUAAAGUUUUAGACAAUUCUAGACCAUUACAUUUCUUCACUAAGUCAAACAUUGUUUCACUUCUCUUCUUCUUUGGAUACUUUGUCUACUGUCCUUUAUCAGUUUGCCAGUUGCAAAAGACAGAGUUUAUAAAAAUUAUUGACAGGGAACUAAGGUGGACAUGUCCAGAUGCAGAAUAAAGGACUGUGCAGUAGCGGUGGGCUCUAUGGUGGAACUGAAUCCCAAUAUCUGUUUGCUAAGUAACCUUAUAAAAUAUGUAAGAAUGCAUUUUUAUGUGUGCUCUGUUCCUUAAUUUGUGUUAUGCAGAUGCAGAAUAAAGACAUGUUGGUUUCUUAAGUUAAUAUUAUUGCCAACAUCUAACACAUAGGAAAGUAUAGUAUUUAAAUCUGGGGAAGUUACAGUUUCCCUUUAAGAAUGUAAAAAACUGUAAUUAUUAUUAUUAUUAUUAUUAUUAUAAUUAUUAUUAACAGUCACCAACGUAACAUCAAACAAAAUCAAAACAAUUAUUCAUUAGGAUAAAUUAAUAAAAAAUAAAAAAAAGAUUUUAUGUUUGAUAUAUUUAUUUUAGAACAAGGUUUUGUACAUAUUUUUUAGACAUACACAUAUGAAAGAUUUCCAUAAUCCCUGUAACAUUUUUUAUUUUUUUUUAACUGGACUUCAUGAAUAUGGAUUAUUACAAAGAGGAAUUAAAGUACCUGAGGGUCAAAUUAAAUUUCUGCACAAGGUAUUUUAAACCAUUAAAUCUACGAUCUGAUCUGAACACUGCAGAAACUUCAAAUGCAAAGUUCUACCAUAUUCAAGAUCAGCUGCAAGUAGCACUCCUGUGUUAAAUAAUAAACGUGUUAUGAAAGAUUAAGAUUAAUGGUGACAAUAUGACAUAUACCACAUCUAUUAUUAAUAAUUUGCACUACCCUAGGCCAGAGUAUGAAAAAAUUAUUUAAAAUAUAGAAACAUACUUAUGAAAUUUUCUUUCAAAUGACUACUCAAUAGUAAAGUGAUUAGAAAUAUGGCAAUGCGUAUGCUUGACCAGACACUGAAAAUUGUUAAUGGCCUGCUACUUGAACAUGAGAAAGUGUUAUUUCAGAAACAUUAUCUAGAUUUCUAAAAGUUUUUUUUGCGAUGGAACAAUAUGAACAUAGUAGCCUAUUCUCAAAGCAAUGUUAUACAAAAUGUAUAUUUAAAAACACUUUGCUUCUGCGCUGGUUUUACCAUAGCUUCAUUCUGCCUCUUUGCUUCUCUCUGUAAAUUUCUUAGAAAUAAUAUAAAAUGUGUGCAUGUUAAUACCUGGAUGAUGACCCCUACCUCUUCCUCCACUUGGUGUAGGAUAUAUGGUAAUACAUGGGAGGGGUUCAACCUUCGUAGCUGAGGGUUAUAAAAAUAAUAGUGGGAAAGGCAUCCUUACGCACCCUACACCAGGCAUGGGCAAUCUUCGGCACUGCAGAUGUUUUGGACUACACAUCCCAUGAUGCUUAGCCAGCAUUAUGUGUGUAAGAGCAUUAUGGGAGAUGUAGUCCACAACAUCUGGAGUGCCGAAGGUUGCCUAUCCCUGCCCUAGACCAACGUUCCCUGGACCAAGGCAUGUCCAGUCCCUGGCUUUAAAUCAAAUUGGACAGCAGUGUGCUCAAUUAUUUAAACCCCUUCUCUAGUUACCCCCUUAAGAAUGAAUGCAGUUGUCCAAAUUCUGAACCAAAACAAACCCUAGAAUUUGAGCUAUAUGUCUGUUCAACCAUAAUUCACCUCCUUCAUAUUAAGUGCACCAACACUUAUAAUAAUUCAUUGUGUUCAGGAAAAUAUGGCUUUCAUUUCACAUCAAAUAUUUAUAUAUGAAACAUAAUUUAAUAUGAAAAAUCAUGCAUGCUGACCCAUCAGGAAAAUGGCACGAACCCAGUUAGAAUGGAAGCUCCUUUUCCGAAUGGUUGGCACAGGCUUCCAGUCGGCCAGCGGUGGCUACCUCCACUUAGGGGGAGAGCACUAUCUGGGCAGCUACGAGCCUGGCCUCGUAGCUCCCGGGUAAGGAGAACAGUGAUUAUAGUUCUGUUAUGAGCAGGUAGGGCGAUCCGAGCUGCCAGUACCCCAGCAGUUUCCCCACCAACCUCAGGGACCAGUUCAUGGAGUCCCGGUGCGAAGACCCUGCAAGGGAAACUUCCCACAAGGGACCCCAGGGGAGCAAUCAUUACAUACUUCUCUUGUGGUUUCACACUUAUGAUGCAGGUGCAAAUGUUCUGAUGGAUUGGUAUGAACAUUCUAAUGGGGUACGGGGGUGGUCCACAUUCGAGAAAUGAACCGGUUCCAUUUGCAUGAGUGCUCUCGAAUUGUCAACUGGGCAUAUUACACGAAAUACAUAGAAAUACAUGGGAAAAACAUACAAUACACAGGGAAAACACCCGAACAAGCAGUGGGCAUGGCACUCAGUGACGGCGGUCCGCCACUAUACAUAUAUAUAUAUAUAUAUAUAUAUAUAUAUAUACAUGCACAGUUGUAAUCAAACUUAUUCAACCCCUAUUGAAAAUCAGGUUUAUUGUCAACAUUUACAGACUUUCAGCUGUUUGCAAUGAACAAAUAUACAAAAGCUUAAAGUGGUUUCCCCAAAUUCAACUAAAAAUGCAACAUGUGCAAGCAUCUUUAGUACUUAGUAGUGCAUCCUUUUGCUGUUAUGAACUGCUGCAAAUGAGAUGCAUAAUUAGACACUAUCUUCUUGGCAGUGUUCCUGAGGAAUCUUAGCCCAUUGCACAUGAAUGAACAUUGCACAGUAAUAUUCUUGGGUUUGCAUGCUACAACUGCCUUCUUCAAAUCCCACCAGAUAUUUUCUAUGGGGUUCAAGUCAGGUGACUGUGAUGGCCACUUUAGAAAAUUCCCAGGACUUCUUCUGCAACUGAGCCUUUGUGGAAUUUGAGGUACCCUUGGGAUCAUUGUCCCGUUUGAAGGUCCAAUGGUGCCGAAGCUUGGACCUCCUCACAGACGGCAUGACGUUUUCUCCUAGGAUUUCCUGAUACUUCAAUGAAUCCAUCUUGCCUUCCACAAGCUGCAGGUUUCCAGUGCCAGAGGAUGCAAAAUCAAUCUCAGAGCAUCAAUGAGCCAACACCCUGCUUAACUGUAGGUGGAGUGUUUGCUUCAUUCUUCUUCCUCUGGAUAUACUGCUGACCCAUUUGUCCGAAAAGAUCCUGUUUUGUUUCAUCACUCAGCAGAACAGAAUACCCACACUUAUGUGGUUUAUUUAUAUGACUUUGAGCAUAACUGAGCUGACCUUUAUUGUGCUUUUAUGUCAGUAGUGGUGUACAUCUUGGUGUCCUGGCAUGGAAACUUCCUGCAUGUGAUAUACACCUUGCUGUGCUCACUUAAACCUAAGUGCCUGUUACCACCAAGUCUUGCUGCAGGUCUUUACUCAAAGGUUUUUACAAUCUGCCUUCUCAGAAACCUGGUUGCAGCCUUUGAUUGCUUCCUUUUCCUGCGCAGUCCAGGUAUUGCAACCACAGUUCCUUCAACUUUGAACUUGCAAACUAUGUUUUCAAUGGUGUCUCUAGGACAUUCAGUGCCUUUGCUAUCUUUUUGCAUUCUGUUCCUUGUUUGUGAAGGGCGAUCGUCUCUUCUCUAAACUUUGUGUACAAUUCCUAUGCUAUAUUUCUAACAUGCAGUCAAACUUGACACUCAACAAACCCCUAGCCAGUUUAGGUAUUCCAAGUGUUUCAGCUCAAGCACAUCAGGUACAACUAAUGAAGACCUUGAUUUGUUUAUUAGUUACAUUAGGUGUGCUUGAGACAACACUUGUUUUGCAAAUUAGUGCUGUUGUGAGGAAUUUUAUUCAGCGGGUUGAAUAAUUUAGAGAUUGGACAAUUAAUUAAACAUUUUACAUUCAGUUGAGUUUAGGGAAACCACCUACAUAAUUUGCUGUGUUGAACUAUUUCUAUUGCUUCCAACAAUCCAGGCAGUCCCCCUGCAGCUAAUCCACCCAGUCGGAGUCAUGUGAUCAUAUUGAUGUUAAUAUAUGUAAAUACAUAUAUAUAUAUAUAUAUAUAAAUAUAUAUAUAUAUAUACAGUGGGACUUCCAGGGUUGUCAGACAAGUACCCCAAUACUGAUCGUAUUGGAGGGUACGUAUUUGGGCUGGAAGGAGGGCCAGAUCAUUAGGGUGUAAUAGCGUCCUUUUGUAUUGCAGCAUAGCACGCCUAAUGUUAAAAUGGGAUUAAUCAGUAAUGACUUGGACUUGGAAACAUAAUAUGUACAGCAAAUCACAAAGAGGGUAAAUUGAGUAGCCAGAAUCUGACUUUAGGGCUGUAGUAUCCUAUGAAUGUCACAUCUUCAUCGUUAUCUUUUUUUGCUGAAAGAGAAUGCAAUUUAUUCUGCCACCAACUAUUGUUUCGGUAAUAGCUUUGCUUUUAAGCCAAAAAAUAUAUAAUAGAAUUCUGACUAACCAUUUAAUGUAGACUAGUUAUUGAUACAGUAUUAUUAUUGUAGGAUUAAAUUGCUGGUGCACAGUUUCCAUUUUUGAUGGAUUUCUUUGUAAAUUUGAUUGAAAAGCUUUUGAGUAGAAAAAUAAUUGUUAUGGCAUGCUGUUUUAGAAUGGUAUGCACAUAUGUCGUUACCUGGCACCCUGAUAUUUAUUGUAUUUAGUAUAAAAACACCAUAUGGGUACUUAAGUUUUCCAAACUCUUUCUGCAUUUUAUGUAACUACAUUGGAUGGAUUAAGUAUACAAAGAAGCUGAGCAAAAAUGGUUAAGAUUGGAUUAUUCAGAAGGAAAUGCUGUGGCAAUAAUUACAUGUUAUACAGAUCAAAAAACAUAUCUCCCGAAUCGAACAUAUCUGUCAGUCCUGCUGAUACAAUGUGUUGUUCUUCACUUCACCACAUGCCUCAAAUUGUGGUAUGAAAUAAAUUAAAACAAGACACCUAUCAUGGGAUAGAGAAUUCAACCAAUAUUAUUUAUUUGUAUAAAUUUGUAUUUUGAUUAAGAAGUAGAAUAUUUAUAUAUUCUGCUCUGUUGUUGAUCAGUAAUCUUAUUUUAUUAAUUUAUCCAAAUGUUUAAUUCUAACUUUGCAUGUACCUAUUUAUAGAUCUUCAAAGCUAUGGAAAAUAUUAUACUUAAAAUAUGGUUCUUGUAUAUUUACAUGGUAUUGACCUUUGGUUUUUGCAAAAACAUUUAAAGAAUGUUUCAAGAUCUGUGUGUAAUAUUUAAUUUACAUGCUUGAGAACUCAUGAUUAUCGAAAUAUACCGCCCUACACAAAUGUGUGUGACAAGAAGAUCCAGAAUGAUUUUUAAUUGGAAAUGUGCCUGAAUUAUUUAGAAAGAAUCUUGUUUUUCAAACUAUUGUUUAUGCAAAUGACAGUGACAAACAAAAAUCAAAACCAAGUUGGAAAUCAACAUGACAUUUGUGUUCCAAUUGGAUGCUUCUUAACAUGUGUUGUGUGGACUCAUUCCACUCUGACAAUCAUAAAUGCAUCAGCAAUAUUUUAAUGAAGGUUUUGCUCUUGUUGUUUUCGUAUAUUAAUAUUUAGGGCUCCAUGUACAUAAGGCCACAUCAGUAUUAGAUAUUAAAAAGAAAGCAAGAAUAAAAUUAAUACAUUUUUAUAGUUGUGCUUUUCAAAAGCAAGAAUGCCCAACAAAUAACAUUUAUUGAUGGAUAAAUGGGUAACUUUAACUGAUAAUUUUUUUUAAUGUAUUUUAUGUUUUCUCUAAAACAAUGCAUUGAAUCAUGUGGUUAUAAAACACUUUAUUUGUUUGAACGGUGACUACGAUAAGAACCUGCAAGAAACAAACAAAUCCCUACUUAAGAAUAAUAAAGAAAAAUUACUCAACUUCUACAAUCUUAAUAGGCAAUAUAAAUAUGUUUAAUGACCUAGAUAUUGCCAUAAAUCACAGGUUAUGGAAUAAAUAUAACAAACACAACUUUUAAAUUAUUGUAUAUCCAUCUUUUUUACAGCUGGAAAAUAUUGCACACGCCUGCUUAAUUAAAACAAAUGAAUGGAAUGCAGUUGAAAUGACAAAAGUGCAAUUAGUCCUAUUUUAGAAAAUUUUUACAUUUACUAUACUUUAUAUUUUUAUCUCAAUAUUAGUAUUAUUGUAAGUACUCAUUGCUAUGUAAAAAGUGGAACGCAUUGUAUAUUUAUAUACACGUCUUAAAUACACAGGUAUUAAUGGACCUAAUCAUUGGAUUAUCUGAUAUAGACCUUGAUUUAAUAUUUGAAUAUUUGAAAAACAUUUUUGAAUAUUUUGAUAUACUUUUAUGCAUGAUAUAGGUUUUAACAUUUUAAUAUUAAAUCAAGGCCAAACUGCAUCAAAAACACUCUUUUUUUAGGAAAGUGAUGUAUCAUUGAUAAAAAUCUUUCUUUGCUUUAGAAAAUUCUUUGUUUUCCUUUUUGUGAUAUUAUUAGAUGCAAACCUGCUUUUACCAAUCAUUUUGAAGCCAGGCUGCUUUUUAGAUCUGUAAUUGGGUUGGAUCACCAAUUUCAUAUUUUGAAAAAUGUGAUAAUUUUGGUCUAUUAACCUGGUUAAAUCAAGUAUAAGCAUUAAGAUUUUUAUGUAGUUUGCAGUAUAUAAUCUUGUCCAUAAUGCCUCACUCUCAUUUAUACUCUAGUAACUAUUACCAGCCUCUAGAGGCAUGAAUUUAUUUGACAGAAGUCACUAGUUACUGAUAUAAUGUUUGUAAAAUUGUUAUAACACAAAUCUCACCCAAUUUUUUUUUAAACAGUACAGAAAGUUCCAAGUGGUCUAAUAAUUUCCACAGCCAGGGAGUUGUUAAUGGACUUUACCAUUCCACUGUCACUAUUAUAUUAGUAGAGAUUGAUAUGGAUAGCUCUAACUGUUUUAAAUACAUUUAAUAUAUUUAACUGUCUUUAGUGUAUAUGGGAAUCAUGCUGAGAUGCAGACGUUCUUUUACAUUCUGUUGUUAUUUUUAGUAUACUGUAUUGCUAGCAAUGCCCUUGCAAACACAUACGAAGAAGAUAUUUGUCCAUUUCUAUUUAUUUAUUUUUGUCAUAUCUACUGUAACCAUAUGUAGAGUGUCAUAAGCACUACAAUGAUCUUUAGUAGUUAUGCUGCUUAAGUAUCUAUUUUAUUUAGCAAAUUUGCCUAAUUUUUCAAAAUGUUGAUGUUAUGGGGAAUAUAUCUUUAUUUUACUGUGUUCUCCAGUGACUAAAUCAUGUUAUUGUGAGGUUUUCUUACAUUAUUACAUUAUGUUGUCUUAUGCAUGCAUUAUUAUUUUGUAGAAUUUUACAAGGAUAUUUCAAAUUGUGACUAUAUAGGACAUAUUAUAUGCUUUAAGUUAAAUAACUGUAGUCAUACUCUUCAGAGAGGUUCUAUUCCUUUGCUUUUAUCCCUGCAAAUUGAUGUCUUCUCAGGAAUGGGGCUUCUGUUUUUAAAUCAACUUAAUUUAUGUAUUUCAAUCAAACAAUUGUCAUGUCUACUAACCAGUAACUAAUGUAACCUACCUAAUCUACACAUAAAAUCAUCUUCAAAUGAACUCUAUUAAGUUUCCUCAUUUGUAUUCAUACCUGUAAGUUUACUUUAUAACAACGUUUGAAGCAUAACAUUCUCCAGGAAAUGCUUGAUAGUGAUAAAUAGUGUUCCUAUCAUUUUGUGCAAUUUAUUCUACUAGAUGUUACAGGAGAUAUUCUUAUUACAAUCACUGGAUGAAGACUCAAACAUUAGGACUUGCUUUUAUUACAGGAUAUACCAUCUGCUACAGUUUUUAGUUAUAUCUGCACUUCUUAGGGAAACUUCAAGAAAACUGAAUUAAAGAACCAAGCGUGUCUUUUUAUUCAGAGCUUCUGGGCACUCUGACAAUCUAUUUCAAGAUUACUUCACUGAUAUUCACCUCAGCCACCAUAGUCUGAACAAUUUUUACUUUGCAAACAGAGGUUUAACUAGAAACCACUGAGCAGCAGUGCAAAAAUUGCCCUGGGCGCCCCAUGUGUCUUAUGCCCCUAAUCUAUUUCAGGAUGACUUCACUGAUGUUCACCUUAGCCACCAAAGCCUGUAUCAUUUUUACGUUGCAAACAGAGGUGUAGCUAGAAACCACUGGGCCUCAGUACAAAUUUUGCCCUGGGCCCCCCAUGUGUCUCAUGCCCCCCUUGCCCUCCCUGUGUCUCAUUCUUCCCCCAGCCCCUACAUGUGUCUCAUUCCCUCCCUCCGGUCUUAUUCCCCCUAGCCCUCCAUGUGUCUCAUUGCCUCCCCCUCACAAGCCCCUCCAUGUGUCUCAUUUCAUCACAAUAAUCCCUCCAUGUGUUUCAUUACCUCCACCCAAACACCUCCAUAUGACCCAUUGCCCCCAAGUCUCUCCAUGUGUCUGAUUCCUUCCCCCCAGCCCCUCCAUGUGUGUCAUUUCCCUCCCCAAGCUCCUCUAUGUGUCUCAUUCCCUACUCAGCACCUGCCGGCAAAAUACAAGGCUACUUCCAGAAAUUAUUUAUCUGUUAGACCAGUGACUUUAGAUUUCUUGCAUUACAGUAUCAAAUUUGAUUAUACAAAUACAUUAAAGUUUCUAGCUCAAAAUACCUAAGAAUCUGACCCAGGUAAUACUCUAACAUGUUCUAAAGAAUUCCUGUAUUUUUCAAAACAAGUCCCUCUGUAUACUGCAUUCUGCAUUAUCUAUCUGCACACAAAAAAACAUAAAAACUUAUUAUAAACUGUAUUAUUUCCGUCUUGCAAAAAUAAACUUCAGAUGGAUAUCUCAAUGCAGACUAUUACUCAGUUUCUUCUUACAAAUGGGUGUUUACCCAAAUAUUCACCCAUGGCUCAUUUAGCUGAUGUUCUAGAGACAGCAUCCAAUGAAGAAGUGCUGAAUCAACAAAUAAUUUUUAUUGACUAUGCACAUCAACUCUCAGCAGUGCCCUACUAUUUCUAAUCCUUACCUGUUGCCAGUAUUCAAAGCUGAUCUUUAGAUUUCUAUAUCACACUAAGAUCUCUUAAAGAAGACUUGACAACUCUGGCAAACCAUAUAUUUGAUAAACUGACUCAUUGGAAAAGGAGCAUUCUGUAACACUGACAUGGUGAAAUCCAUUGAGCUGUGCUUGCACUAGCUGUUAUAUUUCCAGUGUUUCUGUACAGAGAUUGCUGGACUUUAAGUACUUGGCUGAUGCUUUUUACCUAGCUGAGAUUUAUUUGCCAGUUAUAAAUAAUGUUAACAGUUUAAAAACAAUUGAUAAGAGAUAUAACAAUUUAAUUUACAAUUACUGUAGUGUAAUUGUUUUUGUACAUUGCUAAUACUGAUUAAAGAAAUAUGUAGUUUAAUUUACAAUUUACAACUAUAUCCUAUUCAGCUAUUUACUCAAAUAGAAAUAAAUAUGUUUGUUGUGUUAAUGGCAAAUGUGUAUAUCACCUGUGCAUGAUCCCUAUCAUUAUAGGUUGUUUCCUAUAGAUCAUACAAUUGAUCAAAUUAAAUCAUGUAGGGUAGUAUGGCCAAAAGGGGAUGAGUAUUUUUUGCCCCAUUACCCAAAAAAAGAUUUAAAAUGUGCAUAAAAUGAUGAAAACCUUUUGUUCAUAAUUGUAUGCAUAAGAUUAGACCUAUCCAUUGGAUGUGUUACCUGUGGCCACAUGAAACCAGUGAAAACAUUCUGCUAUCCCCAUAGCAACAAGAUUGCAGGUACACAAUCACUUGCAAAACCUCACAUGUGAUGUAUAAACUUUCGUGCCCAUGUGGUCUUACAUACAUUGGUAAGACGGAAACAGAAAUAUGUGAGCGCAUCAGGGGCCACAGGUCCAGCAUCAGACUGGCGUACAGAGAUGGAAUAGGAGACAAGCCAGUUGCCACUUUUUUGAAUAUCGUCAUCCCCUGACUACGCUCAAUAGAUCAUAUACCUAUACCCAGAAGAGGAGGUGAUCGUGGCAAAAGGCUCCUCAAUAAGGAAGCAUUUUGGAUACACAAACUAAAUACAGUUUCCCCGAAAGGACUUAAUGAAAUGUUAUCUCUGCACUCAUCCUUAUAACAUCACUUAGAGUAUUACAUUUUUCAGUUCCAGCUUGUUUUGUUUUUUUUAUUCAUUUUUAAUCUUUUAUUCAAAUAGCAAACAACAACACAGGUUGUCUAUAAACAUGAUACAAAUAUGAUGGCAAUAUACAAAGGCUAGAAUGGCUACUUAAGUAUCAAGUAUAUAUGAUUUAAUAUACUUUGCAGUUUGUAUAUGAACGAAAGAGGAUCCAAAGGAAAAAGCUGAGCAAACAUAUGUGUCAACUCUCUAAUAAUAGAUGCAGUAGUGUGGCCUAGUGAAACUGGAUGAAAGAUUUUUAGGGUGGCACAAUAGGGGUUAAUGCAGUAGACAGAUUAUGUCAAGGCAGGAGUUAUGGAACUGUUAUGGAACUAAUUUAAAUCAAUAAACAUAUGUACAGGUGCUCACUGGUACAAACUGUAUGUUGCUGCAGCUUUCUAACUAGACACUUGCUCAGUCAUACAAGCUCACAUAUUUACAUAUAUACAAGUACAAUAGUUGACAAGUAUCAUUGUAUAUCAAUAUAUAUUUAGACAUUAUGUCUGGAAUCUGGACAGGUAAAGAUACAGGUGUAUAUCAAUAAAAAAAAUUGUCUGGUCCAAGUGUGACCCAAUAAAUGCAUAUAGGUGUCUACUGUACCCAGUGGGAACAUUUAGAGAUCAUUGGCAGCCUACUUAGUAACCUAAGGUUACUAUGACAACUCGCAUAGCGUUUACCACAAGCACUGAGACUAUGUUUUCCUGAACACAUCAAAACAUGCCAUCCCUACAAGUUUAUAAUUCUCCAUAUAGAUUAGUAAGUAUCUCGUUCAAGAGACUGUAAUCUCUGUAUGCAGUGUUAAUUUGGACUUCGUCCUACGGCAACCACUGCUGCGUAUUGCCUGUGCAUGUACUGUAUAAAUCACAUUUUGUAUCACGCUUAGCUCGAAUAUGUUUAUUAUGUUUGAUGAACACGAUGUGCUUAGCAACUUAUCUCUUGUAUUAUGCAUUAAGUAGUUUAUUUUCCCCUGAGCCCUGUGCCUCGACAUCCCCUCCACGACCGCUUACACUCAGAGCCGGCCGGUCGCUAUGGUUACAUGUACACAAUACCAUAUGCCCCCUUGCAUUCCAGCCGAUCUCCUCGGUAACCGCUGGAACGCAAAGGUGAACAGCAGCAGAAUCCUGCUAACUAGGGUACAAUGUAUUUUUAUUGAUUUACUUUGUUAUUUAUACUGUGGUAAUUGAAUUGCACCUUUAUCCUGAUGAAAGUUCUGAUAUAAAACUGAAACGUUGAUCAUCUGUGGCAGUUGCUGAAUAAAAAGUAAGUUAUUUUUUCACAAUUUCUAUGAAGUCCUUGGAGUGCUAUCUCUGUCCUAUUUUUUAUCAAUUCUGCUGACAAGCACCGGGCUAUAUUUAUCUAUUACUGGUGUGCAAGCAUUGGAAAUUUUAUAUAUAUAUAUUUUUCAAAAAAUGAGUUUGGCACACUACCUAAAUAAAGUAUAUAUAGAAUACUCACACCAGGGUGCAAACCCGCGAUAUGGAUAUAGAAGUAAGGUGCACUCCUGGAUUUGAAAAAUACUUGAUUUGUUUGUGCAAAAAAAAAAUUUAAGUUCAGUGGAUUGACGUUUCGACCAUAUUAAAGUGAUUUAAAAUGUGAAAGCUUUCUUUAUAUGAUCUCCAGAACAUAUUACUAAACAUUAAACAGAUAAGUGUUGGCAACACUUUGAGAAAUACCCCCAAUUGCUCUGACACAGUUCUCUCUACAUAGCAUUUAUAAUAGUGGAUGUUGACCAUAAUGAUACACAAAUAUUCAAUUAAGUAUAUUAGAGUAGUAUGUUUAUAACAAGGGGCAGUGGGCUAGUCUGCACGGAGUUACAGAAUGGUGCAGAGAGCCCUUCCCAGAGAAGGCACUUGACUACCGGUGCAUUGUUGGUGAGAGUACCACCCAACAUGUACCUGUUCUGUGUUGUACAUAGCUGCUGCGUUUGUGGAGAGGAGACUGCUUGGUUAUUUCUAAUAAAUCUGUAAUUAUUUCCCAGCUCCAUUGUAUGCCCUGUACUGACCUUGGUACAGUCCUGGAAUCAGUACGGAGCUGCAGAAAGUUUAGCAACAAUCAGUACAGAGGAAUCCCAUCAACUCCCCAUUGACCCUCAGGGAUGAGGUUUCACUCCAGCACCCAUUCAAAGUAAGAAUAAGGAGGUUGGGUGGACCUUUAUGAAAACCCCACCCCUUUAAGAAAAUAAAAUAUAUAAAUUUAUAUAUUACAUUGUAUAUAAGCAUGUGUCUGUCUGUUUAUAUGAAUGUGUGUUUGUGUCUUUUGUGUGAGUUUGUGUGUGUAUUUGUCUAUAAGUCUGUGUGUAUGUACAUCAAUGUCUGUGUAUGUGUUAGUGUGGUUCUGUGUAUAUGGAUGUAUACAUGUAUAUUAAAUAUUGUUUUUGCAAGGAGUAUUUUUACAUUAUAUUUUAAGUUCCCCCUAUUUCAGUGCCUCUAAUUUUGAAGAAAACGGUUACUAGAAGUAAAGGGGAUGUAAAUAUUUCAAGUGCAAUUACAUUUUAAAUGCAUGAUCACUUUUUUUCUCUAAAGCGUUUCAAGUUGGAUCAAGUUAGCAUCAGAUAUGAAAGUUAGCUUGUAUUUCAACAGGUUUUGAAAGUAUUAACAAAAGAAAUGUUUGCUAUAAAAGCUAUAAAAAGCUAUAAAAGCAAAUUAAAUACGUUUGUGCAUUGUACCUAUUUAAGAAAGAGUUAUAUUAUGGUUAACAUUGUUUGUAAGGUUUGAGAACUUGGAUUUCAGUAAUCAUUUGCUUUAAAUUAAUUCCUUUACAAGAUAUAUUGAGUACAGAGCUAUUUCAUAGAUUUGUUUAAAAAAAAAAAGGUUAUACUUAAAUGCUCUAUAACUCGUUAUUAUUACAAUUAUUACUUUUUUAUGCAUCUUGUAAAAAACUAAAACAUUUUUAGCAGUAAACUAUAACAACCUGUGAACAAUAAUAAAAAUAUGUUUUAGAAAAAAAUAUUUAUUUUGUUGACAAAUCCUUGUUUUUUCGGGUUUGAGUAUCUGGGAUUUGAGUAUCUGUGCGCUUCUUAUGUUAAUACAGGAUUCCUAUUUAAUAUGAUCUAACAAUAUCAGUUAUUAACCUAUGGAAAAUAUUGCUCAUGAAAGCAUUUGAGCAACAAUGAAUUGUUGAUGUAGCUUGUGUUUUAGCCACAUUUAAAGCUUUCCAUUAAAACUUUUUUCUUUAUUUUCAAGAUUCUUCAAUUUGAUUUGUUUCUAAACCUCUUCCAGUGGACUGUUACUCUUCAUUUUUCUAUAUCUGAAUUGUUUGUUUGACCUUCACUGAUAAGAUUUGCUUGUUGAGUUUUAUAUUUUAACAAACACUUUGCUAAGCAAAACUUGUACUAGAAACAUACAUUUCAUAAUGUACUGUGAAAUAAAAAUGGUGUAGACAAAGAAAGUACCAAACUUCUGGCUCGGAACUUAAACUUGGACAUGGGUUCCAGUUGUAUACACACUUUAAAAAUGCACAGUGAGUUCCAUUACUAUAUCACAGCUGGUUAUAAGAAUAACUGGGAGGACAAUUUGGACUAUAUUAGUACACAGAAGAUAAGCUUUGGUGCCUUUAAUGUCUUUGAGCUUACCCAGCAUCUAUACAAAUGGAAAAAUGGCUCACUUCUUUUCUUUAGCAAAGAAUAUGGGAUAUAAUAAGAUGUGAAUAAAAGUAAGCCCAAAUAAAAGAACUAUUAUUCUGCACCAUCAGCAUUCUAUCAUUCUUGAACUUUUUUUUCAAGUAGGGGAAAGAUUCUCAAUUGAAAACCUCUUUAGCCAUAAAAGCUAAAGGCAAGUUCAAAAAGGAACAUCCAAAAUUGGAACUAUCUGGAAAAAUACGAGACUCGUAUUACCUUUUCAUAUAUGUUUUAUUAUUAUUUCUGACUUUCAUACUGAGCAACUCCUGAACUAAGUGAGCCAAAUGUCUUUCAGAUGGAUCAAUGGUCACAGAGUUGCUCUUUCUAAAAGAAAAAUAUAUUCACCUUGGCUUCAAGAUGAGCUAAUCCAGACUAUCAUAGAAGUUUGUUCUCUGCAUAGAUACUAUUCAAUAUUUGUAUAAUUCUGAUUAUCAUUAGUAAAUUAUGAUAAAGAUUUUUUUCUUCUAAAUCGAAGUCUUGCUACUGUAUAUGAGAAAAAAAUAUAUAUUUGCUUUUUACCAAUUUUAAACCCUGCAAGAUAGGAAAUUCUAACCUCCAUUUGUUUAAAUAUACAAAGGGAUUUAGGAGAGAGUGCAGGUAACUUUUUUUCUUUAAAUUCUGUAUACUGUCUAACGUAGUCAAUCUCAUCUAAUUUUUCUAAAAAGGAUGAAGAAAUAAAUAUAAAUAACAAAUGUGUAAAUUUGCACAAUUGUAUCUUUAAUGCUUAUUUGUACAGCAAUCAAAACACAACACUGUUGUUUUAUCAUAUGUUUUAUCAAAUGUUUUACCAUAUGUUUCGAAUAUGGCCAAUAAUAUGGUGUCAUGUUUCUCAGCCAAUCAAUGCCAUCCAUGUUGGACAAUAUUGACACUGAAAACGCAUACGUGUUAAUUCUGCAUUAUUAAUAUGACUGAGAUGGGUCAUUCAUUUGACAAAAGAAAGGGCCUCAGUUUAUAUCAAGCGUUUCCUAAAUGUUUUGAUAUUAAACUAGGGCAAGGUUAGGCAACUUGGGCACUCUAGAUGUUUUGGACUACAUCUGACCUGAUGGUUUGCCAGCAUAAUAACUUCAACAUCUGGAGUGCUGAAGGUUGACUAUCCAUAGACUAGGUGAUGGUGUCAGGGCACUCUAGACAGACUGACUACUACAACAAGCUGUAGUUGUUAUGUUCCUUGGAGUGCUAAAUUUAAAAGUAAUUUAGUCUGAUAUAACAACAAAGUCUAUAUUAUUAUUAUGUUAUCCCUGCACAUUGCCAAUUGUGUAUACAGUUUCCAUAGUUAAAAUGUGUACAUCCAAAAUGCCUAAUCGUACAUUUCUAGAAUUCAAUGUGCCAAGCCGUAUUAUUGACAAUUUUGGAUUAAGUACUAGGUUGUGGAGAGUUGUGGGAUGCAUAUUAUAGGUUUAUUCCUUAAAUGGAAAAUGCAUUAAACUAAAAAUCUAACUCAUGAAUAACCAGUGUCUAUACCUGAGUUAGAAAAUUUCUCCUAAUCACUUGGUUUGGCAGAAUAUUUGCAGUUUGGUUUUCAAUUCAGUUAAUUUUUCACUAAUAGUUUUGCUUAAUUUCUCAUCUAUAUAAAUACUGGCAAAUGUGCAAAUACAAUGUAAAGACAAAAAUUUUACGUUACCUACAGAGACCUUUUCAUCUGCCUAAUUCUUGACGACAGAUCAACUUUAAUACAUUUUAUUGGGUAAAACAUUUAUUUUGAAUAUCAAUGGCCAGUUAAUACCUAAAAGACAGAAUACCAUGUUUAAUCAAACAAUCCCUGCAAAAUCUGGUAGCUAUUAGACAUAAGAAACUAGCUUCUAUAUAAAUAAUUCAGCAGGGAAAGCAAUUUCAGAUGUCUUUUACUUAGCACUGAUAACUUUAUUCAUGUUUAUUCAUAUUUUUAUUAUCCUACAAAUUUUGCCAUUUGAUACUUACCUACAUAAGCUCAUAGUUUGACCAAAUUCCUCCUUACUUUGCAAAUAACAGCUGUAAAAAGCAAAAGGGAGGAAAACGAAAAUGAGAAAAUGUAUUUCCUAAAUUUGCAGAAAAAAGCAGUCUAGGCUUAAAAAAGAAUCAAGUCUUAGUUCAGCUAUUCACAUAUUCUUAUUCCUGUCUUUGAUGCAUUUUGAUGCUUUAUAGAAUUCUAAACAAGAUAUGAGAAUACAUGCAUGUCUAUUUUUUGAAAAUGUGCUCCUGCAGAUAUUUAUUUAAAUAAUUUAAUUAAUCUACAUCAGAGACUGCAAGAAAGGAUGUCUUGUGCCAACUCAAUAAGACACAAUUUACUAGAACUUAUACUGUUUUCAUACUAUGCUGUAUGGUCAUCUAAGCAAAACUUGCAGGAAACUGGGCUUCUGUUGCAAGGGAGGGGGAGAAUAGAAUAAUCUAGCACUGAUUAUGUGCUGUAGGGGUAUAUGUUUGGGCAAGAACUGUGUUGUCUUGGUCAGUGGUCCCCAACCCAGUUCUCACAGACCACCAACAGUUCAGGUUUAUUCAGUAUCUCCAUUUGAAUAAAAAAAGGAAAUACAUCAAUCCUGGACUGUUGGUGGUCCAUGAAAACUUGGUUGGGUACCACUGGUCUUGGUAGUCAACAUUAGGCUCAAUCUGUUAUACAAAUAUUUCAGUUAAAAAUGAUAUUUCAAAUGCCUUAAGGUUUUUUCAGAUAUAACUGAAACAAAAUCUAAUCUCCUGUAACUACUCCAUAUUUUGCCAACAAACAAGUUCCAAGGAAAUCACUAGAAAGUUUGUUUUGUUAUGGAUUGUUCUACGUCACACCUUGUGUCAGUAAUUAUUCACAUGAUUGGUUCAUAGUGAGGUUUAAAUGUCUCAUUCUUAAUUUGACUAGCUUUUAAUAGGUUACAGUAAUUUUCAAUAUAAAUAAAUAUAGUUCUUUACAUGAUUUUACCAUUGAAAGAACCCUGUCUUUUUCUUCUCUAAAGGCUGUUUAUUGCUACUAAAUUAUCAGAACUCAACACAUAAACUGGAUGUAAAACCAAACUACCUUUAGUGGUUGUUGUGCCAUUAGAAUCUUUGCACCCUUCUAGAGUAUGUAGUCAAAAUGUUUUUGCAUGGAUUGAGAAUUUACCUACAUUCUGCUGGAUGUCCACCAAUAUGCCCCAUGUAUAGGUCUAGAUAGGCAGGUUCUUUCGCAUUGACCGAGGUAGUUGUGAGACUUCCACCAAGAAAAGCAGCACUGCAGGCCAGGCUUAGCACAGUGGAUAUUAAUGAACGCACCUCACAAGAGCCUUCAACACGAGAGGAGGCAGCAAUGGGCAACAGACAAAAACCAAAUAGGUUGUCAAACUAUUUUCAAACAAGUUGUGUACUCUGGAAGGGGCAUCUGAACAAUCCUGGCACCAUAAUUACCACAGCGGGAUGUUUUUGUUUUGGUGUAUGGAGUGUUUCUUUAACAAUUCAGUUAUGUUUAUUACUGUUUGCUAACAUUUCACUUUUGUUCUCAUAUCAAAUGUUAGAAAACAUUAAAAAAAAACACACGUAAAAUGUUUUUCUAUUGAGUAAUAGUAGUAGUUAACAUUAAAAUUGUAUAGAUACAAAACAGUUCAUUUGAGCCUGAAGUCAGAAAUUAUUUUUGCCAGCCUGCCCAUCUUUCUAUCUAUAUAUACAUCCGUCAUUCUUUCCGUCGACUGUAUGUUGUCUGCCUAUCAUAUAUCUAUUAUAUUUCUAACAAUGUUUGUCGUAAAAGAAAUGGGCUGCAACAGGAAAAAAAACAUUGCUAUACUGGAUGAAUAGCCAACAUAGUAUUUUAAGUGACAGUUUUAAACAAUAGGAGGUAUUGAUUCAUGAGUUAAUCUGACAUGUACACACAGAGAACACAUGUCACAUGGCAGGUGUUACAAGUGAGUGAUCACAUUUCAGAUUUGACAUUUCUUAUAUUGAGAUUACUGUAAAAUGAUGCAGAAAGUCAAUCUAUUGGAGUUUAAAAUGCUUUUUAACCAUUUUUAUUCUUUGUCCAGCUAGAAUGCUUUUAUUUUUUACAUAAUAGGGUGUUUUUUUCACGAAAAGCAGUAUUGUAGGGAAUUAAAAAAUGUACUUAAAAAAUAUCAAAGCUAUAACUAUUACUAUAAAAAAAUUCAAAUCAACUCCUUUGCUUCAACUAAAUUACAAUAUUUAAAAAAAAUCUUUUUUUUUCUAAUUUUGUAAUUUUUUUCAACGUUAAUAUGCACAUAUCACAUAUGCAAACAUUUUAGGUAUGAGUUAAAGGAAGAUACAGAAUGAAAAAAGGGAAGGGUUAGAACUUGUUUCAUCUUAAUAGUUGAUAACAUAUAUAGAUUGAGAAUACAGGUGCUACAGCGUAUAUGUAUACAUUUAGGUUCAUCAUCUUUUGCUUGGAUGGUUCACGCCCUUAGUCAUUUUGCAAAAAGGGGGGGGCAGUUUGGAGAGUAGGGGGGUGAGUGGGUGCUUUGAGUAUUACGGGUGGAUGUGCUCAGGGCCAGUGCAAAGAUUUUUCAAUCCUCCCCCACCCCCAUCUUAUUCCUGGUGGAAAGGUACUGUGGAUGGGGGUACAGGGGCUCUAGAGGGGGGAUAGGGAAUGUACAAAGGGGGAAAAGGUCUGUGGGAGGGCAGGAGCUGUAGGGGAGGCACACACUAGGGGGGGACAUUGUACAGGGGGACACAGGGGCUUUAGAGGGGGGCAGGGCUGUAGAGGGGGCACAGAAGCUAUAGAAAGGGUGGGCAGAGGCACAGGGGCAAUAGAAGGGGUGGACAGGGCUGUAAAAGGGAGGGCACAGGUGUUGGGAGUGGCUUUAAAUGGGGGCACAGGGGCUAUAGAAAGGGGAACAGGAGUUGUAGAUGGGGCAGGGGCUAUAGAAAGCGGGCAGGCGCUUUAGAGGGGGGCAUGGGCUGACAAAAAAAUAACUGUUGUAAGUGUAACCCCCACCUUACAUUGGGCCAGGGAGAAGUGGGAAAAAGCAGGAGCCUGGAGCUGGAGCUAGGAGCAUGAGCCUUUAGCAGGAGCCUGCAGCCAGCACAGAGCAGCCAGGGAAGUCGGCUGGCCCUUCAUGACGAUGUCAGGAGGAGCGGGCGUGACUUCCACUGCUCUUCUCCCAGAAUCCCCAGCAGUUGAAAAACCCAAGUCCCCAGUCAGAGGGGAGUCCCCCCUGCUCAGGCACCCUAAGGUGGAUGCCUGUGCCGCCUUAUGGACAUACUGGCCCAGGAAGUGCUUUUAAAACGUGAUGGACGUUGAAGGGGCUCAAAUUUUAAGUGUUUGUUUUAAGUUUCUGUUUUGAUCUGUGCCCUUCUGUGUUGUUUUGGAUGAAGUUUUAUAUCACUCCCUAUGAGGUGCAACCAUGGUGUGUUAACCAUUUUGGGUUGCCGUAAUGGUUAAUUGCCACUUGGUCAUGUCCUCCGGGGGUUAGAGAAGGGGAGAGAGAAGGGGAAAUGUACAAUUACAAUUUUAAAGUCAAUUCACUUCCAUUUUACAUUUAGUAAAUAAACCCUAUGUUUUUUCCUUAUGGAGCAUGCUUCUCUGGCUAGGUGCAAUAUUUAAUUUAUCUGUUUCUUUAAUUUUAUUUCUUUUUAUUUCUUUUUUUUCCUUUUCCUUAAACAUCAAAAAAUAAAUGACAUAUGAAAAACAGUUGCCAACUAAUAAGAAAUCAUUGCAGCAAAUUUGCAUUUAUUAAGCUUGCUUUUCUUUUUAUCACAGAAAUCUAAAUAAAAACCAUACACUAUUGGCUUAACUUGUAAAGAAAUGAAUUGGAAAUUAGAAGCAUUUCAUGGCAAACAUGUAUAGCUUUUCCGAAUUCUGAUUUAUUUUAGGUAGCAGAUGUUCUAAAUUUAUACUAUCAGACUGACGGAGACUUAAAUAUGCUUUGGAUAUCUAACUAAGCUUUACAAUAGAGCAGGAAAUUAUAUAUGAAAAAUAAUUUAUAUGCCAGGUGUAGACUUACUAGUAAAGUGGGGAAUAAUGUACAGUGCAUGAGUGCUUAGGCCUAUUGCAAUUAACCUAGCCAAACCCCCCAUCUAAUUAACCAUACUGAUACACUACUUGCAGGUAAUGGCAUUGGCCACAGUCCUUAUUAAAUGUAAAAUCAGCAUAAAUCAAAGUGUAGUACGUGCCAGCUGCUGUAUAUAAUGACUUACAGCAGGCAGUUACCACCGUGAAACACCAACAGCUCUUGUGCCCUGUACACGACUCCUGAAGAGACUGCUUGUGGGCUACAUUCCAAAUCAUCAUUAAGUAGGAAUGCAAGGGAAUUUCAGCAACUGUGACAGUAAAGAAAUAUACUAAGCCCACAAAAACACAGCAUAGGUCCUCAUCAACCUAUUGCUCCUGUAACACUUUGUAAUUGUCUUAUUUUACGUUAAAGAUUCCCCUUUUUAAUAUUGUAAAGCACUGCACAAUAAGUUAAUAAUAAUAAUAGUCACUGAUUAGAUUAUUGUGAAUCUAAAAAUGUCAUUUGUCCUUAAUAGGAAAAACAUUACUGUGGGUUUUUAGAUCCUUUUAAUGGGUGCUAAAAUAAUUAAACAUAAAACCUAAUUAAUCUGUGUUAUGAAUUACUGCUUUUUAAAUUAUUGUACAGCUGGCUAUGGAACUGUUAAAAUAAAUCACCUUUUUAAAAGAAAGUUUUAGUUGCUGCAAAGGUUCAAUUAAAGACUUGUCUUGAUUAUUUAUGUUGCAAACAAACUUUAGUUAAAACAAUUUUACAUAGCGCUUAAGUUUCAAAGAUACUACUAGGAAAAUAGGAAAUCAAUUAAUUUAUUUUGAGAGGCACCAUUACUAAACUGAGAAAGUGGAACAUAUAGAUAUUUUUGGACUUGCAUACCAAUUAUUCUAUGGAUGGAUAUUGAUUUUAUAUGGAGAGUUGCUGUGUCUAUGUCCUACUGCUAAUGAUGACACAUGCUGGUGUAUAAAACAAGAAAACACUGUUUAAUUUUAAAUGAUUUCUAUCGCAGAAAUUACCAAUAUGACAUUUAAGAUGAUGCUGGGCAAUGUAUUACCCUAGCUGUCCUUGUUUCUCAACAUUAAGCAGGAUCACUGUUAUGCAUUUUUUAUAUUGGAUGAAAGAAGAAAGGAAAGUUGGGAGGAAGAAAAGAAGGAUGGGAAGAGAAGAGGAACGAAGGUAAAAAGUAUGGAAAAGGGAAAAAAAAACUUUUUUACACCUUACACCUUUGUGAUAAUUGUAUGUUAGAAAACAUUGUGUUAUAUCUAACUCUUUAUUCAGAGCAAUUCCACAGCUUCUAGUGGUCCUCUGUCACCUCCCACCCCUGCAGCUGAUGGGUGUCAGGACCUUGGAGACCAGCUGGACAUGUGAGCACCUUGGACCAUUCUUUACAAGCUCUGUGUUUCUCUAGAUUUGUGAUGCUGAACACAGUGUGAUUUCAUAUUUGUUCUGGGGCUUAAUACAUCGGAUUAAGUUAGCAGAAAAUACAGGGCAGGAUGUGGGUUUUACAGGAAUAGGGUUGGUGGACCUAUAAUUUCAAUGCAGAUUCUCUUUACUCAAUACAUGACUCAAAGGUGGUGGACCAUGUAUAUUAAUGCAGGUUCUACACAAACACCCAGGGAUUCUGAAAAACUGCAUGGCUUAGUAGACGUUCCCUGAGUGGAAAAGCCCCAUAAGUCAACUUCCACUGGUGUAAUCAGAUUUGGUCUCCCCUCUCCAUUCUUCUGCAACCAAAAUCAUUUACUUUUUAAACUUUUCUAGGAAAUAGUGUGAGUCAAUGACCUCACUCUGACCUUUAGUGUUUAUACCUGAGAAUAAAAGUCUUUGUCUUUUUUCAAGGGAAUUACACGGAGGGGUUAAAAUAAUGUAGUAAAUCUUUAUCAGAAUUUAUUCAGAACACAUUUAUGACUUGGAGCAUUUGGUCUGCCUCUAAUUAUUUAAUCCCUCUUCUUUUAAUUGUUAAAAUAACCCAUCUGUACAAGAAUCACAGCAUGUAUUAAUUAUGUCUAAUUAUAUUGGUUGCCUUACCUCUCAAUGUAUAACACCCUACCGUGUCCUGUACAUUCAAAUAGACUUGGAUAAUGUGAAUUGUAAAAUGGGAAUCUAUGCACAAAAUGUCAAGAUUCUACUUAGAAAAUGUUUUCAAGACUUUUAAAAAGGUUCUAUGCAACGUUUGGUUUCUAUACACUCCCUUUACAGUCGCAGUUGAUAGAAAAGAAAGGUGCAAAGCAUAUGUAUAUUAUGAAUUAUUAAACUAUAGUUAUAAAUAUUCUUCAUAUAAUGCUUUAAUCAUCAUACAGAUGAGCAACACUAGCACUACUGUUUCAUGUAAAGGGAUAAAGAUAUCAAUACCUUUUUAUAUUGGAAUAUUGUCAACUUUAGUAAAUCAUAUUGAGUUGCCUGCUGUGAUGAAUCCAGUGGGUAUUGUUUCAUUACAGUUCAGAAACUUACGGCAAAAUAAUAUGCCUCCAAACUAUCCCACUUUAGGUGGGACAGUUCUGAUUUUGGGGUUCUGUCCCACUGUUGUGCUUUAGCUCCCUGGUGUUCUGAAUUCGCACACUGCAAACGCUUCAUUAGAAAUUCUCAUGCUGUACAGGACCAUGCAUGCAUGAGUCAUUGCUAAAGCUUGUAUAUGACACCGCACCCCAAAAAUAAAGAAUGUAAAAGAAAAUGUGAUGGUAGUAGCCGAUGGUGGUUGCAAUGUUUUCAAAUGUCUAUCUUUGAAGUGUUUUUUGCAGUGUGGCCAUGCCUUCCACUUCUGGUGGUAGAACUGGGAAAGGCAAGCUUCAGCAUGCCAGAUGUUGUGAACUACAUCUCCCCUGAUGCUUGUCAGCAUUAUCACUUAUAGAGCGUUAUGUUAGAUGUAGUCCACAAUAUCUGGAGUGCCAAAGGAUGCCUUCCUCUGUGAUAGAAGCUGGCAGCUAAGUGGGUUUUUUUUUUUUUUUUUAAACACUGUGAACAUUUUUCUUUUUCUUGUAAGAGUAUUUGAAUUACAGCAUACUUCAUUAGCGUUGACAUAGGGACGUGAGGGUAGGACAAAAAUAGGACAGUUAGUGUAAUUUAUUUACAUUUUUCCAUUUAGGGACGUGACAAAAACGUUGACCUACAGUAAUGUUGGUUUGGGACAGGCUAUCCCGUGGUUCAUAUAUAUAUGACUGCCUGAAUUACUUCACAAAUUUUUUUUCAGUACUGAAAUAUGACCGAGGCUUACAACAGUGUGAACUGCAAUCCUGUUUUUUUUCUGCUUAUGUGAUUCAGAAGAACCAAAUUGUUUAUCGCCAUACAAGUCUAGUAGUUUGUUACAUAGGGCAUUGUCCACUAGAUGCCGUGCUUGCAGCCACCUUUUGAUGGAAGGUCAGUUGAAAAAAAGUGUUUUUUUUUGGUUUAACUAAAUGAUUAAAGUUGGCAUACAUUUAUGUCUUUCUCUAAUAGCGGAGUAUGGGAAGAAAUACACCAAGAUGAAAAAAAAUCAUAGGAACCCUCUCGAUGCUCUCUGACUCUGUAGUGCUGCUUUACAGUCGACUUGAAAAAGCUGUCUUUCAAGUAGCUGAUGAAAAAAUGAUCUCUGCACUGUUAACGCAGAGCAUAUCCUCAACAUGUUGAUGUAGCAUUAAUGUUUGACAGGAUAAACCCAGCAACAUAUGCUUCUUUAAUGACGAUGCUGGGGUAGAACCUUUUUUAUAAUUACUGGAGACAUUGUUGGCAGCCAUUAGGAAUUUUUUAAAUUUUUGUGUCUUCUGCAUGCAUUCUUCUUUUGCCUUUUUGAAGUAAGCAUGAAGGGCUUCAUUAUUAUAUUUUUUAGUGUUUGUUGUAAAGGGAUACUACUGUGGCACCCUAAAUCCAAAAAUAAAAAAAUAAAAAUAAAAAAGCUGUAUAUUCAAUAUACCCCUAAUAAAAACAAGCACAUGUUUAAUGCUUUUAAUUAAUGCUUUUUUUGCUUGUUCAUUUUUUUUUAUCCUCCCCUUCUUCCUCAGAUCAGACUCUUUAUGGCUGUCCAAUCACAAUCUUCAAAGUGCAGUUGAAUGAAAAGUAUAUGCAAGGCAGGUGCUCUGAGCAGUUUCCUGCCUCUUGAGUUCAGUUCCACUGAGCUAAACAACCAGGAUGUAACAGGCCCAGUUUUCUGAUGGACAACAAGGUGAUUUUAUAAAAGUGCUAAUUUCUAUUGAAAUCUGCAAUCUUUGUAAAAAAAAAAAAAAAAAAAAGAGAGAGCAUACUAUUCACACAGCUGAAGUGCUUUAGUUGUCUGGGGGUUACGUUCAAAUUUAACUUGAAAUAGUAAGUAUAUGUAAAAAGAGAUUUCCAAAAUCAUUUGUUUAACAAUAAAUAAUAGAUAGACUAAGAACGUUUAAAACCAGGCACAUGAGCAUGAAUGUUACACUGUGUAAUAUAACAUUUAUAUGUGGUGCUUAUAUCAUGGUACAGCUUAGCAUAACGCCUGCAAGUUGUCGUAAAAUAAGAGUGGAUUUAAGCCAGCACAUAUUUUAAACAUUGUUGUUUACUGUCACAAAUGAAUCGAAAAUUAGUAAUUUAUAUUCAGGAUAUGCCAUUAUGUCAUGGUAAUAUGCAUUUUGUGUGAACACACAGCAUAAAUAAGCAUUUAAAAAUACUUUAUAUGUUGUUUGUAUAUUUUGUCACUGUAAUGAUUGCCAAUGCUAUCUAUCGUGCAUUUGAUUAAAAUAAAUAUAGAUUUAUUUGAAAUCUGAAUAUACUGAGAUAAUUACAUAUUACAGAGAUGUUCUUUAGUACUGACAUAAAUGGACACUAAUAAUAGAUUAAAAUAGAACAGUUGUGGAUCAGUUUUGUUUAAUAUAGAGGUUUACACCAGGAUAUUUAAAACAUAGAAUAGCUGAAAAAUAUAUAUAUAUAUAUACAUAUCGAAGAAAAACGAGUGCACUCCAGAGGUCUUCUUUUUAGAAAAAUGACAUUAAAUUUAUUGCAAAAACGUGUAGUAAUACAACAUGAUCUAGUCGACGUUUCAGUCCACGAAGGACUUUUAUCAAGACCUCUUGAUAAAAGUCCUUCGUGGACUGAAACGUCGACUAGAUCAUGUUGUAUUACUACACAUUUUUGCAAUAAAUUUAAUGUCAUUUUUCUAAAAAUAAGACCUCUGGAGUGCACUCGUUUUUCUUCGAUAUUUAUUACGGCUGAGGUAGCACCGAGGCAAGUACAAGACCGGCAAAUUGAGUGCGGGACUUUCCAGGAUUACAUAUAUAUAUACAUAUAUAUAUAUAUUUUUUUUAAUAUAUAUAUAAUGUACAAUAUAUAUAUUGUACGUACUGUUUUUGUUGGGUUUUUAAACACAAACUAUGUGUGCAUAGAAUUUCUAUUUCUUUUCUCAUACUAACACUAAAUAGAGUAUUUUGUUCUCUGACAUUCCCAUCUAUAUGGCCAAAUGUAUUGCAAACAAGCUUUUUAAUUGUACAUUUCAACUAAUAUAAUUUGAAGAAUACGUGCAAUUAAUUACCUUUAGCUUUAGUCUGUUUUAGUAAAAUUGAUUUCUUUCUGAGUGCUCGGCUCAAUGGGUAAAGAUGCCUAAUAAUGAAGAAGAAAGAAACAAGAGUGAUUAAUGCUUGGAGAAAUAAAUUAGGUGGAAAGGGAAUUACUUAAAUAUAUUCAAUGCAUACAUCAGUAUACGGAGCAUUUAUCAUUGACAUCAUUUUAAAGUGUCCUAUACCUGAGAAUCCUUGCCUGCCAAGAGGCACACUGCACUUUUACCCUGUAUAUUACUAGGUAAGUCUUUAUUUUUGCAUUUAUUGAUUUACUUCUGUCGAGGUAUGGCACACUAUUGUAUAUUCACAAAGAAGAUAUUCACAUGCUUAAUUAUUCUUUAAUUUAAUCAAGACUACACAGAACAAUUUCAUAUGCAAAAUAAUACAGAAAAUCUUGAAGUUGUUUGAUUAUAUGAUGCACUUGAUCUCAUGAAUAUUUAUAUAUUGUGGCAGAAAGUUAAAUUGUAUAUUGACAUAAUGACAGCUCGAUAUGCUUUAAUCAACAAUGCACAUUAAUAAUAAGUUAGUGAAUAUCUUUGAAUUUUGUUCUGCAGCUUCCUUUUAAUUUGAUUCACCGAGCUCUGUGACCAGUAACAUUAGAUAACUAUUUCAUGCUGAAUAAAUUAUAUCAUAUAUUCAGGCCAUUAUGCAGUAAAUGUACAUCUAGCAUUUAGGUUAAAGGCAUUCACUUAGAUGUUUUCAGCUCAAGAGUUUUUGUCUAAAAUUAGCAACUUGAUUUUCUUAAAUCCAAAACCAAAAAUAUAUGGUAUCAUGACUAUGUUUAUCUCAGCCAUUACACUAGUAAAGAACAAGCUUCUGUCCAGAGUGAAAAAGCUCUAUAGAAACAGUGGCACCACUGCUAUUUACUUGAUGACAGUGUGAUUUUGUGGUUGCAAAAUAAUCCUGUUUUUGUUUAGUUUUUUGCGUAAAUCCUACACUUUGUGUGGUGUCAUAUGUAAGCUCUUACAAGCUUAGCAUGCCACUGAGGCUACCUUGAUUUGUGAAUGGGAAUGAAUGCCAAAAAUCAAUUUAAGUUGUUCAGGGCCACAAUGCAGACUAUCACAAUGCAUUCUAAGAUGCAGAAAGCGCAAAAUAAGUAAAAAAAAACAAAAACAAAAAACAACCAAAAAAAAAAAAACUAAGUAGAAAAAAAACACAAAUGGGUUCAAUGUGUAAGCCACCCAUUCUGCCCGGCACUCACUUUGUACUCCCAAGUUGAGCAUCUCUCCUCUUUCUGUGAAGUACCAGGUCUCAUUGUACGAUGUUCCUUCAGGGGCUGCGCAGCAAUGAUCAAGAAACUGAGUCUCAUAAUUCGGACUGGCCAAGGUCAUUUACCAGGGGUUGUGAUGGGUCCUCAUGACAUCAAAUUCACUAGGUGCAUACAUCUAACCCCGCAUAGAGGAGAUGCUUAGAGAAGAACUUUGGACCUUGGAGCGGUCAUCAAAUUACAAGAGGCAUGUAAUGGGAAAAGAGAGGAGAAAUAUAUGGUGCAGUAUGUCAAAUUUCCAAAUUAAAAACAGAAGGAAAUAAACUAACAGUAUAGGGAGCUCUCUCUUAGGUGUGCAUAUGUCACAAACACAAGAGCAAAAAAACUGUGCAAUAUGUAAGGAAACCAAAACGUAAUAAAUAGUAUAAAAAUGCACACACAUUUGUUAGAGCCCUCUAAUGGCGCUUUGCGUAUGGCUUGGAGUAGAAUAAUCCCCACUCUUGGGAUAUAGGUGCAGACUUGUUUCCUUCUAUGGGUAGGUAAAAUCCUCGCCAUAGAUAUAAAAAACAAAAUAUAAAAUAUUGAAGAGAUGUAUACACUUCUCACCCACCAGCUUUAGAUAUAUCUUUAAAUGUUAUUUAGCAGUUAUCUUCUACUUACAGACAGUUUCACCACUUUAACAUGCAUUACUCACAGCGAGGCCUAUUCAUUACUGUUUAAUGCAGGAUGCUUGUUUAAUUUCAUCUUCGCUUCUGCAUAUAAAAAUGUCUUAUUAAUGAGAAAUAUCAGGUAUGUGUGGGUAAAUUCAUUCUUGCAGACAGAAAAUUUGCAAAUAUGUAAAUAAUUACUCUUAAGGCAGUGUGGUGCAGAAGUGCAUAUUUAUCACUCAAAAUAUCAAAGUCUAGAGCAAUAGGCAUUGGUAGCAAAGUACCACACUGGGUUCUUGUCAGAUCACGAAAAUUGGACACGUGAACAUUGGAAAAAUAUCUCACCUGGCUAUCGAUUUUAUUGACAUUGUACACCUGAAUUCAUCAUCUAUACUUCUUUUGUUAAUGAUAUUGGCUGCAAUAGGGGCAUAAAAGUAUAGAGAAAGUAUUCUAGACAUGUACUAUUCCCCUUCAUGCUACCUAAACAUACAUUAAACAUUGUUGUUAGCCAUGUCCUGUUAUGACCUAUGUCUACCAGUUUUUUUUUAUUUCUAUCUGGGUUCUCUGAACAUAACAUUGAUUUGAGUUUACUUCAUUGAUUAGAGGAAAAAUAUAAAUAUAAAUUCCUCCACAAAAAUGUAACUGGUUAUCUCUAACAAUGGGUGUUGUGAACCAUCUUAAAAAAAAUAAUAAUUUAAUUGCCUAAGCAGUUCUUAAUACAGUCUAGGCUGUAUUAUGAGUGAUAAUGAGACUUGUGUACUGUGACAACAUUUGGAUUGGCCGAAUCAUCCCACCACCCUCCCCCCACCUUCCCCCAAAAAAUGUGGGAUGCCACAUUUCUUCGAUAUGCUUGUUCAGUUUGGCAGAAUUUUGGUAAUGAAAAGUGGAUUUGCAAAACAAAUUAGAUUAACUAACAGUUCGUGAAAAUAGGGCAAUCAAUGUACUUCAAAACAUAUGCCGAAUAUAAAACAUGCUUGGUCAUUGCAAAUUUCGUUAGGUUUGUAAUUCGACUACAUGUCACCUCAGUGUUCUGGAUAUCAACCUAUCAAAUGAACAGCCCAAAUUCGGACAAAUUGCAAGUCAGAAGGAAACAAAUACCCAAGUAUAUUGAUAUGAGAUAAUUUUAAAGCACAAAUGAUAGAUUGACUAAAGGAGAAUCUUUGGUGGGAGUUGCUCUAGUGAUAUUGAGGUAAAAGCAAGGGUUUAAUUUAAAAAAGGUUUAUUUAGAAGUUCACAAUAACAUCAUGUGAAGUUCUAGACCGAAUGGUAAUGUCAAACUACAAACAGACCUGGUUUCAUUGUUUGGAGUUAUAUUGGAUUGUUGAACUGCUAAAUAAAGAUGUAGAUUAGCUAAGAUACAUUUCACUUUCCAGUGGACUUAAAGAGACAAUGAAGCAGUUUUGUUGUAUAUAUCAUAUCCCUCAGAGCCACAUUAAAAGCUCAUUGGACCUGGUGCUGACAAUUAUAAAGGGCCUAAUUACAGAAUUCUAUAGACAGAAAAAACAAAAACUUAUACCUCCCAAGUGUCAAAUAUCUUGUGAAGGUGGUGCUGGAGGGAAACUCACAGGAUCUAUAAGAAAACACAUACCUUCUGCUUGUCCCUCGCUUUAAUUUCUCAAGCAAUUUCUAUACCCCUUACCAGCAGUGUCUGGUGAAGCAGGAUGUUGGUGGGCCGGGUAAAAGCAUAGAUAUCUGACUCGACUCUUAUAACUGGCACCUCCGAAAGGAGCAGACCUGCCAUGAAAGGGGUGGUUCUGCCCAAAUAAUCACAAAGUCAACCUGGCAUGAAUGCAUGCCAGGCUGCCUGCCAAUCAUGCAGUAUUGCCAACUAAGAUACAGUGCUGUUUCAGCACCCUGAGCUUGGCACAAAUGUGUCUAACCAUGAUGCGUUUGCUCAACACUUUCUGGGGACUGCCCCCUAGUCCACUCCUCUCCUUACUUUCUUACUAGCUGGCAGUAACUUCUGGCAUGCAGUCUGGGAGAGAGAGGGAUGUAGUGAAUAAAGUACACAUGCAACAGUGUUAGAGAGACAAAAGUAUGUUUAUUUUCAAAGUUCCUAUCUUCUGCUCUGUUUAAUUAUACACAGGAGGCUGCUGCAGCAAUUAAUAGAGCAGGAGAAAAUACAUUCUAAAUUAAACACCCUUUGCAAUAAAGGUAGUUUAAAAAUUAGAUUUAUUUUUACAGGAAGUAUUUAGGGAGGCUGUAUAUAUAGCAAGCAGGAGAGGUGUGGCAGGGGCUGCAUAAGCAAAGAGAAUUGAGAAGUGUGACUGCAUGGGCAUGUUCUAUACACCAAAACUACCUGAUUAAGGUAAAGUUUUUUUUGGUGCUUAGGGUCCUUCUAUAAUGUUACAUGCUAAAAUACUGUAUAUAAAUAAAUAUAUAAAAAAACUGCAAGAGGUCACCCAAAGUAAGUCAGUAAAGAUAUACUGCAUUUAAAUCUGUAUUAACAGGGCAGUAAUUAGUCAACUUCAAUGUAACAAUGGAAGGACUUCAUCAUUUCCAUUAAUUUGUUUUCUCCCGAUGAAGAGAACAUAUUAUUAUAGAUCUAUUUCCCAAUAUAAAGUGUAAAAUCAGUGAUGCAUUCUCAGAACUGUCUUUUGCAGAAUGAUUGUUACAUUGUAUAACUGCAACAAAUUGUUUCUAUGUAUUGCUGGAUAUAACAGUUAAUUCUUAGCCUGUAGCCAUAUUCUACAAUUCUUGCGUUUUCCUAAUACUUUGACCAGCUUAAUGGAAAAGGUGAGAAAAAAAGUACUAAUAAGAUUGCUUUAAUGGGGAAAUACAUAAUAGUGGAAGAUGCACAAAACACUUGUGGAAACCAUAACUGUUGUGUUUAGCAAGAGAAAAUUAUUAUUAUAAAAGCUAGUCUCGCAUCAUGCUUAUUAGGCACUGUAUUCAGAGCAUUUCUAUAAUAAAAAACACAUUUUCUUAUGCUUCUGAAUGCUAUUGAGGCUAAACAUGUCAAUGCUAACAACAUAGAAAUUGUGCAAGAAAUAUUUUUGUCAAUCCCAAAUAUGUAGAUGCAGAGACUUGCUUAUAUAAUGAGUGUUCUAAGCUUAUCAUUAAUGCACUUGAAACAUAUAAGAAAUAUAGGUUACAUAGUGAACAGUUGGAACCUCAAAGUAAAGGGAGUGUGGGAGCUCUGCUUCCUUGUUGAACUUAUAUACAUCUUAAGAUACAAAGGGUAAAAUAAACCUGUGCCAUCUCUCAUGUGCUCUUUUAUUGAACAAAAUCAUCACAGAUCUCCUGUAUAAUUUGCUAUCUUGUAUGGAAUUAUGUCCUUGAAUUAAAGUGUUUGAUAUGUAAUAUAGAACAGAUUUCUGCGGUGUGUAACAGAUUGUAAACUAUGUUGUGGCAUGGGCAUUGGUUUUCUCUGUGGUUCUCAAGAAAAUGUGAUGAAUCACAUCUGUUUAUGAAAAUCACUUUAAGAAUAAAUACAAGGUUUUCAGCCUGUCUGACUCUGAACAUGUAGUAAAGAUGAUAUAUACUUGCUGACCAAUAUGCAACCUUGAUUGCUUCUUUAUAUAAAAGCGCUAAUGUACAAGCUUUCUCAAUGUUACAUAUUGUUACAUAGUUGUCUAGAUUGAAAAAAGACUGACGUCCAUCAAGUUCAACUGUGAAAACACCUUUCUUCCAGUCUCAAUGAGUGACCUCUUGUCUGUUAUAUAUUCCUGCUAGUAAACAGGUUUGCUCAUAGCGGUUUGUACUGACUGUAUAUAUUUGUAUAGUACUAUCAUAUCUAGUUUUGUUUUGCAUCAGAGUUUUUGGCCUCUUAUAGCGCCAGACCUCUUUUAUGAGGGGAGUUCAAGACCUUGGUAUUUAAGGAAAAACCAUUAAGCACCAUUGUAAAUUAAUGUCAAGGAAGCAUAAGAAUUGUAUUUCGAAGCUCUGAUCUUGGUUCCCUCCAGCUUAAGUACACAGAAUUAAUUCCAUAGGCUUGGUCCCCUCCCAGCUCCAAGGCAAUCACUGAUAUCCCCGUUUCCACUCUUUGCGGAACAGUCAUUUCUUAUUGUUGUGUUUCCCUAAACCUAACAUAAAUCUUGCCUCCAUUUUGCAUAUAUAUAGAGGAGUGUGUGUGUAUAUAUAUAUAUAUAUAUACACACACACAGACACCGCUACUAGUUCCACUGUCCAUGUAUCUCUGCAAGCAUUAUUUACAAAAGUACACCAGCAUUGAAACCAAAAUAAAAUACAGUAAAACAACCAAAUUAUAACUAUAUCCAGUCGCCUGCAAGUCUUUCCACAAAGUGUCUGGGUAAGGGAAAUGGAAACAGUGUGAAUUCAGCACACCAUAUCAGCUCCAUAAUGAGCCUGGUAAAGGUGGGGGUGUGAAUGUUAGAUUGAAAAGAAAAUUAAGAGUGCAUAGCACAAGGUCAAAAUGUCAGUGACAGUGGCAAUGUUGGAUGGAGGAAGAAUCCAUAUUAAAUGUGCAAAGUGCACUAAGUAUGUAGACAUAUGGCCUCCGAGAGUGCCUGUAGGUUUAAACUGGAUGAUUGUAAAAAAAAAAAAAAAAAACUCAAUCAAGUAUUUACUUUUUCUUUCCUUUGUGUACAAUUAGUUUUCCCUUUUUUCCUUUUUCUUUUUCCUCCUUUAUCUACUUCUCCACUAGUCCCUGGUAUUAGUUUCUAUGUUAACUUAAAGUGGGCACACAACAUAAAUGCCAAGGGUCUUGUAUUUUUAAAAUAAUGUAAAUAUAGACAAGAUAAAAAAGAAAAGACUUCAAGGGGUAAUAUCCCACAGAAAGAACAUAUUUACUUUCAUACCUUAAGACAUAAGGAACAGAUAGAUGGUCACAAAGAUCUUCAGUCUGAUGAUCCACUUUGCUCCUGCAGCUCUCUGCCAGUCCCCUGUUACUCAAGUUGGAGGUGUUGCUGGUCCCUUGUAUGUCGACUCCUCUGAUGUUAGAUGGCAACAAUUUGUAACCUUCCUCAGGAGUGGAGAUAACUCUAUUUGCACAAUUUUUAUGAAUGAUAAGGUGAAUAGGACAUCCCCUCUUGUAAGGGAUUUGCAUCUCUCUCAGUUCCUGUGUGAUAAAGACCUUCUCUAGGUUAAAGUGACAAGGGACAGAUCUGCAAAAAGCUGUAUCCCAGCAAAUCUGGCCAUCAGCCAAGUUGGGUCAUGGGCUGCCUACAUCAGCCUCUCUUUGAUGCUAAAUAAAUGGAUCCGUACUAUAGCAUCACAUGGGAAUCAGUGGCGUACCUACCAUGGUCGCAGCGGUCGCAGCAGUCGCAGCUGCGAUUUGGCCUGUCACUGCGAUUUGGCCAGUCAGAGAGAUCUUUUGAUCUUCUUUCUGAGUCUUUGCAGAGUUUGCGCAGCAGGAAGGGGAUGAGGCUGUCUGCCUUCACCUCCGCAUUGAGUCCCGGCUUUCCGAGCAUUGUCGCGGUAACCACAGCAAAGCUCGAUUCCACGUGGUGCUGGGACUCACAGGAACAGCCUUCACCCAGCAGAUAUGAUGGCAAAGAGCCUCUGCAGCACCACCGGAUCACCAGGCAAUAUGCUGCCCCCUCCCUGGAUGCUGGUAGGACACAUGGAGGGGGAGAUUUACAAAAUAAUUAUUUUUUCAUUUACUUUACAAAAUAAAUAUUAACUCACUUUUUAGCCCCCACAGCCCUUAUCCUACUCAGCUAACACUCUCUCACACACACUGCAUCCCUACACACACACACACACACACACACAUACCGAAUCCCUACACACACACACAAUGCAUCCCUGCAUACACACACAGAAACACACAAUGCAUUCCUACACAUGCACACACACACACACACACACACAAUAUGCAUCCCUUACAUACACAGACACACACACACACUAUGCAUCCCUCACACACACAGAAACGAACAACACAUCCUUUACACAAAUACAGAAACACACAAUGCAUCCUGUGCACACACAGAAACAGACACUACUUACUUUACAGUAGUGGGGAGAGAAUGACACACAACGAGGGGCUGGGACAGAGGGAAUGACACACAUGGGGGGCUGGGAUUGACGGAAUGGAACAAAUGGAGGGGCUUGGAUGGAGGAUAUGACACACAUGGGGGGCUGGCAUGGAAGGAAUAGCAUACAUGGGGGAACUGGGAUGGAGUCAGUGACCCAAACUGAGGGACUGAGGGAAUGAGACGCAUGAUUUGCGGGGGGGAUGAGAUGCAUGUGGGGCAAAGAAGGGGGUAUGAGACACAUGGAGGAGCUGGGGCGGUUAGAAGCUAGUUCUGAAAAAAUCUGACCGUUAGUUUUCAGGUCUUCAAGUAGUUUAUGAAGAUUGCUGUCAGCAACUGCAAUUGCCGUUUUUUGAGAGAUUGAUUUGGAAGUGGCAGAAUGUGCUUCUCCGGCACCAUUUUGGGAGCACUUGCUUGGAAGCGAUAAGGCCGAUAUCUGGAGAGUCGGGGUUUUGUUUGUCAGUUACUUGCCAUCACGUCGACUGAGCUGUGUACUGCAGUUGGAUGCAAAUUUGAUGCAUAGAUUGGAUAUAUGCUAUUUGCAGCAGCCACCAACGGAGCUCUCACCCUCUGCAUAUUUCUUCAUUCAGGUCUUGGCCACGUACCAUCAUCUUAUGUUUUUUAAACUUGAUAAAUUCCUUUUUGUUUCUGUUGUAACCUUACCCCCUACUAGGAGGAUAGAAGUAAUGCAUGUUGAGUUUCCAAGUCUAUUAAAUAUUUUCUGUCUGAGUUAAAUGAAAUCUGUCUUAACAUCCUUUAUGAUUAUCAAAUUAAGUUCAGUGAGGCUUUACUAAGGACUGGUGUCCAGUUUCUACAUACCAUAGGUUUGAUCCUACCUAUAUUGGGUAUAAAGUAGAUCCUGAAGCUCUUGGGAUUUGUCUGGCUUUAUAGUAGAUGAAUAAAAAGAGGCCAUGCAGGACCAGAUUAAUUUCCUUUUUCUAAAGCCGUAGUAGUUGAAAAUAAAUAUCCUGUGUUGUAAAAUUACUGGGCAAUUCAAGACUAAACUGGUUCCAUAAAACCUCAUUUGCGUCUUCUGGUGUACACUUUAAAAUCUCUGCUCGCUCUGCAAAUUCUCCUGCUUACAUUCAAAUGUUGUCCAUAUUCAAAUCCGGAAGUAAAAAUUCUUAGUGUACUACAAAUUAACAAAAUGCCAAUGCAUAGAAUACUCAACUAUGUACUCAUGGUAUACAAUAUUGGUAAAUGCCCUUGCACUCUUGCUAUAUAAAUAGCUUAAUUUGCCAGCUGCUUAAACAUGAUAUACAGGAUAAAUAAAGAUGGGAAGCACUCACGGUCUUCCAAAGAUAAAAAUAACUUCCUUUGGUCGACAUUUCAGUCCCUGCUGGGACUUUCUCAGGAUCCUAAAAUCAUUACAAAGAUGUGCCAAUCUUAAGUAGAAAAGAAGUAAGAAGAAUCCACUUAUCCGAGAACGAAUGCAGGUGUGCUCGAUGUGGUUUGAAUAAACCUUGAGAUUGAGCACCUAAGUCCCGCCUCCACCGCGCUGACCUCAUAGUACUACAUUGCUAUGACAAUACGAAGACUGCCGUGAUAUAAGAAUGUGGCAUAUUGAAAUAUGCUGUGCUGUAAAUCAAUAUUCCCAAUAAGUACAAAAUAAAUCCCUGUGUUGGCAAUCCAUCGAGAGCAAAAGUGGGGUGUCUAUAUAAACCUCUUUGUAUGAAGUGCUAUUUCUGAUGGCAUCUAUAAUGCCUUUAAAUAAGUGGAUAAUUCACUAAAUUUCUCUUUGAUAUAACUAUGGUAAUGAAAGGAGGUGGGUUAGAAAUUACUGCAUUAUGAUCCCAGCUGGAAAUACCACGUUAGGAAUGUAAUUUAAAGUGACAAUAGUGACAUUAAUUGAUUAUUUAUAAAUAGAUUUAAAGUGGGCCUAUUACACUUAAAGUGCCUAUAAAGAUUAAAGAUGCUUUGUAUGGCAGUUCACACUUAAUAAAUAUUAUAGAUUGUGAGGAUAUUUAAAGUGCUCAUGAUAUCGAAAACCUAUAAUGUGCUAUGGCCCAUAGUCUAUUGUGAAAAGUGAUAAUAAAGUGUUAAAGUGCAAAUACUGUAUAAAACUAAUGUAUUUCCUAAUGUAAGCUAUAGUUAGAUUGAUGGCCUUAUGUUAUUUUCACGUGCACUUUAACAUGCACAUUAGUAUAAGACUUUGUGAGUGAAAUACUUGCUUUUAUUAUUUCAGUGUAAAACAUUCAUAAGAAUUGCAACGGAGAUGCCAACUAACACCCAAAAUCAUGUAGAAAGCAGAUGCAGUCCAUGAUAAAAACAGUACAUAACAUUUAUUGAAACAGUCUAAAAAAUGAACAAAUUCAAGAACACAGCAGCAAAUGUGCAUACUUAGUAGAUAAACAGAAAACCAAGAUAACUAAACAGUGAAAUACACACUGCACUGAAAUAAUAUACAUUGUUACAAAAAGACAUGUCAAUUUGGUGACACAAGAAGCAAAUUCAUUACAAUUAGAAAGUUGCUUAAAAGAAAAAUAAUUUAAUGUAUAAAUAAGCAAAUAAAUAUUUAAAAAAACACAAUGGUGAAGUCUUCAAGUUUUGAGAGUAUGCUCCACAAAGUUAGAACAGCUGUGGAUAUAAACAAACUGUAAAUAUAGGUAUAUCAUUCAAUUGUAGUUCAAUACACACAUUUAGAACAGAAUCUCUGAGUAAAUGAAAAGUCAUGAGACACACAAUGUAUGGUUUGAAUGUAAGAUUCACUUCAUAGCACAAUAUAGUAACUUGUAUCAUUCUCAAUGGAAUUUGAUGAGGAAAAAAUAACAAAAAGUUAAAAAAUAUUCAAACUAAUGUCCCAAAAUAUACUUAUUAAUUAUCUAUGCAGUGUUUAAAGCAUAAUCCUUGGAUUUGCACUACAAGCAAAUUUAACAAACAUAAUGUUGUGGAAAGGCAAAAAAAUGUUUAAUUAGAAUUAAAAAAAUAAUUAGGUACAUCAACUUCACCAUUGACACCACAAGAUCUACGAGUAUGCAAUUUGAAAAUCCAUUUCACAUUGCAGUAGUCCAAUUUAGAGCUGCAGUCGCCUCCUCUAUAUUGUUUCAUAAUUCUAUCAAUACCUUGUAGAUGCAAUUUGGAAACAUACAAAUUAGUGCAUGUAUAGAAGAGAUGUGCUAUUGGAGAGUUAGCAUAAUUUUGUUUAAUGGCAUAAAUAUGCUCCGGUUUUCUAUUUUUCAAUGGGCUAGUAUAGCAGUCUGACCAACAUAUUUGGUUUGAACAAGAUUGGUAGGUUAACAAAUACCCUACAUAGGAUGUAUUACAAUUGAUAUAUUGUCAAAUUUUGAACUUUUCUUACAGAACUAGUAAAUUCAUUACCCAAUAAAAUCACAUCUCAUAGCCCUGUAUUUGUACACGCCAAUGUAGCCAGGUGAGUUUCUUGGUAGAAGAAGUAACCAUACUGGGAGCCAAUUGUUGGGAAAGAUUAGGAACUCAUCUGACCACUGUACGUAUCCCAGAAUGAGUAAUAUGUUCAAUUCUGCUGUCACCAAACAAGACUGGUAGAUAUUUUCAAACAAUUUUGCAUAUCUCUCUGUAUUGUAAGCCAUAAUUCGUAUUAAACAAAGGAUUUGAGCAAUUUAUUUGGGUGCUAAGUACUUUAUCCUCUAAAAAGGUGGAGCAACAGUUUUGUAGCCUUAUUAAUUUGAGAUAGCAGUUGCUCGUAUCUGUAUUAUUGUUUGGGGGCUUGUAACAUAUUCCUCCUUUGUAUAUUUCUACCUGCAAGGCUUCCACAUCCUUACCUGUAUCAUCACAUACAAUUUCUAUAACAUUUGGCUUCAAAUCAGGUUUAAUUUAAAGAAAUACCACCCUUUUCUAUUGUUUCUAUCCUUUCUAAAUAAUGUAUAUCCAUUAAAAUGAAUUCUGCAAACAUGUACUGCAAAAUAAAUAUAUAAUAUAAAUAAUAUAUAUAUAUAUAUAUAUAUAUAUAUAUAUAUAUAUAUAUAUAUAUCUAUAUAUAAGUAGAGAUUGUAGCCUUAUUAGUCCAGUGAUGUAGAUGUAAAAAACAGAUAAAAUUCUUAUCUUGUAAUACCUUUUUUAUUGGACUAACAGAAUUUUUUAAUGACAAGCUUUCGGGAGAACCUCCCUUUCUCAAGUCUGAAGCAUUUCAAAAUGCUUCAGACUUGAGAAAGGGAGGUUCUCCCGAAAGCUUGUCAUUAAAAAAUUCUGUUAGUCCAAUAAAAAAGUUAUUACAAGAUAAGAAUUUUAUCUGUUUUUUAUAUCUAUAUAUAUAUAGAUAGAUAGAUGCAAACAGGUAUCAGCACUCUUGGAUUUAAAAGUCCAACAUUUAUUAGUUCAAAGUUAAAACAUGAUCAACGUUUCAGUUCUGCACAGAGGACUUUCAUCAGGUAUUUUAAUCCUGAUGAAAGUCCUCUGCGCAGGACUGAAAUGUUGAUCAUUUUGUAACUUUGAACUAAUACAUUUUGGACUUUUAAACCCGAGAGGGCUGAUACCUGUUUGCCUUGAUGGAUACUACUAGCCAUGGUAUGCUAGCACCCAGUCAUUAAGGGACUUUAAAACGUGAGUGCAAGAGCAAUUUUUCUCAUAUAUAUAUAUAUAUAUAUAUAUAUAUAUAUAUUUUUUUUUUUUUUUUUUUUUUAUUAUUAUUAUUAUUUUUUUUUUUUUGCAGUACAGUGAUAGGCACAUUUUCCUACCAUUUGGUAGCAGAACAAGUAAAAAAACAAAAGUAACCAAUAGAGGUAAAAAUUUGCAGAAGCAGUAAAAAAAAAGUAAGUUAUUUAUAUAUUUAGAUACAAUAUAUUUAUCAAAUAUAUUAUAUAUCAAUACAUAAAUAUAAUUUUUUUUUUAUUGCUUCUCCUUUUUUUUCCCAUUUAUCUGUCACUUCUCACUUGCUUUGUGAAUUAAAUCAACAUUUAGUGGCUGUCCCCUAGCCAUCAUGUAUGUUUUCACCCAUCAAUCAUCUCUCUUUUUAUUUUUUAGCCACAAGUGGAAUUCUAAAUCACAAAUCAAAAUGAACAUGCUCGUCGAUAACACAUUUCAUUUGCUUUGUGAUUGCCUAUAUAUCAACACAGAGUUUGGAAAUUCGUCCGAUUAACCAAUUAGGCCAAAUUCAGAUGAAUUGCAGUUCAUACCUAAAAGAAUCUCCAAUUCUACCAAAUAUUAUAUCUUGCCACCCCAUUACUCCAUUAUCAUUGUAUUAAAUAUGCUUGUGAUUUAUUAUUUCUUUCAAUCACAGAUAUUGUUCUAUACCUCUUUGUUGCUUCUUACCAAAAUAUGAUUCAUUCCUUUCAUUUUACAAUUACAUUUUAUUUAUUAAUAUGUAUGCACUCUUUAUUUGAAGGUAUAUAAAGGUGUAUAUGCAGAUGGCUGUAGGGCAAUAUCACCAAUGACUUCUACUUGUUACGAAUUAUAGUAUUAUUUCAGCUACCUGUCCUCCCGAGACAGAAUUCAUUUUUGGAGAGAAGUAGACAGACCUAAUCACAUUCCUGAUGUCACGGUUAUAUUAUUCAUAUUUCAUUCACACUCAAAUACAACUUCCAGUGCCCCGCGAAGCAGGGUUUAGGUGAUAUAUAUACAAUAUGCUAAAUGUAGAUGAAUUGCACUACAGGGGCACUACCUCAUACCGGAAAAUGAUUGCAAAUGUAAGAAUUGCUUGCAAUAGGUUUCAUUUUCUAUCCUGUGGGGAAAAUGGCAGGAUCAUUUCACUCCUGCGGACUAUGCACUGUGAAGUUAGCUUGUUUGUAUUUCUAUACUGCCAGAAUGUAGAUUUAUUUUGUGUCAAGACUCUGUUUGUUACAGACUCAGUGUUCUGCUGUACAAAAUAUUGUAAUAAUAAUGCAAUCAAAUUUUUUUAUUUAGCAUUCAGUGUGAAGUGAGGAAAAUACAAAGAUAAAUAAUUUAGGGCAUUUUUUCUGUUGUUGACUAUCUCAAAAUUAUAUUUCAUCAAAGAAAGAAACGUAACUGCCAAUCUUUUAUUUAUUUUUGCUUUCACCAAGACAGCCAUUUACUGUGUAAUAUCUCUCCCUAAGAUACCUGUCCUCAGUCAUAUUGCAUUUCGCUUUACGAGGCACCCCCCUGUUUCUCUAGUUCCCUUUGGCACCGGUAUUUUCAGCUCCAAACUAUAAUUUAAUACUUGUGUUUGCUUUUAGUCUUGGGAAGCCAGGACAAGGGAUAUUUGAAUGAAAAUUUGUUAGACUAAAGUUCGGUAGGCAAAUAAUUAAGCGUAGUUAGAAUGUUUAGACUGGCUGAGUAUCAUGGGAAAUGCAGUUCGUAAACAUCUGCAUAUGCAAAGUAUGCCUUUAUCACCAAUGGUUAUGGGAAUAUCAGAGAGAUACAAAUCUUUUAGACUAACUUUGCUAUUCUGAGUUUUAAUAAGAAAAAUAAGUAACUUCCCCCCAAAUGAUUUCCUAUUCCUAAACAAAAGCAAUUCUAAAUAUAAGCAGACACCAUGUUGUAUCAAUAUUAAAGAGAUAUUCUAAACACCAUAACCACUACUGCACACUGUAAAACUGUUUACUCAAAACAAUCUAAAGUAAAGUUCAUCCUAUAAAGCGAGCAUGUAGCCUCUAUGUGUAAUUCCUACUUCUUAAAAUGAUUCAAUAGUGUUAGAAAAAUGUUCCAAAUUAAUUAUCUAAAAAAAUCCAAUAGUCUUCAAUAGUGACAAGAUAUACCUAAGCGCAUAAAUAGAGAAAGGAAAACUCAUAGGGUAAUAACGUUAGUCGUAAUACAAUACAAUACAACUCUGCAUUCCCCGGCCCUGAUCUCAAUGGUAUGGAGUAUAGGGGUCCUCACAGGUGUUGUAGGCAAAAAAACAGCAAAUAUACAAAACAAUAAUAAUUGAAAAACUCAUUUCAUUUAGUACUCUAGACUUCAUCAGGAGUAACAAGGUGAGUAGUACACAAAAUAAAAUGCUGUGGUUUAUGUUCAGACCGAAGUCACAUUUAAAAGUCCCUCUUCCAGGUGUCAGAUUCCUCUCAGCCAAUCCACCCUUCUCUUCCCAUCUGUUUCUGAUCAGUCUAUCAGCUUCAUCCAUAUUUGGAGUUCCAGUAGAUGUCUUUGGAACGCACAUGCAUUCCACCGAUCAGGAAGUCAUUCGUCUUGGUCCGCAGGUAAUGAUGACGUGAAUAAUAUGUGACUGGAACGCUAUGCAUUUCAGAUCGUCCAUUAGGUUUCCCCAUGUAGUUCUUCACAAGGAUAUCGCAGAGAGUCCUCAUUCAAUAAUUGAAUCUCAAACAAUAACAUAAAAACAGAAAACAUACUGAGAGGUAUUAAUAACCACAUAUGAAAAACUCAUUGUACCAUUGUACCAAUGUACAAAUAUAAAUAUGGAUCCAUAGUGGCCAAAUAUAUGUAUGGAAUAUAUAUAAAAUAUAAAAUAUAGACAUAGCACAUACUUUAAAAUUAGUGUAAAGUGCUAAAAAUUUAAACAAUGGAAAUAGGACAGCCCUAAAGGUGAUGUAGAAGACUAAGAGGGGGAGUCUGGGGACACAGAUCUCAAAAUAUAUAUAUAUUUAUUAAGUUAAUUAGUGCUUUUAUGGUCAAGUUCACUCUUCCACCUUCUAACUCUAUUGCUUUCCUGCACACUGACUUGUUGAUAUUAUCCCACAUACAGGUGAUACUCAAAAAAUUUGAAUAUCAUGCAAAAGUUCAUUUAUUUCAGUAAUGCAACGUAAAAGGGGAAACUAAUAUAUGAGAUAGACGCAUUACAUGCAAAGCAAGAUAGUUCAAGCCAUGGAAAGUAUAAGCAUGCAUACUGACUCAGUACUUGUUUUGAUCCCCUUUUUCAGCAAUUACUGCCUCAAUGCGGCGUGGCAUGGAAGCGAUCAGCCUGUGGCACUGCUGAGGUGUUAUGGAAGACCAGGAUGCUUCAAUAGCGGCCUUCAGCUCUUCUGCAUUGUUCGGUCUCAUGUCUCUCAUCUUUCUCUUGGCAAUGUCCCAUAGAUUCUCUAUGGGGUUCAGGUCAGGCGAGUUUGCUGGCCAAUCAAGCACAGUAAUCCCAUGGUCAUUGAACUAGGCUUUGGUGCUUUUGGCAGUGUGGGCAGGUGCCAAGUCCUGCUGGAAAAUGAAGUCAGCAUCCCCAUAAAGCUUGUCGGCGGAAGGAAGCAUGAAGUGCUCCACAAUCUCCUGGUAGACGGCUGCGUUGACCCUGGACUUAAUGAAGCACAGUGGACCAACACCAGCAGAUGACAUGGCUCCCCAAAUCUACACAGACUGUGGAAACUUCACACUGGACUUCAAGCAUCUUGCAGUGUGUGCCUCUCCAUUCUACCUCUAGACUCUGGUUCCUUGGUUUCCAAAUGAUAUGCAAAAGUUGCUCUCAUCAGAAAAGAGGACUUUGGACCACUGAGCAACAGACCAGGUCUGUUUUUCUUUAGCCCAGUUAAGACGCUUCUGACAUUGUUUGUUGUUCAGGAGCGACUUGACAAGAGGAAUACGACGUCUGAAGCCCAUGUCCAGGAUCCGUCUGUGUGUGGUGGCUCUUGAUGCACUGACUCCAGCCUCAGUCCACUCCUUGUGAAAGUCCCCAACACUUUUGAAUGGCCUUUUCCUGACAAUCCUCUCCAGGCUGCGGUCAUCCCUGUUGCUUGUGCCCCUUUUUCUUUCACACUUUUCCCUUCCACAUACUUUUUAUUAAUGUGCUUUGAUACAGCACUUUGGGAACAUCCAACUUCCUUCGCAAUUACCUUUUGAGGCUUUACCUCCUUAUGGAGGGUGUUGAUGGUUUUCUCCACAACUUUCAGGUCAGCAGUCUUCCCCUUGAUUGUGAUUCCUACUGAACCAGACUGAGAGACCAUUUAAAGGCUCAGAAACCCUUUGCAGGUGUUAUGGUGUUAUUAGCUGAUUACAGUGUGACACUUUGAGCCUAGAAUAAUACACCUUUUUACAAUAUUCUAAUUUACUGAGAUUGUGGAUUUGGGGUUUUCAUGAGCUGUAAGCCAUAAUCAUCGCACUUAUGACAAAUCACGGCUUGAACUAUCUUGCUCUGUAUGUAAUGCAUCCAUCUCAUAUAUUAGUUUCCCCUUUUACGUUGCAUUACUGAAAUAAAUGAACGUUUGCGCGAUAUUCUAUUUUUUUUAGUAUCACCUGUAUUUCUCUUCUUUUUAUGUUUUUAUACCUUAUCUCCUCUAUAUUGUAAAGUUGUUCAUGCAGAGCCCUCAAUAAUAAUAAAAAUUGUAAAGUACUGCUCAAUUUGUUUGUGCUAUAUAAAUACCAACAAUAAUAAUAAAAUAAACAAAUGACUUGACACUUACCUGUCUCUGUUGGUCGCUUGUGAUGCUUUAGAUAUGGCAGAGUGGAAGUUUGAAAAUCCAAAGUUCUAAAGCUAACUCAAACCAAAUUGGGACAUUAUUCUUUGGUAGAUAGCCAUUAAAUGUCACUCUAAGCCAAUGAAUAAUUUUCCAACUUUGUUAUGUUGCAAGUCAGUAAAAUAAUACUGAAAAAUGAACUUCCUUUUUGCCAUACAGUUCAGAUUGGAGCAGCUCAAAUGAACAACAGAGACAAGUGAGUGUUAAAUCGUUCUUAAAAAUGUUAACAGUUCAUCAUCGGACCAUGCCACGGGACUCAAAAACGGUUGUGCUUUAGUGGUUAUGGUGCCUAGUAUGUCCCUAUUGCAUCUCAAUUUUCAGCCUGAAGAGCUCUUUAUUGUGAUCUGCACACAUUGAACCAAUAUUCAUUUAAAAUAAAAUAGAUUCCUCUUUCUGUCACACAAAAAUACAAGUGCAAAUUGAAACAUUAUCCACAAAAAGAAAUAUGUCCUUGGUAAGAUGUCUAUAAAUAGCACAAUACAUAGGUUUUGCACUGGAUAUAACUUUUUGAACAUCAGAGUAUAAAGUAUAAUCCAUUUCUUCAACCACUGUCACAAAAAAUCAAUAUAAAAAAAUCACAUAAAACAAUGACCCAUUCUCACAUGUAAGACAAAAGCUUCCUAAGCAGCAUUGCUGCCAAUCAAAUGGCACAAAAAUAGUUCAAAUAUAGGGCUGGAUUCUAUCCAGAGAUAAAUUUAACUCUGGGAGCUAGAUAGUUAGGUUUCUAUUAAAUGCCAGUAUUGGCAAAAAAUAACCCCAUAAUUUUAGUGCAUUUUUGGAAUACAUUAAGAUAAAAUAUGCAAAAUAUGUAAUAAAACAAAACCAUACUCACCUUCAAAAUUCUGUAGAUGUAAAUCUAAUAUAUAUUAUCUGCAGCUACAAACUGGUUCCUCCUUCACCAGGAAGAGGCUCCCGCCCUAAUUCCUGGUUGUGGGGUCCAGGGCUGGCUUCAGGCUUUUAUUAAACUAAUAAGUGCAAUACAAGUAUAAUUAUUUAAAAAAUCAGCAGUAUCCAAUCUAGUGUGAUAAACAAUAAUUGUCAAGCUAAUAUACUAUUGAGGUGUAGAUAUACAGUCCUGAAAAAUAGUGUCCGGGUGUUAUGUAAUGCAGACCCUUUUUUUCUUGUAUUUUCACAAAUAAAAGUAAAAAAAAACAAGGCAGGAAACCUAGACUACAGGGUGCAUACUGCAGACUGUUUCAUAUAAUACAGGUAAGUGAGGUCAAUGGCCCUUCUCAAAGUGCAAGAAUUUUUGACUACCAAAACAGACAUUUGUUUAUAUGGACUACACUAAAUAUUAUAAAUGAAAGUGUGCCCUUUCAUGUUUUUUUUUUCUUUGUGUGGUAUUGAGUAUGUCAAUUGAAGUGAUUAUUUUACGGGUGAUUUUAGCAGCACCUAAUCUUUUAGCGCCUGUUUCACUAUCUUUAUUUGCAUUUGAACAAUUUAAUUUGUAUCAACAUAGUGUCUCUCCAAACCAUACAAUGUAUGCUAUGUAAAUGCCCUCUUUGCUUUUCUGCUGUAAUUGCUCCGCUCUGAUUAUCACAAUACCACAGUCUGCACAAGAAAAAGAAGAUAUUUUGUUCUAUUAUUUCAAUAAUGAGUGUAGCCACAUGAUCAGUUAUUCUACAUGUUGAUUCAUGAAGCCUCACCCACAUGUUUGUUGUAUGAGCUGUAUUUUUGAAUUAAAUCACUGUCUAGCAUUAGUUGACAAGAAAUGGGACAAUUUUGUAAUUGGAGGUUUCUCUCCUUGAGUUUAUUUGGCAUAGCAUAAGAAACUGAAUUAGGAAUAGAGAAGUUUGCCAGGAGCAUGGGUCAGGUUUAGUACAGAUCAACUACAGCUAUUAUCAGUACCAAUCACAGCUUCUGUACCUUUAUGGGUCCUCUGUCUUCUGAAUACUGCUCCAAAUUAUUAUUUCUUAGUCAAGCAUUGAAAGAGGCACAUAUAAAUAAGUCAAUUAAGGUUCUGUAUGACGUUCAUUGAUAGCACCAAUGAUAACUUAUGUUGCGCUCAAAGUGUUGCAAUGUCAUUUUAUCUAAUCACUAACACAAUGAACGUAUUAGUCCACGAGGAGACUCUACCAUGUGAUGUUCAGUAAUUAAUUUAUCUGUCAGGUAAUAUAUUCUUGUUUAAAAUAUACUCCCUCAGUAAAUACUUAUAAAACGUGCUCAUUCUAUGAUCCUCUAGGAUUCCUAGAAAAUGUAUUUAUUUUAUUAUUGCUUCAAUUGCAUCUUCUGCACUGAGAAACAUAGCAAUAAUGGACACUAUGCUAGUUGCACAAACUGUGUUUGAGACUCUUAACAAGAGUCCCCUUGUGCUGUGUAAGGUAGGUAGCACUUAAAACAUGAAAAUGACCUAGUGUAAACUGUAUAUAGUGUUAUCCAUACAAAAAGCAUAGAGGGCACUCACGCAUUAAAGAGCCCUUCAGGUUGUCUCUGAACUCUAAGAUUUUUGAUUGCCAAAUAUGGUUCUUCCGGGGAGAUCUGCCAUUUCCAAUAUGACGGGAUUGCCAAUCAAUCUAAUCCUCCAAUACCAAACCACCCAAUAGUUCAGAGACCCACCCACAAAUGUGCCGUCAACAUUCCAACUUCUUCGUAUAAUGGCACUACAUCCACUUCCUGUGGUGCAUACUCAGUUUGUCAUCACAUAAACCAUAAUAACGUCAUACGUCCUUAUUCUGAUGUCCGUAACUCGUAAAUGGAACACCUGGUCCCUUAAGUUCUCAAAUGCCAUGCAAGAUAAGGGAAAGGUAAUGAGCAACAAUAAAAGACAAUAGUACUCAAUAACAAAAUCAGAAAAGAGACAAUAAAGCAUAAGAAAUAUUAUAUUGACUAUAAAGGGGAGACAUAAUAUAUAUGUUGAACAAAUGGUAGAUUAUAUAUGUUAAUAAAUAAAUACAAACAAUAAUUAAGAAGAAAAUAUAUAAUUACCCCAUAGUCAAUAUUAAAAACACAAUGGUUAAUAUAAGUGGUACUGCAAGUGUAAAAUUAUAGAAGAGUACCAAUGUCAAAAUCGAUAUUUAACCCCUUUGGGGACAGUGUCUGCAGUUCAAAGAUACAUUUUAACUCUUGUCUAUCAAAGCUGUAGGCACUGUUGCCACCCCUCCAAUGACUGGUUACUUUAUCUAUCCCCAAAAAUUCUAAUUCCAUGAGAUCAGAAUGGUAAUUAUCUAAAAAAUGCUUUGAUACACUGUGAUUUCUAAAAACCCUUUUUAUUAUAGUCCUGAUAUGUACGCUUAUAUAUGUACUUUUAAAGGUCUAGAUUUUCUGCCUAAUCACCAUUUUGACUCCAUGGAAUUAGAAUUUUUUGGGAUAGAUAAAGUAACCAAUCAUUGGAGGGGUGGGGACAGUACCCUUCUAUUUAUUUAUUAACAUAUAUAAUCUAGAAUAACGGACAUCAGAAUUAGGACGUAUGACAUCAUUACAAUUACGUGAUGAUGAACUGAGUAAGCAUCACAGGAAGUGGACCUAGCACCACUUUGGAGAUCAUGAUCUGACGCACAGAAUAUGUGAAGAAGUUUGAAUGAUGAUGGCACAUUUGUGGGUGGGUCUCUGAACUAUUGGGUGGUUUGGGAUUGGAGGAUUAGUUUGAUUGGCGAUCCCCACCAUAUUGGGAAUUGUGGAUCUCCCUGGAAGAACCAUAUUUGGCAACUGGAAAUCUUACACCUGUUUUUGAUUUUAUGAUGUAAUGGCAUAUAAAUUAGAGAACUCGAAUUAUGUAGGUAUAUGUACCUGAGGAAGACCCCAUAUCGGUCAAAACGCGUUGUGCUGGUUGUCCCACCUCAGAAUUUGUUUUGUUUUUAUAUUAUAUAAUUAAGUAUAUUCCUCUUUAUCCUAUUGGUUCCUGACCUUCAAUCUAGAAGAGAAAUACCGCUGGGACCUGACACAUCACACCAUUCUGAGAAUGUUGAAAAUACCUACUGAGUUUAAAGCUGACCUGAUGGGCUCUUUAAUCUGUGAGUGUCCUUUACGCUUUUUGUACGGAUACCACUAUAGACAGUCUAGGCUAUGUCGUUUUUAUGUUCUUAUUAAUAGGUUCCACUCUGCCUAUUUUUUCCACUGUUACAUCUAUCAUUUGUGCUCUAUCACCUUAUUUGUUCUCAGUAUUCUAAUGUAUGUAUAAAUGUUUUCAUGGCAUAACACUUGGGUGAAUUUGUGCUGCACUGGUUGUUGUUAUUGUGGCACCAAAUAUAUAUUUAAUUACUUUGUUUAUUGAGCACUUAAAACAUGUUAAACUGGGCCGUUCGUGUUAUUGAUCUGUUGAAAACAUGGCAGCCAACCAAAGAAACCGAAAAAAAAUGUAAAUAUAUUGUUUUGAUCCACUUGUACUUUAAAUACAAGGAUUGAAUUAUAUUGAUUUACAGAGUAUUUGUGAUUUUUUUUAAGGUAUAGUUUAAUAUGUUUUGUCUGUUUGCUUUCAUAGGGAAAUAUUGAAGGGAAAUAUUUAAUAAUGGUCAUAAUGCAAAUGGUUUGUUUCUGUCAUUGCUGUACAUGUUUAUAAGUUUUGCUAAGGAUGCAUAUUAGGUAUUGCUACUUUAUCAUAUACGAAAGCAGUUAUUAGAACAAUGUCACACAGAGUGUUAUGAUGACUAAAAGGUUGGUACAGGAGGUCGAUUCAAGUAAGCCAUAGAUAGACAUCAAACAUUCUUUUCGUUUAUAAGGAAAGAACACAAAGACGUGGAAAACUGAGGCAUUUUUCUAUUUUAAUGUAUGUUAGUGAUUUUAUUUUUUCACUAUUGAAGCAUGAACCACUGACUCUUUUUUAUUUAUGAAUAGAACUGGUAAUUGUAUUGAUCCCUGCUCAGCAGACAAAAAAUUGAAUACAUUCAAGAGUCUUAUUGGCACACCAACACUGCAUAUCAAUGAUUUCCUUACUGUGAUGACAUUACUGUCCCUUUUAAUAAAUGCAUGACUUGUGUUAAUGGUUAUAAACAUGCAAAUAAAUGCAAAGACGUGUCAAAAGAGGGUCUUGUCACCCUGGCAUCUGUGAACUCUACUCUGCCUCUAGAAAGUUAAAUCUUUGUAACUUCAUCAAGUGGGUCAUAAAGAAUAUUUUCUUGCACAGAGCUCAACUAAACACUUUUUUGAUGAACUAGAAUGUGGACUACAAGCUCAUCAUCAGAGACAGAACUCACUAAAGCGCUCACGUGGAAAUAUCUGCACGGUCCCAAAAGAAUACCUUUUCAGACUAGCAGAAACAUCAAAUUGGAUGUCCAGCAACUAGAUCCCCACAUACAUUUGAUCAUGUAGUUUAUACAAUCUUUAGUAGAGAAUAGUAACAUUUGAGUAUUUAGGAGGACAGUGUGGAGUCUAGUUUUCAUGUCAAGAGCCUAUUUUCCUUGUGUGGAGAUGUGAUGGGUGACAGUUUGUGUUAAAACACAUCUCACAAAUUGAAGAUGUUAUGAGAAACAGACCUAUUUCCCAUUAAGGUUUCUAAGUGUGAAAGAGGGAGUUCUUGGGAGUAGGUAUUCCUCAAGGCGUGUGGACAAAUUGGAAACUUUUUGUGAUAUUUAUCGAUAGUAACUGCCUAAUGUGUUUAUGGAUUAUUCUUAUAUCUUCUGGUGAUAAUUCUUAGGCUACUGAAUUAACCCUGGUAGGGUCCCGUAAAAAGUGAUUCUCAUUAAAACUUGCUGGUAAUUUAAUCUUUGUAUUUUGACUUAUAUUUAAAACUGAUUACUGUAUUUUGUUUGUACCAUUAUAUUUACACAUAUGAAAUACAAAGAAAGUAUAUUUUAAAUGACAAAUAUAAGUGGGAAAAUGUGUUAUAUAAAAGUGAACUAAUACUAAAUACACACCUUAAAUCUUCCGAGUCACUAUUUAUAAAGAAGUGGUGCCCACCAUAAUGGACCCUUUAAUCAAAAAACAAGACAAAAUAAAAUCUUUGUUUAUGCUUUUUGACAUAUGGCAUUUUCUUGUAGCACCUUAUAUCCUUAACCUCUCUGAAAUUACGGUUUUAUGUGAAGAAAACAAACGUGAAAAAAAAGGCUCAGUACAAGGGGAAAUGGUUUUGAAGUGAAAUGGUUAAAAAUGUGUGAUUCUACCUAUAAAUGUAAAGAAAAUAAUAUUGUUAAUAUGCAGAGCGUAUACCUUAAAAUCCAUCUAGUCCUGUUAGGCAAAACACCUGUUGCUUUUGUUUACACUUCAUUGCACCAGACAUUUCUAUAGAAUACACUAGAUGGACACAGCUUUAUGAAUUCAAAUUACAAGACAACAUGUACUUGGAGCACAAGCUGCCUAGAAAGCUUAGAAACAGUUUGCAAACAGACUCUUUGUAAUACACUUUGAUUUUACCUUAUUCCUAAGGGGACUUUUCUAUAGCCAGAUAUCUAUUGGUGUCCACAUAUUAUUAAUGGGGCAUAUCCAAUUGCAAUAUACAAAUUAAUACAGUUAUUUCUAAACAUUCAAUUCUAUGGUUUUAUAGUCAGAUGUUUCCAAGGAUAUACAGAAAUACACAAACAGUACAAACUGAUCAUAACACAUUAGAACAUUUGCAUAUGAAGUAAAUGCAGUGAUUUAACAGUACUCGUUGCAAUGAAUGCAACUGUAUAGAGCAUAUAUGACUCAAAAGCAUUGAAAUUAGAAGUGAAAUUGAAAUGUCAUUUUUGAAGCUUUACAUUUUAUUAUUCAUGACAAAGAAGAGGAUUAUACUGAAAAUCCCCAACGUGCUAUUGUCUUUGACUAGGCAAGGAAACAAAUAUUUAGCAAUGUGUUUAUCUUAAUUAAAUCAUUAUUCCUGGAGCAAUGUAUUGAUCUUUGGCAUAGACAAAAAAAAGGAAAGAAAGACGGAUGAAACUUGAACAUUCAAAUGGCAUGAUAGUUUGUUUCAUUUUACAAAAAAAUGAUUCACUUCUGUUACAUUCUUUUAGUGUGCUUAGAAUUCUUGUUACAUAUUUAUAAUGUGCUAACAUAUUCUGAUUCUUUACAAUAGAAAUGAUUGUUGCAAUAUUCUUGUAAUCCAUUAAUUUUUAUUAUGAAGAAAAUAGAAGCAGGAUUAAUCCAGAUGUCCAAAUGUUUAUUAACAUUAUUUUUGGUUCCUAUGUCAUACUUUGGUUUAAACUCAUAUAUACUCAUAAUAAACAUUUUCUUUCUAAAUGACGCAAUUGUAAGUUAUAUUUGACCGGGAUUACAUAUUCUUUCCUUUAUCUCAUUUUCCACACUGACCCCUAAUUGUGUAAACAUUGUGGAAAAUAAAAACAAGUAAAUAUUCAAACCAUAAGGAAAGCAGAGGAAUCUAUUGCAACAAUAAAAACACAAACAAACAACAACAAAAAUUAUAUAUAUAAUUUCUUUAUCCAGUAUUAACAAACUAUGCAAUAGAAUCUGCAAAUAAGGAUAAUCAAAUAUGUUGUAAAAUAUCUUGGAUGCACACAAAAUAAACCCAAUCCUUCAGUCGGAAGAUUGGAGGCAGAAUGGCAUCUCACCAGAGGCAAACAGGCUUUCUAAGACCCUUCUUUAUUGAGUAGGCCCUGCUAUACACUGUGAUUGGCUAGAUUUAGUCUUAGUCAAUCACAUUUCAGCUCUCACUAAACCUUGCUUGCUGAAGGAUUUGCUGAGUUCUCAUGUUUGAUGGAAAUGUAAUGAAAAUUGCAUUGCAGUCAAUACUUUGCUGUAAUAUAACUGAAUGGGACUAAACCCAGUCAAUCACAGUGCUCAAUCAUAGUGCAAAAGAAAAGACUAAAUGGAUGAUGUAGAGAUUUAGGAAGCAAAGGCGCUUCAAUUUAAUUACCAUUCUGCCAUUCUGUCAUUCUGAAUCAAAAUUUCUCUUUCAUCAAAAUAAGCAAAUAAUUUAAGAGUAUAUUUCUCUUUUAACUUUAUUACACAUUUUUACACCACUUCCUAAACUUAAGUGCCAGUAGGUAAGUAUAUCAUGCUGUAGAGAAUUAUACUAUUUUAUUUUUUAUUAUUAUAGGUGCUCUUACUGAUCUGGAGUGGUUGAGGGUCCCCUGCUUUUUUAGUCCCCAGGCCUGAAGCACCACUGUGUAUUAAUAAAUAACUCGGGGCACUAAUUCCCCCCAGCUCAGUAUACUGAGAAACCCACAAUACACCACAAGGAAAAAGGAAGGCCACUCACUGGAACUUUCCUGGUUACUAUAGAGACCUGGGGAUGUGGAUUUAUGUUUUAAUGUUGAAUAUGAAUUGAGAGAGUCAUUAGAGCUCUCAUGGCUAAUAGGUGGUCCCAGAGAACGCCACAGGAUUUUAUGUUUAUAUUUAUUUGUGUGUGGUAGAUUAUAGACACAGACAGCUAUCGUAUAGUUCAUAUGGCUCUAUACCUAUAACAUAUUAAAAUAUAUGCAAACAAUUAAUUAAAAAUAAUAGUGUAACAAAAAAAUAUAUGAAGGACAUUUGCUGCAGAUCUACAGACUAUAAAGUAUCUCCAGUGAGCCCUAAGUGAGCUAAGACCUCGAUCUAAUAUUUUUGGAUAAACUUUAAAAUUAUUAUAUAUUUAUACAUGUUUAAUAUUUUGAUAAUUUUCUUUUGUGUGGCUCUCACAUAGAUAUUAUGUGCACACUGCCCAGUACCCAGAAUGGCUGUGUAAGAGCCACACAGUCAUGACUCCCACACCCACAGGCCCCCCUCAAACAGGGCCAGAAAUACUUUAAAGUGAUUAAUCCAACCAAAAAUUGUGUUAUAAUAAAAUAAAGAAAUGAAAAUAAUUAAAUAAAGCAAAAUUAAUUACACCCUUCCAUUGUGUUUGUUGGUAACAUCACAAGCAGCGUUCCCCACAUGUGCCAUCAUACAAGUCCAUACAUUUAGCCUCCAAACACCUGUGUCUGUAGGCUAAUUAUAGGGUUCAGUGUGUGGGAUGCUGCUUGUGAUGUUGUGUUCCUGUUUGUCAACGUAUUGAAAUAUAAUUAAUCUCUCUGGGAUGGGUAAAGAGGGGCAAAGUGUCUGGGAUGGGUGAAGGGGGACAUAGGGCCUGGUAUGGGUAAAGAGGGGAAAAGGGUCAGGGAUGGGUAAAGAGGCAUAGGGUCUGGUAUGGGUGAAAGAGGCGUAGAGGCUGAAAUGGGUGAAGGGGGGCUGGUAUGGGUGAAGUGGGGCAUAGGGGCUGGGAUGGGUAAAGGGGGGCAUAGUGGCUGGUAUGGGUGAAGUGCGGCAUAGGGGCUGAGAUGUUUAAAGGCGGCAUUGUUCCUGGGAAGGAUAAAGGGGCAAAGUGUCUGGUAUGGGUGAAGGAGCAGGUAUGGGUAAAGGGUAGGUAAAGAGGGACAAAGUGUCUGGGAUGGGUGAAGGGGCAGGUAUGGGUAAAGGGUGGGUAAAGACGGACAAAGUGUUUGAGAUGGGUGUGAAGGGGAGCAUAGGGCUUGGUAUGGGUAAAGAGGGGCAAAGGGUCUGGGAUGGGUGAAGAGGCAUAGGGUCUGAGAUUGGUGAAGGAGGCAUAGAGGCUUGGAUGGGUAAAGGGGGGCUGGUAUGGGUGAAGUGGGACAUAAGGGCUGGUGUGGGUGGAGGGAGGUGCAAAGUAUCUGGGCUGGGUGAAGGGGGGACUAGGGGUUAAGAAAAUAUUUACAUACCUGCUGACUGCCUGGCUUCAGCAGAUUUGGCUGGAAGUGAAGUAACUUCCCCUCUUCCAGGCCCCAUCUCUUCCCUUCACACAGCUCUGCACAGCCAGACAUGGUGGAGACCUUGAAAGUGCUACAGGAUCACUGCCAGGUCUCACUCAGAAGGUGGGGGUGGAGGGGAAGCAGAGAGGGGAUAAUUAGUGUGCGAUACGUUGCAGGGCAACAUAUCACUGGAAUAUGUACAAUUAUGGCUUUUUCUGACUGGGGAGAUCUCCCACACCAGAGCAUGUUUGUACAGCUGGCCGAGCCACUCCCUGCCUCGGGCCCUCUGCCCAUGACCGAUCUGCCUGAGUUGUCAGUCCACCCCUGCUAGUGCACAACGAGGCAAAACACUGUGCAGCAUUAAUCAAAUGGCGACUAUCAGACCAUCUAAUUGAAUAACAAAGUUUGACUCGCUUAUGGAGAGAAUUAUGUUAAUUUUACUUAUUGGAAAGCUAAAGAUAUCAUUGAAUUGUAGUUCCAGUGGUGUAUUGUUUUCUAUAGAAAGUAAACUUCUGGACUACAAUUACCAGAAAUCUGACAUCAUGUACGGCAGUUAUGGAGCAUAAUGUGAAACACUACAGAUUUGGAGUAGGCAGAAAUGUUGGGAUCUGUGUGAGGGCUGAUUCAAAUUCUCCAUGGAAUUCAGCGCAUGAGUUUGGUUAUUAAAUAUCCUUUGUUUACACUGGUAACGCAACUGAUUUUCAUCCUGCCUGUACAGAUGUACUAAGUAAGCUUACAUAUGUAACAUACAUUUACAUUUGGCAAUGGUUUUAUGUUAAUACUGCUAAAACAUGUAGUUAGUAUAUCAUACAGUGCAUUAAAAGGGACACAAAGGGAAGAUAAUAGCACAGAAUAUAUUUCUUUAAGCAAUGCACUUGCAACUCUUAUUGCAAAUACAAUGGAAAUAUAAAGUGUAGACCCCGUGGGCAAAAUAAGGUAGCACAUAUAUUUUAUCAUGGACAUAAAUAAGAGGAAGGAAUUAAGCAUGACAGUAGCAUGAAACUCAUGAUAGUGUAAAUGUAAUCUAAUGCACUGAGUAAAUAUUAGGAUAGCAUGAUUCUAGAUAAGGGUUCCUUGACACCAGUGCAGCUGUCAGAAAUGUUCAUAAUUUUAAAAUAUCUUACAGGCUGUUCCUGGUCAAGUGGCAGUAUUAUUGGUUUCAGGAGUUGAAUGCCAAAAAAAGAAUUUAAUUUCCUUGAAAUACUGCUUGAACUAUAUUUGAAGGAAAUUAGAUUCUGUUCAAGCAAGAUGAAAACCUAAUUGUCUUCAUUUCAAACUAAUAUCUAUGUAGAGCAACAUCCAGAGAUGUUUAGAUUGGAUAUAAGACAUUAGGUAAUUUGGAGGCUUAUCAUGCUAAACAUAGUGAACUAAAAAUUAACUUACAUAAUAAAAUUCCAUACAAGAAAAUAUUUUGUUUAGUAAUUGUCUUCUUAAAAGGACACUGCAGGCACCCAGACCACAUCAGCUCAUUGAAGUGGUCUGGGUGCAUACUCUCAUCACCCUUAACCUGGCAAGUGUAAUUAUUGCAGUUUUUAUAAUCUGCAAUAAUUACCUUGCAGGGUUAAUUCCUCCACUAGAGGGACUUCUGGCUUCUUAGACAACUUUUGGUCGUCUAAACAACGCUGGGCAUCCUCAUGCUAUGCAUGAGGACCUCCAGCAACACCAGAAUAAUGCUUUCCUAUGGGGAGGUCUAAUGGGUGUGCGCAUUAGGUUUCCCCUGCCGACGGAUGUCAGCGGGGGAGGAGCACGGGCGGAGCCUGACCCAACACCAAGGGAAAUAGGCGCUGGAUUCAGGUAAAUGUCCGAAGGGGUUUUAACUUUUUCAGCGCCUUGGGAUAGGGGCUGGAGGGAGAGGGACACUCCAAGAUUUUACAGUGCCAGACAAACUGGUUUGUUUUCCUGGCACUAGAGAAUCCCUUGAUGUUGAGUUUACCAGUUACUGAUAAAGUAAUUUAUACAUGAAAACAUAUAUUACUCAAAGCAAGUAUGGCUUAUUAAACAUCAUCCUCUUGGAAAAUAUAGGUACAUACAACUACCUUUAGCAAAACAAGUUUUUAAAUGGACAAACAUAGGGAACAUUUUUAUAACAGGUAGAAUACACAAACUUUUUCUAUGAGAACUCUUUAUUUUGCAGGAAAUUGCAGAAGGAAGUAUACACAAAGGUAUACACCCUAAAUCUAUUAAUGCAUUUUUCUUCACUCAGCGUGUGUGUGUUGAACAGCUUUUAUUCUAAAAGUAUGUUGGAGAAAAUGCUCAUUAAAAAUAAGAUUACUGUAUUAUAUAAUUUAUGAUGGUCCACCCAUAAAAUAACAAUUAGUCUUUCCAAAAAGUAUUUCCAUUAUUGGGUGUGAAUUCAAAUGAAUGAUCCAUUCCUUCCACUUCUCUGUUGUUCUAGUUCGUUUUUCCUCUAUUUUAGCCAAAGCCAAGUAAUUUGACCCUGUAUGCGAUAGACACUGCAUUGCUGUUUUUCACAGUUUAGUAUAGAGACUGUGAUUUUUUUAUUUUUUUUUAUGUGCAUUUUAAUUAGCAAAAUAAUUGGGGUCAGUGCCCCUGAUUUUUUUCUGUGUAAGAGUUGGUCAAUUUAAAAUAUUGUUGUGUUCUACAUUGAAAGUUUGAGAAGUGUUCUUUAUUAAACUCAGGGUUUGCAGAAAUUCACUAGUUCAACCUUGCCAAUCUCAGUGGAUGUUUGCUGAUGUGUGAUUGACCUUUACUUCUGUGUUUUACAGAAACAAACAUUUCAAGUACUUUAUGCAGUCAAAAAAAAAAAAUAGUGCUCUGAAAAAAUGUGUUCCACUUUUUCAAAAAUUAACCUGUCAAAAAGUAUCACAAAAAAAUAAAUCACUGUUAAUAAAGUAGAUAAAUGAAUUAGCUAUUAUACCAAUAUCCUGCUGUAGCAAUCAUGUUGGUUACAGAGGGUAAAAGCAAAUGACUCAGUAGUAUUCUAUGAGAUAUGUUUGAAGUUAUAACAAAGAAUUAUUCUCUUUAAAUUGAAAGUCAUUGCAACAGCCUCAUAACGCGUAGCUGUGCACUUCCCCGUAUAUCAUCUUAAUGGCUAAUUUUUUACAUUGAAACAUGAAGCAUUUCUUCCAUAUUUUAUUAGUUCUAUUUACCUGUCUUCAAAAUACCAAAUGGGCCAGCGAACAGUUCUUUAAUAUUCAUAGGACUCUGAGAUGUCUUUGACAGUUGUCAAAGAGAGAAAUGGUUUAAUCAGGGAAAAAUAUCUGACUUUUGAUUUCUGGCACCAACCCACUCAUACACAAUCUAUUAGAAUCGUAUACUCAAAUAUACACUCUAAUACACUGAGUAAUAUGAUUGAUUGAUUUCAUUUCCUAGGCCUGGCAGUUCAUAUUUGCAAGUCAAGUUAUGUUCAGCACAUAAUAUCAGUAUUAUAGCUAUAAUAAUCCUCUUUGCUAAACAUGAAUAUACAUAUGGACAUGCAAAUGUUAACAGAUAUUGCAAGAAAAUUACAGCAUACAUAUAUUUAAGACUUUUUGAAUACAUUUAGUCUCAAAUAGUUUGUGCUACAUAAAUGCACAAUGGUCUAAAUAUAUUAGCACUGCAAUGGUUUGUCUUUCACUAAUAAAGGCAUAAACAACAUGUCACCAUACUACAUUUUAGCAUACAUCUUUCCCAAUUUGUAAUGUACUUACACACACUACAUUUAUCUGCAAUGAAGUUGACUAUAUAUAUAUAGAUAUAGAUAGAUAGAUAGAUACACAAGAUCCAGCACACUCACUUAUCCACUAAACAGCAAUUAUUAGUUUUAUUAUUAUUAUUUUUUUUUUUAAAACACCUAAUCUAGGCAAAAAUAAUGGGGAUUUGGUUACAUUAUAUGAUCAUACAUUGCAUAAGCCUGCCACAAUGGCAAUAUAUAUAAAACAUACAGGAUCCAGCUCACUCAGCAAUUUCAAAGCUCAUAGAAUUUUUUUUUUUUGUUUGUUUGUUUUUCAAACACCACACCUAGACAAAAAUAAUGGGGGUCUAGUUACAGUAUGUUAUCAUACAUUGCAUAAGCCUGUCAUAACAUCAAUGUUCUCCAUUCUUGGCAGGUCCUACUCUAGAAACCUAAUGCCUGCUCUUAUAAGAUUAAUCCACUUACUUGGGAAAGGCUUCCUCCUGGGACUAUCUGCAGGGCAAGGUUAAAUAGAGCCCUUGAGCGAGGCACUUGUGAAAGGCAGGGGUGCAAAACUGGGGAGUUGGCCUGGACUCCACUAUAUAUAUAAGAUAGCUGCACUCUCCUGAACAAUCAUACUUAUAAUGGUGUAUAUGUCCAUACAACAAAUAUGUAGAGAUUGUAGCCGUAUUAGUCCAGUGACUAAUGUUUUUUACAUGUGUAUAUAUAUAUAUAUAUAUAUAUAUAUUACUGUUUAUAUACUGUACAUAAAAAAAUAGAAAUACAUACAUGUGUUUUUUUAUAUAUGUGUAUGUAUGUAUAUAUUACAUAUAUUACUCAAAGCAAGUAUGGCUUAUUAAAUAGGCAUCAUCAUCCUCUUGGAAAAUAUAGGUUCAUACAACUACCGUUAGAAAAAAAAAAUGUUUUAAUAGAGUACCAUAGGGAACAUUUUUAUAACAUGUAGAAUACACCUAAUUUUUCUAUGAGAACUCUCUAUUUUGCAGGGAAUUGCAGAAGGAAGUAUACACAAUGGGAUAUAUAUAUAUAUGUGUAUGUGUAUGAAUGAAUAUAUAUAUAUAUAUAUAUAUAUAUAUAAUUUUAAGUACAUUUCUAAUUUUUAUGCACACACUGGCUAACAGUUCAGUCUUUAUAUAGUGGCAGCCUAUAUCUUUCUGUCCCUACUGGUGAAAUGUUGUAGUCAUUAAACAGCCAAUACUUGCUAUUAGUAGGGACAAGCACCUUAGUGAGUAGCUGUUGAUAGGUUACAAAGUAGGAGCAAUAUUGAAAACAAAUCCCAAAAGAUCAGGUGUGAAUCUUGUUACUGAAAAAGUGUUCUUCGAGUUUACUCCACCAAUUUCUUAAUAUGCUAUUCUUAACAAAAAAAUUCAUUGAGCCUUGCAGAAAGGGGUGCAGACACCAGCACCAGAGCUGAAAACCCACAAGGCAAGGAAACCGUAUCUACCUGUUAAUUUUAAUAUUCUUGUCAAUACUGGUGUGGCAUUACAAGCCUGCUUGUUAUUCCUUGCACUAUGAAAAAAAAAUUAAAUAAAAACAUUUAAAACAAAAAGUAAAUGAGUUAAAAUAAGAUCCUAUGAAUGUCAUAAUAAUCAAGAGAGGGCAGGGUUGUCUCUGUCACUUUCUCGUCACUCAUUGUGGAUAGAAUGGCAGAUCAAGAAUUCACCAGGGUCACUGCUACAGCAGGUGAAUGCCAAAGUUUGCAUCAUACAUGUCAAUGCAUUGAAUAGCCAGUUACCAUAAACAUCUGGUUCACUUUUUAAAUUAUAAAAUGCUUGAUAGAAUUUGUCAUUAUACUUUCAUUGGACUCAAUACUUAUUUUUUUAAUAUGCUGAAUUACCCCUUUGACUUUUCACUUUCAGUCAAUAUCUACACUUUUGAGUAAAGUUUUUAAACAUAGUUUUACAAGGUCAGAGACGCAACGGGCAUGUGCGUCAGUCGCCGCACUCAGUCAAUUAAAUUAUUCUCAUAGAGAAGCAUUGAAUCCAUUGCUUCUCUAUGAGAAGCAUCAGAGAGUGUUUGGCAUCCUAAUGAAAUUCGUCAAAGAAUCAAGUCUGUCAAUAAACCAGAUUGUUAAUGGGAUACCUUAUACUUUUGAUUAUAACUGUAAAUGGUGUUUGCCAUUUUUUGUGUUUCAGAAUUAUUCCUCUAGCCAGAAAGUAAAACGUAUGUAUUGUACUCAAUAAACUUUUACAAUUGUGCUGAAUUGUCACCAAGCUCACAAUUUUCAGAAAACUGGAAAUAGUUUAAAGUUUUGAAUCAUGCAUUUACACACUUCUAUUCUGAAAGUAUCUCAGAAUUACUGUCGGAAAAACCUGGAUGGAAGCCAGAUUUCUUUAAAGCCAGCUUAUUUGAAGGUUGGAAUUUUGUAACAAGCGCAUGUCAGAGCUGUACUAAAACCAGUGGCCUUGGUAGAGCUCAACACAGGUUGUUUUUAACUUGUCUGGUAGUGUAUUUGUAGGAAAACUGUCAUACCUAUAAUAGUAUUCCAUUAACAUUUACAGUCUCCACAGUAUGUUAUAUAGACUUCAAAGCUCCUAAGUGCUUUGUUUCACAGCAAUAUAUUUCCAUUAUGUCCAAAAGAUAUAUAGGGAAUAUUUCUUAUAGGUGCUAUCAACAUCACCCAGCAGUUAGUGGCAGCUACGCUUUAUCUCUAGUUUUCCGUUUCUAACUUUGUUGCUACAGUUUACGGACUGAUCACUAAUAACAUCUGCUUGCAAGUUAGCUGCUCACUGAUAAAUCACAGAAAGAAAAAAAAAAUGUUCACCCUCAACAUGUGUACUUCACCUUGUGAUUGGCCAUAGCAAUUUAUACAAUUCAUUAAAAUAUAUCUGUGCAAUGUUUCUUGAUGUAUUUCUGCUAUGUGAGACUGAUAUAUGAAUAACACAUGUACAUGUAAUAACACGUUUGAUAUCAUGUGUCUGGCCUUUUCUUUAAAUGGAGCUCAGGCUUGUGUGUCUUUUUUUAUAUGGUCCCCCUAACUCUGUGUCCUCCAAGUCCUCCCAGUUUAUUUUUGGCAUCUGGUCCCCCAUUUUUAUCUUUUAAAUUGCCUUACAAUUUUUCACCAGAUCUAUUUCCUACCUGGUGUCUCCUUCUUUAGCUUGGCGAUGACAUCUUGUCUCUGCCUUCUUCUUGUAUAAGCAAAGGGACGUCAUGGCAGGUAAAAACACUGUAAAAUUUGGACUUGACAAAGGAAGUGGAGCUUGACGUGAGCUUUGCCCUUUUUCAAAUUUUGUCAAGUGUAGGAGAAAUACACAAAACAUGUAUGUAGCUAACAUAUUUUAUUUACUAUAGUUUUUAGCUGUUGUUUCCUUCUUUGCACUAGGCCAGAAACCAGUCAAUAGGUAAUGCUUAGAGCAACAUGUAAUUAUAUUAGACUGCCUUUAAGUCAGUAAUUUCUUAACAGCCGCUACACAUUAACAAUAGGGACACAGCUUAGCGAGUAGUAGCUCGCUUGUAAAAUUUAGUCACUACAUUAGGAAUGAGCUUAGAGUCUCAAAUCUCUAUUAUGUAUGAUUUCACUAAGUGUUUUAUUUAAAUAGGUUGUUAAGUGAAUUAAUAUACCCCAUGACCACUUCAAUUCCAAUCAAUGAAAGUAAAUACGCACAUUUUCUAGACUUUACUGCAGUUAGUCCUGCACUGGUAGUGUAAAUGACUUUGAUAUCUAAUGUACAGUUUGAUUCUAUGACUCAAUGUAUUUUGGCUACAUUCUAACCAUUAAGGAGAUCCUGAGAGUGAUGAAGUCUCUGGACACAUAGCAAGCCACAACAUCAGUCUCCAAUGCUCUGUAUAGUACAGAAGCCUGAGUUUAGCCUGCAUUAUCCUUUAAAACACAUUUUUACCUUUUAAUGGGUUAUCGUAAUAACUGUCCUAAUAACAUUUGUGCCAACAAACUUUUCUUUUAACACUGUUAUAACAUUUUUGGGAAACUGUAUGCUGAAAAUAUUCAAACAUGAACCUUGAAAAUUGUUAUAAACAGAAUAUUUGGAACAGUAUUUUUUUAAUAUCUACAGUAUGUGGCAAACUGGUUUUUCUGCUUUUUUUAGAAUAUUUCAGACUUUAAAUAUAGUGCAAUCUUCUAAAAAAAGUGGGAAUGAAUAAAUAAAAAGCUAUCUAUAUAUAGAUUUACAGAAUUCAUUUUUAAUAUAAAUCUUGAAGGAAACUAUGCCUAAAGUACAAAAAAUUAUAAAAUAAAAUAUGCCACUUAUACUAUAGUUCAUUAACAUGUACUAAAGGAAAUAAUUAAUCAUUGCUCACCAAAGUUCUUACCCCUUUAAAAGUAAUCUUACAGUUUUGUGUCAUAUUGCACAUCACAUUUGCAACAUUGUCUAACCCCUUAAGGACCGGACUGUUUUUUCGAUGUUGUACAUUUGCGACCAGACAUAUUUUUACACUUUUGUGGUGUUUGUGGUUAGCUGUAAUUUUCCGCUCUCUCAUUUACUUUUCCCAUACAAAUUAUAUAUUGUUGUUUUCAGGACAAAAGGGGCUUUCUUUACAUACCAUUACUUAUAUAAUCUCCUGUAAUUUAAUUUAAAAAUAAAUAAAAAAAUAUGAUGAAAAAUUGAAAAAAAUACAUGUUUUUUAAAUUUUACUUGAAAACUCUUUUACUCAUCUACAAAAGCGAAUGAAAAAAACUGCUAAAUAGAUUCAAAAGUUUGUCCUGAGUUUAAAAAUACCCAGUGUUUAGGUGCUUUUUUGCUUUUUUUUUGCAAGUUAUAGGGCUAUAGGUACGAGUAGGAUAUUGCGGUUUCAAAAUAUACAUUUUUUAAAUUUAUCAAUAGAGACAUUGUAACACUAUUAUCUGUCAUAAAUCUCUGAAUAACACCCCACAUGUACAUAUUUUUUUUAAAGUAGACAACCCAGGGUAUUCGAUAUGGGGUAUGUCCAGUCUUUUUUAGUAGCCACUUUGUCGAAAACACUGGCCAAAGUUAGCAUUCAUAUUUGUUUGUGUGAAAAAAGUAAAAAACUAAAUUGAUCUAAACUAAUUUCGAUAAUAAGUGGCUACUAAAAAAGACUGGACAUACCCCAUUUGCAAUACUUUGGGUUGUCUUCUUUUGCAAAUGGUAUGCCAUCAUGGGGGUAAUUCUCAUUCCUGGGCUACCAUACGCCUCAAAGGCAAUGUAACCAACCUGGCCUUUUUCAAUGUAAAAAUAUUUGACCCAUAUAUUUGACCCUGUAACUUUCAAAAACGCUAUAAAACCUGUACAUGGGGGGUACUGUUAUACUUGUAUACUUGUAUAAGAUGUACAAUCUGUUUUUUUGUUUUCCAGUGGAAACAAAGGUUCAGCUCAUAGAAACAUUUACAUAAUCAAGCGGAACUUUGCUACAUGAAAGAUAGACAUUCUAGGUCAAUGCAACCUACAUAUCAAGAUAAAUGGAGCUUGUUGAAGAUUCAGUUUAAUUUUUUUAUUUCUAGGAUACAAUAUGAUGAUUCCAAAAACAAGGUUACUGUUUUAAUUUAUCAUUUGUCUAAUUAGACAAUAUUAUUACACUAUAAACUACUGCUUAAACACUAAAAUAACAACACAUUCCCUGCAUGCUAUGGUACAAAGUAAACGCUAUAAAUUAUAUUUUUACUGAUAAUUGAUUUUCAGUCAUAUGUGAUGUAUUUUCUUUCCAUUUUGUCAAACAUUUUAGAUAACAUGCUGUCUUAUAACGUUCAUAAUAUCAUUUAGUAAGCAUUCUAGGUAGACACAUAUAAAAUAUCCUAAUAUUAUAGAUUUUAUUUCUCAAGGACAAAACUGCUGAUAAGACUUAAACUCAUCAUUAUUUUUGCUCACAUGCAGCAGAUAAGGGCUAUGUUUAAGAAUGCUACAAGAUAUCCUAGAGAUUUCAGUUGCCAGAAGCAGAUUUUGACCUUUUUCUCUUAUAUGAAGAUUUAACACCACAGAGAUUUCUCAGAUUAAAAAGAUAGAAGAAUACAAAUUUAGAUAAAGGUGUGCGCAUAUCUGAAUGUUCAUGGACAUGCAUAUACUAAGGGCCAAAGUAAGGACUCUAAUAUCAUUCAAAUAAUCAAAAAACGUUUCAAGGUCAAAAGAGAAAUAUGUUUAUUAGUUUAGGAAUUAGACAGACAAUAAAGUGUUACAUUAUAUUAAUGAGUCUGUUUCAGAAAGUCAAAGCAUGCACUUAACACUAUCUAUAUUUUUCUAGAAGUUUCAUUGCAAGCAGCCCAUGGGUACAUCCCCACUGUUUUUUUUCUAACCUCAUUCUGGAAUAUUCCUGAGCACCCCAAGCUGUACCGCUGUAUCAAAAUAGCCAAAAGGAAAAUAAAGCUGAGUUUUGGCCAAAAGCUUGAAAUUCACUUAAAAUCACUUAAAAUUUCUGACAUUUCACACAAAAGUGAAUACCUCUAAUAAUCUGUCAUUGAAAUUCAAAUAUUAUUACAAGUAUUUAAAUGAAUGACCUCCUGAGAAAGGUUUGCCAAAACAACAUAAAGACUGCUCCCAUUCCAUCAUUAGAUAAUUUAACCCAAUAGUUUGCAUCGUAAUGAGGAAAUCUUAAUUCAUCAGUAUCCAUCCUAAUAUUCGAAUUUUGUAAACAUGCAUUAUAUCUAUGUCUAUUAAAAUGGGCACUCUAAACACCAAAACCACUUCAUCUUAAUAGCAUGGUUUUGGGCACAGAUGUCAUUUUUUUCUGGACAAUAUGAAACAUUGCCAUUUCUUCCGAAAGACAAUGUUUACAUUUGUCUGAAACCAUGUAUAUAGCAUUGUCAGCAGCUAGAGACUUUUCCUUAUGAAGAGUUUUUGAAAUAUCAAAGGUCUUCUCAUUUGGCAUCAUCACAGCAAGUAUAUAAGUACCAAAUUUGGCCAAUGAGUCUUACAAAGAAUAUGCAAAAAAGAAAAAGGUACUAUAUAAUCUCCCAACCAAGACAAGAGGAAACGUGCCAAACACCCAACAGUGUACCUCACAUACACCAAUAUAAUAUAAACAAAAAAGUAAAUCUAUACUGUAUAAAAUACUAGUAUAGAUUAAAGGGGUAGCACAAAAAAUAUAUACAACCUGUAGAUAAUACAAGAAACUUCCUUCACAAGAUCUAAAAUAUAAGAAGAAUCACACAAUAGUGAAGGAUGUACAGUCAAUGUAUAAUACACUCCCGGAGGUAGAGAACUUACAGGACCAAACUGUAGAUCUGAACUUGUCUCCCUUCCAUAGGGUAUGUGGAUAAAAGGUUCUUCUCUUAGGAAGCUUGUAUAUACGGACCAAAGGUGCAAAUUCAAGACGCUCAAUCCUCAGAAGAAAAAGAGGUAUAUAGAGCAGUAUUGUAGAUAAAAAUUAAUUUAUUUAUACAAAAUGCACUUACAUCAAAUAAAGUUCAUAGCAGCAUAUCACCACUAACAAGUGGUACCCAGGAGAAGGAGUCUCUCUGUAGCAGAAUAUCCAACGCGUUUCGUCUUUUGAAAGACUUCUUCAGGGAUAAAGAAUUAAAAAUUCUGUUUUCCUUAUAUAGCCUUCACCAUUUGAAAUUGCCGCGGAAAAUUCAUUCACUUCCGGGUUCGGACUUCUCGGUUUUUGAUUGGACAUCCAUCGUGAUCACUUCCGGUGGAUGUAACAAGAUGUUUUUAUUUCCGCGUUCCAAGCUGGAACGCAUAGCGUCCAUAACGUGCGGCUAGAUGUAUUCAUUUCCGCGUUCCAAGUUGGAACGCAUGGCGUUCAUAACGUGCGGCUCUAUGCCAUGACACUUCCGCGUUCCACCGUGGAACGCACGGACAGACCCAGGCGCACAAGUUGCAUUUGGGGCACCGAACGUCCCAGAGUGGGACACAGAGAGAAAAUACCAAUGACCAUCUAGUUACAUAAUAUACAAAACAAAGAAAUAUAAAAACAAUAAUAUGUCUGUCAAAAUAUGGAUAACAUCCAAGUACUAUAUAAAACACAAACUAAAAAAUACAUAAUAUAAACAUGUAUAUGUAUAUAGAAGAAUAGAGCAUAUAUAUACCCAAGUCCCUAUCUAAAUAUACAUCCAUAUCUAAAAACCAUACCUAUAAAGAUAUAUAUAAAUAAGGAAAAAAACAAAACAUAAAAAAUCAAAACUGUUACAUAAAUAAUUACAAAAGGCCCGCCAGAUCAAUAUCUUGAUUAAGACCUCUCUUAAGGGUAUUAAGUGUGUAAAUCCAAAAGGCCUCUUUUUUGGCUAGAUCAUUAGUUCUAUUUCCCCCUCUCCAAUGGGGAGUUACUUGAUCUAUACCAAUAGCAAUAAAGGUAGACCAAUCAAAUAGAUGACAAGAAUUACAAUGAUUUGGGACACUAUGUUCCAUUUUUUGGUUUCUAAUAUUAUUAAAAUGUUCCCGGAGUCUAGUGUGUAGGGUCCUGGUGGUUCUUCCCACAUACUGAGCUCCGCAACCACAUUGUAAAAGGUAAAUCACAUAUGUGGAUGUACAAUGGAUACAUUUCUUAAUAGUAUAUGUUUGAUUAGUAUAAAAUCCCACAAAAAAGGUAGAUUUUCUUUUUUGAUAAACACAUGUGGAACAUGUUCCACAUUUAUGAAAACCUGGAGUUUUUGUGGAUUGUAAAAAGUUUUUCGAAUUUGGACCUUUAAUCAAUUUUGGUAACAAACAAAGUGCCAAUUUAUUUUUAAGGGUGUCUGCCUUCCUAUAUAUAACUACAGGCCUUUCUGGAAUUUUAUCUCCUAAAACAUCAUCUCUUUUUAAAAUGGCCCAGUGUUUUUUAAGGAUUUUUUCAAUUUUUUUGGCUUCAGAACUGUACUUGGUAAUAAAUGCAAAAUCUUUGUAACUAUAGUUAUUUUUGUUUUUAUUUUUAUGGUUUAAAUUUUUAUCUUUCAAAAAUUCUGUACGAUCUUUCUCCUUUAUUUUUGCAAUAUCAUCUUGUAUAUGGUCUAUAUUAUACCCUUUUUCCACAUAUCUGUUUUGUAUUAAUUCUGAUUGCUCUUCAAACAUUUGAACACUAGAACAAUUUCUUCUCAUUCGGGUUAUUUGGCUUUUAGGGAUAUUGUUUAGCCAUACUGGAUGGUGUAAACUAGUCUUUUUUAUUGCUGUAUUGCAAUCAGUUUUUUUAAAGAAGGUUUUUGUGUUCAAAGUGUCAUUUUCUACAUAUAAAGUUAGAUCCAGAAAAUCUAUGGUAAACGGAUGAAUGUUAUGGGUAAAAGUAAGAUUAUAGUCGUUAGAAUUAAUACUUUCAAUAAAUCUUUCUAGACUCCGGACAUCUCCUUCCCAAAUAAUAAGUACAUCAUCGAUGUAGCGCCGCCAUAGGACAAGGCUCCCCCCCAUACAAGGACCCAACUGGAUGCAUGAGGCUUCCCAAUGGGAUACAUAUAAGUUGGCGAAACUUGGGGCGAACCUUGUCCCCAUGGCGACGCCACAUCGCUGCAAGAAAAAAGCAGUAUCAAACCAAAAAAAAAUUCUUUUCCAAAACGAAUUGGAUACAGGACACCAAAAAAUCGAUCUGAGUGGAGUUUAAAACAAAUAUUAUUACAAGUAUUUAAAUGAAUGACCUCCUGAGAAAGGUUUGCCAAAACAACAUAAAGACUGCUCCCAUUCCAUCAUUAGAUAAUUUAACCCAAUAGUUUGCAUCGUAAUGAGGAAAUCUUAAUUCAUCAGUAUCCAUCCUAAUAUUCGAAUUUUGUAAACAUGCAUUAUAUCUAUGUCUAUUAAAAUGGGCACUCUAAACACCAAAACCACUUCAUCUUAAUAGCAUGGUUUUGGGCACAGAUGUCAUUUUUUUCUGGACAAUAUGAAACAUUGCCAUUUCUUCCGAAAGACAAUGUUUACAUUUGUCUGAAACCAUGUAUAUAGCAUUGUCAGCAGCUAGAGACUUUUCCUUAUGAAGAGUUUUUGAAAUAUCAAAGGUCUUCUCAUUUGGCAUCAUCACAGCAAGUAUAUAAGUACCAAAUUUGGCCAAUGAGUCUUACAAAGAACAUUGGUUUUAAUCAUUGGAGGAGUGUGGUGAUUGCUUUACAUGCACAUUGUGUCUCUGUGAGAAACUUUGGAUUGGGUAAAAGUCAUCAUUGCUGAUCCCUUCACCGAGAAAGAUAUAUUGCAUUGGAUAUACAAAUAUUCUGCAUCUACUUUAGUGUACAGCUGCAGAGAUCAGAAGCUAAAAUAUGGAGAGUGUAAUAUUACUGCUAAAUUCCUGGACAUCUUAGUCUCCAAACCUUUAUGACUGUUGUCACUUGUUUAUACCUCAUUGGAUCAGAUAGAUGACAGUGGUGGGUUACUAAUUCACAAAUGUUUAUUUGUGCAUCUGCUUAUUAUCCAAAAAUGUAGUUCUAGUAAUUCUAGGUUAUUUUGCUCACAUUUAGAAAUGUAUGUGGACUUCAGUGCUAAUUUCAUUGCCUUCAGGUAAGUUAUCCUAUUAUUUUUGCAUUUGUCACUAAAACCAAUACAGAAAUAGAUUUACUGUGGAUAUUAACACUAGUUCUGUAGUCUUGAUCGUUCAUUAGAAAGGAAAUAUCAUAAACAUUUUUAUAUCAGAAACAGAAGCACACCACUAGCAACACACUAAAUAUGUCAGAAUGAUAUAUUGCUUGGAUUUCCUCUCAGAUAUUUUUCCUUUACCUGUGAAAAUGAUAAAAGAAAGAAUAUAUAUAAAGUUAUGGCCACAUUUUCAGAGGGCAUUAAUUCAAACUAUAUCAAGAAAAAAAAUGCCUUUAAAGGUCUGGCUUUCUCUUUUCAUAUAACAUAUUAUUACUUUUGUACUACAUGUUAUUACUGCAUGCUAUAUAAUCUAACAUACACGUGCAUAUAUUUAUUAAGAGGCAAAACAUUUCUAUCCAUCUACACAUACAAACACACACACCACACACAAAGAAACAAAAUAAUCACUCAUCUAUAAAUGCAUGUAUUAACAGGGUACUGUUGCAGUGACCAAGUAUAAUAAUGACAUUAUCCUGAGAAUUAUCUCAUUACAUGUAAAACAAAGUACAGAUUUAUCAAUGCUACAUAAAGAUGCUUAUUUUAGAUGAAUAAAAUGGGUUUAGUCACAUAAUAUUCCCAUAACAUUCAUGGACUGCCACUGAUACAAAGUACUCCAGUUCUUGCAGGCCCGUACCUAAUUUAAUUACUUUCAUAGAGAUUAAUCUACAUAAAUUGAGAUUGUACUGCAAUUCUCGAGCAGCUCAUUUUAUAUACCUUUGUGUAUUAUAUGUGCAUAUGUUAAAAUAUAGAUAUAAAUAAAACUAAUACAAUAAACAUAUUUUUUUCCAUCCUUACUGUAAUGUUAUUUUCCAGAAUUAUAAUCAUUUCAGAAUAUACUAAUCAUUUUAGAAUAUACUAGAAUAUUCCUCGCAGCAGAAAGGGAAAGAAAUAAAACUCUACUUUUAGAAUAAACAGGAUUUCCUAUUCAGGUUUUAAAUCUUUCUAAGGAUAUUUUUAAAUGUGCCAAUUUUCUGUUUUCUUGAUCAAACUAUUUUAUCAUUAACAAAUGGGUCAGUGGUGGAAAACCAGCAGUCCGUACAUCUCCACUAGUGCCAAAACAGUUACGGACCCUACAGGUGAAACAAGAUAUCAUAAUAUCACAGUGCUCAGAAUCAUUAAACUGCAUAUGUUUAAUACUGGUUACAUUUACUGUUCAAGAUGAUUUAUUCACUAAAGUGAGAAUUGUAUGAAAUUCAAAGCUCUUAUGCCCUUGACUAAGUAAAGUAAAGCUAAACAACUCUGUCUUCAUCUGAACUGUUCUUAGACGCAAAUAAACAGAAUGCACAGUUGUGCUGUUCACCUACAAUCAAUAAGAUAUAAUCAAGCUCAACACUAAAAAAAUAGGUAAACUGAUAAUCAAAACUGAGAAACACUUACAAAAACAGUUAUCAUAUAUUUACAAGUAUGCAUUGCUUUGUACAGUGAGAACACUAUACAUGGAAAUUCAACCCAUUAGGUAGCAUUUUUCGUCAUAUAAAUAUACACUGAACACAAUUAUAAACACAACACUUUUGUUUUUGCCCCCAUUUUUCAUGAGCUGAACUCAAAUAUCUAAGACUUUUUCUAUGUGCACAAAAGGCCUAGUUCUCUCAAAUAUUGUUCACAAUACUGUUUAAAUCUGUGUUAGUGAGCACUUCUCCUUUGCCGAGAUAAUCCAUCAACCUCACGGGUGUGGCAUAUCAAGAUGCUGAUUAGACAACAUAAUUAUUGCACAGGUGUGCUUUAGGCUGGCCACAAUAAAAGGCCACUCUAAAAUGUGCAGUUUACUGUAUUGGGAGAUCCAGGGGGAUCCGAGAGGGUCCAAAAACCAGUCAAUAUCUGGUGUAACCAGCAUUUGCCUCACGCAGUGAAACACAUCUCCUUCACAUAGAGUUGAUCAGGUUGUUGAUGGUGGCCUGUGGAAUGUUGGUCCACUCCUCUUCAAUGGCUGUGCAAAGUUGCUGGAUAUUGGCAGGACCUGGAACACGCUGUCAUAUACACAGAUCCAGCUCAUUCCAAACAUGCUCAAUGCGUGAAAUGUCUGGUGAGUAUGCUGGCCAUGCAAGAACUGGGAUGUUUUCAGCUUCCCGGAAUUGUGUACAGAUCCUUGAAGCAUGGGGCCAUGCAUUAUCAAGCUGCAACAUGAGGUGAUGGUUGUGGAUGAAUGGCACAACAAUGGGCCUCAACAUCUCAUCUCGGUAUUUCUGUGAAUUCAAAAUGCCAUCAAUAAAGUGCACCUGUGUUCGUUGUCCAUAACAUACGCCUGCCCAUACCAUAACCCUACCGCCACCAUGGCACUCACCAACACGACUCCAUAAACGCUGUCUGCUAUCUGCCCUGUACAGUGAAAACCGGGAUUCAUUUGUGAAGAGAACACCUCUCCAAAGUACCAGAAGCCAUCGAAUGCAAGCAUUUGCCCACUCAAGUCGAGACCUCAAUGACAGCUUGUGCAGAAAUUCUUUGGUUAUGCAAGCCGAUUGUUGCAGCAGCUGUCUGGUUGGCUGGUCUCAGAUGAUAUUGGAGGUGAUGAUGCUGGAUGUGGAGGUCCUGGGCUGGUGUGGUUACACGUGGUCUGCGGUUGUGAGACCGGUUGGAUGUACUGACAAAUUUUCUGAAACGCCUUUGGAGAUGGCUUAUGGUAGAAAAAUGAGCAUUUAAUUCAUGAGUAACAGCUCUGGUGGACAUUCCUGCAGUCAGCAUGCCAAUUGCACGCUCCCUCAAAACUUGCAACUACUAUGGCAUUGUGCUAUGUAAUAAAACUGCACAUUUUAGAGUGGCCUUUUAUUGUGGCCAGCCUAAGGCACACCUGUGCAAUAAUCAUGCUGUCUAAUCAGCAUCUUGAUAUGCCACACCUGUGAGGUGAAUGGAUUAUCUCGGCAAAGGAGAAGUGCUCACUAACACAGAUUUAAACAGUAUUGUGAACAAUAUUUGAGAGAAAUAGGCCUUUUGUGUACAUAAAAAAAAAGAAAGGAAGGCAGCGCCACUAUAAACCACAUAAAUUAAAAGAGCACAGAAUAGGCAGACUAGAAUGCAAUAUAUAUGAUAGAUAAUAAGCAAAUAGAAGUCCAGAAUAAAUAGUCUGACUGGUAGAUGAAUCAAACAACGAGAUAUAUCUUUGUAGAGGUGAAUACAGUCUUUUGUAGUGGGGGAUUCUUCAGAGUGGUGUAGAUGCGUCUUUAGUACAUCAUAUGAAAUGAGAAAAUAACAACUGAUGGUAUAGUAUGUCCCGAAGGGGGUAGAAGCAAUAAAAGAGUAUAUGGUCCUACUCACGUUUUCAAGAACUAUGGACUUAGCUCUAGUGUUGAUAACGUACAGUGGUAUAAUCCCCACUUAUGGGAUACGUGAGGUCUUAGUAUUCUUUCUUGAUUAGGGAACCAUAUGUGGAAAUAAAAGCGGUAACAACAAUGGUGCUCAAAGUAUAAAAUGCCAGAGGUAAGAAGAUAAAAAAAACAAGUGGUUACUCACAUUUAGUUGAACAGAUUAACUGUUCAAUGAAUACAGCUUGAGUGGUAUAAUCCCCACCUAGGAUUCUUGGCAGGUCCUACACUAACAGCCAAAGAUGGGGUACAUUGACGUUUUGGCAGGCUUAUGCAAUGUAUGAUCAUAUAACGUAACUAAAACCCCAUUAUUUUUGCCUAGAUUAGGUGUUUUAAAAAAAACAAAUAAAAUCUUUCAACAUUGAAGUUGCUGUUUAGUGGAUAGGUGAGUGCGCUGGAUCUUGUGUAUUGUAUUGUUUGGCCCCCAGCAGCACCUCCAUUUGUGCAUGUUAAGGUGAGUGCAGCCAACCCCCUCUUGUUUUAUAUAUAUUUGGGAGUCUAGCCAACUCCUUGGUUUUGCACCCCUCCCUGUCACAGGUGCCUCAUCCCAGGGCCCUAUUUAGCCUUGUACUGCAGAGAGCCCCAGAUGGAAUUUUUUUCCUCAAGUAAGUUGUUAAUCUCAUAAGAGCAGACAUUAGGCUGAUAGUGUAGGACCUGCCAAAGAUGGGGUACAUUGACGUUGUGGCAGGCUUAUGCAAUGUAUGAUCAUAUAAUGUAACUAAACCCCCAUUAUUUUUGCCUAGAUUAGGUGUUUUUUAAAAAAAAACAAAUAAAAUCUUUCAACAUUGAAGUUGCUGUUUAGUGGAUAGGUGAGUGUGCUGGAUCUUGUGUAAUAUAUAUAUAUAUAUAUAUAUAUAUAUAUAUAUAUAUAUACAUGUAUUAUAUCUAUAUAUAAUAUGUAUAUAUUUAUAUAAUGUCAUACUAAGUGUAUUUUUAUAUUUAUAUAUACAUAUAGUAAUAUAAAAAUACACUUAUAAUUAAAUUACACAUGUGUAUAUAUAAUAAUUGUAUAUAUUGUAUAUAUAUAUAUUAUAAUAAAAUAUAAAUAAGUAUAUAAAAAUACAUUAAAAAAAUUUAAAAAUAAUUUUUAAUGAUUUAAAAAAAAUUAUAUAUAUAUAUGUGUGUAAUGUUAUUCUAAUGGUAUUUUGAUAUAUAAAAUACACUUAGGAUGAAAUGAUAUAUAUAUCUAUGUAUAAAUAAAUAAAUAUAAUACGAAAUGUAAAUAUGUCCAUAUACAUAAUUACAUAAAUAAUUUCAUAAAUAUAGACGUUAACUUCAAAUAUAUAAAUAUGUAUAUAUAUUUAAAUUCUAUGUGCAUAUUUAUGUAAUAUUAUUACAUAAUUAAGUAAUUUUAUUGAUUGCAAUUUGAGAGACAUGCCUGAGAACCCAGGCUGAAAGUCCAGGGAAUUUAAUUUGCUAGCACUGUGGUUAACCCUGUAAUUUUCUAUGACACCCUAAAACCUGUACAUGGGGUGUGCUGUUUUACUCGGGAGACUUCGCUGAACACAAAUAUUAGUCUUUCGAAACAGUAAAACAUAUCACAGUGGUCAGUGAAAGUGACGUUUUUUGCAUUUUUCACACACAAAUGGCACUUUCUCUGAUGAUAUUAUUGCUGUGAUAGGUUUUACUGUUCUGAAACACUAUUAUUUGUGUUCAGCGAAGUCCCCUGAGUAUAACAGUACUCCACAUGUAGAGUUUACUUUUUUUUUUCAUUGAAAUUUGUCGAAUUGGUAAUGUUGCCUUUGAGACCAUAUGGUAGCCCAGGAAUGAGAAUUACCCCCAUGAUGGCAUACCAUUUGCAAAAGAAGACAACCGAUGGUAUUGCAAAUGGGGUAUGUUCAGCCUUUUUAAGUAGCCACUUAGUUACAAACACUGGCCAAAGUUUGCAUUUUUUGCAUUUUUAACACAAACAAAUAUAAAUGCUAACUUUGGCCAGUGUUUGUGACUAAGUGGCUACUAAAAAAAUCUGGACAUACCCCAAAUUGAAUACCCUUGGUUGUCUACUUUAAAAAAAUAUGUACAUGUGGGGUGUGAUUUGGGGAUUUAUGACAGAUAACAGUGUUACAAUGUCACUAUUGAACAUUGUAAAAAUAUUGAAAGAGCAAUUUCCUACUUGUACUUAUAGCCCUAUAACUUGCAAAAAAAGCAUAUAAACACUGGGUGUUUUUAAACUCAGGGCAAAAUUUUGAAUCUAUUUAGCUCGGGAUUUAGAGGCAGUCCCUGUGGGCGGGCUUGGAGGCAGCCCCCCGGGUACCCAGACCCUGAGCUGAGUUAGGGGCCCCAAUAUUUCUGAUGGCGGCACUGCCCAGUUUACUUGGGGUAGUGAACAUUACAUAAUCAGGUUUCUUCCAUAAUGGACAAUAGAUGAUAUGGUCUUGGAUACCACAGGACAAAUGUGUGCUAUGCACCAUUGGAUAUGGAUGGAUAGCAAUGUUAUUAACAAUUAAAAUACACUUGACAAAAAAAGGCACGGUCGGCAAAAUAGAGGUUUCCUUAUAAGACUGUAACCGCAGGUGGUUCCCUUAUUUACCACUAUAAUGUCUUAAAGCAUAGAACUUAGUAGGGCUAACCAUACAGAUAUCAUAGCCAUAAUUUUAUAUAGUUAGUAAGAGAUCCUCUAUUUACCAUAUAUAAAUAAUUGAGAAUACAAUAUAAAAUAAGGAUUGUCUUGGAAGCAAUAGUUUUGUCUUUUUGGAUAUUUAUUAUAUAAAAAUAUAAAUAUAAAAUCCAAAUUAUCCAUUAUAGCAGAGUUUAUAAGAUUAAAUUACAUGCUUGCAAAUAUCAUUAAUAGGUUAGCAUACCCUUCUGAGCAUGUCAUCAUGUCAGCCUCUCUGUCAUUUUAAGAUGGAGCAGCGUCUGUCUCCAAGUCUCUCCUCUGUGUCUUAACAUUUAAAAGUACACCUAUUUAUACCUUAGGUGUCUCCAUUUUAAGGUUACCGUAGUUCAUAUUUAUUAUAUGAAAAAGUAACACUUCUUUUACUUUUUUCAUUUUAGGACCUCCCUUGGCAAACAUACAAGGCCAUAACUAAAGGGUGCAAACGUCAUGGAAAUUUUCCUGACUUAGUUCAAGAUGGCAUCUUAAAGUCUGAAUAGGUUAUCUGUUGUUUAUACUAAGUCGUAAGUGUACAGUCGUGGGAGAUUCCCGGAUUUGGGGAAGUUCCAUUAACUUGGGGUUACCACAGUAUAUUGUGUACUGCAAGAGUCGUAGUAUAGCCUUGAAGCUUGUUCAUGCAUUAUUGUUAUUGUAAUUCGUCUGGGACAAAAUGGCGCAAACAUAUUAUGCACUGAGGUUAUUGCUUAAAGAAACAGUUAUGAAAAACAAUAUGUUCCAUUUCUAACACCUUGUCAGUUUGCAAUAUCUCUUAAAGACAAAGUACACAGUUUAAGAAAUACAACAUUUCAUUCUAAAACUUGUAAUAUUUGCAUUUGCCCAUAACAAGACUGGGUACACCCAAUAAAAAAGUAUAUCAUAAAAUACAGUUUAUAUCCAUAAAAAGGAGCACCAUAUCAGAGGCAGUGGUGAGUUUUAAAAUAAGCACAAAUAUUUACAUUCACAAACGUCUUCAUACAAAGAUAUACACUUGCAUGCAGAUAUAUUGUGAUAAUUAUUUGUCACAAUGCUCUGUUUAUCUAUUUGUUAACACUGUUUUUCAGGACUCCAUAACAGCAUCAUUUUAUCCAGACAGUAGAAAUAUAGAUCAGAUCGAUCCUUGUGCUAUUCAAUAUUUACUAUUCCACUCUAACUCCAGUCCCUUGUGAAUCUAGGCUUUAAUUUAAAAGUGAUUUGGUUACUAAGAGGAAUCACUAAAAUUUAAGAUCACUCAAUCACCAAAUGUGCAAAUAGCUGUUUGUGAACAGACUUAAUGAAUCACAUCACAUCAUUUGUUUUAAUUUAAGUUGAUCAAUGCUGAUUCAUUUUUCUUACUAAAAAUUUAUAAUGCAUAAUGACCAAAAAUCAGUGAGGUUGUAGCAGAUUGAAAACUGAAUUACUAAAUUUAGACUAAAAUAGCCACGUAACUAUAGUUUAUUGGAUGUUUUUCCCAAAAUCAGCAAUUGUCUAAAUGUUGCAAUUCUUUCAAUUCAUUACAAGUCAGUGUUUACUCUUUAAUGAAUAAACCCUAAGCAGGUGAAUGUCAUUUUGGAGCACUGUAUGAGAAUUCUAAUACUAUUUUAAGACUUUAAGCAGCAAUUUGUGUUGACAAUAAAGGAUUACUUCUCAGAUUAAGGACACAUAUUGGCUAUUACAUACCUCUGAAGAUCUCAUUUUAACUCAAACAGCACAAUGUCAUAAUUAUCUAUGACAAAUCACUGUACCAUGUCCGUAGUUUAAUAGGCAAAAAGUAUCUUCUUGACCUUUGCCAGUAGAUCAUCUGAAAAGCCAUGUCAAUGCAAGUUAUUGCUUUGUUUUUACAUUGUAGAACACUUUGGCACCUUAGAAUUCCAUCCUUGUUUUUUUAUUGGUUCUGUUUUUGAUUAGUUAUGUUAUAACAAUAUGCUCAGAAACUCAAUAUGUUUCAUCCUGAUGUGUCUUAGCUAUCUUUAAGGCUAAGCUAGCUUUAAAGCUUUUCUCCUGAGUCAUGGCAUUCUCCCUUAACCAUAUCUUCAAUUUGACGCAAAGUUUCUCUAAUUACUCAUAAAUCUCGAUUUUCCUUGAUAACAAAUUGUGGGUUAUACAAUGUGAUGUUGAUGUACUUUCUAGACUGGGACUAGAUAAAUAAUAAUAACUUGUAUAAUAGGUUUCUACCCAACUGUGUGCAGUUUUCACUAAAUAGAUCAUACUGGUUGCAUCCAAGCGUUGCAAUGGGAAUGCUAAAAAUCCUAUAAUAAAAUCUUGUAUUAUAUAAUGAAAUCCUCUGCAUUAUGGACCAAAAGUACUCAACCUAUAGGGCUAUCAUGUAUAUCUAAGUGGCAAAUUAUGUUGUCAAAAUGUGGAUUUCUGUAUUUCUCUAAUUUUUUUGUAUUUGGGCUGUUUCCUCCUGCUGUGUAGAUAGAUCAAGAUAACUGGAACACUGUAUCUUUACUGAAAUUAAGGGAACUGCUAAUCUAUAUCCUAAAUUGAACUUCUUAGAAUUGACUCCACCAGAUAUUUUAGGAGGUGCUCCGUAGGGUAGAUCUAAAUAUAUAGAAUACACAUUAAGUAAGGUAAUUCCUCGCAUUUGCCAGUGAAUUUUAUGAAUCACAUAUUAAUAAUAUGUUAUUAGAUUUUGAUUUCUUCUGCCGGUAAAUUGCAGGAUCUACAUCUUUUAUGACACAAAUGGGAUGAAGCAAGAUUAAGAGGCAUCUUGAAUUCUGGAUGGUAAUAUCUAGAAAAACUGUGAAACUUUAUCUGUUUGUCCCUGAUUCGUAUGCACUUGGAUUCCAAUGUAGUUAAUAAAUAGCCUUUUACAUAAUUUCACUCUACAAACGUGAUUGGAUGUACGAUAAAUGUAUAGGGAGGCAGCCAACAGCUCACAUACUUUCCCAGAACGAUGCCGGUUAAUGUCACUAAAAGCUAGCCUGACUUUACUGAAAGAAAUUAAAGAAAACACAUAUUUUUCUAUUAAAGCUUGGAAAUGCUUUACAAUAGCGUUUCUCACCAAGUGACAUGAUGCUUAAUGGCCAUUAACAGUAAAAGACAAUAAAUUUAAACUGAAAGAGUAGCUGCUCAAAAGUUUAAUAGCAUUCUUUACAGUUUGCUUAAUGAUAUUCCGAUUUGUCUGAUAGACAUUUUAUUUUUGGUAUUUUACAUUAAAUGUGAUUGUUACUGUAGCAAAAUAAUAGAGUGUAUGAUAUGUUAAGUAAAAUAUGGUGUUUCAAAGAACAAUGGCUGAUCUGUUCCAUCGUAUUUGUUAUUUACGUGCAACAUUUGCAAUCAAAAUAUAUAGGUGCAUUUACAAUAAAAUAUCAACAUUGUAAAAAAUAAAUUAAUAAUAAUUAAUAAUAAACUAUAAUAUAUGACAAUGGUUUGAUAGCCACAUUAAGUCACGUUGGUUCAUUGUUCUUAUAACUGAAUGGGCUGAUAAUGUGUGACACAAAUAUGUAGGCUAAAAAAUUUUUUUUAAAUGUUUAUUAAAUCAAAUGUCAUGUUGCUUAGUAAAGGUUCUCAAACAUUUGGUUUACUGUAAGCCAUGAUUUUUUUAUUUUGAGAAAACAUUAUGGCAUUUAGUCACAAUUUAAGCUAAGUAUGAUGAGAAUGGAAAUAAACAGAGUACAUAUUAAACUUAUUCUUGAUUAAGCGUCCUCCGUAGUUCUCUAAUAAAGCAAAACUGAGAACAAUUCACUUAGCUUGAUUUAGGCAGUAGUAACAUAUAUGGUAUUUGCAUCUUCCAUGCCCUUUUUUAGGUCUACAGAUGUAGCACUAACUUAAUAUGCAAUUUAUAGCAAGUAGUAAAGCCCUGGUUGUCUUUACAUGCAAUGUACAGUUAAUUUAUUUGAGCAGCAACAUUUGCACAAAGUUUAUACCAUUGUGUAGGGUACACUUGCUGUGCACAGUGGGUUGAUGCCACACUUACGGGGCUCACUGAGCUAAUAGUGCAUUUGCUGAUCAUAGUGGGAUCUAUGGCAAAUUAAGUACGCUUUAUAGUGUAGGGUCAAUAGAAAUGAGCACAUGGCUAUGAAGUGCAGGACAUGGUUAAUUUGCCAGACACAAUGUUACAAGAAAUGUGAUUCUUUAACCGGUAGGAUAUUGUUUUGUUAAUUUUCUAUUAAAUCUUUAAUGGUUGCCAAAAUAUAGAGGAUAUGUCUCUAGACAUUAUAUAAUAAUUUGACAUUAUUUUUCUUUUUUUUAAAGUUAUUUUUGUGUUAUUAAAGCAUGCCUAACUGAUCACUAUAGGGUUAGGAACACAAACAUGUUUUCCUGACCCUACAGUGCUAAACCCACCAUAUAGGUGGCUUCCCCCCCCUCCUUAUAAAAGUUUAAAACUUACCUAUCCACCCCCUUUGAGACAUCAUCAAAAUGGCUGAUUUUUAGCCAAUCCAAUGCUUUACCACAGGGAAAGCAUUGGAUUGACUUAAAUUGGCACAGAGGCGGGGCCAAAUGCCAUUUUGGCCAAUCAGGACCUCCUCAUAGAGAUGCAUUGAAUCAUGCAGAAUCAUGGGUCUCCAUGCAGAACGUGGGGAAGCUGAACGGCAGGGAUGCCUACUGUGGAGCACUGAGCCAGGAAGCACCUCCAGUGGAAAUCUAAGGAGUGGCCAUUUGGAGGUGUCCCUAGGGGCAAUGUAAACACUGCCUUUUCUCUGAAAAGGCAGUGUUUACAUGAAAAUGCCUGAAGGGAGCUAUUAUACUCACCAGAACAAGUACAUUAAGCUGUAGUUUUUCUGGUGACUAUAGUCUCCCUUUAAGUCUAUUUGCCAUAUAAUAUUUAAAAUUAUCUAGCAUGCCCAGGCCUUCGUGCUUUAUUUUAAGAGCAAAUGUUUUCCAUUUUAUGCAGGGGAUUUUCCCCAACCAACCAACCAAAUAAAAAUAGUAUCUAAUAAUGUCAGGUUUCUGUACAUCUUACUUAUAUAAUUCUAAAGAUAUAGGUCCACUUUGGCAAAACAUAUGCCCUGAGAAUGUUUAUUCUCCCCCACCAAAAAUUGUGUUUCCUCCAAUUGCAUUUUUUUUAAUGUUUGUUUUAGUAAGGGGAGAAAAUUGCUCUCUCUUAAAGUAUCCAAGAAUGGUGCAAUAUUAAUGUCCAGGUAUUUAAUGUGGUCGUAAGUCCAUAUUAAUCUGUAUUUAUGUUUUUUGCAAUUUUCCAGAAUAUUAUUCUGCAUUUUUCUUAGAAGAAAAGUUCUACUUUAUGUAAGAACAAACAAUAUACAGAGUGACAACCAAUAGACAGAGGUACAUACUUUCUAGAAGUUACUCAAGUUACAAAGCAAAGCUAAUAAUAGCGAAAAAUUGGAAAUAGUUUAUUAUUCCUAAAAUAGAAAUGUUGAUUAAACAAACUAUUUGGCAAUGCAAGAUGGAGAGAGGCUGUAUCAGAAUUGAGAAUUAAAAUGUAAUAAAACUGAAUAAAUGGGAUUUCUGGAUAAGCAAAUUAGAAGCUAUAAUGAGCAUAAAGGAAUAUUUGUAGAAACGUUUUUUGGAGAUAAAAAUAUUCUGUGUUUCUCCUUCAGGAUGUUAUAUUUAUUUGAUUUUGAAGAUAAGUUUAUAGUGUGGAAAGCUAGGAGAUAAAAGUGAUAUUUACAUUUCAUAUUCUUAUUUCUGCCAAUCAUAUAUGCAACCCGUACAAUAGAUAUAACCUCUGAAUAAGAAAGAGAGGUAGACAAAGUAAAGAGGAAGUAAAUUAAAAUGAAAAUAAAAGAAAUCAGUAAUAAUAGCAAUACUUUAACCCCUUAAGGACACAUGGCAUGUGUGACAUGUCAUAAUUCCCUUUUAUUCCAGAAGUUUGGUCCUUAAGGGGUUAAGGCUUAUCAUGCAUAUUUAGUGCUAAACAUAGAGGCUGAAAAUAUUUGAAUAAGCUCCUCUCACCAAAUAAUAAGCAGUGAUUAUGUUUAAAGGACCUGAUUGUGGGUAAGCAUCUGGAAAUAAAGUUUAGGAAUAUUAGAUUUUAUAUAGUCUAUUUUUCUACAUUGCUUUUUUUUAUUGUCAUUCUGUUUUUAUAAAUAAUAAAACAAAUAAAAAGAAGGAAAAGGAAGGAAAGAGAAAAAAAAAGAAAAGAUUUUUAAUGCAUUCAUGCAUUGGCACACUUUAAAUGGGUUGAGGCACACCAAUGUGUCAUGGCCCAGUUGCAUAAAGCCACUGACCUAUUUUACUCUUAAAAAAAACAAACAUAACAUAAAUGAACAGAAACAAAAACUGCUUUGCAAAUGCUACAUGUGGUAAAUUGAUAAAACAAAAAUGAAAAAAUUACUCUCUUAGAUUGGUGAGAUUUGUCUCCAUUUUUCAUCAAGGCUAAUGCGCUGGCCACAAACAACACUACAAAUAUAUGUUGUUAUAGAUGGCCCUGAACAAUACAAGUCUACUUAUUUGAAUUACUAAAUGCACAUGACAUUAACCUUAAUUUACAAAGCCCUGCUGUUAUGGCUGGUUCCCAAAAAUACUCUUCUACCUUCUUGAAUCACUAAAAACACAUGACAUUGCUCUUAGUUUAUAAAUGUUCUCUGAGUAUUUGAACUUCUUUCUUCUUUCAUUGAAAUGCAGAUAGCCCUUUUCAUUGUAUAAAUUCUAGCUUUUAUCCUGUGAAAUAUCCCCAAGGAGUACUGGAAGAAUAAUUCUAGUGGUAAAAAUAUUAAUCAAUAUAUUUAAAGCACUAAAUGGAAUUAAUGUGAUCGUACAAAAAAAAAAGUAAUAAAUCUUUUUUACAAUCCAUGUACCAUUUAGUUUUGCAGCCACAGAGUCACCUGGAUUUUUUAAAGUUAUACAAAUAAAGUAAAUGUAUACAAGUGAGGUUCUAUAAAGUAAUAAAAUGUUAUAGUGCUCUUUGUGAUAAAUAUUAUAUAGUUACUGCACUGGUGUUAAUCACUGUUGUAUAUAUGUACAUAAAUAAUGAUAUAGAAUUUUGAAGCGUGUAUUAUAGGAAAUAAUGCCAUUUAUGGAUUUUGGAUCCGUUGUAACCAACUACAAGACCAAAGGCUGAAAGGUUUAUGAUUUUUUUUUUUUUUUUAGAAUCCUUAGACAGCAUUAUCACUGAAAGAGCACUCGAUAUACCAACACAGCUUUUAUACAUUUUAGCUUUAGCCUAAAUAAUUAUUGGUAGUUUUUCCAUAUUCAAGUCUGUGUAAUUGCUUUCAUAUUUUUUUUUGUAAAGUUGUGUCUCCUCUGACACAUUUCUCCAUUCUUAAAUACUUCCUUCUUGCUGUUUACUGAAAAAUAGUGUCACAGUUUAGCCAUCUCUCCUUCGAAACCUGAAGUGUUUCUCCACUAAAACAAUUGUUUGUGUCAUCAGGAGGCACCACAAAACUUUCUGUGAGUUGUAGUUCAGGUAAUGUUCAAGUUAAUGUUCAGCUUUAAUGUAAACCUAAUGACAACAUUUUGAAAUUGCAUAAAGUCCUACAUCAGAGCAUCCUAACUGACUGGUAAAUACCUUGCCUCUGGACAGCGAUAACCUGCAGUAUAUUUAAAUCACGGGGAUUGUUUUGCAGAUGCAGCAACUGUCAUCUGCAUUUAGUUCAUCUCCCAAUAGUGGUAUGCCAGCAGAGGAUCUGCAAACAUUAUAUAUACUGUUAUAUAAUGUUAUUACUGGCCUCGUUUUUUGGUCAAUGAAGUGUUCCUUUAACCCUUAACCUAGCCUUAACACCCUCUCACCUGCAAGUCCUCAGUUUAAAAAAAGUUUUAAGAAAAAUAAAUAUUUCCUGUGACUGUAUGUGAUUAUUAGAACAGCCACAGAUUUAUUUAAGAAGAAAACUAUAGAUCUGCCUUCCACAAUACUGUUCAAUGUUAUUUCAAUUUUAAAAUAUUAUAGAUCUGCCUGCCACAAUAUUGUUCUAUGUUAUUUCAAUUUUAAAAAAGAUUUAAUAAACAAAGUCAAGCAAAAACGACGAGAGCCAGAUAAUAUUUGUGUUACAUUUUUACUUCUUCUUUAUGCUUUGCAGAAGGAUCUACAUCAUGCUUUAGUCCUAGAAAGUAAGCACCCCAACCCCAAAUUUUUAACUACCCCUACUGAAUAAAGGGACUUUAUGCCUGUAAUUAAAGUGUAAUACAUUUCUUAUACAGACAAUUUAGUUUCAGGUGAAUCAAUUCUCGUAAAUUGAAAUUUGGAUGAGCUGAAUCUGGGAAAAAAAAACCAUAACAACUGAUUGAGAUAAUUCAAAUCACCUUCUAUGCGCCAGUCAGUUCCUAAAGUAUGUUUUGUAUCACACAUUGGUUGCAUUGUGUAAUAAAACUAUGACCAUAUAAAGAUCUUAAUCAGUAAUAUGAAUUACCAAGAAAUAUGUUACAAUGCAUGUAUACGUUUUGCCAGCACAAGUACUACAUUCGUUCCUUUCCAGAAGUGAAUCUCAUUGAUCCUAAUACUAAGAUGUCACCACAGAUAAUGACAGAUCAAUAGGCUUCAUUAGAGGUUCAUCUUGCAUAUUCUCAGAAUAUACUAGCAGGGUUAUUCAUGAAAGUGAGAAUUACCAGGAAUUCAGUCAGUUUGGCUACUUUGGCUUUACAUUUUGAAAUAUACUUUGAAUUCAUUUUGUAUUCCCAGAUAUUCUUACUUUAGUGAACAAUGUUGUAAAAAAAAUCUUAUUCUAUAACAAUAAAAGAAAGUGCAGCCUAACUGUUUCUGCUGAACUGGAAACGGACAGAAUGUAUCAAAAGUGAAAGUCUUUCUUUGCAUUCAGUGGAAUAUAAUGUGUUGUAUUAUUCGCCAUAUGAAACAGCAAAGACUGUGCAAACAGAUUUCAGAAGAUACCUCUUUUGGUUCCCAAACAGAAAAUAGAUUCAAGAUUAUAACAUGAUUUACCCAUUAUUUCAAUAGAUAAAACAUAUUUUUAAACCACAUACUGCAUGUUGACAUUAUACAUUUGAUGGUACAUUCGUGAGAUAUAUUAAAUUAGUGGGAAUUUUGUGCUCAGUUAACAGCUUCUUUCUGCAACUGCCCUUUUUUUUAAUUGAGUGCAUUUUUAGCAUUAUAAUCACUAUGUUCACCGUCAGGGUUAUGGUUUUAGUAGUCCACUGGCACCUUCCCUCAAUAAAUGGGUCAAAAUAUUUGCAAACAGUUUGAUACUUAGCUGGGUCCACCAAACUUCAUCUUCCUCUACAUUUUGGGCAUGUUUUGCAGAUUAUCAAUUGACUGAGUGUAUCUGCUGACACUCUCAACCAAUCAAUGACAUUAAAACAUAUACAUACUUGACAUUGAUAGGGUGGAAUUUAACCCCCUGCUUUAGCUGUGUGGGGGAUACAAGAAGUGUUGCAGAUGUAUGGAAGGCACAGGAAACGGACAAACUAUAUGCAAGUGGUGCAAAGGAGACUUCUGGUACCAUAACCACAUGUCAAUUCCAAGAAUUCUCAUAGUCCAGUUACACAUUGGUGACGAGGCCCAAAGAUGGACUAAACAAUCGUCUGAGAUUGCUGUAUCUUUCAUUUACAUUUCACUUCUGGACUGCUCUUAUGGGUGGGAUCAGUCAGAUAUGCAAAUGGCAUAGGUUCUCUUUGUAAUGGCAUAAGUGAGCAAAAACAUUUUUGAGACUUGACUCUUUUGCCUGUUCUUAGAGUUCUCAUAUUCUCUUUUUUUUGUCACCAUAACCACUAUAAACUCCUGUAAUGCAUAUGGCACUUAGAGUGCUCAUUUAAUUCAGUCACCUCCUGUCAAUGAAAUGCAUCUCAGAAAAGGACCUGAAAUGAUAAAAAUAAGACAAUGCUGUUGCCAAAGAUCAGCAACCGAUUUAUCAUCAUCAGGAGAAGGACUGUAUUAUUGGGGACAGUAGCAGAAAUAAGCUGCUUCCUAAUAGUGUAACUAUGAAUCCGGGAUAAACCAGAAACAUCUUUAUGAAGUAGCUUUCAUACUGUGAACCUGCCAUUUUGCUCCUGCAAUGACAAGACACUGGCAUUUUGGAGAUACCCAAUGUUACAUUGCUGGGCUAGACACACCUCCAGUGUCACACUGACAACCACUAGAUGACGCUUCCUUAUGCAAAAUCAAGUCAAAGUUGGUUCAGGAUGUUUUGACGUCCUCACACACUGUAUGGGAAUGGAAAACGCGUUCUUAGUGUAAUGCAUGUGAAUCUGAUGCUUCUGAUAGAGAAACACUGGAUAUUUCCCUAUGAGAAACAUUAAAUUGGUGGAAUGUGGGACUUGCCAUGCUCUAUGAGAAGCAUUUUCUUGAAAAAGUACUCUGCAAGGGGGUUGAUGAAAAAGUAGGUGGCUGGGGCUACAGAGAGAACUGUGUCUUGGUGCUGGAAUAAAGGUAAAUAGAUGGUUAUUUUCUAUAAAUUGAAACAUGUAAAGGGAGGUGGGGGUGGCAGAGUUAAAAUAAAAUCAAACACUAUAGAGAUAGGAGUACAAACCUGUCCUCCUAACAUCAUAGCGCCCAUGUCACUAUUAGGGCAACCCAGCCCCCGUUUGUAUAAAAAAGAAUCUACAUUUUGCUCACCAUUUUCCUGUUCAGAGGCUCUUUCAAUGCUGCUCACCUAAUAGAGCAUCUCCAUAAUAUGUAAUGCUUUACUUUAGGCAUCUAUAUCACAUUACUGAGUUUUACUUUCUUAAAAACUGUAGUGUUUUUACAUUGCAAGGUUUCAAGGUCAGGGCCACUGCAGCCAGACCACUUCUGAUCUUGGUGCCUUUAGUGUCCCUUUUGGCACUACGGUUUUUCUUAAGAUUAAAAUACAUUCAGCUUCAAUCUGAUUUAGUUUUUUUAACCAACAUCUCUGGUUUUGUAGAAGAUCUUGCAUUCUCAGAUUACCCUAUCAGUGGUAACAAUUAUGCACAUCUGAGAAAUAGCUUCCUUGAUUACGAAUCAGGUUAAGAAUAGUAUAUUAGGUUGCGUGUACAUGUUUCUUCUGUGUCCCAACUUUAUUGUUUUUAUGACUUUAUCGAAUAAAGCUAAACUGAGAAAAGAAUGCCUUAUAGCUAACAUUAACAAAAAGUAAGUGUUAUAUUUUUUUGAAGGUGAUGUCACACAAGUUAUAUAAUUGAAAUCCCUACCAUUAAAUAAACACUAUAAUAUUUAAUGCUAAUGUUCCCCCUUUGGAGACAUGUUUUAGCUAUCCUCCAUUAUCAGUAAAAACCUUGAAAACAAAGAUUCUUGCUUACCUUUUCUCUAACACUGGGGCUUUCUGGGUACUGCAGCAACAUCAUCCGACUCUGUAGCUGAUGGCCAAUCCACAGCUCCCUUAUAGAGGAGCAUUAGAAACUGAGACACAUGCACAGUGCGUGCUGCACACAGAUCCAAAUGCUUCUCAUAGAUAAGCAUUGAAUUCAAUGUUUGCCUAGAAGAUGCAUUCUCCCAUGGCUGGAUUUUACUCACUUGUUUUACAGGAAGCGUCUCUAGUAGCUGUCUGUUAGACAUCCACUAUAGAUGUGUUUAACUCUGCAAUGUGCACAUUGGCAUUUCUACUAAACUGCAAUUUUUUACAUUGCAGAGUUAAAACAUCAGGGCCACUGCAUCCAGAACACUUUAUUGAGAUGAUGUAGUUUGGUUGACUUUUGUGGUCCUUUAAGUAAAAAUGGUGCCUGAAUCAUAACCACAAUACAACAGCUGAUUCCACUUUCUUCAAAGUUCCCAUGAGCACCAUGUGUCAGAAAAUACAAUGACAUUGGAAAUAGUAAAACUAAACUCAUUGAAUUUGUAUCUGUAAUACUGAAUUAGCUUUGUUAUUUAUACUAAUAGGCUAAAGACACCUCUGGCACCCCCUGACUAAAAUGGUACUUAUGCACAAGACAAUAUUUUAUUAUUGGACAUAAUUGUAAGUUUGUAAUGUAGAAAAAUAAUUCUAAAUAUACAUUUGUAGUAAAUGGUAUGCAUGAUUUGAGCACUAGCUUGCAUGUUUAACAGUAAUGAAGUGAAAGGCUUCAGGAAUGUAUUUAUUGAGCACUGGAAAUACAUUUGUUUACAAUUUUUCAAAGAAGCCAUUCGAGUGAUUUUUUUUUUUUAUCUUUGUAUAAAUCGUUAUCAAAUGUAUCUAGCAAUUUGCCCAAGGUAACAAGCUAUUGCUGUAAGGUUUUCGAAAUAAUUAGUAUCAAAAGGUGAUGUGAUACAACCCAUGUCAAAUUUACAAGUUGCCAAAUUCAUGCUUGUAAUAUUUCAAUGACUUCACACAUAUCAAUUUGUUUUUAAAGUAUUCUGUUCAAAUGUGUGAAAGUGUCUACUGUUCUAGUGUAGAAAUUAUAAUAUGAAUUCACUAACUUAUUAUUUUGAUUUCCUGAAAAACAAUGCUUGCUUGUUAAACCCUACUGAUGUUUUUUUUUUUUUACAGAUUUAACAUCUCUAAACAAAUUGUUGAUACAUACAUACAUAUGGAUACACUCGGUAGCCAAAACUGUAAAACUUGUUUAAUGAGAAAAUAUUGUCAUGAAAAGGCUCUAGAGACAACCUAAAAGCCUCAUGACCAAAGAGCAUGUGAUUUAUAAACAAUGUCCAAAACCUUGACAUGGUGUAAUUAAUCUCUAACACAUGAUUAAGCAGCCCUAAAGUGACACUGACUUUCGGAAUCUUUGCAUUUCCUGCAAAGAUCACCAAGGUGACAUGUCUACUUAUACUGUGGAGUAGGUAGAUGUAGAUGAAAGGGGAAAGGUUGUAGUUUACUAAUUGUAUUUCCUACUUUAACCUCUCACUCUUCAAUACCACCAUCUGUUCAAUGAUUUUCUGAACAUGUAUAAAAAUACAUGUUUUGGUGAAUUUCUAAGUGAAAAGAGGUUCCAACUCCCGUGUCAGUAAAACAUGAAUAAACUCGAACUCUCUAUAUUUCUGUAUAUUUUAAUAGUUACUGUUUCUUUUCUGCAUUUAAAGUGUUACUCCAACCCCCUUUCAAUUUUUACUUUAACCUGGAAAAAAAAAAAAAGUAUUUUACUUACCUGGAAUCCAGUGCUGUGUGAAGCUCUGUCACUGACUUCCAAGCCUCCGACCCAUGUCACAGAGGCCUUGUGCUGUCCAAUCACUAUAAGAAGCCUGUUACUACACUAUUUAAAUGGAUCAGAGUGCAUGCAUGCAAUCUGAGCCAGCAGGGGGACAGGGGAAGAAGAGGGGGAUGAAGAAAAGAGAGGGAAGAUAUAUUUUUUAAAAAGGCUAUACAAGUAGCAGAGGGUUGUGGGAGGGAGCUCUCACAUAGUGGGAGCGGAAAACUGAUGAGAGAUGUAAAACCCCUUCUGUUGAUUAUAGAAAAGUCCAGUGGGAGAGAGCAUUUCUGACACCCCAACUCCACAUUUACUGUAGUAUUUAUUAUAUUACUUAAAUCCAGCAAACAAAUACUAUAUGUGCAUUAAGGUUUGCCGACAAGUGUAAAGUUUCAUUUUGUUAAUUUCCAAGGUUUUGUUGACAUCUUAUCACUUAGAAAAUAAACUACAGGGAGUGCAGAAUUAUUAGGCAAGUUGUAUUUUUGAGGAUUAAUUUUAUUAUUGAACAACAACCAUGUUCUCAAUGAACCCAAAAAAUUCAUUAAUAUCAAAGCUGAAUAUUUUUGGAAGUAGUUUUUAGUUUGUUUUUAGUUUUAGCUAUGUUAGAGGGAUAUCUGUGUGUGCAGGUGACUAUUACUGUGCAUAAUUAUUAGGCAACUUAACAAAAAACAAAUAUAUACCCAUUUCAAUUAUUUAUUAUUACCAGUGAAACCAAUAUAACAUCUCAACAUUCACAAAUAUACAUUUCUGACAUUCAAAAACAAAACAAAAACAAAUCAGUGACCAAUAUAGCCACCUUUGCAAGGACACUCAAAAGCCUGCCAUCCAUGGAUUCUGUCAGUGUUUUGAUCUGUUCACCAUCAACAUUGCGUGCAGCAGCAACCACAACCUCCCAGACACUGUUCAGAGAGGUGUACUGUUUUCCCUCCUUGUAAAUCUCACAUUUGAUGAUGGACAACAGGUUCUCAAUGGGGUUCAGAUCAGGUGAACAAGGAGGCCAUGUCAUUAGAUUUCCUUCUUUUAUACCCUUUCUUGCCAGCCACGCUGUGGAGUACUUGGACGCGUGUGAUGGAGCAUUGUCCUGCAUGAAAAUCAUGUUUUUCUUGAAGGAUGUAGACUUCUUCCUGUACCACUGCUUGAAGAAGGUGUCUUCCAGGAACUGGCAGUAAGACUGGGAGUUGAGCUUGACUCCAUCCUCAACCCGAAAAGGCCCCACAAGCUCAUCUUUGAUGAUACCAGCUCAAACCAGUACUCCACCUCCACCUUGCUGGCGUCUGAGUCGGACUGGAGCUCUCUGCCCUUUACCAAUCCAGCCACGGGCCCAUCCAUCUGGCCCAUCAAGACUCACUCAUUUCAUCAGUCCAUAAAACCUUAGAAAAAUCAGUCUUGAGAUAUUUCUUGGCCCAGUCUUGACGUUUCAGCUUGUGUGUCUGUUCAGUGGUGGUCGUCUUUCAGCCUUUCUUACCUUGGCCAUGUCUCUGAGUAUUGCACACCUUGUGCUUUUGGGCACUCCAGUGAUGUUGCAGCUCUGAAAUAUGGCCAAACUGGUGGCAAGUGGCAUCGCGGCAGCUGCACGCUUGACUUUUCUCAGUUCAUGGGCAGUUAUUUUGCGCCUUGGUUUUUCCACACGCUUCUUGCGACCCUGUUGACUAUUUUGAAUGAAACGCUUGAUUGUUCGAUGAUCACGCCUCAGAAGCUUUGCAAUUUUAAGAGUGCUGCAUCCCUCUGCAAGAUAUCUCACCAUUUUUGACUUUUCUGAGCCUGUCAAGUCCUUCUUUUGACCCAUUUUGCCAAAGGAAAGGAAGUUGCCUAAUAAUUAUGCACACCUGAUAUAGGGUGUUGAUGUCAUUAGACCACACCCCUUCUCAUUACAGAGAUGCACAUCACCCAAUAUGCUUAAUUGGUAGUAGGCUUUCGAGCCUAUACAGCUUGGAGUAAGACAACAUGCAUAAAGAGGAUGAUGUGGUCAAAAUACUCAUUUGCCUAAUAAUUCUGCACUCCCUGUAUAUAUGCUAUUUGGUCAGGAUUGCCAAAAUGUUUGCAUAAACCUGCAUUGUAUGAUCAUUAUUUUUAUAAUACUGUAAGGUUAACGGACGCUAAGUAUGAAUGAUCAGUGUUAGAAACAAAAUAGACAAUUGUAAACAAAAAAAAUAAUUAGGUAGCAGAGACAUAAAGGCAACAAACUGAGCUGGGAAGAAAAAGAAUUGGCUAAUCGAGCUUUCAGUUACCAAUUUUUUUUGUCAACAAUGUGAUUAUUUGUGUAGGAGACUCAGACAUCCACCAUUUUAAAAUGUUUAGUGUUUUCACUAUAAUUGAAAGUAAUGCAGAUAUACAAUACAUAUAGAAAUCUAUUCUAAAAAUACUGAUAUUACUGUAAAACACAACAGGCAUUAGAUCAGGUUUUUUGCAUGCAUUUGAUGGCUAUUUCUUCAUCUUUUACUGAUUUUAUGAGUUUGCCUAGUUCUGAAUAGUUAUUUUCACCUAUGAUCGCUGCUGUGAUUGAGGACAACGUACAAAGGAAAUUAUUAUAGUACAGGCCUUCUGAAGUAGGAUGAAAAUCUCUACCUAUAUCUAUCCCAUUAUCAGUCCUGCUAACUGUAGCUGUGUGAUUCUGCUUUAUGUCUGCUCAUUGACUAUUACUGAACUCAUUUCAAAGCUUAUCAAAACAACUGUGCAGUAUGUACUAGGCAGAUUUUGACAUCGAUAUUUUCAAAAUGAUGUUCUGAUUUUUCUCCCAUGGCAUCUCAUAAAAAUGUAAUUCUAUGUGUUGCCAAGUCUACCUUUUUAUCAAUUGUUUUGUGAUGUUAGGACUUCCAGAAAUCAGACUUACAGAAUUGUAGUUAUCAACCUUUAACCACAUUCUUAAACAAUUUACAGAAGUCCCAGUAGUUUCAGUAGUCAUUCAUAAUACUCCAUACAAGCACACAUUUUCACAUUGGGGUAAUUUUACGGGGUAAGCAUGACAUGCAAUCACAGUCAAGGAUCAGGUGUUUCAUCGUAGAAUCAUAUCAAGAAGCUAACAUGAGUAAUAACUAGGAUUAUGUCCACAUGGUAAAAAUGUAAUGGCCAAAUAUCUAGAAAUUUUCAGUCAAAGUAAUGGUAUGUGUGCCUCACAUAGAUCUGUCAACCUAGUGCAGUAUUGUGAACAAACCUAUUCACAAUAUAUGAAUUGGUGGACAAACUUAUAUCUUAAAAUCAACCAAAAUGUAUGUACAUCUUGAAAAAAGAUAUAGCUGCACUGAUAUGCAAAUGUUUAAAUUUAUAUCGUAUUUUCAUGUGCUAUUUCUAACAAAAAAAUAUUGGGACAAAAAGUCCCCAGCUCUUUCCCUAGUAUCGAAGUCUAAUAUACUUUGCAAAGACCCUGUCUACAGCAUGGGAAGCAGGUAACAUAAAAGAAAACACAAUACGAUAUAGCGAAUCACUGAACAGUAUGGUAGUGGCGCAGUGGAUCCAUAGCAUAUUACCUAAACCUGUACAUAGUCUGUUAAUCCUUGUAAGCUCCUGAUGUUAACCAAAAUGUCUAUUCUACCUUUCGUAACUAUCAGCCUGAUUGAAACUAUUGCUGUAGACAUUUAUAUCUAGCCUGACUCCUCCUUUAAAAAAUUGUGCUGUCAAUAUUUUCGCCAUGAAACUGUUUAUUCCUUGUUAUACCAUCGGCUUGUAUCUGCUGUCGUGGCAAUAUAAGCGUGUCUGUAACUCUAAGCACUACAAAAAUAAAGAAUUAUAAAAAAAAAAAAAAAAGAAAACACAAAUGGCAGGGAAAAGCCCAAAAACGUAUUUUGCUAGGGUCGACUGGGUGUAUGAAACAACUCCCCACUGAGUAAACCAUCUAAACAUUACUUACCUAAGGGCACCUACAAAUGCGAGCAAUGUAGUGCUUGUACCUACAUCGCCAAAGACUCCAAACAAAUUUCAGACUGCAAAGGGGAGGAAACCUUCCAGGUCAGAUCCUUCCUUAACUGUUUCACUGAAGGAGUGAUUUACCUUUUAACCUGUUCUUGUGGAAUCAAAUUUGUGGGGAAAACUUAAUGCCCUUUCAAACUUAGGAUUUGGGAGCAUGUUAACUCUGUAAGAAGACCCAUGGAAACACCAAUUGCAUGCCUAUUAAAAGCUCAUCACACUAACUCUUCCAACAGAUUAAGAUUUAUGGGGAUAGAAUACAUUCCACAAACCCAGUGUAAAGGUGACUGGGAUCGGAGGCUGAGACAAAGAGACUUAAGGGACUUAAUAUAGGAUUCUCCUUCUCAGCCUUCCUACAGCUCCUCACAUAGGAUAAAAGGAAAGAAUAGUCCCUACGUUUGUUCAGUAUUUCUUGAGGACAUCUGAAAAACUAUGGUAACUUUAAAUAGUUCUAUAUAUUCACUUCUUUACAUUUAUCAGUUUGUCUUUUAAGCACUGGUUUUUAUGCCGACAUUCACACUUAUUUCUCUAUAACUCUUUAGACUGAACACAGUUAGAACUGGAGGGACCAUUUUUAUAAAACUACAGUACCAAAUAUAGGGGUAUACUUAUUACACAAUCUUUACGGGUAUUUGCCAAUUUACAUGCAAAGAUCCUAAACCUUUGUCAAUAUGGACCUUACUACUGCUGUUACUAACAAUGUAAAUUGCAGUUACUCAACCGCUUACACACCCCGAUCUCGUUAAAUGAGACAUAGAGGCAAAUCAUCACUAUAUUGGCAACAACACUGGAACUAAGGGCAUAUGAUACACUUAGAUUGUUCCCAUGUAUAUGUACAUACGAGGGUGGACUUAGAACCCGGGGUGGGUCUUAAAUAUACCCUGUAUGAGAAUAGUAACAAGUAAACCCAAGUUAAGGCAUAACAUAUAUACUUACCAAACACACAUUUAGGCUUAUUAAAGACUUACAUAAAUUAGAUUUAUGUGAGUAAUAAGUAUAGAGACAUUGCAAUGCACAGUAAGCAAAGCCCCACUAGUAUCGGAGGGCGGCUAAUAUAUGCAUGCCUCCCACUGACGUAAGGACAUGUCCUGCAUUGAUGAAAUGGAUUCCCGCUCCACGUGGGCACUAACCAAUCAGCUUUAACGGGAGGAGCAUUCCGACCGCGUGUGAUGUACACAGUGACUUGCCCCUCAAGAGUUGCAUCUAAUCGGAUCAAAGGGGACUGCAUACUAUUCACACCCUCCUGACCGGUUAGCUAUGAGACCAAAUCCAUUCAGGUCUUAAUUAUACACCACCUCCCUCCAGCAUAUUACAGAUGAAGUUCAUAUGCUAUCUAAGAGCGAUAUAUAUAAAUGAGCAGACUUGACAAUUCACAGACACUGCUCCUGAUGAUGGCGUGCUGACACGCCGAAACACGCGUUGAGCUAUUUGUUGUUUUAUCAUUCUUCUCCUGGUAGCACUUUGAUGCAAUAGUUAGUUUUAGAUUCCUUUAUUUAGUUUUUUUUUUUCCUCUUAGGCAGGGAGACUGGUUCAGGUAGACACAAGUGGUUUAUUCACAGUGCCGAGGUAAUUAUAGGGAAAGACUCUUUGAGCCACCGUGCUUUGUGUGUGUUUUUUGGGGGCUUGCCCCUCCACCUUUUACCCGGUAUUUUUACCUCCUAAUAUACCUGCUUUGUGUAUAUAUGCUUCAUACACCCAGUCAACCCUAGCAAUAUACGUUUUAUGGCUUCUCCCUGCCAUUUGUGUUUUCUCUUAUGUUACCUGUUUCCCUUAUUAUCCCUAGAAUGAUUAAAGGUAUGGCCUCCUUUCCAUUUUACUAUCACUCUCCCAUUUAGGACUUUUUAGUCUAUCUCUGGUUUCUUGCAAAUUUUGAGGGUUAUUCCUCAGCUGGGAGAGUGACAUUGGGCACUCUUGGAGCUAAUUCAUCAGCCUCCUCCAUAGUUCUGGGGCUCUCAGAUCAGCUCUCUUUUUACUAUUUAUUGUUUUUUUAUUAUUACACACUGCCGUACAAACAAUGUGAUUGUGUGUCUGCGACUGUCAAUUUGUCUGUGUGUUUUGUGUCUCUGUGUAUCAGUUUGUUGUGUCUAUGUGUGUGCGUGUAUCAUAUUAGCGUGCAUAUAUCAGUGUGUAUGUGUGUGUGUCCGAAUUGGCAAAAUGUGCAAUGUGAGGGUGAUAUGGUUUGAGAAAAGUCAUGGUAAUGUGUCAACAUGUACAGUAUAUGUAGGGCUUAAAUAUUGAGAAAUGUUAUUUGUUCACAACACCAAACCUAACCACUCCUGCAUACAGAGAGUAAUGGGAACACAUUGAAAGGUGGCAGGUCUGCCCAAAAUACAGGUCAGCCUGGCAUUAAGCUCUUCUAUUAGAUUUAUGAUGUCCAUAGCUACACAUUAUAAGAAAACACAUCAGGUUAAUCCCAUUAGUUUUAUGAUGAUUUGGUUUGAGUGGAUCCCUCCAAAGUUACACAUACAAUUGUGGGUUAGAGACCUUCAAAAAAAAUCUGAAUCUCACUGUAUCUACUAGCUGUGUACUUUGUCUCCAGGAGGACUGAAUGAAAUCAGAGAUUUCCUAAAUAUAUAGUUGUCUUGUUAAAGAUAGAAAAAGCCACAUUUCUAUCUAUUUUAUAUUUAUUUUUGUAUUUUACAUUUACUCAUUACAUUGUUUUGUUUUUAUCACUUUGAUUAUAUGGUAAGACGUUUACAAAUAACUGGGUUAUGAAUGUUAUAGUAAUUGAUAAUAUCAUUGAUAUUUUAUGAACUUAUGUUAUUAUUUAUUCAGCCAUCAUCAUGUAAGAGUUUAUUUGUUUAAUGUUUGUAUUUGCAGCAUAUUUGGUAACAUUUUACUUUUAAUCCUUAUCAAUGUUAUGCCUUUCAUUGCAUUGUGUUAAUUGAAUGGCUUGAUUUUCUUAUAUAUAGCUGGUUAUGUGCCUCUGACAUAUGCCUGUCCCAUAAGCUGAGCGCAACACGUCAGACACAUUUCUAUCUGGGAGACCCGAGUUUUCACCUAUUAACGAAUUCUGCACUUUAAUAUUUGUGUAUAUAUGGUGGAUUACUAUGAUCAUGAUCAUUUAUAGUUGAUUUUAUCUGCUUUGUUAUUCUUUACAUCUUGGUACUUUUUGAAGUUACUUCAGCAUCAACAGCACUUUCUAUCUGGAUGUAUUGGGGGGGGACCCUUCACCGGCUAAGCUGGUCCAUGGAGGCACUGUUUUUUUUUGUUUACAAACUGCUUGGUAGUGAAGGGGUUAACAGAAAUAAAAAAAUAUUUUUAUUUUACAUUUUUUUAGUUCUAUAAUAAGCUUCAUAAAAAUUACAAUGCUUGAUAUUAGCAGUGAAAAUUUAAUUGCAACUCUUGUAACUGAAUACUGUCUUAAAUGAUUAUUAUUCCUGUGCCCUUAUUGAUUUUAAUAUGAAGAAGUUCAUUUUGCAUAAAACACAUAGGAAUCAUUAACCUUAUCUUUAUUACUUGAAAAGGCUGACAAAUUAACAAAUGUAAAUUAAAAUUUGGAACAGCAAGAUAUAAAAAUAAAAUAAUUGCGCUCAUUUUAUAAUGUAAUGACACCAAUAAUAGAAUUAUUUACAGAUUAAUUUUCAGGUCAUAUGAUGUCAACUGCUCUCUGUGCUCUGCUAUGCUGUUUUCCUUUAUUUCUCGCAUGAAGAGAUGUUUUUAAGCAUGGAACCUCAUAGGGCUCAUCAUACUGGUGUCAAAUAUAGGUUUGUAGAUAUUGUGGCUAAUCUAUGUUUAUUAAAAAGAGAUGACCGUGCAAACCCAAUGUGGUCCAUUGUUUUUUACAAGGUGUCAGGAAUAUGACUCUUGACACAGUGUGAUACAUAUAAUGUAUUCUGUGCCGUCUUCAGCAAACAUGCCCAACAGAGAGGUCAAUGGUUCAGGCAUUGCAGUUAAAUCUUACAAUGCAGCAGACUUCUAGAGGUAGUGAUACUACUGGUGCUGCCUUUUUAGACACAAUUUAAAAAUUAGACAGACUGAGUCAUUGAAGAAAUAUGAUACACUUACACAGAGGUUGCCAUACUGGUGAGCAUCUUGAUGGAUCCAUUGUUCUACAAGUACAAGAGGUCCAGGGUUUAUUUUAAAGCCAACUGUAGAGAUGUCUAAUGUAACAAAAAUAGCUGAUAUAUAAAUACAAUAAUGUAUAAAGGAACCAAUUAUAAACAGGAAUAUGUAUAAAUUAAUUGCAGUUAUAGUUAUGGCUGCUUUCAUAUUACUGGGAAGUUCAGGGCCAGAUUAACAGAGGGGCUAAUGAAGCUGUAAAUCCAGGCACAUAUUUGGUAUUUUGUUUCUAUUUUUUUUAAAUACACCUCUUUCCCUGCCCAGACUGCAUAGUAGGAUAAAGAUUCUCCCUGCUAGUAAGUAACAAAGUUGAGAUAUGGACAAGUGAGUCCUGAGAAAGAAGGAAACAGAGUUUUGAAUUAGUGAGAAAGAGGAGAUGACAGCUGUGGCGCUUGCAAAAUGGAUGGAUAUGCUGAAUAAAGAGAUGGAAGACAGAUCUUGACAUACUGUGUGUGUGGGUUUUUGUUUUUUUUAAGAUACUUUAUUUUUAUUUUGAAUUGUAAUAACAAGUUUGUACAUUUGUACAAAAGUAAGGCGAGAGUACAAAAGGUAAUUGUCUGACUUAUGUUACAACCAGGGCCGGCACUACCUGUUAGGCGGACUAGGCAGGAGCGCCGGCCCCCUUCAUGCUGCAGCCGCCCGAGCGCUCUGUAGAGAGCCUCAGGCGGCUGCAGCUUUGCCCAGGCUGGUGCGUCCAUGAGGGCGCACCGCCCGGGUGCAGCAUGAAGAGAGGGGCUGACAGGAGGGAAGCGCUGAGCACUCCCUCCUGUCACUCCCUCACUGUAGCGUGGCCGAGCUAAGUAUGGUCCAAGCGGUACAGGGAGCAUCUGUCUCCUGUACCUGGCCGGACUAACAGGAAGUGCACACUGAGUGUACACUUCCUUUUAGUCCGACUGGGUACAGGAAACAAAAGCUCCCUAUACCCGCGGCCCAUACAGAGCUCGGCCACGUAGGGAGGGGGAAGAGAAAUAGGGGAGAAAUUGUGAGGAGAAAUAAAUUGUGAAAUAAAUUGACAGGAGGGGAGAAAUAAAUUGACAGGGAGGGAAAAAUUGACAGGGGGAGGGUAGAGAAAAGAAAUGACAGGGAGGGGAGGGGAAAAGAAAUUGACAGGGAGGGAGGGGAGAAAGAAAUUGACAGAGGAGGAGAAAAGAAGUGGCAAAAGGGAGGGAGGGAGAAAAGAAAUUGAUGGGGAGGAAGGGGAAUGAGAGUAGGGAGGAAGGGGAAAGAAGUGACAACGGGGGAGAAAGAGAGGACAAAGAGAGGGAGGAGAAAGAAGGGACAAAGAGAGGAGAAAAGAGUGAAAAAGGGAGGGGAAGACAGUGACAAGGGAGGAGGGAGAGAAAGAGAGAGUGACAAGAGAGGAGAGAUUGACACAUCCAUCACACACACAAUGCAUCCCUUACACACACACACAAUGCACCCUUGCACACAGAAAAACACACAAUGCAUUACACACACAGACACACAUACACAAGCAAUGCAACCAUUACACACAAUGCAUCCCUUACACACACAGAAACACACAAUACAUUCAUUACACACACUCAAUGCACCCCUUACACACAUUCAAUUCAUCCCAUACAUACACAGAAACACACCUUGCAGCCCUUACACAUACAAACACAAUUUCACACAAUGCAUUCCUUACACACAUAUCAGGACAUCCCCUACACACUCCACCCCCUGUAAACAAACUCAUUGGUGGAACAUGAAGGUGGACCCUAGGACCCAGACCUUGAGCUGUGUAAAGGACCCCCAAAAAAUAGAGCUGCUUCCCGUUCUCCCAGAACAUUGAUUUUUGUGACCACAGUUACAAACCGCCUCCAGAGAGCCUGUUCUACACCAGACCAGUGGAGUCAGACUGCAGCUAGAGCCCAUCAUCAUCCUCAUCUGGUUGUAAGUAGGCAAUCUAGUAUAUUAUUCGUGGCACUAAUCUCUAAUAUACCUCACAUUAAAGAAACACUAUAGUCCCCAGAACCACUGCAGCUUAAUGUAGUGGUUCUGGUGUCUAUAGCCUGUCCCUGCAGGCCUUUUAAUGUAAAUGCGGCAGCACUGCAGCACUGGCGUUAGUUAACAUGGCAGAUCAUAUGGGUGGGGCAUUGUGAUGUCACAUGGGGGGUGGCAAACUUUACUUUUGCCUAGGGUGGCAAAAAUCCUUGCACCGGCCCUGGUUACAACAUUGUAUCGACAUUCAGUUAUACAGUUAUGAUUGCAGGAGAGAGUCUGGUGGUUCAAUGGCAACUCCAGAAUUGGAUUGAUGCAUUGUCCAUUAACCAAGGCUCCUUCAGAAGACAGGUAUACUGGCCUGGGUCAUGGACUUAAGAGGAUUUUGUUGAGCCAGACUUUUGAAGUAAAUUGAGUAUUGCAUGGUAUGAUGUCAGGGGUGAUUUGCUUACGGUAUGUGGUGUUAUGACGGUAUGUGGUGUUUUUAUGUUGAGGUGUUAAUGUAUUGAUAUGUGAUUCCACAACCUCAGUCGGGUAGUGGUUUGGUGUGAGUGUUGCUGAAUGAUGUAGAUGAGUGUUGGCAGUAGUUAGUGUAGAAGUAGGAUUGAGAGAGGAAGAGAGGAAAGAAGAGAUGAGGAAGAGAAGAAAGAGGCGGGAGAAGAGAAAGGGCAGGGAGAGGCGGGGAUUUGCUUUACAGCAUCAACAUCAUGAUCAAGCUUCUUGAAGGUUAACAGAGAUGAGAUGCUUUUAUUAAUAGGUUACCAAGGAAGCGUGGUGUCCCCAUCCAGAAAGGGGUCACAAAGCUUGUGAAAUGUUUUGGGGGUAUCGUGGAUCUGUGCUGUAAGUUAGUCCAUGUCCAUGCUUUCAGUGAUUUUGUUAGAUAUCUGCUGUUGAGAUUUUAUGCUAGAGGUGGACCAGACUUCCACUAUGGCUCUGCGGGUGGCUAGGGAUAUACAGGCUGCUAGUUUGUUUUUGUUGCAGGUGAAAGGCUCUAAGGACUUGGAUAGCAGCAAUGCCCAAGGGUCUUUGGGAAAUGGCCUGUUCAAGAUUCUGGUUAGCAGGGUUGUUAUGCUCUGUCAUAGUAGGGUGAGUGUGGAGUAAGUCCACCAGCAGUGGAGGAAGGAUCUUCCAGCAGAGAUUGUCAGGGUUGCAGGGCAUGGAGGCCAGGUGUUGAGGGUUAAAGUACCAUCGGAAAAGCCUUUUAUGUGCCUGCUCCUGGUGUGUGACACAUAUGGAGAUCGAUAUAGUGGCCUCCCAAAUGUCUGACAAAUCUGUGGGGUUCUCAGGCGGGCCCAAGUUCUGCUCCAAGGCCGAGACAUAGGGGAGGACCACCUGGGAGUGGUGUGAUGCUAGUAUUAAGUAUAGGUCAUAUAUUUGUCCUUUGUGGGAUGGAUGGCGCAGACAGUCUCGCUCAUAAGCCGUCAAGGUGGAAGUUCCUGCUUGACCAAUUGAUGGGGUUGAUGAAAAGCUCCGGAGCUGAAGGUAGCGAAAGUGGUCAAAGGUCAUUAAUGUUGUUGGGUCCAGGAGGUCUGAGUAUUGAAGUAAUUUGUCAUUUGGGUAUAGGUGAACUAGCCUUGUUAUGUCCCGGUUUUCAAAAUGUGCAUAGUGUUUUGGCUAGACCGGGAGAGAGAGUCUGUUGUGGAGAAUGGGGUUGAGAAGAAUUUUUCUCUGAGGUGAUCCCAGAGGUCGAUGGAGUGGGUGACUGUUGGGGAAUGUGCCAAAUCAACCCAUCUCUUACGAUCUGGGGGGAGGUGCUAGUGCUGGAUUUUGGCCAGGUGGACUGCGUGUUGAAAUUGGGGAGGCCUAGUCCUCCUGAGUGUUUGGGGACAUAGAGGGUGGUUCUUCCUAUGCUGGGCUUGAAGGAAUCAAUUGCUGAUUGUAGUGCCUGUAGCUCUGACCUUUUGCAAGGGAUAGGUAGGGCCUAAAAGGCGUAAAGGAAUUUUGGGAGAAGAUUUAUUUUUAUUGAUGUGUAGGUUUAAAAUGCAUUCUGCAAGUGUCUAUCUGGUACCACCCUCAAAAGAUACAAGACAAUUGUUAUAGUGUUGUCUGUCUAUCAGAUUCUGCUAUUAAGGCUAACAUAAUCAUUGUCACCUGGCCCAAUAGUCUUUUAAUCUAGCCCUGGAGCAUAUUCUCAGAGAUUGGCAUAUAUCUUGUCUCAGGGUUAUUACCUAAGAUAUCUGUACAUUCCACAUCAAAGGAAAAUCUACAUAAACUAGCGCAAGUGCAGUAACUAGAAAAAUAAAGCUUCAAGGUCCCAAUUGGAGCACAAUAUGUAAGCAAUUUACAAUGUAACCUAUAUGCUGCACAACAAACACCAAAUAGACAGGUUGCAACACCAAUCAAGAAUGUCAAACUAAUUAAUAAUGACUAUUGGAGCUCAUAUCUAUACUGUUAAUUGGACAAAUCAAAUAAACAAAUUCCACAAGGUGAUUUACUACAGUGAGAAUUCAGAGUGAAUUUGAAAGGGAAAUUAAAGUUUUACUUACUUUUCUCAUGCACAGGGUUUAAACAACAGAACCACUGCACUCAGGCUACUUCAUUGAAACAAAUCAGCUUGGUUGACUUUAGUGAUCAUUUAAGGCCAGAGUAGCUGAGCGGAAAGCAUUGUUGAUUUAGAGAAUUUUUCCAAUUCAGCUAUUUUUAUCUUAAAUUUUAGUUUAGUGACAAAAACAUUGAAACAGUAACGCCUAUUUAACCAGAGUGCCAGAGUUGACAUUGUCUUGCUGCCAAAGUACCCAGUGAGGAGAUGUUUAUGUAUAAUAAUAUUUAUGUAGCAAUAAAAGCAGUUCUGUAGUACUGGAUUUCUAUUUUAGAUUUUUGCAUCAAGUAUAUGUUACAUUUUAUAUUGUUCACUUCUUUAUCAUCUGUUCUUUAUGUGAAAAAUAUAUAUCUCUGUGUCACGUAUUCAUCCGCAUAUAAAAAUGUGAUUAAUGGCAUUUACUGUUCUGACAGGAAAAGUUGUGCCAAGCAACAUUACAGUCCUGACAGGAAAAGUUGUGCCGAGCAGCAAUCAAUCCACAGGAGGGUUUGUGCUGAGCAGCAAUCAUGCAAAUAGGUAAUUGCCUUUUGGGUCAAAGGCCGGUUACAACCAAUCAGAUCCACAGGCAGGGUAUUUAGGCCUAGUUCUCCUCUUGCUCAGUGCCCUGUCAUGGUUUCCCUUGUGGUUGUCCGAGAGUGCGCGAUUUAUUCUGGUUAUUUGACUUUGGCAUUGAUUUUGACUUGUUUUCUGGCAUCCCUGACCCCUGGUUUUCCCCUUAUCGUUGUGUCUCUUUCUGUGUCCCUUGACUAUUCCUGACUAUUCAUUGGUACAUUAGUCCGGCCAUUCUAAGGUCCGGUAUACAUUACCUAUCAGUCCUCUGUGUUACACAAUUCUACGUGCUGGAUCAUACUGUAAUCCUGACACUCUGCUGUGGCACGAGUAGGACUCCUGCUGUCCACUCACAUUGCCCUCACAUUUUGAGUUUAGUUGUUAGAAGACGAAAAGGUUAUAUAGAUUUAUUGAAGUCUGUGCUUCAUUAUCAAGGCAAUCUCAUGCUACCACAGAGAUAGGCAGAAGUCAUAAAUGUGAAGGCGGGUGAUUGGAUAAAAAGAGUUGAUAAGGAAUGACAAAGAAGUCAUAAGAAUUGCAAUGAAAAGUCCUGAGUCACUAAUGGUGGGUAUAAUGACAUCUGAGUACUAACAAUAAUAUUAACAGCAGCAGUAUGGAGCUGGACUGAGUGUAUAGGCUGAAAAUGCUGAAUGUGUGGCUGAAUGAAUGUUGGAUUGGGUGGGAUAUGUGCAGUUUGAUUGAGUCAGUGCAAGGAUGAGCAGUUAGACUGUAUGAGUUAAUGUAGUAAGCAGAGUGCAUGUCAUAUUUACUUAGAGAGUUACAUGGAGACAUGGAACAGCCAUUAACAGACAGGCAAAUUAACCUACUGGCUACUAAAAUCUCCAUCUGACUACUUGUUGCAGUUGGUAGUUAGCAGAUAGAAUUAUCCAAAAAUUAGGGCGAAGCAUUUGGUGAAUAUGUUCUUGGCAUAUGUUGGAUUACAAUGUGCACUUUUACUAUUAUUAUACAGUUCUGAGUAAUUCCACAAUUUUUGUUGUGGCAGUCACAAACAAACAUAUCGACGGCUGAUAUUUUCUAAACUACUUGGAUAUGUAUAUUGUUUCCAGAUUUCAAAUCCAGAUAAAAACAUAUACUCUAUAGCAUUAGUUACCUUUCAAAAUUAUGCAGCUCGAAUUAUAUUUCAGAUCUUUAAUUUUCUGAAGCAUUAUAAUUGUAUUUUGCAUUUCUAAGUGAAAUAUGUCUGUUUCAUUUCCUUAAUUAAAACAGCUGUCACAUACGAGAUGGGUAUUUUUAAAUUCAGCAAAUAAAGCAGCUUUUACUUGAUGUUUUAAGCGGCUUUAACUGCAUGUUCCUAUAGUUAUUUUUUUUACCAUGUAUUGGGAAUAAUAUGAAAGCAAGUGGUUACAUUUUAUGUCCGCAAAAAACAUGAGAAAAUACAUGAAUAAAAGAAAAGCGCACUACUUGUAGUUUAAAAUAAAAUGGGAAUAGUUACAAAUAGAUAUUAUAUUUGUUUAAAACUAAACUGGUAUCUUGGGAUGCUGCAAAAGCAAGUUUAUGAAAUAAAAAAUAAAAAAAUAUGAAGAAAAUCCAACAACAUUUGGGAUGAUCUUGUGAUUGACUGAAAUUAUGUUUUCUGGACUGCCACAUUCCAUAUUUUUGGGGAAACUGACAAUGAUGGGCAAGAGGUCUUCUCAAAAAGAUGAUAGUACGUAAAUGUUCAUUUUAUUCCCAGGUCUAUUGACAACUGACCAGUAGACCAGGAUGAGCAGUAAAAAAAUCUUUAUUUCCAAACAGGAUUAUUCCAGGCUACAGCUAUUGAGGAAGUCAGAUCACCAAAUUUUUUAUUUUACCUUUUUCUGCCUGUCUGGGAGUGGGAGAUAGCCUGGGUCAUUAAUUCUAGUGUGAGACUAAGUUUAGUUUAGUGCUAUAUCUAGCUAGCCAGGUACUACCAUAGGCACUUUAACCCGUUAAGGACACAUGACAUGUGUGACAUGUCAUGAUUCUCUUUUAUUCUAGAAGUUUGGUCCUUAAGGGGUUAAACAACUUUGAGUGAGAUUGUGUCAUUGAUCCUAGAGAGAGGCUAGGUUAGCAAUUUAGAGUUUAUUUUGUUGACUGUAGAAAAGACAAUCUUUUUGGGGGAACUCUGUUUCAGUAAUAAGCAAAAAAAGUAUAAAGUUACACACGCACUCACGCCUAGUUACGCACACACUCACACAAACUUUGAAUUAUAAAAGGCUGCUUUAUCCACCCUAGUGUGAGACUGGUGGUUAUAGCUACUGCAGUCUCCUACUGAUAUCCUCUGUUACUUAAUACCAACUUGGAAUAAUCAAUUUACAGUUUACAAUUUUUUGUUAGUUUUUUUGCACCUGUUUUUAUUUGUAGAAAUAAAAUCCUUUUGUAAAAAGUUUUCUGAUUGUCUUCAGUUCAAUAUAUGCUGUGUAAAUGUGUAAGCCCUGUGCAGUUUUCCUUAAAGUCAACCACAUGUUACAGUAAUAAAUUAAUCGAGCACCAACCCAUUUUGUGACACAUCUAUUGUUCCUGAAUCCAGUUUUAUUAGUGCACAGGGAUUAACAAUUUUAGUGCUAUACUGCUAUUCCCUACUACUGCUGCUAGUACCAUGGCUUUGGAGAUUUUGAGCACCUCUUCCUCAGCUAUGAGGAAAUCCAGCAUCAUGGCUGCCUCUACCACCACCACCAGUAUUAAUAGUAUUCAACCCCAGCAUAGUGAGAUUAGCAGCAUGUUGGCUAAAUCAAACUCAACAAGUCAUUUGUUUUUUCUCAUCUUUUUUUAUGCUGCAACAACCGUGUACCAAGGUAAUGCUCCAAAUUUCUGAUGCUGGUUGUGGCUGCUCACUGUUAUAAUAAAGGACUGUUGCUAUCCAGUUUCUAAUCCAGAUGGGGCACUUACUUUAUUAAUUAAUUGAGGGGGACAUAGUAUCCCCUUUGUCCCCACAACCUGACAUUCACCCAUGGCAAAAGGCAGGAGGUAUUACAUAAAAUGAAUGGGAGGACAUAAUAUCAUAUCUGUGCCCUCACACUUGCCCCAUAAGUAGGGCUAUUCAUAUAAACAGAAGACAUAGAGUGGCCACAGGUGGGGGCUACUAAAUAAAAUGAACAUUAUGUCUCUGGAGUGGGGGCUAUUAUAACUGAGGCACACAGUGUCCCCCCCAGCCCUCACACCUAAAUAAUAAGGGAGGAAACCUAUUGUCCCUCCCAGACCCAGACCCAUUGUUGGUGGGUCGGGGGCCUGACUAAUAAAAUGGGGGUGGAUCUAUUGUCCACCCCCCAGCUCCAACCCAUUGGCGGCAGCAAGAGGUACCUCUGAAUAAAAAGGAGGGGUAGAUAUAUUGUCGUUGUCACCAGUCCCCACCCAUUGGCAGCAGCAUGUAGAGGCAGAAAGGAGGAAUUACUCUCCCUUAUUUACUAAUACUAAGUAUUUUUUACUUAGUAUUAGUAAAGUGAUCUGAAACACCAAAGUUAUUAUAAGGAAGUGCCUUUCGUAAUAUGGACUUACAGAUUUUUAGUAGAUAAAAAUCCUUAUGCGAAUUUGCCAUAAGGAUAUCAAAAAAGAGCUAUCUGCUAAACAACUCCCAAUUUUGGUACCCUGAAAUAUGGCAAUCCAACAAGGGUACCAAUUUAGGGAAUUAGGGAGAUACAGCCACAGCACAGAUCAGAAUUUCAUUAGUCGGAAUGAAAUUCCGAAACAAUAUUAAUGACAGACAUCAAGACAUACAUAACACUUUUACCUCUAGCCCAGUAGCUACUCAGCUAUGAGUAUGCUAAAUUUGAAGGAAUCAGAAGAAUUAGCAGAGGAUAGCGUGGAGAGAACAGGCAGCAGUCCAGUAUUUUUUCCAGAAGCUAGUGUGCACCCGACUCCUUAAUCACCUCAUCCACUUGAGGCAGUCAUGAUAUCAGCUGCACCUACUACUAGUGGCACAAGCACCUCACCCAAUGCCAGUAUUACCAUGACUAGUACUACUAACUUCAACAUUUCCAUUAGGAUUAAGCAACUAAGUGUCAGUGUACAACCUAAUGUUAUUACAGCUUGCACUGUCACCAAUGCAAAACCAUCUGCAUCCUCAGCAGACACAAGGCAAAGGGCUGAGGGAACUGCAUUGCACAAAUAAAAAAGGUUUGGGAUCACUUUAAGUGCCUCAAAGAAGGCUGACUUGCAAAGUACAAAUUGUGCGACAAGAAAAUGAGUAGGAAGCAAAUGAAGGGUGUUCUCACUAGUGCCUGUAUGAAGCAGUAUUUGCAAAUACACCAGAAGUCUGUAUUACAGAAAGAAAAAGAAGAACAAGAAAGUACUAUCACAUGCAGCAGGUCCAUGGGUGCUGUAUCUGAUUCUGUGCCAAAGUCAGUAAAUACCAUCAGCUCCUCCACCAGUGGCGUACAUACUGGGGUUGCAGGGGUCGCGGCUGCGACCGGGCCCAGACCACUGCGACGUUAUAUGUAUGCCAGUGUGGCCAGCCUCUUCUUCUGGGGGGCCCAGGAGCUGGCCACCUCAGGGCCCCCCGAGACAGGCCCUUGUGUCACCGGGCGGCCGGUCUUGCGCACGCGUGAGGGAGCACUCUCCCCUGAAAUCAUAUUCCGGCUCCGGCAUCAGUAAGCGGUGUGCGAGGGAGCUGAACAGGAGGAUCUCAGUGCUCCCUCGCGCGCCCUCAGGACCGGCUGCCCAGCAACACCACUGCACCCCAGGAACCCCAGGGAAUCCCCUCAGCACUCCCAAAGGUAGGGAGGCUGGGGGAUUACAUUUUUAAAAAAACAUGUGUAUGUGUGUUAGUGUUAGUUUUUGUGUCAGUGUGUGUUACUGUGUGUGUCUGCUAGUGAGUGUGUUAGUUUUUGUGUGUUAGUUUGUGUGUGUCUGUUAUUAAGUGUGUGUCUGCUAGUGAGUGUCAGUUUGUGUGUUAGUUUGUGUCAGUGAGUGUGUGUGUGUCAGUGAGUGUGUUACUGUGUGUGUCUGUUACUGAGUGUGUUAGUUUGGGUGUGUCUGUUUGUCUAUUAGCGAGUGUGUGUUUGUCAGUGAGAGUGUAUGUUUUGUAAGUGAGUGUGUAUGUGUGUCUAUAUGUCAGUGAGUGUGUAUGUAUGUAUGUCGCUGAGUGUGUCUCUGUCAGUAAAUGUGUGUCAGUUAGCUAGUGUGUAUGCGUCUGUUCGUGAGAGUGUGUGUGUGUUUAAAACCCCUUUAGCACUUAUCUUUCUCCAGCACCGGACUCCCUUGGCGCUGGGGAUCCCUCCGCCCUGAUCCGCCUCUCAGCUCCGAAUGCGCAGGCACGGCAAGAGCUGCACGCGCAUUCAAACCGCCCAUAGGAAAGCACUACUGAAUGCUUUCCUAUGGACGUCCAGCGUCUUCUCACUGUUGCGGAAGCGCCUCUUGCGGCUGUCAGUGAGACAGCCACUAGAGGCUGGAAACUGCUAUGUUUUCAGCUGCAGGGUUAAAACUAGAGGAACCUGGCACCCAGACCACUUUAUUGUGCCGAUGUGAUCUGGUUGUCUGUAGUGGUCCUUUAAGGGUGUGCAUCUGCAUGCACUGGUGUACAUACCGCGGUCGCAGGAGUCACAGCCCUGCGACCCCUACGACCAGGUGCCGGCCGCCAUGUGUUGCGGCCCCGGCCCAUGCAGAGUAAGCGCGGAGGGGGGCCCACGGAUCAAUUUUCCGCACCGGGGCCCCAUGGGUCGUGUGUACGCCACUGUCCUCCACUGCUACUGCAAAUUCCCUCCUGCUGAAUAGUGGAGUGUUAAGAAUGGAGCCAGUAGUCAACAAAGUCACAGUAAUAGUCAGAGACCUCAUCAUCCAGUAACUUUUUUUUUUUUUUUAAAAAGAGAAAAAAAGUUACUUUUGCCUGGAUGCUUUUGCCAGAGUCACUCACACCCACUUUGAUUCUCUGAUAUGAAAAUAUUUUACUAGUUUGUGAUUUAUUUUUCAGUUUACGUUCUUGUAAGAGAUGGAUUAUUUGAUUUGCAGUUUUCUUCUGUGCCACUGCAUGUUCUUUUGGAAUUGCAAGCUUCCUUCUUCACUAAUAUACAUACAUACAUUCACUAAAGGGAGAAUUCAAGGUGAAUUCAAAUUGAAUGUCAUAUUUAAGGUCAAUAAAAUACGAAAUUUUAUAACGAAAAUAGCCAAAAAGGAAACACUCUCUAUUUCAGCUAUAAUUUAAGUUCAGCUGCUUAAAUUUGAAAUAAUUUAGCUGUCAAAACUCGCAACUGUCAAAUCACUGUGCACUGCAAGUGCGCUGUGUGUUGUGCACAGUAUCGUCAAACACUAUAGCAGUACCUUAACAGCAACCAAUUAUUAACACAAAUGUAAGGCAGGAUAAAACCACUACAAUGACAGGCAUUUUAAAAAGGGGGAGAAGCAGCAGAAGUACCUUCACCACUGCUAUUAUCCAUAGGUAGAUCAGGGCGAUGUUGAGGAUAGUGGCAAUCGUCGACAUGUGCAGGUUGAACAGGUACAGUUGGGGGGCUCUUCAUCAUCCCAGGAAAAUAUCCACAGUGGGCUGCAGCAAUUAUUCACUCUAUGCUUUUUAAUCAAUGCUGAAUCACAAUUUUUGUUUUCUAUGUUAAUCACUGAUCCUUUAAUCUAAUAUACAUUGCAGUAAGUGUUAUAUAUGCUUUGACAACACUUUGGUACUACCUCUGUUAUAAGUACAAAAAAAAAAAACCUUGCACAUCGCAAUUCUUUCUCAUCUAUUUGUCCUUUGUUUGGAAUGUUAUUGUUCAUAGGCUAUUGUGACUAAUGCAAUGUGAUGUGUGAAUAUAUAAAAGAUUUAAAAAAAAGACUCAUAAUAAACUAGGCUUUAGAAUUUUUAUAUUAAUAUGAAAUGUCUGAUUAUUUUAAAGGUAGAGACAUUUAAGGAUGUUAACCUAACGCAGCCAUUUCAGUUAUAAUGAAUGAUAAUAUGAAAGUAUAUAAAAAAAAAGGAGAAUAUGAAACAUGCAUUUGUGUUUAUAUAUUAAACUGUGAACUUUGAAGAAAGUAUUACACAUUAUAGGCUACAAUAGCAAAAGAGGAUAACUCUUCAAUUGCAUAAUUUUUUUUAAUGUAAUUUGGAAUGUCUUUGUCAAUCUUUCACAAUUUCAAGUUUAGUAAAGAUAUCCUAACAAUUUCAAAUAAACAACACAAUUCCUCGUUAUUUCUCAAAUUAAUAGAAUUCUUCAUUAGUUCUUCAUGAAACACAGAGUCCACAUUUCUUUACUGUUUCUAGUUGAAUCCCCAAUAGACAUCUAUGUAAGGCUUUAUAAUUACUUGCUACCCAAGUGAAAUGCAUGCCUAGGUUCUUUCCUUUAUUUAUUUAUUUUUAUAUAAUUUGUUCAGAAGUAUUACUAAGAAUGAUUUGGAUCUAGUGAUUUUUUCUCUUUAACCUAAUCAGCUGUUUUUCAGCAUGUGGAAGCGCCGUGAUUAAAAUAAAUAAAUAAAUAAUACAAGAAGCUCAUAUUUUUUUUUUUCUGAGAGAACUAACAGCAGUGGUUACUUUUCGACAUAUGGCACUAGGGUUGUCUUACUUCUGGAUUAGUACUCAGCAUGCAUGGCAGAGCAGCCUAUGUUGUUCUGUAAAAGUUGAUGAACUGAGAAUGUGAGUGCCCUGGGUUUUGAACUUCAGAUGAUAAUACUGGAGAUGGCCUUUAGGCUAAUCUUAUUGUAAUGAAAACAGCUGCUACCCCAACAAACAAAUAGAAAAAAAUAAGAAAUAUAACGUCCAAGCAUACGUAUUCAGAAAAUGCCUUUCUUUUGCACAGCUGUCAAACUCUGUCUUUGCUCCUGAAUUUUUCUCAUGGUAUAAGGAAAUAUAAGAAAAAUUGUAUAAAGCCAAAUGUAAUAUCCAUUUAAAUGAUAAGUCCAUGUAUACUGACUUGAACAUAAUGUGGCGUUAAAUUGGGUCAGAUGAAACACUAAACAGCAGGAGUCAAUAGAGAGUGUAUUCAUCCUAGAGUAAAGAGGACCAGAGGUUAUUAAUAAAGGAACAUUCCAAACACCUAACCCACUUUAGCUUGCUUAAGUUAUUUUUUUGUGUGUGUGAUGAGUGAGUACUCUUUUGUAAUUUUACAAAACAAGCAUCUUUCAAUAGAAUUUUACACUUUUAUAAAUUAAACUUGUUAGAUCCCCUGACUUUUACACAGACAACAGGUCCUAUAACUUCCUGCUCAGUGAAGCUAAACUUAAGUAGCAGGCACUUGCCCAGAGCAGCACCUGCCUAGCUGCCGUAGGGGACAACUAGCAAAUGGCGCAUUCAAGAAAUCUGCAGGUAGGGUUGUAUCUACUAAAUUGUUAAAAAAAUAAAUAAAAUAUUUUUAACUUAUUGGUGUGUUCCUUUAAACAAAGACCUAAAAUUCCACAACAUUUAUAUAUUGCAAGCUAUUUCCAUUGUUUAUUAUAUUUUUUGAACAAGACUAUUAACUAUUAUUUGUACCUUUCUUUUGGUGACUACUUUAGUGUGCUCUUUUGAACUUUUAUAAAAUAUAACCUGGGGAGACAUACCUCCAUCUCUUGUAACCCUGCUUGAAAUCAGAUGUUCUUGAGACAAAUUCACAUCAAAGCCAAAUAGGAUACAACUCAGUAUUAGCAUUUACAUUAGGCAAAUUAGGCAGUGGACUUGGGCACACUUUAAGAGAGGGUAUGUGUAGGGAAUCUAUUGCUCAUCUGAUCCCUUCCCCACACAUAAAAAUAUGCUGCCAUGUCAAGUGCUGGCAUAGAUUAUGUAAGUGCUGUAAUUAUAGAAAUCCAACCUCCCCUGUGACAGAACUGCAAACACCUGACCAUCUCUGCUCCUGCCCUCCUUGUGGUAACCACAGAAACCCCAGUAUCCCCUCUUUGCUCCACUUCUCCUAUCUCUGUGUUUCUAUAAGGCAGUUUUUGCGACUUGGCGUUCAGUAGAAAUUGACCCUUUUUUAAAUUUGUAAUUGGGGCAGAAACACCUCCCUGUCUGUUACUCCCUGUCUGUUACUGUUACAACAGUCGAUGUAUCAUCGUUAUACACCAUUAUCAAUCAUGAGAAGGGACUAAAAGCUAUCAGGACAGUUUUACAACAAGACCCUAGCUUAAAUGAGGAACAAGUCUCUUUUAUCCUUGAAUGUAUCCAAUUUAAUUUAUCCCACAAUUACUUUUUAUUUAAAAAUAGAUUUUAUCUUCAUGUUUGUGGCUCAGCCAUGGGCGCCAGGUUCGCGCCCAGCUAUGCCAAUCUUUUUAUGGCUAUAUGGGAGGAAACCCAGACAUGGGUAAGGCAUGGCUGAACAACGAACCUGGUGCUAUGGAAAAGAUACAUUGACGAUUUGAUUAGUAUUUGGGAUGGUGCACAUAAUGAUCUUUUGGAAUGUAUUAAUUAUAUUAAUACAAAUGAUCAAGGUCUGAAAUUUGUGCCAGAACUUGAUAAUGUAAAUAAUGUAUUAGUUUUUUGAAUAUUUUAUUUUAUGUCCGGGAUGACCAUAUUUGUAACAAAACAUUUUUUUAAACCCACUGAUAAGAACAGCUAUAUUGAGUUUAAUAGCUGUCACCACCUCCAGUGGCUUACAAACAUUCCAAAGGGACAAUUUAAGCAGAUAAGUAGGAACUGUACAGAAGAAAAUGACUUUGAGACCCAAACUGACUUUUUAGAAAAAAGAUUCAUAGAAAAACAUUACCCUAAAGCCCUUCUGACUGAAAUGAGAAGUGCAAUAGGACGGGAGAGGAAAUAUCUCACUGUAAGGGAUAAUAAAAGAGAAAUUAAUACACAAUGUGAUUUUAACCUAGCUUUUAAAAUGCAGUUCAAUCACAAAUCAAUAUGAAUUGAAAGGCCUUACAGAAAUUCUGGCCGGUAAUUUUACAGGAUGAUGUUUUAAAAGAGGUGCUUCCAUCAAAACCCAACAUUAUUUGUAGUAAUUCUAGGAAUUUUAAAAUCAUUUUUAGUGCCAAGUCUUUUACCUUAUUUUAAUAAUAGGACACCAGGACCCUUCCCCAAACCAAAAGGUUUUUAUAAAUGCAGUCAUUGUAAGAUGUGUGAAAUUAAUACCUAGGUCGAUUACAACCUUCAAUAGUACUAUUACAGGGAAAACCUUUGAAAUUAGGAAUUUUAUCAAUUGCUCUACAAAAAAUGUCAUCAACUUACUUCAGUGCCCAUGCGGUGCACAGCAUGUAGGAGAGACCAUGAGGACUAUUAUGGAAUGUGUUCUGGAGCACUUACGAGCUAUAGCAAGCAAAGAAGGAGGUUAAGCAUAGUGUCCCGAGACACUGUAACAAUUGCUCUAUUUUUUAAUAUACAAAAAAUCCUAUGCUUUGGCAUUGAUGUAAUGAAGGAGGAUAUUAGAAAUGCAAACUUGGCACAGAAGGUGUGCCAAAGAGAGACCAUGUGGAUAUAUAAGUUAAAAACCUAUACUAAAAAGGGUCUCAACAUUGAUCUGGAUAUUAUGGCUUUUAUUUGAUUAUUUUAUCUGUGUUUUAAUACAUUUUUAUUCUUUCCCUUUUAUUUUUUUGUAAUGUCUGUUCUUUCACAUAUGCUCAUGUGAGACACAAUAAAAUUGACUCAGUGUCAUGUACACGAUAUUCUGCCAUAUCCGAAUAUUUUUUAUAAUAUUUAUUGUUAUAUAUAUUUUAUAUAUAUAUAUAUAUAUAUAUAUUUUUAUAAUAUAAUAUAUUUUGUAAAUGUUAUGAAUUUUUAUGGAGUCAAUAUUAGUAUGAAAUUACAGGAUUUCCUUUUUCUUCUCAUUGUUAAGAGUAUGGCUUUUUAGUGUAUUACCAUGUAUGCUUUCCAUCUAUAUUAUUAUGGCACUGGUUGUAUAUAAAUGUUUUUGCCUUAGGCAUUAUGAGAACCGCCGAGAUGAGGGUUUUAGCAAGGUUUUCGCCGGUUAAGUCCACGCACGUGCGCAGUGAAUCCGUUGCCAGCGUGAAUCUCUGCUGCAAUUUUGUUUCUUAUUUAUAGGAGUCUGUGCAAGUUUUUUCAAUCUGUAACCCCAUUAGAUGACCACUGGGGAGAGGAGUGAAUUUCUACAUGUCGCGAUUUGAUCGCGGACGUUGGUAGAGGCGAGAGGUUUAUUCCAUCACCGAGCACAAUCCCAGUGGCCAGCUUUUUGGUUGGGGCAAACCUUUUGUUGACAGGAAACACAUGUUAUGGGCUUAUUAGCCCUGAUUGGUGGGCUUUGAAAGCAGAACUUUUGACUUUUGGGGAUUGAGCUCUGCCUUGAGAAAGUCGAGUGGGAUGAAACCGGUCGGCAUUGAGGAGCCAUCCAUUUUUCUCCAGUUUGGCGUGAUCUAUGCUUGGAUUCUGUUUCUACUCCCCCACUUGAAGAGAUCCGGACCCAGCACAGGAGGGUGGAUUGAGGACUGAAUCCUUUUCCAGAGAUAUACCUGCGAUAUGCUAUAUCAUUUGUUAGUGCAAUUAUCUUUCCUAUUUUAUUGGUGUUGUUAGUUUUAUACCAUAUAGUGUUCUUUUUGGGAUUUUAAGUGAUUAAAGAUAUGGAAGAAUUGAUUUGACAUGUAUAUGUGAAUCCUUGGAAUACCAGAUGAAAAGUUAAUAGGUACAAAAAUUGUAAUAUACCUAUAUUCUCAUUGCACCUUGACUGCACAACAUAAUUUCUUUCUUUGUUUUUAUACUCAGACAAACAGGAAGCUGUACACUUAGCUGUACAAAGCUAACGGAAAAAGGCAGGUGUGCUAUUCUAGUGUGUACCUGCCUUGCUCUGUCUUAAUGAGUUAUAUUUUAGAGCUAAAUGGGAAACAGCCAGGGCCGUUUCAGCGCGUCCAUAAGGUGGCACAGGCGUCCGCCUUAGGGCGCACCGGCUCCGGAGGCGCAAGAUUUCAGUGACCGGCAGGAGAGAAGCUCUCCCUCCUGCCAGGCCACCUUCUGGACCCCCGGCGCGGCAUGCAGCAGUGGUGUGAUCAGACGCGGCGAGGGAGCUCUAAUCUCCACGCUCUGCUCUGAGAGAGCACUCCCUGUCAGUCCGGCCAGGUACAGAAAAUUGAAGCUCCUGUAGGGGAUUUCCUCUGCUCGGCAACGCUACAAGAGAGGUAGGAGGCACCCCAGGAAGGUGAGUGCAACCACUAAGGGGGUGGGGGGUUCACCAAGGGACAGGGAGGGAAGGGGAGAGAAACACCAAGGGACAGGGAAAAGAGGGGGGAGGUUGGAAGAACACUAAGGGACAGGGAAAGGGGCUGGUUAAGAGGCACAUGCGGGGCAGAAAAAUACAUCUUAUGGGCGGGUGGGACCAGUCUGAUAUAUUUCAGAGAUGUUCUCUAUGUAAUGGCACAAGAUGAGCAAAAACCAGCUUGAGAUCUGAGCGGGGACCCACCGAAGGGCAGGCUAUUUCAGCUGCUGCCCGUUCUCAAUAUACUCUUGCAACCCAUUUUUUUGCUCUCCACAAGUUUAAAGGGAUAAUCCAGACGUGGACCCUUUGCUCACGGUGCCUAGGGAGAUAUCAGCUAUGCCUCACUGAUGAUGCCUAAGAAGGCUGAAACGAUCAUCUGGGGUUACUGUGCCUCUCGUGCAGAGAGAACUUGCUAGCAUUUCGGAUCUGGACUGCCCGUAUGGGUGGGACCAGUCUGAUAUUUUUCAGAGAUGUUCUCUAUGUAAUGGCACAAGAUGAGCAAAAACCAGCUUGAGAUUUGAGCGGGGACCCACCGAAGAGCAGGCUAUUUCAGCUGCUGCCCGUUCUCAGUAUACUCUUGCAACCCAUUUUUUUUGCGCUCCAUGAGUUUAUAUAUAGCCUCGCAGAUACCACCAGUAGUUUUUAAGUAACCUUUGAAAAACAGGUUGUAUCAUUACGAACCUAUCUUGCUUUACAUGAAAAUUAAUAAGAAAAUACUUGCUCAAUUUAUGCAGAUCACAAAAACAUCCUAUUUCUACAUCCAAAUUCCAGUCUCAGUUUAAUAAGCUUUGCAAAUUAUUCAUUAGUGUUAGAAAAAAAAAUCCCCAUGGUCUUUAUUGGUGACUUCUGUAGAUAAAUAAUGUGGUAUUGUAAUCAAUAAUAGUAUUGAAUCAUUUAGAAAAGCUAAUUAAGUUGAGGCCUUUCAUUACUAAUAUAUCUGGCCUCUCGGUUGUAGUUGUCAUCACCCAAUUUUCCCUCAACCCCUUUUUUCUGUUAAUCUCUGUAACAGCACCACAAUGUGUAUUUAAGCAAUCUUAUGUCUUCCUGUAUUUUCAUAGCAUUCCAUUCUCUGAGCCAUCUUGGCAUUCUCUUAAGCUCUGUCAACUUCCCUCAUCAUACUCCCAAAUGGCAUUCUUCCAACAACCUUACUCUUCACCCCAGACUUCAUAGCCAUAUUCUUUGUAUACCAGUCGUACUUAAUUCCACAGUCAGUUUAUCAUUGGAAAAAAGUAACUUUAACUUCUUCCAUUACCACUGAAUUUCACGUAGCUACACCACUUUGUGGAUGCUUUAGCCUCCUUACUUAGAUAGCUCUUUUAAUUUUCACCUAAAAGAUAUACCCUUUCCUUCCCAAUAUUGUUCUCUUUUUCCCUUGGUGACCAAAGAAUGGAAAGAGACAUAAAAAAAAUCUAGGAGCAAAUGACCAGGCACACACGUCAGGAUUCAAUGUCCAUGAGGUAUCUAAAGCAGUACUGUCAUUUCACCAGACCUUUACAAAGAGGGCUAUGAAACAUCCCACUGUAAUGCACCUGGCUUAAAAUAGUUUGGAUUGUGUUGAUUUACCAUUCUCAACCAAACAACAUAAACAUUUAAUAGAAAAUAUAAUGCUUACAAAUGCAAUAAUAAUAUAGGGUUCUUGGGUUUAUGCAUCCAUUUUAAAAUGAUUAAAUAUAUCAAUUCUAUUUAAUCAUUUAUCAGCUAGUACUUUAGGCAACAUUAACAUACAAACAACUAUAGAAGCAAUAUCUCUGUUAUUAUUUAACACUUUCCUGUUAAGAGUUGUUUUUCACUUUUCUAGUGUGUAAACAUCUAUACUGUCAAUACAUAGUCGCAUGCAAAAAAAUAUAAUGAAAUGCCUCAACAUUCAGAUUGCCAAAUCUUUAUGUUCAUUGCUUUCGUUUCAUACAAGAAGUUUUCAUUCAAGUGAAAGAGGUUAGAUUAUCAAAUAUUUUCAUGGUUUCCUGGAGUCUGAAUUUACAUUUUCAGUCAUGCGGUGUAAUGGCUCUUCCAAGACAGUAUUUUAUCUUGUAGGAGAGUUUUACAAAGUGUUAUCACCAGGAAGAGAAAUUGAUUAACCCUUUUGAUGUAAAAUAUAUUUGAAGUAAAAGACUGCUUCCAGCACUACCUACAGAAGCUAUUUAUUAGGCAUAAUAACAAAGAAAAUGGUAUAAAUGACUUCUCUUCAUCUUCUGUUCCACUCCUUUAAUCAUAUUUUCUCAAGAUAAUUAUUAGAACUAUUUAAUGUGAUGAGGCUUCUUGCUAAGAUAUGGUAUACAUAUCUGGGAUGAUCUAUGAAGCUCUUCGAUGUUUCCAUUUAUUCAAAUUUUAAUUUCUAAUGUUUCUAAGGCAAUUAGAGGUGCUGCUUAACAGGUAUAGGAAUUAAUUCCACCAAACAAAUAAGUGUGUGUGUGUGUGUGUGUCUGUGUCUGUGUCAGGGUAGAUCCCCUUUUUUGCUUCCUUUACAGCAAAUUCUAAAUUGGAAGUUUCACAUUCUUAAGCCUUUGUAGAUGUAAAAAGACACUGUGAACAUACUUGGCAAAAGGCAUGCUCAGUCAAUCCAUAGCUUGAAAUAAAGAAGCAUGGAAUCCAGUGCUUCUCACACACAGAAUUUGUAUGUGUUAAGUGUCUAUAUGCUGUAUAUGAUGGCAGUUGUGAAGACCAAUGAUUUUAAAGGUCAUAAGGUGGAGAAGAUUGGUUUCAGAAUGGUUUCUAGCAAAUUAAAACAUUGUCCUGUCUUAGAAAUAGCAAUGUUUGGCAUUGUCCAAAAAGAGACAACAUCUAUGCACCAAAUCCAAUAGGUAAAUAUGCCUUUUAUAUUACUGUAUUUGCUGCAAACAUUUAAUCUUUGCAGGCUUUUGCAGUAAACUGUCACCACACCAUGAAAGAGCUUCAAUGAAUCAUGAUGCUCAGUACGCUUUGGUAGUGUUGAGCUUAUUCAAUAAAGUGUUAAUUAUGGACACACCAAUGGUUUUUGGAAGUUAUAGUUCAAUUGUGACCAUCCAACUGUAGAAUGCAGAAAAAUAUAUAUAUCUUUCAGUUGUGACAUUUCAGCAGAAAUGCAAACACCGCUAGUUGGGAGGGUCAGAAAAGGUGGGUUUAUAGAGCAAAUCGAUUUAUUAAAAAAGAAGAUGCAUAUUUUGUGGCUUUGCUGCUUAGUGUGCCCUGUCCUUUUAAUAUUGUGUUUUAGAAAGCACCAAUAUUGAUAUAACUGCCAAAUGUUAAAAAUCGGACAAUUAUUUUAUUCAUUUACAAUAGAUUUUAUCUCCAACAUUAUGCUUGAGUUAGUUUUAUUAUUUAUCUAUUUUCCAUUUAUGUUAUUAUAUAAAAUGAUUUGCAUUUAUACAUAAUUGCACAUGAUAUAAAUUAUCUUAGAAAGAGACUAUUUUCUGUAUAAUUUCAAUUAAUAGGAAAAAUUGUACAGGUGUAUUGUAACUAUAUUGCUGUUGGGUAGGUCAGCAGGGCAUAUACAGUGAAAAUGAAAGGUCUCAGCCAUUGACAUUAUUUCUCAAGUGCUUUCACAACAUUAUUCUUUGCAUAGAAGCUUAUUAUUCUUAUCUGUUAUCAUGAAGCAUACUUAACACAGGGAUGUGACACAUAAAUUAACCACAAUAUUAAUGGCUCACUCAACAAUCAUUAUUCUUCUUAAGGCCAUGUGGUGUUACCAGGUUGUUAACAGUGGAUCUAUCUAAAUUCCCUUUUUUGAAGUAAAUCUUACUCAAAAUAAAUUCUGUACCUCAUCUGUAGUUUAAUCUGUUCUUUGCUUCAGCACUGAAGCCAUCGGAGAUGUAUAUCCAAGUAUUUCAUUGUAUAAAGUACAAGUACUACUGCUGAACUAUUGAGGAACAAAACUGUCUAUCUUCUUUACAUUCUGCGUACCCCGGCAGGUAUCACUUGCAUGUUCUAAGACUGUAGGUGCUUUUCAAGUAGCUCAAUGGUUGCCAUUCAGACAUGCAGACAAUAGAUACAAUGUACAGUAAGAAAUAAAUUACUUGCAAAGAUCGUAAGAGAGGUUAUAAUAGAGCUUACAUUUCCUUCUCUAUCACAUAAAACCUUUAUGUUUAAUUAUCAAAAGGGGUUAAAAAAAGAAAUAAGACCCCCCUUCAACACACCUUCUGAGUUUUUGUUCAUAGGAUUUUCAAUACAAAUCAACAUAUGUUAAGCUUUUUAUUUUGGGGAAUAAAGGUUUGUACAUAAAAAGGCUCAUGAACUCUUCUCUAACGUCUAUUGUGAUUUGAGAAUUGGUGCCUGUGCUCAAUACUUGUGCAUUUCUAUCUGUGUAUAUAUAUAUAUAUAUAUAUAUAUAUAUAUAUAUAUAUAUACACAUACAUAUAAAUUAUAUGUAUAAUAUAGUGUGUGUAUAAAUAUAUAAAAAUAAAUUCUAGUGUAUCUGUCUACCGUCGAAAUCAAAAUAACACUGGAAAUGGGCAGCAAAUCAAAUAACUUGCCCUUCGGCAUGUCCCCACUCAGUUCUCAAGGUGAUUCUAGCUCAUCUUGUAUCAUUACAGAGAGAACUCAAGUAAUUUGCAUAUCCAUCUGAUUCCUCCCAAGAGAGCAGUUCAAAUCCAAAAUGCUGGCUAGGUCCUUGGAAAUGUUCCUUUAAAUAAAAGUUGAACUGGAUAAAGACUAUAUGGUCAUGACCAAUACUCUGCCUGAUGCCCAAAUAUAUCUAACCAAACUUUAAAGAAAAACGUAAUGAGUGAAGCAAUUGCAACUGAAGGCAAUGAUCAUGAUAUAUACCUACAAACUGUGAAUGGUAGACAGAAAAAUCAAAACAAAUGGAUUAUAUUUAAAAUAAAACCAUUGCCAUCCCUUGGAUUAUGUCUGAAGUUUAAUAUUGUAUUUUUUUUCCUAGUGACAGCAGUCCUAUUGUGAUUGCAUGAUGUAAAAAAAAAAUAUUCCCAAUUUGUGCAUGACAUUUAAAUUAAAUGUGAGGCACACUUGUCUUAAUACAUUCAUGCCUUGCUAUUGUUUCACUUGUGGUAGCACUGUAAAAGGAAAUUUAAUGUACCUAUUACAAUUUAAAAAAUUGAAAGUAUGUUAUUAUCACAUCAGUGUUAUAAGAGUUGACAUAUGAAAUUAAUGCAUGUGAAUAGGAUUUCAAGCCACUUGAUUUUCAACAUGCAAAAUUCAUUCUGUUUGCUAAUUUAAUAUAUCAUAGACAGAAAAUUAUGUCUGAUACAGAUAUAGUGGCACUGAUUUAGAUAUGUACUAAGUAAAUACUAGAAUUACAAAUUCUAAAGACGGAAUUAUUUUCCUGUAAUGUGAAAUUAUCUUAAAUACUCAGUUUUACAAUUAGUCUGCAUAUUUUAUAUGUGUACAUUAUUAAACUGCAUUAUUUGAUGUUUGGGAUCCCAGUAGUUAUUAUUGAUAUAAGUUAACAAAAAACUUUUCAGAACAAUAAUUUCUGACAUGAAAUCAUGGUUGAAUCAUUCUUUUUUUUAUCAAAAUAAACUACAUUCUUACAUACUAGAUUCUUCUGUAUUCUUCUGUAAACUUAAAGUAGGAAUAUGUUGUCAAGAACGCACUAACCAAAUGUUGCUUUACAUGAAAAACGAUGUAGUAAUGCAAGUCGUAUAAUUAAACAUUUUAAUGAAGAUGGAACAGCAACUGAAUGGUCCACAUUUAAUCUACAUACUAUUUGGCACUCUCUCUUACAUAUGGAUAUGUUUCAACAUUUUGGAACAAAUAUGAAAACACAGAUUAGUUUAUGUAUAAAUGAGUGCUGACUCAGCGUACAGAGUCAAUACCAAAUACAAUGCACACUAGCGUAGAAAGCACUGUUAAGGAUUUAAUCCAUAACAAUCUGUAAGUUAUUUUUAAAUAACAAAUAAAAACAAAAAAGUGUUCCAAAAAAACACCACCAGUGAUAAAACUAAACUUUACAAUCAAGUUGCUUUUCCCUGGACCACUCCAGUGUCAAAGUGCAACCAAAAACAAAGUACCAACAAUUGGAGAAAACCAAAAAGCUAUAAAUAACAAAAUAUAAAAUAGUGUGAUAUUGUUAUGAGAAUAGGACUAUGGUGAGUUAAUUGUUGCACUAAUAAGCCAAAUUGUAUACUGAGCAUUGACAGGCAUUCUUCACUUUCUUUAAUAAGGAUGCAUAAGCCAGGGGAAGUAUCAGUAGAACUGCAUUGAGUCUCAAGCACAAUCAGUCUCAGAUCAAGGCACACACUCACUACAGGCGGCAGAGUCUUAACCCGACCUAACCAUAACCCCACUCAUUUUUAUUAUUUUUAUGUUAUUUCAGUCAUUUAAAAUAUUUUUUUUAUAUAGUUGAGUAAAUUUUAACUAGAGAUUCCAUUGUUCCAUAUAGUUUAAAUCAACAUUUUGAAAAAUAUCCUCAUUGCCCAUUUUUUAUAGAGUGAAAUUAUUCUCUGUUGCACUUGAUAGAACUUGAACAGUUCCCUGGAGCCUGAUCAAUGUGAGAUGCCUUUUUAACAAGUAGGUAUGCUCUGUGUACCAUAAACAUUGUUUGUUCUUCAUAAUGGAUAUGGUUCAUAUUUUUGAAAUUUUUGAACUCUGAAGAAUUGCAGUCAAAAUUUUGUUUUGAUUUGAACAUUUUUAGAUCAAUACAAAAAUUACAAUAGAAGCCCUAAAAUAAAGGUGCCUUUAGUGCCCCUUUUAAAAAAACUAACUACUCUCAAACUGUAAAGAAGUGAUUCAAAGUUGGUGUUAAAUACAGGCACUAACAUUGUGCAUAUUUUGGCUGUUUGAAUUGACAGAGUCAGGAUUUUCAAAAUUUUUGUUGUGAGGAAUUUCAGUAGAAGUUUAAUUCAAAAUUCUGAGAUUCAAAAUGGCACCAAAUUGGUCAAAAUUCUGCCAACUUUCAAUUUUGAUCAAUCCAAAUCUCUAAGACUAGUAUGUACUGAAAAUCACAUAGGGACCCAAAUGUUGUGUUAAAUCGCAGGGUUAAUAACUACAUUAUUAGGUAGAUUACCUAUUUUGUGAUAAAUUUAAGAGUUCAUUAUUGAAGGUACAUUACCUACUACAAAUUAAAGGUAUCGAAAGCAAUCUAGAAAUGAAAAUGCAUUUCUUUGGCUUGGUAGACUUACAAAAAAGUUAAGUUAGAGCACAUUAUAUGUGGAUGAGCUUUCAAAGAAUCUUGUGGUUUAUAUUUAAAAAAAUAUAAAAGAGUGCAUUUACCAAGAAACUAACUGCAUGUUGCCUAGAGCUAGCUAAUGUUAAAAUAUCAAGGGGCCAGCAACAUGUACCACAGAAAAAAACAAAACAGUGACACUAAAUAGUAAUCAAGAAUACAAUAGUGUAAUAUUGCACAUAUAUUUUAAGAGAUAAGUUAAUGCACUCUCAGACAUAUAAGGUCUGUCUGGAAACUAUGCAGCCAUGUAUCAUGAAAAAUGGAGACAUAUAUUGAAGAAGAUACAAGAAACAUUGUACAUAGGACAACAAUGCUUUAGUUCCAUUCAAAGUAGGCAUCUUGGGAUUUCACACAGUUUACACUGCGUCUCUUUCACUGUUCAAAACACUCUGCAAAAUCCUUUGUUGGAAAUGCCAUCAGCUGCCUCGUUGUAUUUACCUGAAUAUAUGGUCUGAAAUCUCUUCCCUUUCAACUGUGACUUUUGUUUUGGGAAAAGCCAGAAGUCACAUGGUGCCAAAUCUUUCAACAGAUUCUCGACCAUCUUUGAAAUAUUUGUACCACACUUUAUUUGUGCUGCACUCAUUGCAUUGUCCCAAAAGCCUUCUGAAUCAUCCAAAUAGUUUCUGUGGAGGAAUGUUCAAGCUUAACGUAAAAUUUGAUGCAGAUCCGUUGCUCUACUCGCUCAGUCAUUUUGAAUGUGACGGCUACACAGUGCACAUGCUCACCCAAUGGCGUCAAAUGCCCCCACUGACUAGUACAGUGAAGUUUUCAUUGUUCAUGCAUGACCAUUCCAAUACACUCUCCUUUGCUGCCAGGUUACAUCAAUGCCACACAAACCAUUCUCAUUAUAUUAACAAUGGCUGGAUUUUUUCAUGGCAGACUUCACAUAAUAUAGUAUUUAUCAAUUUUAUGUCUUCAAUGUUAAGAGAAUUCCCUCAGAUGCCUACUCUCAGACUCUAUACCACAUCUUUUAGACUUUACAAUUAAAUAAAUAUACAAUAAUAUAAAUACACAAAAGUGUGGACUGAUAAUAUUAUAUAAAAAUGCUAAUGUAUUGUAUUUACCUUUAAAAUAUGAAAAAUCAUCACAUCACAUAUAUCACCAGUCCAUUACAAAACAGAACUAAAACAGCGACUUUUUUAGAGAUCCCAAUGGUCUGAAAUUACACACAAAUAACAUUUUUUAAAUAACUAAGGCAAAUAAAAACACAGCAUAUAUUUACAUGAAAAACAUGAAUUUCAAUAGUGGUCCUAUUCUGUUCUAUAUUGUUUGACAAACAAUCAAGCUCUCAGAUGAUUGAUAGUAAAGAAUAAGAUAAACAGCCAUUUUUCUGUACACAGAUAAUUAAAAAAACUAAAUUGUUCAAAUAAUCUGUUCCUUUGAAUGAGACUAUUAAUUCUGCAUAGUUGAGAUAGCUAUCUAAAAUUGAACUAUUUGUAUAAAGGAGGGAAUAUGAGGAGUCCACCAAUCUAUCAUAGCAUACAUACAGUAGUAGAGAUGUUUGACAACAACAACCCAAUAGACCUUUACUUUGGACAGCUCCAACUACUUUUUGGUCUGCCAAAUAAACUCAUUAAAUAUGAUGAAUUAUAUUGUUACUCCAAGACCAGAACGUAAAUAAUGCUCUUCUUCUUCUGAAGUUGCAAAUGUCACGCUCUUAGUAACACCUUUAUCCUGCAAGUCCUUGAAUAUCUGAUGCUUUAUGUCAGUGUUCUUAGCCCAUGAAUUGAUCCUCUAAGUCUGAGCUCAUUUGUAUCCCACACUGUGCUUAGGACAGCUGUUUUUUUUCAUUUGUCUUUGUCAUCAAUUGUUUUGCAAAUUUUAACUUAAAAUUUAAGUUCUUGUAAUGAUUAUUUUUUUAAUUUUAUUUUGGUUAGGAUAUUCUUUUUGGUCAGCAGGUAGAUUUAAUUCCAGAUUCUAAAAUAACAUGGAUUUGUUCCUGCUCUUUUUAAAAGUUUACAUUGCUGUUUAUUGUGACAGUAAUAUAGUUUUUUGUGGUCUUUAAGUACUCCUUCUAGAACUCCUCCAGCUUGACCAGUUUUAUUUAGCAUGUCUGCAUAACUAGUGUAUUUAAGUAAUGUCCAUAUACACAAUCCACAUGUCUGGUGAUCAUCACUUGUCUAGAGGACUCACAAACUACCUUAUUUUAAAAGAUUUGUUUCCUAUAUUUAAACAAAGGUUAUCAUGGCUAGUGUGACAAACUCUCCUUUUCAAGUGAGUUUGCCAUGGGUUCUUGGAGGGGACUACUUGCCAGCCUUUUACCCUGUGACUAUGGCCUCUGCAAUAGAACUGGCAAAUAUACUUCAAUCAGGCUCUGUUCAAACAGAGACCACCCUGGAGCUUGUUAAACACCUGUUAACAACUUGGAACGUUUCUCACCACAGUGUUAAUUGUGUGGGUGGCCGCGAUUCCUAUGAACAACCACGAGGUGGCGGCCAUCUUGUUUGCAUGAACGCAGGCAGCGGUGUUUGGGCAUGAAUCGGAUACAGAAACUCCCGAACACCGCUGAACUUCCAUCAUCACCUGCCUUAGUUUCUAUUCAGCUUAGAAUGGCACUGUUCGGUGAGAUCAUUUGUCUAGAUGAAGGGAACAAGCUCCAGGGUAAGACUAUUGACUCCGUUCGGUAGUUUGUUUGUUUGCAAACUACAGAACUAGACCAGCUGCAAGCCCUGAUUCUCUGGAACUGUUUUGGGCAUGAAACCAUGCGUGUGGUUGGUCAAAAAGAGACUUCCAGGUAUUUCCUGAACCCCUGCUCUGAUCUGGGUGAUAUUUGAAUAUGUUGUUCAUCCAGAUCAGGGCUAUCAGGGGAUGUGACUGGAUAUGGGGAUAUGUUGUAUUUGGGGUACUUAUUAGACUUUAUACAAUUAUGUGUUUUUUUCUGUCUAGGGAUAAAUAAGUUAUUGUAUUUUCUACCUUAAUUGUAUCACAGGCAGAGGGGAGGGAUUGUGUACUGUAUGUGGGAGUGCUGUUCAUUGUUACAUUGUUUUGAUUGGCUUGUAUACUUUGUGUCCUGUGCCCAACAAGGUCCACCUGGGCGUCAACCUUGUUGGGAACCUUGUAUAAAAUGCAGUGUGCCUACAUUAAACUGCUAUUCCAGCUUACACUCCAAAACUGUGUGUCAUCCUGUUAUUGGAGGGAAAGAAGAUUUGCUCCUGUGUCUGCUGUUCCAGCUUGCAGGAGAUUCAAUGGGGAAAGUCCUUGUAAGGACUAGAGGUAAUUCCCCAUUCGGUUCCAGAGCUCCCAGGACUGAGUGUCGUCCAGUGCCCAGGGGUGUCAGAGCUAAUUCCCCAUUCGGCUCCAGGAAGGAGGUGGCAGUUCCAGGACCCCAGUCAAGCCACUGUUCCAGCUAGGAAGCGGUCUUUGGCGGAGAUAUCCAGUCGGGGUACCAGGUGAUCCGUUACAGCUAGCUAUAGAUCUAAAUGUAUGGAUUCUUUUUUUCAAUGAACUUGAAACAAAAUGCUUAUUUAAUUUCUUUAGAGCCAGAUGGUCAACAUUGCUAUGGUUAUCACCUGACUACAGUACUCCAAAUCUCUGUGUUUGUUAGUGUUUAUCAGUGUACUGCAAAAUAUAGAAAUAAUAUUUAAUAUUUUGCAGUACACUCGUUGGUCCAUUUUGUUUUGUCCUGUUGGUUAAUUUUCUUGAAUCUUUUUCAGCGGACGAAAUUAUGAGCCAAACCAACACAUGCAUGAAAUUCUGCCGUCUGGAAAAAAUGUUUUAUUUUCAGACGAAGUUGUUCAGUCGAAAAACAAUUAUUUUGCCAUGUAAUCUAAACAUCUAAUCUUAUUAUUUUUUAAAAAUCUUGUUUAGUCCAUUAGAAUGCACAUUUGGACCAAUACAAAUUUUAAAUAUAACAUGGGUAAUUUGUUAUUUGAAAUUUUGGGCUCCUGACAUGUAUCUCUCAGUAUGUACAUGUGGUCCAGCUUUAACCAGAAGGAUUACCACUAGCCAUCACCACUAGCCAUCACCACUAGCCAUCUAUAACAUUGCCUGGUUCUAGAUGAUUUCAAUAUCUAUUAUCUAUAGUACGAACUAAGAGAAAUAUAGGUAGGGCUAAUAAUGUAACCGACUACUUAUAUUAUGCCUCAGGUUAUCAUGUUUAUAUAAAUUUAUAAUCUACAACCUUUACAUCCUAUAUCAUUUUCACAGCUCAUUUCAGUCAUUUUAUCUUCCUAACUACCAAGCGGCUUGCAAACACUCCCAGAAUCGGGAAUAUUUUGGUGUUCUUGAAAGUAAUGUGUACAUGAUUUUUUUUUCUUUUCAGUAUGCAUAGAUAGCACAUAAUGUAAUGUAAACAAAAACUAAACAUGAUAUAAAAUAAUAUACCGUAUAUACUCGAGUAUAAGCCGACCCGAAUAUAAGCCGAGGCCCCUAAUUUUACCCCAAAAAACUGGGAAAACGUAUUGACUCGAGUAUAAGACUAGGGUGGGAAAUGCAGCAGCUACUGGUAAAUUUCUAAAUAAAAUUAGAUCCUAAAAAAAUUAUAUUAAUUGAAUAUUUAUUUACAGUGUGUGUAUAUGAUGAAUGCAGUGUGUGUAUGAGUGCAGUGUUUGUGUAUGAGUGCAGUGUUUGUGUAUGAGUGCGCAGUGUGUGUAUGAGUGCAGUGUGUGCAUAAAUGCAGUGUGUGUGUAUGAAUGCAGGGUGUGUGUAUGAAUGCAGGGUGUGUGCAUAAAUGCAGGGUGUGUGCAUAAAUGCAGUGUGUAUAUGAGUGCAGUGUGUAUAUGGAUGCAGUGUGUGUGAUGCAGUGUGUGUGAUGCAGUGUGUGUUUGUGUGGCAGAGCCUUGGUGGGGGGGUGGGCAUUUUUAUAAAAAAAAUUAAAAAAAAUAAUAUUAUUAUUUUAAUUUUUUUGUUAUAUUAUUUUUUUUUAAUUUUUUUUUAUUAUUAUUAUUUAUAUAUUAUUAAUUAAUAUUUUAAUUUUUUUGUUAUAUUAUUUUUUUUAUUAUUAUUAUUAUUAUUUAUAUAUUAUUAAUUAAUAUUAUUUUAAUUUUUUUGUUAUAUUAUUUUUUUUUAUUAUUAUUAUUUAUAUUUGUAUAUUAUUAAUCUAUUUAUUUUUCGUCCCCCCUCCCUGCUUGAUACAUGGCAGGGAGGGGGGCUGUCCUUCCCUGGUGGUCCAGUGGCAUUGGCAGUUCAGUGGGGGGAGGAAGGGGGCUGGCAGAGCUGUUACUUACCUCUCCUGCAGCUCCUGUCAGCUCUCUCCUCCUCCGCGCCGGUCCGUGCAGCUCCUCUGUCAGCUCACAUUGUAAGUCUCGCGAGAGCCGCACUAUGACCCCGCGGCUCUCGCGAGACUUACACUGGGAGCUGACCGAGGUGCUGCACGGACCGGCGCGGAGGAGGAGAGAGCUGCAGGAGAGGUAAGCGCUCGCUGCCAGCCCCCAGUCUGUAUUAUGGCAAUGUAAAUUGCCAUAAUACAGACUGACUCGAGUAUAAGCCGAGUUGGGGUUUUUCAGCACAAAAAAUGUGCUGAAAAACUCGGCUUAUACUCGAGUAUAUACGGUAGACUUUACACCCCACAUAUAAUUUUUUUGUCAAACCUCCUCACAAAUAUCUGCUCAUUUUUUUUUUUGGUGAGCCUCCUGAUUAUUUGAUUUAAAGUUUGUAUGUAUGUGUGUGUGGGGGUGUGGGGGGGGGGGUGGGGGGAGGACUCUAAUCAUCAUUCGCUGGUGGUCCAGUGAUUUCCCUGGUGGUCCUGUGUGCUGCCAGUAGGACCUGCACUCCAAAUGGGUGCAGACCCUUGUUAAUGACCCCUUUGGGUCUCUCAUUGGUUUGGAGCAUCUGAAGCCUGCACAGUGAACAUUGCAUAGGUGUGCAGAAACAACUGUAGACCUCUCCACCAACCUAUGCAGUUGCAGGAUGGCUCCACCAAGUCAGCACCAGAAUGGUAGCAUCAGCUUUAUUUGCAAGAAAAUAAUUAAAUUUUCAGUAGUUAAAAUUGUCUAUACACAAUUACAGGGUAUGACUGUGUACACUGUCAAAUGUGUAUACAUGAUUGGUGACAAGAUACCUGUGAAAAAAUAUUUUCUCAUCCUUGCUUCUCUCCUGGCAGGUCAUAAAAUCCAAUGCACAGAUACAAAAAUAACACACACAAAAACACUAUUUAGUAGAUACACUGCAAUGUUAACAUGUUUGCAUUUAAUUAUACAUUUUCUUUUCAUUGAGAGUAUAUCUAAAACAAUUUACAAAAACUGCAGAUCGUAUGCAGCAUUUGAAAACUCUAUCCUUCUUCCUCAGCUCAGACUUUCUGUGGCUGUAUAAUCACAGACUUCCCAAUAAGAAGACACAGCAAGGCAGGUGCUCUGGGCAGUUGUCUGUCUCUUGAGUUUAGAAGGUAACAGGACUAGUUGUCUGACUGAUGGCCAAGGGAGUUUGCAAGGAUACACUCUUCAUACAUUAUUUAUCCUUGCAAACUCCCUUGGCCAUCAGUCAGACAACUAGUCCUGUUACCUUCUAAACUCAAGAGACAGACAACUGCCCAGAGCACCUGCCUUGCUGUGUCUUCUUAUUGGGAAGUCUGUGAUUAAAAGUCCUUUUGGUAUGUGGUGUGUUCCUUUAACUAAAUUUAAUUAAAAUGUAAUUAUUUUCCAUUAUUAUUUAAAAUAAAAUGUUGCAAGCCUCUGUGGGUAUUUUUCUUGGUUUUUUUGCAUACAAUAUCUUUGGAGCCACAAUUCACAGAUCAAAUGCUAUGCUGGUAAUCAAAAGCCAGUGUGAGUUCAUGAAUACUGACAUCAUGAACAAGCACAGAACAUCUCAAAAUUGGACUCUGGGAUGGCUUCAGAGAUUCAAAUUGUACAGGGCCUUAGUAGGUAAGGACUGCUUCUGACCCAAGAGGGCAUAAAGCUCCACUGAGCAAAGGUAAGUCAGGAGAAGUGCUAAAAAGAUAAGACCAAUUUACUUAUGCACAAAGAGGCUAUAUUACAUGGAAUCUUUUAUUUUCAAUGAUAAUAAAAAUAAUGUCAAUUUUUUCUUAUAUAUGGCAGCGUAAAAUAGCAUCUGAAUUUGAAUUGUAGGCACACUAGCUAUAGACCUAAUAUUACCCUAGUCCUAACCUUAAAGGGACACUGUAGUUCACGUUGGACGUCCUCACCGACCUCCAGCGUCAGAUUUUCACCAUAGUAAAGCAUUGUUGCGCAUGCGCAUUAGGUCUCUCCCGCCGGCUGACAUUGGUGGGGGAGGAGUGUAGGCGGAGCCUGACCAAGCGCCAAGGAACAUCGGCGCUGGAUUCAGGUAAGUGGCUGAAGGGUUUUAAUGACUUCAGCCCUGUGGGAGGGAGAUUGUCACAUGAAAAUAUAUAAUAAAAUAUUUACAAAAAUGUGAGGGGUGUACUCACCUUUGUGAGAUACUUAUACAUAGAUAGAAACAUAGAAUGUGAUGGCAGAGAAGAACCAUUUGGCCCAUCUAGUCUGCCCAAUUUUCUAAAUACUUUCAUUAGUCCCUGGCCUUAUCCUAUAGUUAGGAUAGCCUUAUGCCUAUCCCACGCAUGCUUAAAUAUAUACAGUAUCUCAGAAAGGUGAGUACACCCCUCACAUUUUUGUAAAUAUUUUACAAAAUAUAUAUACAAUUACUUCAAUGAUACUAAGUGAAUGUAUGUCAUGCUUCAAAAAGAAUUAAUUAAACUACUGUGUUUCUUGUUUAAUUAAGUUGCAGUAAAUUAUGAUGUAUAGUUAAAAUAUGAUGGUGAAAUGCACUGGUACCUCUUUUAUGAUGUAAAAUGGCAUGAGGUGUAAAAUUGAUUUUUAUUUGGAAAGAGAUUCACUGAUACAGUACUUCAUUUGAACAGUAAGUCUGAUUAAAUGUAAAAUUAUAAAUUUCUACUCAUCCAUUGAUGACACCAUAGUAAGUGAGUGUAACAGAAUGUUGGCAUUAAAGGAACAUUAAAUGGUAAUAAGAUUAUAUAUACACUGCUAUAACAAGGUCACACUAGUCAUGUGGAAGGUUAUUUCUAGAAUUCACUUUCUCUGUAGUAUAACUAAUAAAAAAAUAUAUACAUUAACGCACGUGUUUAUUUUUAUUGAAGGUUGUUAAAUAUAAUUAUAUUACAUUUAAUGAUUUGGGGACUUUAAUUAAAUAAAUUAGGAAUUGAUUGGUAAGAAAUGUAGCACUUUUCAUUAUCGUCUAAUUGACAAUUUCUUCCAUGGGAAAAUGCAGAUGUUAUAUAAUAGAAAUAUAAACCUGUAAACUAAGAUUAAACAGACUUAACAAACACUGACUAUUUUAUUGAAAAGCUGGUUAACUUGAAAAUGGCUUCUUCAUAUGGUGUAGUUGGAGGUGCAUGCCUACUAUGUAUUUUAUGUAAAUUUUAGAGAAAAUCAUUUAGUACUAUUAAAGAAAGUUACAGCUUUAUUUAGGUAAUAACACUUUUUGAUUAAUUACUCCUGAUAGACAAUGAAAUAUGUUGUUUCAAUGCAGGUUUCUUCACAAAUCCUUCCAAAUGUCCAAACAAGCCUUAAACAGUUAUAAUGCAGCCUCAUAUAAUUAUCAGACACCAAAAACCCAGACAAAUAAAGACACAUUAAGUAAACCUUAUAAUGCAAAAGAUGGGUAAGGUAAUCAUUUUGGUCUGAUCAACCAUUUGUGCACACAAGGUCUAAAUGGUGUUUCUGUGUGUGUUUGUGUGAUAAAUGUGGAUGUGAAUGUGUGUUGUUGUGGAUGGCUUAUUGAUAUAGAUGUGAAAAGGCAAUUAAUAAUGUGUGCACAUGUGUGUGAACUGGAAUAUGUGGAUACAGAUAAUUGCUUAUGUAUGUUUGUGUCUUCGAAUAUAUUAAGUGAACAACAUGAGGAUGGUGUAAAUGGGAGUGUAGCAAGCAAGGAAAGGGAAUUGUUUUUGUAUUUGAGGUGGUACAAAGAGACUUGGUGUGAGUAGCUAGAUGUAUGGCCAGGGAAUUGGAAGUUUAUGAAAAAGGAAAUACUGACUUUGACUCCAAGAGAUUUAUUUAUCAAACCAAAUACAAAUGUGUAAAUUCUUAUUGCAUUCAUAAAAUAUAUCUCAAACAUAAACAGGAAAUCUUAUUUUACUGGGCCUCUUGGUAUAUGGUACUACUACAUCUGCAUUGACAGCUCCCUGCUUUGAGCAUAUCUAAGGCCGUAAUAUAAUCAAUGACCAGCGUCUAUCUCAUAUAUUAGUUUCCCCUUUUACAUUGCAUUACUGAAAUAAAUGAACUUUUGCAUGAUAUUCUAAUUUUUUGAGUAUCACCUGUAUAUACAAGAGAUAUUGUUAGAGAUUUUACUUAACACUGGCUUUAGCACGUCUGCUAUUACAGUGUAUUUGAGCAUUAGUACCAGUUUUGACAGGGAUGAAUUUCAUACGUCUUAUUGUUACCAAUUUGUGGGUGUCAUUAAAUGUUAAACAUACAAAUAAGUAGGUAAAGAAUAAAAAGGAGUGGGUGAUAUAGUAAGGUACAAAUCGACCCGCAAUAUACAAGUUGCACUCACAAGAACAUGGAUAAAUUCAAGCCCAUCAUCCUAAAUUUGGCGUAUGAGAUGAGUCUGCUCCAGAUUGUGGAUGAUCCUUUCAAACUUUCAGGAGAAAGUAGAAAAUGAAAAAUAGUGCAGAUAAUAGGUAUGAAAAAAGAAAUGUAUUAAGAUUGCACUAACAAGAUAGACUGGUGUACCCUGAUGCGAAUUCUCAGGGAAAUAUUGUUCCAGAGCCACCUUCAGCUCCUGUAUGAACGUGGGGUUUUGUAGGAGGGACUCAUUGAAUCUCUAUGGGCUUCUAUGUGUGGUGUCGUAGACGUCACCGGUGCAUGGUCGGAUCAUGUCACCCCCCAAUGCUCGCACUGCACAACCUGCUCUAGAACUAUUAAAAAAAAAAAAAACGUUGAUGCAGGAAUUGUGUACUGGAAAAUAGAAAGUAUAGCCCCUUUCUCCAAUGUGCUUAGCCCUCCAAACGUCGUAUAGGCGGUGUGUGUGUAAUAGUUUCAAUAUAGCUGCACUCUGUCAUUUGAGAUUCUGAAAUCUGGUGCCCCAAUGAGCUAAAGUGGAAUUUAUUGUAGGAUCAAAGACGUGGUUAAAGUCUCCACAUAUAACAGUAGUGCUCUGUUGUGUGGUGGACACCUUGGAUAGGAUUUUGUGUAAGAAAUUACGCUGUUGAACAUUAGGUGCAUAUAUGUUAACUAUAGUGUAAAUGAUCCCAUAGAAUUAAUCUAUGAGAAUCACAUAUCUCCCAUCUGGGUCUUGAUAGUGUGAAGUGGGUGUGAAUGCUUUAUUUUUGCCAAUUAAGAUAGAUGCUCCUUCCAUCUUGGAUUGUGAAGUGACAUUGGUAAGGGUAGUCUCUCAGGAGGAAUGUAGGGUGUUGGUCUGUUUUCAAAUGUGUCCCUUGGAGACAUAUUAUAUCCGCCUUGUGAGUUUUCAGUUCUCUAGUUAAGAGAUGUCUCUUGGUGGGGAUGUUUAGUCCCUUUGUGUUGCGUGAGAAAUUUUCAUGGAGAUUUAGUCACUUGAAGAGUUAGUAAGUUACUGCUUGACUACAUCAUAUAUCGGGUCACUGCAGCUCCCAGCUCUGUCGAGCACUGCAGGUUACCCAAAAAGACAAAAGUGGGUGAGUUAUUAAGAGGAGACAAGACUUUAGGAGUCCCCCACUCCUCACCUUGUAUCCAAUACCCAUCAGGAGAAGUCUCCAGGGAGGCAGAGCCUCUCCCCCCAUCCAGCAGGGAAAAAAACAAAGAAACAAGGACAGGGAUAUACAUUGGAACAUAAACAAGGGGUGUAGGGAUGUACAUUGUGAACUUGACUUCUGUAGAAAUCUAAAAUACGCUUUGUAACAUAUUUUGCACCGCAUAGCGAUGCUGUGGGGGUGGAGGCCUAUGGUCUCCAGGUUUUGUCCUAAGGAACAUUAUAGGUUGGCCCAAAUUGUAGGAAUAAUACAUCAGUGGACUCAUAUUCUAAGAGUAGGUACAUAUAAUAACUAAGAAAUAAGGGGGAAUCCAAAAACAGGGAGUACUUAUCAUGGCUAUUUGGGCUUUUGUUAGCCACUUAUUUAUAGUUCUAUAUAUAUGUGUAUGUUUUUUUCUUUUGUUUUGUAUUUUGUGCUUCCUCACUCCCUCCCAAUUCCCCAUCCCCCCCAUACCCAUAAUAUCAGACUCUCAGCAGGUGUCAGGUGAGACCACAGGUAAAGGAGUGAAGAUAGUCGCUUAUGGCCUUUACCAAUUGGCUCCUCUCGUGGUGCAUACAUUGGUGCUUGGAUAUGACCAAUUCACACAUGUUAAGAGGGACACCCUGUGGUUUUAAGUAGUCUCGCAAUCCACCCAGGGGGACGGACCAGUGGCAUUAUACCUGUAAUGGCAACCCCAGGCAUAAAAGGGGUUAACAGCCGUUUAGGAGAUAUUCCCUUCCAGAUACACAGGCAGCUACCAAAGACACCAAUCUGCCGAACAGGAAACCAUAUGAAUGCCGUAAACAGCUGAACUGGAACCGUACGAAUGCUGUAAACAGCCGAAUAGGAAAGAACAUAUGAAUAGGUUUACACUCCUAGCAGUCAAACUGGAACAGCAUACAAUAAAUCCCCCCAAGAACGAGACAAGGCUCUGUUUUGAGGGUCAAGCAGGAACAGACAGAGCUGUGGAUUUAUUGUUCUUAUAUACACAUUCUUAAACAUUAGUACCACCCACAGGGUUUUGUAAAACAACCAAUAAACACGUACAAUACACUCAGACACUCCCACACAAAAUCCUCCCCUCUGCCUGUGAUGGCAGAGAAAUACAGUUUUUCCACAUUAUUCAUAACUUUAAAAGUAUGCAUUACAUUCACAUUAAAUUUUCAGAAUCAGAAUACAAACAUAUGUCAAAAUCAUCCAAAUUGGUCCAGUGGUUCAAAAGAUAGAUCAAAGUCCUUUGUGACCAACUGAAGCAUGGCUUUUCUGCCCAAAACCAGUUCCACAGAGUCUUCUAUCCUGGAGAUAAUUGGGAAGUAAUCCAAUUAUCUAAAAGGACAGAGGCAAAACUCCAUUGAACACAUGGUAGCAAAAGACAAUAAAAUACAUAAAAAUAUAUAACUGUGCAGCUAUUGCAUAAAACAGGUACAUUCAACAUAUCCCUAGAUAGCUUAGAUCUGAGCACACAUUAUUACUGAAUGGCUCUCAGAUCACAUGCAUACAGUUCAACUGCCAUGGAGCCAAAGUCUUUCACAUAGUCUUUCGUUAUACGAAUGCUAUCUGAGGUGUCACUGUUCAAAUAGGGCAAGUACCGAAUCAAGCGUUUCAACAUGGGGCCAUAGUCUAAAGGCAGCAGGCGGGCAACCAGGCUCCUCCAGAUUGGUCUCGUCACAAUACCCAUCAAGAUACUAAGUGCAGUGUCUUCUUUGGCUGAUGUGACCCCUGAGGCAAGUGCCGUAUAGAGAGACAUGUUGAGGCAAAAACUCGGGAAGGCCGGAGGAGGUGAAGGUCACUUGCACAUCGCCUGUAAACUGUAUAUAUCUAAGGGGAGAGUUGUGGCACCCUUCCUCGCACAUUAAGCAAAGAGGUACAUCACAUGUGCCUUGAGCUCCGCAAUCAGCAUACAUUAUGUAUCCAAAAUUAACUUAUAUAGCUAAUUAAACUGAAGUGACUAAACAAUAUCAGUAUAACAAUAAAUUUAGAACCUGAAUCAAGGUAUCAGGCUGGAUCAGCUCUCGUGCCUGGGUUCUCAUUUUCGUAGAUUACGUCAUUCAGGAGUGAGUGUAUUCGUCGGAGACUUGGCGAUAAGAGAUUCCUCUUGAGCAAUGCCCUAUUCUCUCAGCACACAGAGUUCAUCUUCUGGCGUGGAGAGGAUGGUCAUCGUCCCGUUUUGUUGAAUCAACAGCUUUGUAGGGUAUCCCCACCUGUAUUGAAUGUGGCUGUCCCAGAGUCGUGCUCUGAUUGAUGAGAAAGCCCUCCGCUUCCUCAAUGUGUGAGCAGAGAUGUCAGCAAAGAUCAGGAUCCCCACGUAUGGCUGUGCAAGCUCCUUGGUGCGCCUACUUUCUUUCAGAAGUGCUUUCUUGAUAUGAUAAUAGUGCAGACGCACCAAUGUGUCUGGUGGGACCUCAGUUGGUAAUGAUUUAGGUUUCGGCACUCAGUGGAUACGAUCGAGUAGCAGCAUAUGUGUGCUGUAUGUCUGGGGCUAGGAGCCUGAACAUGCCAAUUACGUGAGCUUGUAGGUUAGUCAGCCCCACAUAUUCCUUGAUGCCAUGGAGGUGAAGACUGUUGCACCUCCCCCUAUCCUCUAUAUCCACCAGUUUACUUUUAUAUGUUUCCACUUGGGCCAUAAGAUCCUCCACUUUAGUAACUAGGUUGUUAUGAGCGUCGACAUAUUCCGCCAUCUUGUCCUCCAUCGCCAAUGUUCUUGUGCCCAGUUCUUGGACCUCUUUGCAAAUUCUUGAAUGGAGGUCUGCAAGGUAUGUUGUAUUUUGGCUGACAUCACGUCCAGCAUUGAUUUCAGCACGCUUUGAGUAAUCAGGAUGUCAGACUCUGGGGAUUCAGGCGUCUGUGGAACGUUGUUGUCAGCGCUAUUUUGAAAUUCUUUUCAUUGCACUGCGGGUCUCAAUAAGCCGGUUUAAACAGCAAAAAAAUUUGGCUUUUUCAGCUAUGUCAGCUUGCCGCUUGCUCUUAUACUGGAGGCUCUCUCCUCUGAGUCAGGCUGGUAGGGUCACUUCUAAUUUUUGGAAUUGGGCCUGGUACAGACGGAGCUAAGCUAGCAUGCGUCCGUUCCCUUCAAGCUCCAGGACACGCCCCCCCAGUUGUGACUUUUAAAAUACAUUAGUGUUAAUUAGAGAAACAAGAAAAUAAUUUGGCACAUAAUACUGUACAUUAACUAGAUUGCACAAUUAAUUAGAUAUUUGUCAGAGUUCUCUGCUAAAUAUCUUCUUAGCUUACAGAUUAUUGUAGUAAUUUGUACGCAGAUAUGUUGUCCUUUGAAAGAAACCUUUCAUUAAACACAGAGUUGAUUUUCGUUCAUUAAACAUAUGUAAAAACCUGUGAAUAUGUGUCUUGCUUUCUGUGUGUAAUGCGAAAUCAUUUGUUUUUGUAUUAUUUUCUGUAAUACAGUUUUAGUUUAUUUUUGCCAUUGAUUUAUAUAAUAAUAAACCGUUAAUUAUUAAGAAAUGUGUAAAAGUAGGACAUCGGAGUAAAUAGCAUUUUCAUUUCAAUAUAUUUAUAAAUUAAAAAAAUUCUUCUUCACCCAAUAUAUGAAGUAAAUGAUUCUGGUACUGAUUUACAGGCUAAAGCUAAAACAAGUUCAAAUAUAUAUAUAAAAAAAAAUCAAACUCUGUAUCUACAGAGUUAGAAAGUCUAGUGUGGAUAGAAAGAUAGACACAAAGUAUGUACAAGCUACGCCACAACAUAAACACAAAUCCCCCUAAAAAUAGUAUACCCCCUUUGUAUUUAUGAAGAGAAAGGUGGGUCCUUCAAUUACCACAAAAAUUAGUAAUACAGAAAGGGCCACAAGCAUUAUAUGUUCAAUCUCAAAUGAAAAUCUUCUAAGUAGCUAUAGUGUGUUAUUAUAGUCUCCUUAUGAUUUUAAAGCUAUCCCAUAUAUUGAAUCUCUCUAGGAUGUAGAUAAAUUGUCCUUAAUACUGCAAAUUAAUUUCCCUAUAGGAUUCCAAGGUUGAUUUGCUUAUUAAAUUAUUAUAAAAGGAGAUCAAGAUAUAGAUAUAGAUAUAUAUAUAUAUAUAUAUAUAUCUAUAUCUUGAUCUCAUUUCAUAAUAAUUUAAUAAGCAAUAAAUAAUAAAUUAUUAUGAAAGGAGAUCAAGAUAUAGAUAUAUAUAUAUAUAUAUAUAUAUAUAUAUAUAUAUAUAUCUAUAUCUUGAUCUCCUUUCAUAAUAAUUUAAUAAGCAAUAAUUUAAUAAGCAAAUCUAUCUAUCUAUAUAUAUAUAUAUAUGUGUAUAUAUAUAUGUGUGUGUGUAUAUAUAUAUAUAUAUAUAUAUAUAUAUAUAUAUAUGUGCUAUGUAUAUAUACUGCAUAUAUAUAUAUAUAUAUAUAUAUAUAUAUAUAUAUAUAUAUAUAUAUACAUAGCAGAAAUGACCACACUCAAAAAACUUUCUAGAAAUUUUCAAAUAAGAUUUUACUUUUAUUCAUUCCAUUUAAAAAGUCAGCAUGGCACCAGAUUUUAGAUACAUGAUGGCUCUUUUAGCCUGUUACAUUGUUUAAACUAUAUGACAAAUAAAUUUUUGCAACAUUCUGGUUUCUGUAUCCACUCUUAUUUUACCCUGUGCUUAAUCAUGUUUGUAGUUACUAGGUUACAAGGUAGAACACAAUCAUUCCAGUUGGAUUGUUACUAAGUAAGCCAUAGCCCCUCCCCCUUUUUUGGGCCUUGUACACAUGGACACCACACUAAGAGAUUAAUUUCUCUCUAAUGCAGGGUAAGCUGUCUCAUGGCUAGGUGAGUACACAAUUAAGGUAAAUUAAAUUAUUUUGAGGGAUUGUACGUAAUGAUCAACUAGGUAUCAAAGUACAUAAGGUACAGAUGUAAACAGAGGAAAUAUCUCAGUCUCCAGGUCUAAACCUGGGACGUACUCAAAAAACAGGAUACCUAUCCCUAAUCAAAUAACAUCACAGAUACCUCGGUCUCCAAGUAUAUUGCAUGGGAUCUACUGAACCAUAGGAUCCUAGUUAUUAACGCAGAGAGAACAUAGAGGAAAGUUCUGUGAAUACCUCAAUCUGCAGGCAUACACCUGGAACCUAUUUAAAUACAAGAGCCUAAUCCCUAAUGACAUGACAUCGCAGAUACCUCAGUCUCCAGGUGUAUAAUGUGGCGGCAGAUGAGAACCAUUCGGCCCAUCUAGUCUACCCAAUUUUCUAAAUACUUUAAUUAAUCCCUGGCCUUAUCUUGUAGCUAGGAUAGCCUUAUGCAUAUCUCAUGCAUGCCUAAACUCCUUUACUGUGUUAUCCUCUACCACUUCAGCUGGAAGGCUAUUCCAUGCAUCCACUACCCUCUCAGUAAAGUAAUACUUCCUGAUAUUAUUUUUAAAACUUUGCCCCUCUAAUUUAAGACUAUGUCCUCUUGUUGGGAAAAAAGAUAAAUAAACGCCCAAUGCACGUUUUGGUGCAGCAUUGUGCACCUUCUUCAGGGUUAUGCCCUAGGCCAGUGCUAGCUGGACAUAAGUGUGCUAACUGUAAGUAGCUUAAAUCAAGCAGUUAAAACAAGCAGUUUGGUACAAAGGUAUGGAGGAAGGUUGUGGAUAUUUCAUAAAUCCUGCCCUUUAUCAUCCUCAUGCAGCUACCUGUGCAUGGGCUAGAGGAAUAAAUUGAGGCCACUUGUGAGUCAUCACAGUUAAUCAUAGGAUCGUUUUUUAUAAUUGUUUUCUGAAGGAACCAAUGUUAUCUCCUGGUUGUUUUGUUUUUUGAGGGAGAACAUUUUUGUUUUACAUAAACUCCUCAUAUGUAUGUCAUCUGUGAUCAAUUUUAAUUUACAUAAGUUAAUAAUAUUUUGAAUAGCAAACAAUAAUUUAGUGAUGAUUUCCUGUGGGUAAGGAAUCACUAACUUCUCUGGAAUUUAUUUUCAUCUUGCAAUGAAAUUACUUUGACAUGGCUCCAUUCCAGUCCAUUGUUAUCUCUGCCAAUGGGCUGAGAAUAAAGGUAUUCCUCUCCCACAGACUAAAAUUAUAAGUUUGAAAUAACAAAUCUUUAUUCCUGCUUUCUACCAAAAAGGGGGAGACGUCACUGAUGUCAUUCUGUUCCACAAAAUCUGUCAAGGUUAUUUACUAAAACCUGUAUGGCCUUGUACCAAAUUUGUUAAACUCAUCCAGCUAUAUACUGGGCCAUUUGACUGCAAAAUCCAGACAUUUCUCAUAUUAGUCAAUGUGUGUGUUGCGCUAUUUAUGUGUGGGUGUGUGGGGAGGUUGUGGAGGGAGAUCACGAUCGACCUCCCUACCCCCACACCUAGCAAGUCUGAGACACUCUGGAUCACUAUAACACUUUAACUUGCUGACAUUAUUUAUGUGUGAACAGUGUGUCAUUGUUUUUGUUUUGUUUUUUACCAAUAUGUAUACCGCACUCUCCUGGAUCCAAGGGUGCAACCGGGCCAGAGGUUCCAAUCCUCACAAUGGGAUUUGCAAAAAAGUAAUGAUGGGCCAGGCACUCAAGUUCAAUCCAGUGGGCAGAUUUAUUGGAGCAAAAUCGAAACAAUCUUUUGGCCCACAACAGUUUUGUAAAUUUCCCUUGUUACAUCCCCCUGCUCUAUACUCAGACAGCCAAUCCUAUGAAUUACUUGUUUGGUUAGCUCAGUGGAGCUAAACUUAAAAGACAGACAAUUGCCUGUCAUCGAUCUGCAUUGGGAAGUCUGUGAUUAAAUAGCCACAAGAAAGUCUGGCCUGGGGCAAAGGGGAGAGCUUGCAAAUGCUUCAGGCUAGAUAUCUGUAGCUUUUACAAACUGCUUUUAAUUAUAACUUUAAUUAAAGUAAUGCAUUAUUAAAUGUAUGCAUAUAUUUAUUUGGGGUGUAUCUGCUUAACAGUGAUUUUUUUUUUUGAGGAUUAGGCUGUGGAAGGUCCCUUUAGUAAAAGAAAAAGGGAGGACAUCCUAAUGAAGGCCCUAAUCAUAAUAUUCAAGUGGGAGGACUAAUGAAAAUAAAAAAAUAAAAAAACAGAAAAAAAAGAUUUGCAAAAUAGAUGAAAAGAAAAUCCAAAAUAUGAUGCAAUAAAAAUAUCUACAGACUGAACUCACAUAUUGGAGAAAGUCCUUAUGAAGGCUUUUCUACAUGUCAGCUAUUACAUCGCAUGGGAAUAUCUCCCACGCAGUGCAAUAGCAGUAACAGCAUUGUCAUUGGUUGACUUGCACCAACCAAUCUGAGUGCAAUGACUGGCAUAUACACACAUUUUCGCACACACAUUCUUGCACACAUUAAUAUACACACAUUCUCACAUGCAUGCACACUUUCUAACAUACACAUUCACGCACACAUCCUUAAAUGUUUAACACAAAUAUAUUCUCGUAAACACAUAGAGAUUAUUUCUCACACACACACACAUGUACUCACACACACUUAUAUACACAUUCUAAAACACAUAUACAUUUAAUGUCACAGUAUUCCUUUAAAGUAAAACACAUUUGUUAUAAAAUAAACACUUCAGUUCAUUUUGUGUAUCUACAAAGAAAGAAAGAAAGAAAGUGAUCAUGUGUGAGCUACUUUUAUGAAAAAGCUGAAAUGUGUUAUACUGUAGUUGCUGUAAACAUAUUUCAUAGAUUCUUGGUAGAUAAGAAUCAUAUGCCUUAUACAACUGAACAGCCAUAAAACAGCAAAUAGAACUACAAAGAGCAAUAUUUAUCCAUGCUGCCAAGAAGCUGUCAAGAGGAAUGCUGCUACAAGCAUCAUUAGUGCUGCCAUUAUAUAUGUGUGUCAUUCUUUCCAAACUCCUUGAUGGAUGAAACAUCCCCACUCACAAGCUUUAAUAAGUGAUAUAGAAUUCAAAGAUCAGCAAGUUACAAAGACAGACCUGGCAGCACGCAAACAAUAUAGGCUCAAACUAUUGUGACAAAAUACAUAUGCCAUAGAGCUCUGAUGCUGCAUGUUAUUUUGUAAACUAAAAAGACACGCUUCCCGUUUCUUCUAUGAAGACACUAUGUACAUAAUACUAUUAAGUGGAUUUACUGAUUUUGACUUUCUAAUACUUAUGCUCUCUAUAAUUCAGUCAUGUCAAAAGUUCUUGAUCCGGGAAUAUGAUCUAAAGAAAACACAUAAUUGAACUAAAGCAUCAAAGCUUGUUUUUGUUUAAAUUUUCCUCAUCUAUGUCCCCGCUUCCUUGUGUGUUAAUUCACUGUCCACGUUCUUUUUCAUAUGUUUCCCCUCCUUUCAUUCCUGCAUUUUAGCUCUCCAUAAUAGUUUAUGUUCCUUCCAUUAUAAACAAUUUUUUCCAAGACAUCCAGACCCAGUCUAUAGGCUUCUAUUAUGUAGCUUGCUUGCUCUUUAGCAUCUCUUUGCUGUAAUUUAUUUGCAUGAACAAUUAUAUCAGUCUGAAACGACUGAGUAAUUAAGGGGUAUCUCAAACAGCCUUUAUGUCCCUUUCUUGCUAAAGUGUCAGAAUUAAUUCUAGGUAUUUUCCUCUCCAGAUAUAGUUUGUAAAACAACUCAGUAUUAUGUUUAACAAAUGUUUAGAGAUAGAGAGGGGAAGCAUAUGGAACAUGUAUGUCCAUUUUGGUAAAAUUCAUGCCCUUACAGCAUUUAUUCUGCCCCACCAGGAGAUCUCAUAAUUUCUCAUUCUUUUAUGGAGGAAUUGGUCUCUUUCAAAAAUCUUAAAAAGUUAGCUUCCAUAAUCCGUCUGGGAUCUGCUGUUAUUAUAACGCCCAGAUAUUUAAACUUCUUGUCUGUCCAUCUGAAAUCAUACUUUUUUUUCAAAGAUUGUAAAUUACUACUUUUCAUGUUAGUAGUGAGAGCUAUAGUUUUGUUCAUAUUUUAUCUAUAAUUGGAAACUAGACUAUAGUUAGAAAAUUUCUCCAUUAAGUUAGCCAGGGAGUUGUCCAGGUUAGUGAUCGAGACUAGUAUGUCGUCUACAUAAAGGCAGAUCUUAAAAUCGUUACCAGGCACUUCUACUCCCUUGAUCAGGGGAUUAUAUCUAAUUCUGCUAGCCUGGGGUUCUAUUGAUAAAACAUACAAUAGUAGGGACAGCGGGCAACCCUGCCUAGUACCAUUUGAAAUGUUAAACCAAUCCGAGCAUAAAUCUCGGCCCACUAUCCUAGCUGAAGCAACUGAAUAUAGGGUGCCCACUGCCCCCUCAAUACCAUAAUGAAUCAAAACACCUAUUAAAAAUCCCCAACCGACCCUGUCAAAGGCCUUCUCUGCAUCCACCGACAGGGUCAGAAGGGGAGUACCAGAGCAUUGUGUCCAGUCCAAUAUAUCUAUCACUCUUCGUGUAUUAUUAUAAGACUGCCUACCUAACAUAAACCCAAUCUGAUCUGAAUUAUCGAAGGUAAUAUUUUUUUCAAUCUUUCAGCUAUUACUGCAGUGUAUAAUUUAACAUCAACGUUUACUAAGGAAAUCGGGCGAUAGUUGGUUAUAUCAGUAGGUGGCUUUCCUGAUUUAAGGAUAGGCAUUAUAUGAGCUCUUAAAAGAUCUGGUGAAGCUAGUCCCUUACCCGCUAUCUCAUUAAAAGCGGCUGUUAGGUGUGGCAGAAUACUUUUUAAAACACUUUAAAGAAAAGAUUAGAAUAGUCAUCUGGCCCUGGAGCUUUUCAGUUUUCUAAUUUAUUUAUUACAAAUUCUACUUCUUCCAAAGAUAUAGCUUUAUUUAAUGUUUCCUUCUGUGUAAUCGAAGUUUUAGGGAUAAAUGUGUCUUUUAGAUAUUUUUCUAUCAUAUUUGAUGUAGGCGGAUAUUUCAAAUUAUACAAAUGAUCGUAAUAAUCCCUGAAUCUAUUAGCUAUCUCCUCAGGUUUUAAGAUAUCCUUACCUUCUUCCGCUAGUUUGACAUUUUUUCUUCUAAAUUGUGUUUCUUUAAUUUAUUUGUCAACAUUGCAUCAACACUGUUAUUUUUGUAAUAAAAUCUUGUAUUAAGCUUAUGUAGGUUCCAUUCUAUUCUCUCUGUUAUCUUUUUGUUAAUCUUGUGUUGGUAUUCUUUAAUUCGAUUAGCUCUCUCUUCUAAAUAGUCGAUUUUGUUGACAGUUGAAAGAUCAUAAAAUUCGAUAUAUAAAUCGGCCAGAUUCAUAUCUCUAUUUCUUUUCUGUUGACUCGCUAACUUGAUCCACUAUCCUCUUAUAACUACCUUAAAUGCGCACCAUAAGCAUUCAUUAGACAAGUUAACUCAGGUAUUUUCAGCAAAAAAUAAUUCCUAUAAAGUCUUUAUAUGCACUUUAUUCAACUUAAUUUUCAAGAGUGCAUCAUCUAGUCUCCAAAGUGGUGGCAACUUUUUUUGAAUAUCUGUUACAUCCGCUACCAGUAGGUCGUAAUCUGAUCAAGUAUUCUCUUUGAUUAUAAUUAAUUGUAAUGCUCUUAUUAAAUUUAAAGCUCCCAUCGUCAUAUCAAUUCUUGCUGCAGAUUUAUGAGGGAUAGAUCUAUGUGUAAAAUGUUUCUCAUUUGGGUGUGCUAGUCUCCAGCAAUCAAACAACUCAUAUUUCUUAUUUAAUCUAUUUAACGCCGCUGCCUGUUUAGUUAUAUGCUUGUCAAUCUGUUGCGAUGGGCCCAACUGGUUAUCCAUAACGGAGUCCAGAAUACAGUUAAAACCUCUUGCGAUCACCACUCUCACUUUUUUUAACUGUUUCUACGAGUUUUAAGAUUUUUGACAUCGUUUUAAUCGGGUAUCUUUUGGAUAGAUAAAUAUUCACCAAUGUAUAAUCCAUUCCAUUUAUCUGUCCUACUAGAAUGAUAAACCUCCCUUCUGGGUCCAAUUUAUUAUAUUGAAAGAUAAAAUUAAUCCCAUUCGAAAAGAUAAUCGAGACCCCACAUUUCUUUUUUCCCCGUCAAUGAGGCCGAAUAAAUUAAAGGAAAUUUCUGAUAAUUCCACAGUUGUCUAGCUUCUACUAUCCAGUGGGUUUCCUGAAUAAAACACAACUGUGCUUUCUCUCUUAUUAAUGUGUCAUACAGAAAGCCUCUUUUUAUAUAAGAAUUAAGACCCUGAGCGUUAACGGAUAUUACUCUAACCAUACCCAAAAGUACCUCUUGUUGGGGUCCAAGACCAUGAAAAUAAUACAAAUACUAAAAACAAAACUGCACAUAAAUAAAAAAUCCACAACAAAUCAUUCUCAUCCAUACCAAUUCGAACACUUGGUAAUCCUUAGACUCCUAGCUCUGGGUACUCUACAGGGUACCCACAGGUAGGGGAUUUAUGUCUCGAAGAAUGGGGAAACAACAACCAUAAAUAUUCAUUUUCUGAAUUAUCUAAAAAUAUGCAAUAGCAGCUGAAUAGAGGGAAAAAAAAAACAUUCUUAAACUUCUAUACUUGUUUUUACUCUAUUUGGAUUAUCCAUUAGGUCUCGUCAGAACUACUCUGUAAUAGAAAAUUAUCUUUGGAACUCAGACCUUUUCUCACUCCCCCAUAUUUGGACUGAUAUCUAGUAAGGAUACUGAAUUUUACAGCUCUCUUAAACAGACUAAUUUACUUUUGACAAUCAUUUUUACUUGUAUAUUUGCUUUGCUUCCUGGAUGACCACACACGAGUGUACCCGCCAGACUGUGCUUUAUUACUAAGGACAAUAGAACUUUUUAAUUUUGAUAUUUAUCAUUUAUAUUUAUGCUCUUCUGCUCCAAGUUAGUGUAAAUUGUUUAUAAUUCCUUAAGGGUGCAUUAUCUUCCUCUUUUAAUGUAAUUUAUAUCUGUCUUUGUAAAAUUAUCAUUAUUUUGUUUCUUUUUCAUGGAUCCAUCUUGUCACUUGAACAUUUUUUUCAAUCUGUUUUGAGGAAACAAUGUUCUACAGUAAAAGGGUAUGUGAAGUAUUUCCAAGUAAAUAUUUCAACCAGCGUCUGUAAAAUUAUCAUAAUUUAUGCUCACUUCACCUUACUUUGGACGGAAAACUCUUUUCUGUCUGCUUUGUUUCCAUCUGUUUUGGGUAAAUACACAUUCUUUCUAUGCAAGAAAAUGGCUGUGAUCAUUUUGAUCUUAUUUUUUAUUUAUUUUUUCAAAAGAGCUACUUUAUAAUUAUUUUAAAAUAAGCAGUGGCUUGUAAAAAAAAUUUUUAAAAAAGAAAACCCUAUAUAAUAUUUUAUAUUUAAUUAUAUAUCUAAUUUUCUAAGGUGACUCAGAAAAGAAGGGAAGUUAAUAGUAAUUUUAAAAAUCACUAAGAUAUGUUUUUUUUUUCUGAGCUAUGAAUAUAAGACCCUUUAAGCCUUUUGUUAGCCUUAAAUCCCACUGAUGGUUCUAUGGGACUGAUGAUUUAAUAAUAAAUGGAUCAGUUUGAUCUACUACUUUUAAUUAAAUUCAGAGAAAGUACAGUAUGCUAGUCCAGAGACUUUGUAAAUAUUAUUUGCUUUAAAAGUUUGUUCUUUUCCACUUUAAUGAGUUUCCUUUUUUCUCUUGUUCCCAUCUUCUAGAAUUACAGUCAUUGGAUGUAUCUUUAUGCUAUGUUCUUUUUAGCCCUAAGAGCACAGUCAGGUAAUGAAAAUGACAGGCUUUAAAAAAGAAAGUAUAGAAUAAUGGAUGGUAAAUAAAAAGAGUUACAUUGCUACAACCACUAAAGGUUACUUCACAUAUUUAUUUGCCAUCUGGCAUUCCAACCUCUAGUGCAUACAGUAGAUACAACAAUGCCUUAUGCCUCAUUAGGCUAUACUGGAUCUGAUUAUUGGGCUGUUACAGAACACCUGCCAUGUCUCAUUACAUUAUCAACUAUUCUUAUAAAAAGUCACCUGCUAUUAUAUUUUAUCAUUUUUAAUUUCUGGUACUAGCAAUUUAAUUUAAAAAUGAGUCAAAUUCAGUCUUCGGUCAACACUUAUCCAUACUUACUAAUACACAUACAUGGAGACAUGCGUGCACACAAAGACACACCCAUACAAUUAUACACCUACAUUUAUGUGUAAUUGUGUUUAUUUUUGUUCAAUAAAGCAAGUUCUAAGCAAGACUUUUUCUAAAACAUGUUUUAAUUAGAACAAGUAGGUUCCAAUAAAAAAAAAGAAAAAAAAAAGAAAACAAGGAUAACAGACAAUAUAAAAUUGCUCGUAGAAGAUGAGUGAAAAGAAGAAUGAGAUGUACAGAAAUUAAAACAUUAUUACAUGUCAUAAAUUGCAUCACUUAAUCAAAUAAAGUAUACUUGUGCAGGGUGAACAUUUGUAAUUCUUUUGAACAAAACUUUCAGAAUAGUGAAUUUCUUUAGUACCUUCAAUGUUCACAAAAAUGUUAGUUAAUCUGGAAAUAGAUUUUAAAAAAACAGUAUUGGCUGAACCAAAUGUAGUUUGGGGGUUAAUCAUGUGGUGGCUAACCAGUGAUCCCCCCCCCUUUUUUUUUUAAAUAAAAGCCCUUAUCUGAUGUCCACAGGUAGAAGCAGGGGGUGUACAUUACUAACAGCUGAGCAGCACUAGCUGCCCAGUCAUUAGUCUUUUAUUGAAGCGAGCAGCUACUGGUUGCAUGCUGUUCAGCAGACAUGCCCCAACUUGUAGCAUGGCCAGUGGGAAAUGGGGGAGGUAUAUAACCUACUUUGUACUAUUCGGGAGACAGAGUAACCCCAUAAGCAGUGUUUAACUAUUAACCUACUAGCUGCUAGCACUGUCAGUGGGCAAAUCAUUAUCCAUAAUCUAAGACCAACCAGCCAUUGAGCAUUUUGUUAGUUUAGCUGUUUAUUUUUGAGUUUUUUUUUUUUGGUAGAAUCACUGAUUGAUUUUCCGAGUACAAAUUCUCCAAACCUACAUCAGUUGAAAAGGUUUAAGCAAGGUCUGAAAAUACAAAUGUCACUCCACCAAUAACAACAAUAACAACUGUCUGUUUUUUCUGUUUUUUUUUUUUUAAAUUAACCCUUUGGGAAAAUAAUGACUAAAGACAAGAUCCAAAUAAGUUAAGUGGGCAGAGUGGACAUAGUCAAAGUCAACAAAUAACAAGGUUAAGACUUAAUGAUACAUCUGUAGUAAAUGCUUAUUAGAUGUUGAAGGUUUUGUUGAUAACGCUGAACUAAGGUUGGAGCAAUAGCAGUGUAUAAUUUCUCUUAGAGAUAUUUCUGUUUUUCCUACGUAAUUCAUCCCACAAAGGCAAUGGAUAUAAUAAUUCUGAGUGAGUAUGGUAAAAUAAUUUUGUGGUGAUAAGCAACACAAUCACUGUAUCCUACAGAGCAUGUAUUGAUUAUUUAACCUUGAAGUAUAAUGUCUCGCUUCAAACAGAUAAAUCCUUCAAGUUUGUAUGGUUGCGGUUGUAAAGUAUGGAUGGUAUUUGAAAGCUUUUGAGUAAAGUUGCAUCUUUCCAAAACUACUCCAGUUUGGAGCAGGUUGUGAAUCCUAGUACUGAAUGAUGGACUAUGUCAGGACUGUUACAUUCUCUAUGUGGUCACGAUGAUAACAAUUAGUGCUGAAGUAUUACCUUGUGUUAGUACUGUCGCCCAGAUAACACUAGGACUCUUGGAUAUGGAUUUCAAUGAACAUAUAUUCAGCCUCAAGCAGAUUUCCUCUUCACUAAAUUAUCCCUCAUUAAAAACUCAAAAUGGUUUGCUUUCACCUGUCAUAGAGACCUAGACAUUCCAAAGAGUGUGUCCAGUUGUUCUUAAAACUGCAGUAUUCUCAACAAAACCAGUCUACAUAGCGGCAAAGAAUGUUUGGCAAAUCUCUUGCAAGUCGCAAAUCUCCUAUUGCUACUGUAGAACUUACUAGAAGAAUAAAAGAGCACUCACAUACACAUGAAAAAACAACUAACAAUAUAAAUUAAUUAAUUAACGAAGAUAAUACUAUGUUAGGAAACUGUAGAACAAACGGGCAGAGCCACCUGGACUCCAUACUGGCCAUGUGUUAUUUCAAUAUCACCUCAAUAACAGCCGCAGUAUUUCAUACCAAGAUGAUGGCUAUAAAACUUCAUACACAUGUCUUGUCUUCCAAAACUGUAUGUUUCACUAUUACCACCUGCUUAUGUAAAACAAUACGGGCAAUACAUUUUACACUGACACGGUUAUUUACUAAAGUGAGAAUUCAAAAGGAAUUUCAAAUUUAAGGCCAAAACUGCUAACUUGGAAUUCUCUAAGUAAUCUAUGCUUCCAGUUUGGCAACUUUGUCCUAAAAUUUGAAAUUCUCUUUGAAUUCACUUUGACUGAUGAUUAGUGAAUAAACCAUGCGAAUUUUGCAACUAGCAAUACCAUAAGCCAACAGAAAAAACAACAAGGUAGCAAUUUAACAUGGCAAUUUCAAACUACAAAGAAAAGUACAAAUUGCGGCAGUGCUUAACUAUACUUUAGAUAAUUGAUGUAAUGUCAUAUAGGUAACAUGCAUGUAUCAUACAAAAGCAUAUACAUUCUUCCAAAAUCCCUAAGUCACAUAGUCAAAUCAGAAUGCUGCCAAACAUCCUUUUAUAAUCACUUGAGCGUGUUUCUGUUUCACAGAAUACAUGCUUAUAAAUUAAAAGUAUAUUUUUAUAAGUAAAUGUGGAAAAAUAAAAUUUCCAUGGAUAUAUUUUAUUCUUUGAGAUUCUGUUUUUUUCUUUUUCUUGUCUUUAAUGCCAUUUCAUUUGUCUUGGCACUUGACAUUUCUCCUUAGUGAUUUAAUAAUAUGGAUACAUUUUUGGACUGCUUGAAGCCACUGUUUGUAAACAGCUGCAUACAUGCUUUUCACAAAUGACAAGGCAAAGAAUUACACAUAUUGUUAAAAAAGCAAUCCUUCUGCUUCUUGAGAUUUGUAGGCAUAUUUGCAAAGUGUCAAAGAGCAUGCCGUGAAGAUGGAUUUUCGUAAGACUUUGGACAAGGUUUGAACAAAGAAAAACAAAGGCAGUAAUAUUUUGCUGUGUUUACUGUUAACGUUGGAUAGAAUUUCUAUUUCACUUUAAAUUAGAAGACUAAUCAAGAAAGUGCCUACUGUGUUUGUUCUGUGGUCAUAAUAUUUAUCAAGCCAUACUUUUCACUCUAUCAUUGUUUAGUCUAUUUAAUAUUUACAAACUAUUCCUGGGUGCUUUAAAUGGUUUAGAAAUAUUUCAAUCACACAACUGUUAUUUAAAAAUCUAAUUAAAAAAACACAUAAGCAAACUAGUAACAAUGACAUAUCAAAGUACACCAAAGUUUAGUAUUCUUUUUGUUUAAUUUUUUUCAAAUGAGGUUGAAAUAUUGAUACAGUGAACAGUCAGUACAUUAUGAUACGUUUCAUACAUUUAAAAAAAAAAAAAACCUUAAGAUUAUUAUAAACUUAUCUUAAGGCACAUAAACAUUAACAUUGGUUUAAAUCAGGCUAAUUUUACUUGUACUGGGAGCAGAAAAGAAUGUGUUAGUUAUGGAGGUCGUAUGAGCCGAGCUUAGAGACUGCUAGAGGGAUUGAUCGAUGCAAAGGAAAUUUGAAUAGAUAUAUUUUCAGGGCUCACAGUAAAAAUCAACAAAAACUCACUGAAACUCAAAAUAAGAACAGUUAAGCAGAGGGAAGCCAUUAAAAAGCCUUAUUCUUUUCAGGCCUGUGAACCCUUUUUUCUAGACAGGUCCUUAUUAGUAGAGGCGGGAUGUAAGAAUUAGCAGACAAAGGAAGAUGUAAGCAUGUAAAGUGGGAAAAAAAGGACUCACUCUUUACACAUAAAGCAUAUCAGCAAGUUAAAGUGCUUCAGGAGUCCCAAGUGUCCCUUUAAAGUUCAAUGAACCCCAUAAGAACGGAGGCAAUUGUGUAAGAUCUGAUCAAACAAAACCUGGAAUUUGAACUAUAUGUCUGUUCAACUAUAAUUCACCUCUUUCAUUUUUCAUAUUAAGUGCACCUACAAAUAUUAUAAAUCAUUUUAUUCAGGAGAAAUAGGGCUUUUAUUAGAAACAUAGAAUGUGACAGUGUCACAUAUUCAUCGCACAAAAAAAUGUGGCUAAUGGCACUUACUGUCCUGACAGGAAAAGUUGUUCCAAGCAACAUUACUGAUCUGACAGGAAAAGUUGUGCCGAGCAACAUUCCUGUCCUGACAGGAAAAGUUGUGCCGAGCAGCAAUCAAAUCCACAGGAGGGUUUGUGCUGAGUAGCAAUCAUGCAAAUGGAAACCUGGUAAUUUCCUUUGGGGUCUUCUGUGUUCCUCACCUUGGCAAGUAUUUUGACUAGUCUUGGAGACAUUAAGUCGGUUAUACGUUAUCCUUAGUCCUAGGUGUGACACAGUAUUGCGUGCUGGAUCAACUUGUAAUCCUGACAGAUGGCAGAUAAGAACCAUUCGGCCCAUCUAGGCUGCCCAAUUUUUGAAAUACUUUUAAUUAGUCCCUGGCCUUAUCUUAAGUCUAGAAUAGCCUUAUGCCUAUCCCAUGCAUGCUUAAACUCCUUCACUGUGUAAACCUCUUCCACUUUAGCUGGUAGGCUAUUCCGUGCAUCCACUACCCUCUCAGUAAAAUAAUACUUCCUGAUAUUAUCUUUAAACCUUUGCCCCUCUAAUUUAAGACUAUAUCCUCUUAUUGUGGUAGUAUUUCUUCUUUUAAAUAUUGUCUCCUCCUUUACUGUGUUGAUUCCCUUUAUGUGUUUAAAUGCUUCUAUCAUAUCCCCCCUGUCUCGUCUUUCCUCCAAGCUAUACAUGUUCAGAUCCUUUGACCUUUCCUGGUAAGUUUAUCCUGAAAUCCAUGAAUCAGUUUAGUUGCCCUUCUCUUUCUUAAGUAUCAAUAUCCUUUUGAAGAUACGGUCUCCAGUACUGCGUACAAUACUCCAAAUGAGGUAUCACAAGUGUUCUGUACCAUGGCAUGAACACUUAUUUCUACUGCUAAUGCUUCUCUCUAUACAACCAAGCAUUCUGCUAGCAUUUCCUGCUGCUCUAUUACAUUGUCUUCCAACCUUUAAAUCAUCUGAAAUAAUUCCUUCCAAAUUCCUUUCCUCAGAUGUUGAUGUUAGUAGGGUAUCAAAUAUUCUUUACUAUACCCUUGUGGUUUUACAUCCAAGAUGCAUUAUCUUGCACUUAUCCACACUAAAUGUCAGUUGUCACAUCUCUUACCAUUUUUCUAAUUUAUCUAAAUCAUUUGCCAUUUGGCUUAUCCCUCUUGGAACAUCAACCCUGUUACAUAUCUUAGUAUCAUCAGCAAAAAGACAUUUAAGACCUUCUGCAAUAUCAUUAAUAAAAAUAUUAAAGAGAAUGGGUCCAUGUACAGAUCCCUGAGGUACCCCACUGGUACCUAGACCUUGCUUUGAAUAUACUCCAUUGACUACAACCCUCUGUUGCCUGUCAUUUAGCCACUGCCUAACCCAUACAACAAUAUUGGAAUCCAAACUUAAAGAUUGCAGUUUAUUGAUGAGCCUUAUAUAUGCAACAGUGUCAAAAGCCUUAUUUGAAUCUAAGUAAGCAAUGUCUACGGCUCCACCCGGAUCUAUUAUUCUAGUUACCCAAUCAAAAAAAUCAAUAAGAUUAGUUUGGCAUGAUCUCCCUGAAGUAAACCAAUGUUGUCUCUGAUCUUGAAAUCUAUGUGAUUUUAGAUGUUCAACAAUACUAUCCUUUAACAUGGUUUCCAUUACUUUCCCCACUACUGAAGUAAGGCUUACUGGCCUAUAGCUGGACUCCUCCCGACUACCUUUCUUGUGAAUGGAUACAACAUUCAUUAAUUUCCAAUCUUCUGGGACUACUCCUGUUAACAAUGAUUGGUUAAAUAAAUCAGUUUAAGGUUAUGCUAGUACACCACUAAGUUAUUUUAAUAACUUUGGGUGUAUCACAUCAGGCCCCAUCAACUUAUUUGUCUUUACUUUUGACAGUCGAAAUAGAACCUCUUCCUUUGCAAACGCACAUGUAACACAUGACCCAUUUGCCUUUUUUCUUAACUGAAGUCCAUCUCCUUCAUUUUCAUCUGUAAAUACUGAACAAAAAUAUUUAUUGAGGCAGUCAGCUAGACCUUUAUCCUCUUCUAGAUACCUUCCUUCUUUUUUUUUUUUGUCUAACAUCCUUGUUUUAGUUUCCUUUUCUCAUUUCUGUAUCUGAAAAAUGUUUUAUCCCCUUUUUUUACUGACUGUGCUAUUCUAUCUUCUGUGUGUGCUUUGGAAGCUCUUAUAACUUGCUUAGCCUCUUUCUGCCUAAUCUUAUAAAUCUGUCUGUCAUCCUCACUCACACUUCCUCACACUUUUUUUUAUAAUUACUAAAUUCUAACCUUUAGUUUUUUACUAUUUUGGCCACUUCUGCAGAGUACCACAAUGGUUUCUUAAUUUUUCUGCUCUUCUUGACAAUCCUAAUGGAAUUUUCUGUUGCUUUCAGCAGUGCAUCUUUUAAAUAAUCCCAUUUUUCCUGGACUCCAUUUAAACUGCUCCAGUCUGACAAGGACUCCUUUACACAUAUUCUCAUUUUAGAAAAGUCUGUUUUUCUAAAAUCUAAAACUUUUGUUUUUGUGUUCCUAUAUUAAACCACACUGACUGAUGAUCACUGGAUCCUACACUUUCACCUACAGUAAUAUCUGAUACUAAGUUUCCAUUCGUUAACACUAAAUCUAGUAUGGACUCCUUACGAGUUGGUUUCUCAAUGACUUGUUUUAGAGAUACUCCCAGUAGAGAGUUUAGAAUAUGUGUGCUCCUGGCACAAGCAGUUGCUUUGGUUUCCCAGUUCACAUCCAGAAGAUUAAAUUUACCCAUGAUAAUAACUGCGCCCUUCAUUGUCAUUUUAGCUAUUUUCUCAACUAGUAGAUUAUCUAACUCUUCUAUUUGUCCAGGGGGUCUGUAAAUCACACCUACAUGUGUUACUGUGGGAUUUCUAAAUUCUAACGUAACCCAAACUGACUCUAUGUUCACUUCAUAACUUUUGUUAGGCUAGAUUUUAUGCUAUCCUUUACAUACUUGGCCACACCUCACCCUUUUUUGCCUUCUUUGUCUUUUCUGUGUAAGGAGUACCCCAGUCAUUUUUCUCAUUAUACCAUGUCUCAGUAACAGCCACUAAAUCUACAUUCUCAGUCGCCAUUAUUACCUCAAGUUCAUGGAUCUUAUUCCCUAAAUUGCGAGCAUUUGUCAACAUGACUCAUUUUUUUAACACACUCAUUACAGUUACUUUGGCCUGAUGUUUUAUUACCCUUUGUCCCCCCUUCCUAGUUCAAAUAGUUCCUAGCAAAACCUCUGAACUGCUCGCUGAGAACAUUUGUUCGCUUUUGAGAAAAAUGCAAAUCAUCUUUUUUGUACAGUUCAUUUCUAUUCCAAAUAGAGCUACCAUGAGUGUCAGGGCUUACCUUGGUUGGGAGCUCGGUAUGCAGAGAUAUAUAUACGCUCACCCUUACAAAUAAACACAGACCAAGGUGACCAGAUAAGGAACCUGGCCUGUGAGUCUGUGCAUGGGGGCUGUGUAGGAUAUUGCUCCUAGUCGCAGUACAGGCAAGGACAGGAGAAUCGUUGAGGAUAAGCCAAAAGUCAGAGGGUGCCAGAAUUCAGGAUAAACAAGGGUAAGCUAAAAUCAGAGGAUGUCAGAGGUCAGGACACAUGAUAAGAAUAAGCCAAGGUCAGGAGCCGACUGGAGAACACUGGAUCAUGAACACAAAUACAGGAACCAGAGUCAAUGAACUGACACUGCCCUUAGUGAGAGGCAGUGUCUUAUACCUGGCUAAUUGGGCAUCAGCUUCAGGUGGGCUGAGAUUGAUAAUAGCAGCCCCAGGUAAAAUCCAGCCCCCUUGUGCUGCAGACAAGGCAGGAUAGGACAUCAGGCAGAAAAAUGAACUGAAUUGUGACUCAGAGAUAAGACAGCAGUAUUAAGGCAGCAAGAGUUCAAAUCCCCUUUUUGGCACCUUUGGAACUGCCAUGCCUGGCUGUCUGAAUGGCACGGUGCCAGUCGUGACAAUGAGAAACAAAGCCAAAUCAUUGUUUCCGGCACCAUUCACCAAGCCAGAAGUUAAAGUCCCUAAUACAUAUCUGCCUGUCAUUCUGAAUGUUAUGCACAGGCAGAACUUUAGAGAAUGACAGUGUGGACACAACCUGCCGUAUUUCAUUGGCAAGAACACAAAACACUUCCUUUACCUCAGAAACCUCACUACAAGCCGAAUAAUUUGUCCCAAGAUGGACAUCCAAUUCCCCUUCCUGCUUUGCUUGCUUAACAAUAUUACAAAUACGUCUCCUGUCUCUGUGAGCAGUAGCUCCAGGAAGACAUCUCACAAAGCCACUAUUGUUCAACUUAACUCUAAAGAUAGAAUCCUCCCCAACAACAACUGCUUUCUAUCAGGCAUCACCUUGUCCUUUUUUGUCAUUGGCUCCACUCUUGGUGGUUCCACAAACUCAGUGCCUGAGCCUUUCUCCGUAACACCACUACAAUCUGAAAAUGCAGAAAAUGAAUUAUGAAAAGACACGCACUGUGAAGUACUCCUUUUGUCCACAUCUCUAAGUCUACCAGAUUCUACAGUAAUCCAUCUGCCAUUCCUAGGACAUCUUUGCGGCAGUGGAUUUGCAACAGUCCCAGCCUGAGUUUGUUUAACAGAUAAUUUACAAAUCUCCGACUUCAAAAAUGCAAUCUCCUGCUGCAAUAUAGAAAACUGUCUACAGAUUAGACAACAUCCAAACCUCCAAUAAGUGGAACGUGAAACAAAUGCACAACAACUAUUACACUGAGCCAAGUCUGCCAUUUUAAUGAGAUGAGGAGUUUAAAUCAAACAAAUCUUACUUUUUGCUUCUUUUUUUUCCACCUACAGUGUACCUCAGACUACCUCCAGCUCCUGCCAAGCUAAUAUCUACAACCCUUAUAUACACUCCUAAAUGCACCACCCCCUAAGAAUGUAACACCUAAGUGAGCCUGUGCUUAUUUGCAAACAAUAGCAAACACCUAACUAAUUAAUUCAAAUGCAUUACCAAUUAUCAACAGGAAAUCAAACCUUGUUAAAUCUAAAACCUUUUCCUAGAUGAUUCUUACCUGUAAAAGUAAAAAGAAAAAUCUUAGACAGUUGAAGGAUCAAUAAAACUCUCCAGAAUAUUUCCAAAUAUACUUUGUAGCAGCACUUAGAAGCAGCUGCCAAGCUAUAUUGCACAUCAAAUAUAUACAUUAAACAAUUUAAUAUGAAUAUAAUCUAAGAAGAGUGAGAACUUACAUAAAGACUAAGGGUCAGGAGUGCAAAUGUGUAUUCCUCACCCUAAAGUGUUAAAAACACUAUUUAGAUAGCCAUCCCCCUUAAAUAAGUUUAAAGCUCACCUCUAUUCCAGUGAAGUAGAGUAGGGACGGAUAGAGUUUAACUGUGCAAUUACAGGAACAAACUAAUAUUCUAAGAUGUGUAUCCGGUGUCAUAGUUGUUGAAGACAUUUUUUUAUAGUUAUUCAUUUACACAGUUAAUCAUUUAUCCAGUUUAAACUAUGUUUUAAAUUUCAUGAGAUUUCAUCCGUAUGUAUAAAUUAUAUUCUCAUAUAAGUAUUUGCUGAUUUUUUUUUGUUGAUAAUCUGGUUACAAAGAAAAUUUGACUGGGCCCUAUAUAUAUAUAUAUAUAUGUAUAUAUAUAUAUAUAUAUAUAUAUAUAUACACAUACACAUUCAGGCACUAUAUACAAACAGUUUGAAAAUAUUGAGAAUUGAAACUCUUGAGUUUACUUUUAUAAUUAAGUUAUAUAUUAUAUAUUAUAGCUUCUCCUUUCUUCUCGAGCCACCACUUGCCCGCUUGAUCCAGUCCCGUCUCACCUUAUCAGAUCUCUCUUCUCUUGUGCCUUCCGUAACACACAUCUUCAACUGCUCUCUCUCUUCUGGUGUUGCCCCUACUGCCCUUAACCCCUUAAGGACACAUGACAUGUGUGACAUGUCAUGAUUCCCUUUUAUUCCAGAAGUUUGGUCCUUAAGGGGUUAAACAUGCUACUGUAGUACCCAUCUUAAAAAAAAAAAAAAUAUGUUGACUCCAAGACAGCGUGCUUGCAAGUAUGGACUUAUGUGGAUACCACUAACUUGAAGAUAGAGCAAAAGAGGAGGAUCAGUAUUAGGAGGAUGAAAGACAAGUUCAGUUUUAGAGAGAUUGAGUUUCAAAAAGCGGGAGGACAUCCAGUCAGAGAUGGAAGAAAGGCAAGCAGUGACACGUUGCAGGACGGCAGGGGAGUAGUCCGGGGAGGAGAGGUAUAUCUGAGUGUCAUCAGCGUACAGGUGGUAUUGGAAUCCAAAUGAGGUAAUAAGUUUGCCAAGAGAGGCAGUAUAAAGAGAAAAUAGAAGGGGACCAAGUACAGAGCCUUGGGGGACUCCAACAGAGACAGGACAAAGGGAGGAGGUAUCAAUCUAUUGUUCCUCUAAGAUUUUGUAAUUGUCUCAUUUAUUGUUAAAUCUUCCCCUUUGAUAAUAUUGUAAAGAGCUACAGAAUAUGUUGGUGCUAUAUAAAUACCAGUAAUAAUAAUAAUAAAUAAUAUCUGUGGUUAUUGAGUUAAAGCAGCACAUUACUCCUGGGCAGUGACUGUUAUGAAAUAAAAUCCAAUUGCAGGUACUGAAUUAAAAAGAACAAUUCCCUGAUGUCCCAAAUAAUGAAGUCCCACAUAUAUACCUUAUUAAAAAUCAUAUGUUAGUCAUUACUGAAAAACAAGCAAAUUCCUAAAUGCUAACAUAUUCAGGCAUAUGUUAACAUAAUUAAAUUCACCUUGGUUUCCUAUGGGUAAUGCACAAUGUACAAUUUAAAGGAUAUAGUUCUCAUUGUAUGUAAAGGGCACUUUAAUAAGUUCUGACAUUAUUUGUGCUAGUACAAGAUUCCUAAUGUAAAAUAAAUGUAUUUAUAUACAGUAACUCUAUAGAAAUCAAUGGAGACAUGUAUUUAUUGGGUAUUGUUUGUGUAAUAAUUUGCAUCAAUUUAUUUCAUUAACCGAGACAUAUGAAAUGAAACAAGACAGGUUCAUUUUGCGAAGUGACUAAGAAUUGAAAUUUUGAAACUGGAUAAAAGUAUUUUAAAGGUUAUCUUGAGAGAGCAGCAAUCAAAUGUAUUUAUUAAAGUUUAAUAUGCCAUUUAUUUCCUGGGGCUCUGUAAUCAGACCACUUUUCUAGAAUCUAUUUAUAGAUUAAAAGUAAAAGUUUAACAUUUUCCCUUGAUAUUAAAACUGAUCCAGGUUACUGAUUUAGAAAACAGUUUUAAAGUCUAUGGAAAAGGGAAAAAAAUAAAUAUAAUGUUGUUUGAUGCACUGUAUAGCUGAAUCUUGAAACAUCAUACCUUGGUAAAGUGCAAACGUGUACUCUUACAGAGCAGAAUGCAGGCCUAUGAGAUAGGUUGGAUUAUCUAUAGUCAUAUCAGCCCUGCAUCACUUUGUACAAUUUAUUUACUGAUCGUGCAGCUGAGAUUAAAGAAAGGGGACAGUUUGUUGAAAUAAAGAGAAAUGUCUAUGGUGUAAAGAGAAGCUGUCAAAUGCUGUAUUUACAAAUUGUGCUAAUAUUUAAAUUCUGAAAAUCUUUUAUUUAAUCAAACACAUGAUAUGCCUGUCUGCCCUGUACCAUCCAAAGCAUACCAUGCUGAUUGAUGUAACCAAUACUUUGUUGUAUGCAUGAGAAAAUGCAUGGGUAUGAUAGCAAUAUGGAAAGAAUGCAUUUAUCAGCAGAUGUUUAACAUCAUCAGAGUCCUACCAUACAGGGUCUGAAAUAUAAGCUUAGAGACAGAAAUGAUUUUGUCACAUACAGUGUGGCAAAAAGGAUAAAUAAGAGUAUUCAUACACCUUAUGAAUAACCGGAGUCUAGUAAGAGAUCUGUGGAUGUAGGGCUCCAAAAGAUCCAUCAGAAUGUUAGGACCAUGUCACGGUAUGUUCUUAUGCAGAUAUCAGUAAACUAAGGGCAUUACUGGCCUCUAUUACAACCUGCACAACAGCCCUUUAGUAUGCCUAGAGUCCUCCAAUCUUUCUACCAUCGCCAUGGCUGCAAGGAUGAAGCCAGGAGAAGAAUUAUCUUCUUCUACAUCAGACAUAGCAACUGGCCAAAGCUGUAACAGAGUAGGUAAAUUUCUCCUUCAAGUAAAGACUGAUGCUGGGAAAAAAAAUCACACUUUUGUAUAUUUCAAACGUGGAGAAAAAUGCCUCAAAUCUUUAUUUUUUUAUUUUAUUUUAUGAAGCAUAUGUUUCUGGUAUAAAUACUAUCCAUUCAAAGUGAAUAUAGGCAACCUGUCAAUAAUAAUAUUCAGCAUUCAAACCAAAAUCUACAAGAUUGUGGUAUUUUUUUAUUUUUUUUAACUAGAGGAAAUCUUUUUGCUCUUUCAUGCCAAUAAACUUUUCUUAAAGGGUUACUUAAAGUAAUGUGUUUAAAUAUAUAUAAUAUUUUUAUAAUGCUACAUCUCGUUAAUAUAUUUCUACCUUUGCUGCACUCAUCUAUACCUUUAAUCCAGAGACCACUGUUAUAAAUUCUGUGUGGUUACUGGAAUUCAAAGAUACAAUUAAACAUUUUCUGGUAAUAGAACAAAACAUCUGUAGAGCUUUGCUAUUUAAACUAUUUAGUGAACAGUUAAAAUAAAUUACUGCUCAUUUUGUGAUGAACAUUCAAAUAGCAUUUUGUUAGCUCUUAAAUUCUAUCUGGUCAAUUACUGUAAGUAAAUUCUUAUCUCGCUGUCAGGCUUAUUCACCUGUAUAUUUGCUAAUGUAUUGGCUAGUAUUUUAAUGUCUGCUCUUAUUAACAAGUAAAUUGAACGUGAUGGCUUUUAACAACAAUCUAUUACUGAAUAGCUUUCAAUUAAACAUUUCACAAUAACAUUUAGAUCCAUUCUGAUACUUAAUCUAAAUCCAGUUAAUAUCCCAUAUCAGCAGAUUAUUCAUUUUUCCUUUUUCUGUUGAACAUUUCACACAUUAGAAACACAAUUUUCUUACAUAGGUGCCAAGUACUGAAAAACUUUAAUUUUGUUCCCUGUGUUAUGGAAAAAGAAAGGCUAUGUAAGAAUGAGCAUUCGUUGUGGAUUAACCAUUAUCAGAGUGCAUGUCAAAUUAAUUCUUAGCCACAAAUAGAUAACUACAGCAAUGACGGCGAGCCUUAGCACUGCAGAUAUUUGCAAAGCACAUUUCCCACCAUGUCCAUGUAGACUAUAGACUGAGCAUCACAGAAAUGUAAGACACUAACAUAAGUAGUGCCAAGAGAACACAAAACCUGUAGUAGCAUGUACACAGACAAAAUAUUACUGUGUACACAACUGUAAGUAGAAAUGCAUGAUCACUUUUAAUGCACAUGCAAGAGCAAUGUCAGAAAUAUGUAGCCUUUGAAAAUGACAGAUUAAAAUGUGCUAAUUGGCUGACAUUAAAUCAUUUGGAUAUUCAUUAAAGGUCACUAUAAUUGGACUUAAUACUGUGGUGUUCGUUAUUUCUCUUUGCAUGACGUUUUCUCUUUUACAAAAAAUAUCUAGAUUUCUACAAACAUAUACUGAAAGGAUUACAUAAUAAUAGGUGUCUCUGCUAUUAAAUAUUGUAUAAUAAACACAUUUACGUGAUAUGUAAGGUUUUUGACCCUAGUCUAAUGUAUCAGAUGAAUUGGUGUUUACCCAGAAAUCAUCAAUAAGAAAUUUUAGAGUUUCUGCUGAAUCAGUAACCUCAAUCAGUAACCUAUUGCUUUCAAAAUAUUUCCACAAAUCUACAGAAAAUAUCUUUCUAGUUUCAGAUAUAUCAUAUCAACAUACAGAAAACAUUAUACAUGUUUGCCAGUGACCCUUAAGAUUAGUAGAAGAUCAUUCACUCUGUUCAAAAGUAUGUUUAGAUCAUUUGGAUGACAUUUCUUUCUAGCUCCCACUUCUCUUUCCCAGUGGCAUUAAAAUCUGCCUUGUAUUCAGUCAUUUGUGUUUUAUUUUUCGCGAUAUGAAAACCAUAGAGAAAAUGGAACUGACAAAAGCAAGAUCAAAGCCCUAUCUGAGUGCUUAGAACUUUAGCAGACUACUCUCAAGUUCCGCAGGUACUGAACAGCAAGUCAAGUUUCUCAGUAAAAGGAACUGAUCAUUAAAAAAGAACUGUCACCUCUAAGAUAAGAAUUUUUGAAUUUGAGCAUUAUCACAUAAAAAUUCUUACUAUUUGUAUUUUUGUAUUAUAUGUCUAAGUCUGUUACAAAGUUCAGUUUAGUAAAACUAUGCUGGUGUUAUGUAAAUUAAAUGUUCCAUGAUUUCUAUCUCAAAUUCAUUUAACUGAACAAUCUCACAAAAUUACUGAAGAAAAUGCCAACUUAUAUCUUAAAUACAAUAUAGACUAAUCUUGGAAAUAGAUUCAUCUACAUUGUCCAGAAUUCCUAUAUUGGUCUUGUACAAAUUCAAGCAGAGUAUAAAGCAGAGGUCGAAGAAACAAGAAUAGAUCCACACCAAUGUCAUAAAUAUUGCAACCACCACCCCUACUUUACUUAGCAGAACCACCUGAAUAUUAAGUAUAAGGUUGCAUUUGAUUAAGGACUACCUGAUGGAAAUAAAUCUCUCAAAAGUGAGGAAUGGGAGACAAACAUCAUGAUGAUCAAACUUGCUGCAGGGUAUGAAACAUGUUGUUUGGACUCUAAUUUUCAUUUUAGAAAGAAUUUCAAGAUAUACAUCUGUUGAUAUACAAUACAAUACGAUCAAAGAAUUGGAUUAAUUACCAGGACCAAGAAAUACAAUUAAAGUAAAAGAGGAUUUCAACUUUAUACCUUUUUUACAUACAUCAUAACUUGCUUCAAAUUAAAAUGAACAAGUUACACCACCACAUUCAAGCUGUUACUUUUCACCAUCUCAAUACUCACCUGAUAAUCCUCAGAGUUCCUGUAGUGAAGCUACAUAGUAAAAUGCCUAGAAUUGAAUAUGGGUCUCAGGCUGUAAUGCUAAGCUGUAGUGUAGUCGGCUUUAUUAACUCUACUUUAAAUAUUUGACAAAUUCAUGUGCAUGUACAUCAUCAUUAGAUGAAUACCUAACAAGUAUAUAUACACUCAGUGUUAUUGGAAAUUAUUGAGUGCAAACAUGCAUGAUUAGAUUGGUAUGCACAGAUUUCAGAACCAGUAUCUGAAAGAGUUGUAGAGGAAAAUGCCUUUGAUACUUAAGUCUGAUGCACACCUCGUGCUUGUAAUAGUUUCAAUAAUGUUUUCUCAUGUGAGUGAAAACAGAACUACUACCAACCAAACAGUGAUUGUUCCUCUUUAAGUGCUUCUUAUUUUAAUACUAUUAAUAUUAGCAUAUUAUACAGUGCUCUACAAUUUUAGAUGCUUAUUUCCAUGGAAGAAAAUGUCAGAAUGCCCAAAAGAAGGGUUAACUUAACUUAUUGUUCCUUGCUCAGUGAUGUCAUGAUUCUGUGUUUAAUUGACUCAUGUUAAUUUAUUUUAACAUAGCUCCUCUCUUGUCUCAUGGCUUGAUUGUCUCCCUGGUUUGCUUUGCUGCGUGUUACUUGUUGCUUUAUAGCCUCAGUUCCUGUGGCCCUAAAAAACCUUCACUUUGUGUUCCUAAUUACUCUCACAGGUUCCCUGAUGCCUUCCUCGCUUCAGACCUCGGCCCUCACUAUCCUAUAAUCUUUUCAGAUUACCUCUGUGCCUUGUUUCAACUCAAGUAUCAGACCACAGUGAUUGAAUAUAAUUGACCACUACCUUGGAUCAUUCAUUUAACAAUUGCCAUAUUGCUUUAGACUUUUUUUUUUCCAAGUGCUCAGUUUGCAGGAAACUCCAUUGUUGCUUUAUUGUCACAACCACUCACUCCAAACACUCUAUUUCACUCACAUAUUUUGCCUCAAUAACUCCUCCAUGUUAAACCUCUUAAUUGCCGUGCAUUUUCUCUUUCUGCUAAACACUGUUGUUACCAACUCUCUGCUGCCUCUAAUAUUCCCUAGGCCAAAUAAGCAUCUCAUAAUUACUUCUUAAUUAAACUUCCACGCUUUUCAAGCAUGUCCACAUGUAGUCACCAAUCUAAGUCUUUACAAUUUAGGUCUCCAGACUUUCUCAACUAAACAGCUGUUAUUUAGCCAUUUUCAACCUAAAUAAGGAUAUUAUACCUCACUGUAUCAUCUAAUAUGUUACAUAGUAGCAUAGGCUAAAAAGAAACAUGCGCCCAUCAAGUUCAGCCUUUCUCACAUAUGUUUAUGCUGUUGAUCCAAAAGAAGGCAAAAAACCCCCAAUGUGAAGUGCUUUCCAAUUUUGCAACAACUUUUGAAAAAAUCCUAGAAUAGCAGUUAGAUGUGUCUUUGAAUAAAGAUGCUGUUACAUAGAAACAUAGAAUGUGAUAGCAGAUAAGAACCAUUCAGCCUGUCUAGUUUACCCAAUUUUCUAAAUACUUUCAUUAGUCGUUGGCCUUCUCUUAAAUCUAGGAUAGCCUUAUGCCUAUCCCACGCAUGCUCAAACUCCUUCACUGUGUUAACCUCUACAACUUCAGCUGGAAGGCUAUUCCAUGCAUCCACUACCCUCUCAGUAAAGUAAUACUUCCUGAUAUUAUUUUUAAACCUUUGCCCCUCUAAUUUAAGACUAUGUCCUCUUGUUGUGGUAGCUUUUCUUCUUUUAAAUAUAGUCUCCCCCUUUACUGUCUUGAUUCCCUUAAUGUAUUUAAAUGUUUCUAUAAUAUCCCCUGUCUUGUCUUUCUUUCAAGCUAAACAUGUUAAGAUCCUCUAACCUUUCCUUGAAAGUUUUAUCCUGUAAUCCGUGAACCAGUUUAGUAGCCUUUCUCUGAACUCUCUCCAAAGUAUCAAUAUCCUUCUUGACAUAUGGUCUCCAGUACUGUGUACAAUACUCCAAGUGAGGUCUCACCAGUGUUCUGUACAAUGGCAUGAGCACUUCCCUCUUUCUACUGCUAAUACCUCUCCCUAUACAACCAAGCAUUCUGCUAGCAUUUCCUGCUGCUCUAUUACAUUGUCUGCCUACCUUUAAGUCAUCAGAAAUAAUCACCCCUAAAUCCCUUUCCUCAGAUGUUGAGGUUAGGACUCUAUCAAAUAUUCUGUACUCUGCCCUUUGGUUUUUAUGUCCAAGAUGCAUUAUCUUGCACUUAUCCACAUUAAAUGUCAGCUGCCACAGUUCUGAGCAUUUUUCAAGUCUACCUAAAUAAUUUGCCAUUUAGCCUAUCAAUCCUGUUACAUAUCUUAGUAUCAUCAACAAAAAUACAUACCUUACCAUCAAGACUUUCUGCAAUAUCACUUAUAAAAAUAUUAAUACUUGGGUCCAAGUACAGAUCCAUGAGGUACCCCACUGGUAACAAGACCGUGCUUCGAAUAUACUCCAUUGACUACAACCCUGUGUUGCCUGUAACUCAGCCACUGCCUUACCCAUUCAACAAUAUUGGAAUCCAAACUUAAAGAAUGCAGUUUAUUGAUACGCCUUCUAUGUGCAACAGUGUCAAAAGCCUUACUGAAAUCUAGGUAAGCAAUGUCUACUGCACCACCCUGAUCUAUUAUUUUAGUUACCCAAUCAAAAAAAUCAAUAAUAUUAGUUUGACAUGAUCUCCCUGAAGUAAACCCAUGUCUCUGAUCUUGAAAUCCAUGUGAUUUUAGAUGUUCAACAGUCCUAUCCUUUUACAUGGUUUCCAUUACUUUCCCAACUACUGAAAUAAAAAUUAUAUUUCUGAAUAUUGUUUUAGCAAGUAUUCAUCCAGAUGCUGUUUAAACAUCUGUACAGACUCUGAUAAACCACCUCUUUAAGCAGAUAAUUCUACAUCCUUAUUGUUCUUACUAUAAAAAAUCAAUUUUCUUUGCCUGACACAAAAUCCCCUUUCUUCCAGUCUAAACGCAUGUCCUUGUGUUCUAUGUAAAGUCCUGUGUAUGAAUAGAUUUCAAGACAAUGGUUUGUAUUGGUCUCAAAUAUAUGUGUAUAAUGCUAUCAUAUGCCCCAUUUUUAUAAACUAAAAAGAUGUAAAUGUGUUAACCUUUCUUCAUAACUAAAAUGUUCAAUUCUUUUUAUUAAUUUUAUAUUUCCCCCUUUGAACUUUAUUUAGUUCCUUAAUAUCCUUCUUUAGAACAGGUGCCCAAAAUUGCCCCGCAUAUUCCAUUGAUUUAUAAAGAGGAAAAAUUAUAUUUUCAUACUGAGAAUUAACGCCCCUUUUUACACAUGACAAUACCUUACUGGCUUUAACAACUGCUGAUUGUCAUUGCACAUUGUUACCUAGUCUGUUGUCUAUAACAAUUCCCACAUCCUUCUUGUAUGUUGUUAUCCCUAAUUCACUACCAUUUAGGAUGUAAGCUGCUUGCGGAUUUGUUACCCUGAAGUGCAUAACUUUGCAUUUAUCUACAUUAAAUUUCAUCUGCCAUUUGAGUGCCCAGUCCCAAUCUCUUUAUAUCGCUCUGCAACAGGGUAAUGUCCUGCUCACACUGUAUUACUUUACGGAGGUUUGUGUCAUCUGCAUGACUCUUGAUGUCUAUUUCAAGAUGAUUUAUAAAUAUAUUGAAUAUAAGCAGUCCCAGGACAGAAUCCUUAGAGACACUACUUACUACAUUUGUCCAGCUUGAAAAUCUACCAUUAAUGACAACUCUUUGUACUUUAUCUUUAAGCCAAUGUUAUACAGUGAAUAAAAGCAAGAGGAUAUUCAGCGCUUGUCCAGUACUGGUACAGUCCAAAGGACAGCUAGGUCACCAAAUCCAGGGUUUCUCUUGUUCUUUUUACCCUAUUUUUUUUUAUCAUUUAUUGUUUUUAUGAAUAAAAGUACUUUUUUUAUGGGACCUGUUUACUGCUGGAUUCCUGUACUCCAUAUCCUUGGUGGGGAUAAUACCACCUAAGCCUGUUUGAAAGAGCAAUCCUUUUUUGCUGUAUCAAAUGUCAGUAGUUUUUAUCGAUUUCAUUUUAUCACUUUUUACAGUCUACACUCUUUUGUUUUUUUUCUCUAUUACUUAAAUAAUAAGAGAGCGGCCACUAGCACCUCUAUCCUAGAGUGGGGAUCAUACCAAUUCACGCCAUACCUGUGAAACCACUCUAUAGGCUCCAGAACACGUGAGUGCACAUAAUUUAUAGCAAUAUAUUUUAUUAUUGAGUCUGGCAUAUUGCACUAUGUAUCUCUGAUUUCUCCUACAUAUCUGCAAGAGAAGCUGCAUCCACAAGAACCACUUAUAAAGUUUGUACUCCACCAUAUUCUCAGGUGGGGAUUAUUCCGCCCAAGUGUGAGUAUAAAAAGUGUGAGUGCAUAUCAUUUUAUUUACCCUCACCUUACUGUAUUUUUUGCGUACUUCACUAUCAGUUUCCUAUUUCUCCUCCUUUUUAUGGUUAUGUGUACUCACACUCCAAGGACAUUCCAGGCGCUGUACCUCCCUCAAUGUUCUACAAUGUUAGACAAACAUUUUCAUCUAGACCAAUGUAUUUUAGUUUAAACACUAACCAUUUAUGUGAAACCAUAUGAAAUGCUCUGGCAAAAUCCAAAUAGAUCACAUCCACUGCAACACCCUGACCAAUACUUCUACUUACUUAUUUGUAGAAUGCAAUUAAGUUAUCUUAACAUUAAAGAAUGCUGAUUUUUGCUCAUAUCACUGUUAAUAUUUUUAAGGUUAUCACAUAUAUUUUGUAAAUAUCUGCCAUAUAUUGUUUUGUUCAAUUCUCAUCUGUUUAUAAUUAAGUUAAUUACAUUUUGUAUGCACUCAAGUUUCACAAUCCAUGCCAUGAGUGAGAAAAUAUAUUAAUUGAAUUUACUGUUAAACCAUUGUCUCCUCUAAUUAUUACACAAUAUUACACCAUCCCUACCAGGAAUUGUGACAGUGUCAAAGAGUUUAUGAAUUCCCAGAUCAAGUGUUACAUACUGGCCGUCAAAAUCUCUUGGAUCCAGUGAAUAGUUUGAAGCAUCCCAACCUGGGUAUUGGCAAAUUAUUCCAACCUGGGUAUUGGCAAAUAACCAAUUUGUACACUGGUUAGUGGAAAAUAGAAGGUCAAGUGUUUGUCUAUCUCUUUUUAUUAACACUCCAGUUUACCAACAAACCUUUUAUUACUUUAGUGGCAGCUUCUUCUGUUCUUUUGAAGGUAUAUUACUAAUUAAUAGACAGGCAUAUAAAUUCAUUAAUUCACUUGCUGUAACAGUAAAUUACUGAUUGACUGUUACCAAGACUUUUAGCAGCAUGUAGUUAAAUGUUGCUGCAGGAAAUCUGAAAGCAGGAAUUUACUUAAUUUUCAAAAAGUAACAAUUAAAACUAGCAUUCUAAUCUCAAAACUUGCAUAUGAUAUAGUAUCUGACAUGAGACAGAUAAUAAUCAGAAAAUAAUUGUAUUCAAUAAAUGUGUAGUUCUGCAGGAAACCUUUGAUUUGAUACUUACUAUACAAUUACAUAUUUUUACUUUUAGAAUUAGUUUAUUUUUCACUUUAUGUAAUAAAAUAUAUACUUAAAUUGUGUAUGAUUGGUUUGUGGACAUGCUUCACUUCUGCCUAGGUGUUAAAUUCUUUAUUAAAUGUGUGGCUUUUUCUUCAAUCUUUUCUCAGCAUGUGUGAGCUCUAAUUUACUCUCCAUCUGCUUCCUAUAUUCAUAACUUUUAUAUGUCAUACUAGGUGUUAUAUUCCAAUGCGUUUUCCUUUAUUUAAUAUGCCAGGAUUUUUUAAAUUGUGUAAUAUUCAGCAAUCUUAUUUUACUUUUACAUUUCUGAAAAUAUUAACAUAGAGGUAAUAAGCACCAAAUCUCACUAGGACCCCAUUCUUUAAAGGUCUACAAGAGCACACUAGCUUAAGCAAGAAGCACUAUUAUAAAUAAUGGAGUUUGUAGCAAAAUUCAUGGAUCCUGCACCGAGUCACACUUAUGAGUUACCAUUUGACAUACAUGAUGUAUUAAGAGUCACUCAUUUCUUUGUGUCAUGGAAUAUUUGUCAGAUGUGUGAUUGGAAUUGUUUUGUAGUAAUUCCAUAUAUUUUUUGUGCAUAAAACCAGGGCCGGAUUAACAAAGGGGCUGAUGAAGCUGCAGCUCCAGGCCCAUGCCCAUGGAAUAGGCCCAUUGAUUUAAAAAAAAAAAUUAUAAUUUUUUUUUUUUUACUUCUCUUCACAUGCUCUUGCUUAAGUAUGGAAACGUAAGAGGGAUGCUGGGAAACAAAACUGGUGUGGACUGGCUGACAUUGAAAUUAGUUAAGUUUAAGCUGACUUUGCGCACUAUGUGAAUGCUCUUGCUUCUUCAGUCCCUCUAUCACUGAGACAUGUUCCCUUUCUUCUACACUCACUACAUACACUAUUUCUCUGUCCUAGACUGUAUAACAGUAGCUUCUGCCUUCUAGUAAGAAAGUUAGGAGAAGAGUGGACCAGUGAGUGCUAGGGGACAGUCCUUAUCAAACAUAGAGCUAGCACAUCAUUAGACACAUUUAGGCCAAGCUCAGGGUGCUGUCUGCAUAGUAUGCCCUUGUUUGGUCAUCCUGCAUGAUUGGCAGGCAGCCUGACAUGCAUUUACGCCAGACUGACCAACUAAUUUUUCGUGCAGACACAUCCCCUUUUUGGGCAUGUUUGCUCCUAUAGGCGGUUCUAAUUAUGUGAUUCGCAUCAGUGGCCCACCCUUUUACCCCACCCACCGAAAUCCUGCUUCACAUGACACUGCUGUUAGGGGGUAUGGAUUUACUUGAACGACGAAAGCGAGAGAUUAGCAUAGAGUAUAACUGUUUUAGUGUUUUCUGUCGAGGGAGGUUUAACUGUUUUAGUGUUUUCUGUAAUUAGGCCAAUCAUUGUCAGCACCAGUCCCAAUGGGCUGUUAAUUCAUCCCUGCAUAAAAUAAGUCUGGAUGCCUUUCACAAACUUUACUCGAUAACAAAUAUCAUGCCAAAUGUGACUAAAGAUCACUGUUCAGAUCUAUAGGAAAUGUUUACGUUCGUGUUUUGGAGAAUUUCUAAUACAUUAGUACCCAGCAAGUGUGCCAUAUCUUCUUACACAUUAUAGCGACAUGUUUACUGCCCUGUACACUAUGCAGCCUAUCCAAUGACUGCAGGAGUCAAUUGUGCCCAGCAAGUGUGCCAGUAGCCAAAAGUGACCAGCAUAUAGUCAAGGGAUAAAGAAAGUACACCCUUAUUGAAUUAUAUGGUUUUACAUAUCAGGACAUAAUAACAAUCAUCUUUUCCUUAGCAUGUCUUACAAUUAGGUAAAUACAACCUCAGAUGAACAGCAACAUGUGAUAUGUUACACAGUGUCAUGAUUUAUUUUUACAAAAAGCCAAAAUGGAAAAGCCAUGUGUGAAAAAGUACACUCUUACUGCUUCCAUAGUAUUUAAGAGGUUAAGUAGCAGGUGCUGCUAAUCAAAUGACCUUUAUUAAUUGAUCAUCAGCAAAUGUGACCAACUGUUUAAAAGCGGAAGUUUUAGCAGUUUGCUGGUCUCAAGCAGUCAGGUGUGUGUUAACACAAUGCCAAGGAGGAAAGACGUCAGCAACAAACUUAGAGAAGCUGUUGUUGCUGCCUAUCAAACUGGGAAGGGUUAUAAGACCAUUUUUAAACAAUUCCAUCAAUCUAUAGUGAGAAAGAUUAUACAAAAGGGUAAAACAUUGAAGACAUAUUCCAAUCUUCCUAUGAGUGGAUGUCCCAGCAAAUUCACCCCAAGGUCAGACCAUGCUAUGCUCAGAGAAAUUGCAAAAAACUCAAGAGUUACAUUUCAUACUCCACUUAGCAUGUUAAAUGUUAAAGUUUAUGACUGUACAAUUAAAAUGUAGCCCUAAGAAACAAGUGCAGCUUAAUGGAUAAGGGCUUUGACAGAGCUAGGAUGUGGGCUGAAGUGGAAAGUGUGUUGUAAUAGGGCAGUUUAGCUAGUGGGCUGAUCCAGCAUAAAUAGGAAGCCAUUUUAGAAUCCCUCAUUCGGCUGAAUUUACUCAUUUGGCUGAAUUUGUCCCUCCCGCCCUCCCUAAGGCGUUUGUGGGUUCGCAAGGGUUUCUUUCCCGCUAUGUUACAGCAGCGGGGUUAGUGAGCUAAAGGUUAGGGGGUAAAACAGGCUCUUGGCUAAGUACAGGGUAGUUAUUCGGUUGGUUAGAAAGGGGUUAAUACUGUUUUAACCUCGUCGGUAGCUGAGAACCAGGUGGGGUAGGGGUAUCUGGGUAUAUCCCUACCAUGGAUACUGAAAUAAAAUGGCACUUUAUGUAUUAUGGUUAUGAUGUUUAUUGUUUGUUGCACUUUAUUUAUUAUGGUUAGGAUGUUGAUUGUUUGUUUAUUGCUUACAAAUAUGGGUCAUUGCCUUUUAUGACAGAGGGAUAUGGUAUGUUAUAGGGUGGAGUUUGGGGCAAUUACUUAAUUCAUUCAUGUUUUCAUGUUACGUUAUAAUAUAUAUAUUUCAUAAAAUUGUGAACUUAUUUGACCAAUAUAACAUCAAUGUUCAUAUUUUAUUUGGUAAGAUAAUAGAAUGGGUGUUUCAUUCCAUCAGCCCAUAUGGCGAUGAUGUACUUGUCAAAAGAUUAAACAAGUAUGGUUUGUUUGUCAGGGGAAAGCCUUUUUUUCUAAAAAGAACAUGGCAGCAUGGCUUAGGUUUGAAACAAAUCACGAUACCUCUGAAACAAUGUUUGGCAAAACAAGCUUUGGACAGACGAGACCAAAGUGGAGAUGCUUGGCCAUAAUGCACAGUCCCAUGUUUGGCAAAAAACAAAAUACAACAUAUCAACACAGACACCUCAUACCAAGUGGUGUCAAGCACAGUGGCGCAGGCUUGUUUUGCAGCCACAGGACCUGGGAAAUGUGCAGUCGUUGAGUUGACAAGAACUCCUCUGUAUAUCAAAGUAUUCUAGAGUCAAAUGUGAGGUCAUCUGUGUAAUGAUUAACCCAACACGCAGAGUGAAAACUCACCAGUAGAAAAAGAGACAAAAAGAAAGUCCCUUAGAGUCGGUCCUUAGAGUGGACAGAUAAAAGAGAAAACUACAAGAAACGUCAAAAACAACCAAGGUCAAGAGAAGCCAGAAAUACACAAUAACGAGGAACGAAGCUGAGUCAGGGAAACCAGAAAUAACCAGAAAUAAGAUUAGUCGAGAGCAAGCCGGGUCAAAACCAAAGAACUAUCACAAAGGAUACAAGAACUCACUAAAGGGACAUUAGUGACACAAGACACACUAGGAACCAGACUGGCAGACUGAAUUUUUAUAUGAUUAGGGGCCUCUCUCAGCAUGGGAACGGUGGUCCGCCCGAUCCCGGCGUCAGCAGAUCGGCGGACCGACAAGGUAAGUGAGAUAGGGCUGACAAUCUGUCCAACAGUUUAAGCUUGGUCAAAAUUGGGUCAUAAAACAGGACAAUGAUUUCAAGCACAUCAGCAAACAUACAUCAGAAUGGCUGAAAAAGAAAACUAUCAAGGUUUUGCAAUGGCCAGGCCAACAUACAGACCUCAACCCAAUUAAAAUGGGAGAGCUAUGCAUAAACGAAUGCCUGCAAAUCUCAAUAAACUGAAGCAACGUUGUAAAGAAGAGUGGGUCAAAAUUCUUCCACAGUGAUGUGAGAGACUGAUAAAGUAAGACAGAAAAAGAUUACUUCAAGUUAUUACUGCUUAAGGGGGAACUAUAACAUAUUGAAUCAUGUGUUGUUGUUUAUCUGAGGUUGUAUUUACAUAAUUUUAAAGCCUGCUAAUGAACAGAUGAUUGUUAUUAUGCCCUGAUAUGAAAAAAACAUAGAAUUUAAAGAGGGUGUACUUUCUUUUUACCAUGACUGUACACAGAAUAUACACUAUACAGUAGCAGGCAUGCCACACAAGGUAUUGCCAAUAAUCCUGAAAUGUAAGCAUUUGUGAAGCAAAGGUCUUUGACAAAAACAUAUGUUAAUUUUUCCACUGUUUGCACUCCACUGAACCGGUCCUAACCAAACUGAUUAAUUAUUUACUCAUAGCUAAAUCUAUAAUCUAUUUUAUUGCUUCUCACCCUCUCUGAAAAUGUUUGAUACCUUUGAGCACCUCCUUCCAACUCGUUACAACAAUGUUUAUCAUGCAACUGUCCUUUCCUGAUUAUUCCAAUGCUCCUUAUGUCAUUUUCUAGUAGUAACUCCUCCUCAAUACUCAUCUCAUUUGAUUGGUACUCUUAAUACUCUUUUCACUUACCCUACUAUCCCAAUGUAAAAUUGUAAAGCACUUGGGAAUGUGCUGGUGAUAUAAAAAUAAUGAUAUAUUUAAAUAAUAAUAAUAUGUUCCACCUGUCCCAUUUUCUUCUUGCUGGCAAAAAACAACUAGGCUGGGUUUUUUCUGGCCAUCACACUAAGUUUUUUCUAUACCAUUUACUUAAUCUAUCUGGUGCUGUAAAAUCAAGUUAACUAAAACAGCUGCAUUUGUCUUAUGAAUUAUUGACCAUUAUAGAACAGCUUUUCCAGAUGUUUAAUAUUCAUGAACAUGGUAAUAGUAGACCUGGCAUGAUACCUCCAUAUGAGAGAGCUGAAAGAUUCUAAGGAGUGAAUACAAAGCACAUUUGUUCUUUAUAUAGCAGACAUGACCAUACAUGAUUUUCGAUUGUUGAGAGCUGUUUGGAUCCUGUGAUAUGGGUUUAUGAUCAGUAACAGCAGUAAUGAUAUAUUCUAAGGACAUUGUAAUAAAGAUACGAGACUAGUCCAUGAACAUUUUUUAGAAACAUUGAUUUUUCAUCUAUUGGUCAUGUUCUUGACAGUAUGUGACGUUAAUCAAUUGAAUAAUAGCAACCAAGCCAUAUUUUCAUUAAUGUAUACUAGUCAUGUGAUUUCUUUUUCAUGGCUUUCAAGGUAGCAUUUGGGCACUUUAUGAAGAUUUAUCAUUCCGUGUCUUAGCAGCUUGUACAUACAUUCUGCCCAUUUAGACUCAAUUUUGCAGACAUUACUAUACAAUGCCUUAUCCACACUGAGUUUAUUAAAUGUUGGUGAAAGAAACUUGGCCUUAUGUUUUCCUCAUAACAGUGUGGCCUGAUUGCUUGGUAUGCAACAAAUAAUACUUUGAAACCAUCCCAGCAACCAUCCCUGCUUCAAGCUCUUAAAAGAAUUAGUACUUCAAAAAAGUGUAUCUAAGAAUACAUUUUAUUGAGUUUGUAUAGAUUACGGUCAUAUUUUUGUUUUAUUUUUGUUUUUUUAAUUUGUUCAUGUGAGCAUAUAAUUUCAUAACCAACUAGUUAGUUCUAAAAUGAUUCAGGCAUAUGACAUGCAUGCUAAUACAUUACUAUAGAAAAUAUGUAUGUGAAAUAUAUGACAUAAUAUGCUUUAGUAGUAGAUAAUAUUAUUUGGGUUUGUUAUAUUAUUGUUAUAAAGUAGCCAGCAGGAUGUAUAAUAGUUCCCCUCUCGUAUUAGCAUAUAAGAUUUAUUUAAUCAGAUUUAUGUAAGCCUAUAAAUGGACAAUGGAAAUAUUAACAUAAAACAUAUGUUUCUACAAUCGGCAGGACAAAACCGAUUGUUGGGUUACACAUCACAUCCUUGGUACACAUAGUCUGUUAUACUGGUACUCAUAAAAUUUUUAGUACAAAAAGGGUGUGAAAUCUGUUGUAAUAGGGGUAUUUUUCCUCUAGUUAUUUCAUUAAUAUUAAUUAAAAGAAGACGGGGUUAAGUUCCAUGUGAUCCCUAAGCAUCUGCUUGCAUAUGUGCUGGGGAUGUACUUGUAUUUUUAUGACUGCUUUACAGAGAAUCCUGAUAGAUUCCUAGGAUAUUUCAUAUUCAACUUUGUUACUAGGUUGGAUUGUUAAUACACUUACAAAGAUCUGUGUUCUGACAAAAAUUCAGUAAAAAAAAUGUAAAUGCAACUGUCAUUGCUAAAUAUUUUUAUAUCAUUAUUAUUUUAUUCUUAUUAUGCACUCAUUUACAAUCUGACCUUUAGUAGUAAAGAAUUUACAGUUAUACAGUAUUAGGGCUUUUUACUAAACUCAGGAUUUUUACAAAUUAUAUCUAUCUCAUUUACAGUCGCACCUUGACUUAUUUUGCCCCAGUUUUUCAAUUUAAAUUGAACUCUUGAAAUUUCAGUUUAAUCACUAAGCCUGCAUUUAUUUUUUCUCUCAACUGCAAGACGUGAUUAAAAAACUGCACACUUAGUAAACUUUUUUCCUUACGCCUGGUGUAAUACAAUUAAUUUUGCAAUUCUGUCUGUUUUUUUUAUUUUCCCUUCUCCCUUUUCCUCCCCAUCACCUCCCCUCUCUAUAACAGGAAGUAAACAAUACACACAACAAGUGUUGAGCUAAAAGUAAUGGUGUUAAUUCUUGCCUUGGUUUUUUAUCAUUUAACCAAAAAAAAAAAAAAAGGGCCAGCAAAAUGGAGACUUUUAACUCUGUUAUGAUAAUUGUUAAGUUAUAGCUUCCAUUUUAUUUAUCCAUGUGUCCUAGUCUUCUAUUUUAGUAUAUUAAUUUCCUAGGUUCACCAAUAUACCCCUUUCCAUUUUUGCCUGCCAUAUGACUUGUGUUAUUAAUUCUUGAAUGCAUGCGAUUUUCACUGUUUUCCAAUUUUGUUGUAAGAGUAGUUAAGCUGCAGUAAUGAUAUAUAAUGUUACUAUUAGUACUUUUUUUGUCAUUUUAGGCCAAUUCAGGUUUAACAGGAUCACUUCAGGCUUGAAGAGUCGUUUCAUUUCCGUUAUAUGAUAUAUUACAUUGAUUACAUCUUUCCAAAAUUUAUUUAUGGAUACGCAUUGCCACCAAAUGUGGAUCAAAUUACCUUCAUUGACAUUGCAUUUCCAACACCAAUCUGAUGACUCUGGAAAGAUUUUUUUUUUAAAAAUGUUUUGGUAUUAGGUACCAUCUGUUUGAAAGUUUGAAUUGUGUUUCCAUAAGGUUUAGGUAGUGUAUAUGUUUGUAUAGUUUAUUCAGAGAGCUUAUCCACUCGUCGUCUUCUAUAUGUACUUGUAGCUCUUUUUCCCAUUUGUUCAUCAGUCCUAUAGGUUUAUCAUGUCUUCAUCUAUAUAUGACUUUGACACAUUUUACCAGUAAGUUUUUAUAAUUCUUUAGUUCGAGAAGGUGUCUAAGAUUUGUUAUUUUCUCCCGCUUAUUUUUAAGAAGAUAUUCUGAAAUAAAACCUUUGAUUCACAGAUAAUUAAAAGUUUAUUUAGGGGGCAUAUUAAAUUCCUCCAUAAUUUGGUUGAAUUACUUAAUUUUAUGUUCCACUAAUAUGUUUUUAUAUUAUCUAACAUAUCUGAAAUGGUAGAAAAUGGAAGAGCAUCUAUUAUUCUAUUACUACGUCCUAUGUUAAUUGUGUCCCACCAGCUCGUUAAUUCUUUAAGUAUCUGUGAUUUACUUUGUGGGACUUUAAUACAUUUUUAAUUCAAGUCUAAGACCCAAAAUAGUGAGGAUAGAUUACCCACAGAUGUGGCGAAAGUAAUCUCGCCACUGGUUUUUGGAGGGGCCUGUUUGCCAGCCUCCUACCCUGUGACUAUGGCCGGUGUGUUAAACCCUGAUUAAAACCACUGUGUGUGCCUUUUUAGACUUAUAUGGCCACACUUCAAACUCUUGAAGCGGCACUUCGAACUCCCAAAGCAAUUUGAAGCGGCAUUUCGAAUUACCGAAAAACCGCAUGAACCAGAGACCACCCUGGAGCUUGUUAACACCUAUUAACUUGGAACGUUUCUCAUCACAGUGUUCUAAUUGUUUGUCUAGGUGGCCGCAAUUCCUAUGGACAACUACCAGGUGGCGGCCAUCUUGUUCGCAUUAACACAGCCAGUGGUGUUUGGGCAUGAGUCUCCUGGAAAUAAAAUCGGACACAGAAACUCCCGAACACCGACUUCCAUCACCUGCGUUCGAUUCUAUUCAACUUAGAAGGGCACUGUUUGGUGAGAUCAUUCGUCUGCAUGAGGGGAACAAGCUCCAGGGUAAGACUAUAUACUCUGUUUGGUAGUUUGUUCGUUUCCAAACUUCCGAACUAGACCGACCACAAGCCCUGAUUCUCUGGAACUGUUUUGGGCAUGGGACCAUGCCUACGGUCGGUCAAAUAAAUGACUUCCUUAGAAUUCCUGAACCCCUGAUCUGGGUGAUUUUUGGAUAUGUUGGUCACCCAGAUCAAAAAAAACCCUGCCAUACAGUAUCUCGAGUAAUGCAGAACAUUACUCGGAUAUGGGUACCACAUGUUGUGUGGGAGAAGCGUAGUGAGGGUAUGCGGUCUAUGGAGGGCCAACCUUAAGGCACUCCUGGAAAUAAAGAAAACAAAACAAAUGGAAAAGAGUAGGGACAAAAGAAGACCCCACUAAUCUAAACCACAUACACACCUUUCAGCUUGUUAUUGACUCAAUCAUUAUAAAAAUGUUUCCACUCACUAUUACUUUAUUUCCUCAUUGUGCAAAACUUAUAUUAUUACUAAUCUAACCUCUCUAUUGAAUAUUGUUUUUUCUUUUCAUUUUUUUCCCUCCUCUUUCUCUGUCCCCUUUCUGUUUCCCUUUUUUUUUUGGUUUUCCUUGUGUAGAUGUGUACCUUUCUGUGUCACUUUAUCUUCCUUUUGUUCUUAAUGUUUAUUUAGUUUGCAUUUUAUGUCAUCUCAUUCUUAAUUACUGUGAACCUUUAUAUGAGAAUAUUUAUACUUCACUUUGUGCAUUGCUUAACUUGUUACCUGUGUACUUAAUCAAUUUCCUAAUAUAUUAAUACUUUUUCCCUAUUCUUUGCUUGUAUUUCCCAUUAUCCCCUUGUGCUUUUAGACAAAAAAAAAGGGAAAAGGGCACUCAUGUAUAUGUAUAUAUGUAUAUAUAUAUAUAUAUAUGUUUGUUUAUCCAUGGUUAUUCUUAUUUCAUAUAUUCUUCUCUUUUGUCUUCUCUACUUAAGGGGUCAAGUGUUGCGAGUGCCAUUUAUUUUCCCCUUUUCUUCUUCUUUACUUCCUUUCUUUUAGAUAAUUAGAGCCUUGCUGUUUGUUGAUGGGUGAUUGGGGCUACUUCCAAUUUUGUUUGCGGUUAGCCAGCUUUUUAGAUCUCGGUCAGUGCUUGGUCAAUAGGAGUAAUCUUUCCUUCGUGUGAUAUAAUAAUUUUCAUGGGGAACCUCCAUCGAUAUUUAAUGUUAUUGUGUCUCAGAAUUUGGUACUAUCAGAAAAGGUUUUCCUCUUUUGUCUGGUUGGCCAUGACAACUCCUGAAAUAUUUUCAGUGUUUCGUAUUCUUCUGCACAUUUAUUACUUCUUGUAGCUUUCAGUAUUUGCGUCUUAAGUUUAAAAGAGGCACAGCAUAUCAGUACAUCUCCUGGAAGAUGGUCUGGGACACCUUUCGGUUUAUUCACUCUGUGGCAUCUCUCCAUCCUAGGAAUUCUGGCAUCCCAUUCCCCAUCUAGGUGUUUGAAAAAAAUCUUCUAUAUAUGGCUCCAGAUUUCUUUGCAAUUAUUUGUUCUGAUACUCCUCUUAUUCUUAAGUUGUUCUGUCUUGACCUGUCUUCCAGGUCUAUCAACUUGUUCUCCAUAUCAGCUAUUUUCUUUUCUAGUGCCAAGAUGUUCUUCUUUGUGGACUUUUUCCUUGUAUUCCAUUCCAUUUAUUUUCUCUUCUAUCCCUUGUAUUCGUAUAUUAAGAGUCAGUAGUUCUUUCUUAAAGGACCACUACGAGUAUGUUUUCCUGGCACUACAGGGUCUCUAGGUCCCCCCUACCCUCGUGGGCUCCCUCUGGCCGGGCUCUAGGGGGUGGAAGGGGUUAAUUCUUACCUUUUCUCCACCGCUAGGCUCCCUCCGCGGUGGAAAUCUCUGCCUCCUUUCCCUGUCAUCGGCUGAAUGCACAUGCGCGGCACGAGCCGCGUGCGCAUUCAGCCAGUCUCAUAGGAAAGCAUUUUCAAUGCAUUCCUAUGGACGCUGGUGUCUUCUCACUGUAAAAAUCACAGUGAGAAGCGUGGAAGUGCCUUUAGUGGCUGUCAAUGAGACAGCCACUAGAGGCUGGAUUAACCAAAAUAUCUUUGAUUUUGAUAUGAUAUUCCUUUUGUCCUUAACGUUUACUCCUGGACCUCUCUCCUCUUCACCUUCCCCCCGCCUUCUUGUCUCCACUUUUAUACCCAGUUAUAUUUCAUCUUUCUUAUUCUAUUUUAUUCUAUUUCACAUUCACUAAUUCCUGCUUUAAUGGAGUAGUGAAUUCAGUGUGAAAAAUAGGGAUGGAGUACAAGGGGGCUUAAAGGAACAGCAAGAGAGAAAAACGGAACAAAAUAAAUAAAUAAGUAAAUAAAAUGGGAAAAAAAUAAAAAAAACAAAAACCACAAGGAAAAUUGACCCAGCCCACUUAAGACUGCCAGGCAAUCAGCUCAGCACUGUGAGCAAAGUUGAAUGAACUUUAAAUCAUAUAUUGCCCAUUGAGUUUUGCUCUUUAUGUUAUCCUAUAUUUCCCCCCUCUUUCUCAAGAGUCUUUUAAUAUUCAACUGACCAAAAAUUGUAACCAUAUUAUUUGUACAAUCCCCUACAGACUAUACACAUAUAGUCACCUGAACAACUUAAGCUUAAUGAAGCAGACACUAUAGUCACCUGAACAACUUUAGCUUAUUGAAGCAGUUUUGGUGUAUAGAACAUGCCCCUGCAGCCUCACUGCUCAAUCCUCUGCCAUUUAGGAGUUAAAUCCCUUUGUUUAUGAACCUUAGUCACACCUCCCUGCAUGUGAGUUGCACAGCCUUCCAUAAACACUUCCUGUAAAGAGAGCCCUAUUUAGGCUUUCUUUAUUGCAAGUUCUGUUUAAUUAAGAUUUUCUUAUCCCCUGCUAUGUUAAUAGCUUGCUAGACCCUGCAAGAGCCUCCUGUAUGUGAUUAAACUUCAAUUUAGAGAUUGAGAUACAAUUAUAUAAGGUAAAUUACAUCUAUUUGAAUGUGAAACCAGUUAUUUUUUUCAUGCAGGCUCUGUCAAUCAUAGCCAGGGGAGGUGUGGCUAGGGCUGCAUAAACAGAAACAAAGUGAUUUAACUCCUGAAUGACAGUGAAUUGAGCAGUGAAAUUGCAGGGGAAUGAUCUAUAACUAAAACUGCUUUAUUUAGCUAAAGUAAUUUAGGUGACUAUAGUGUUCCUUUAAUAUUAUUAGAUACUUAGCUUUUUGAAAUAUACUCUGAAUCUGGUUUAUUGCAGCUUGCCGUUUCCUCCUUCUGGCUUUAUUCCUGGAGGAGCCAGCUCUAUUGCAUAGCUCUGUCUGGCAGCUUCCUUCUUCUCAGCCCGGCAUCGGGUCCUCUUUGGCCGUUAUGUGGGGAUCCCCAAAUAGCAUGACAUGUAGAUCGAGCCGUCCCCUCAACUCUUGGUCGGCUCCCUCAAUCGCCCCCUCAGCCGCGUUCCACGAGGUCACAUGCAUCGCACGUUACGUCAUUGCUCCACCCCUGUUCAAGCAGUGGCAUAAGCCCCAUCACUUAGUACACUAAUAAUAUUAUAAACUCAUCAAUAGAUAAAAACCAAAGAAAAGAAAAAGUUACCUGUGCUCUCUCCUUAAUUCCUAUGUAUAUUUAGACAAAUGGAGGUCAUUUAGUUGCUCCAAUGGCCAUUGGAGGGAAUGCCCGCCUACCAACGUCAAGGCAGAACCCCCCCAAGCGGGUCCUAACACUGACCCUUCAGCCUGCUUCCUUGAGCUUCUGGCAAAGAUAUCUCUAAUUAGACAGAGAGGGGUAUUUUUUAUAUACACCCCUAUAUACUUAUUAACCCUUAAUAGGGAACACGUGGGAUGGGUGGCAGCAUUGUAACAAGCCUGUGUGAUACGAAGUAAAUACAAAUACAAAAAGAGAAGUCCUGCGCUCACUCCCAUUGUUACUGGGCCGGCAGCAAUGAAUACAGUACACAUCAGCCCCAAUAUAUAGUAGAAACCAAAGAAAAGAAAAAAGGUUACCUGUGCUCUCUCCUUAAUCCCUAUGUAUAUUUAGACAAAUGGAGGUCAUUUAGUUGCUCCAAUGGCCAUCAAUAGAUAAGUAGAUAGAUAGUCAGACAGGCAGAUAGACAGACAGACAUAUAUAAUUUUUAGUCUCAGUAUUGCUCAUAAAAUAAACCAUAUAUAUCUAAGUAAGUGUAUCCACACUACAAAUUCACAAUUCUAAUUUGUGAGAUUUUGUACAAAAAUAAAUAUUAACAGGCAAAACUUUCCCUGUUACCAAAUUGCGUAGUUAAUCAUCUGCUGUGGCUUCCUUAUUGGCACUGGAAAUCAGUAAAGGUCCAGGGUGCUGCAUUGUGAAUACUCAUAGAUAAAAUAUCUCUAAUACCUAAAGUCUAUAAAUGUCUUGCAUUGCAAUUAACCUGAAGCAGGUGCAUGCCUGUAAUUACCAUUAAAUGUAUUCAUCUGCAGCUCACACACAUUGUGAUAUGGAACAAACUACAUGAUGCAUGUUAAUACCUUAAUUUGAUGAUUAGUAAAAUAAAUCAGUACUAAAUGCAGGCAACAUAUCUAUAAAUACAUAGAAACCUUGUGCAUUUUUAUAACUGAGCCAGAUGUUACAUUUUAUUUAGAGGGUCUUCCAAAUCCAAGAUGCACGUUGUCUUGCAUCCCACUGGGUUUCAGGUUAAUGUAGGAACCACACAGUAAAACAAGAGUUUUUAUGUAAUGGUGUAAACAGGUAACUCUCAUAGGAAUAAUACAAAGUCUAUAUGCCAGGUGUGAAAUCAAACUCCUGGGAAUACAGAAGAAAAUAUUAUCUAAAAUAGAAGUGAAAUUCAGUAAAACAUAUUAAAGAAUAACUGGCAUUUUUUUUUAUAUCCAUAAUAUUAUAUUUAUAUUAUGAGAUAUACAAUCUCUCAUUUCUUUAAUUCACGUAUAUUAACAUUUUUGAAGAAAUAACUUGACUGUUUUUCACACUCAACCCUUUCUGACAGCCGUCUAUGCACCCUGGGUCAGACCAUCAGUUAUCCCAGCCAAUGCUCACUAUUUUUAACGGUCCAUUGCUUUUCAGAAUUACUGACAGACAAUGCUGCAGGCAGAACGAACACAUGAUUUUAAAAAUCAACUGAUGGUCACAAAAUAAUGAGCAUUGGUUGGGAUAACUGACAGUCUGACCCAAGGUGACAAAAGAUGGCUGUCAGAUUGGGAUGCUAGGAAAGGUAUGGAUAUCUUAAAAAAAAUAAAAAAAAAAUAUAUAUAUAUACAUAAUUUAAAAAAAAUUGGUAAAAGAUAGUAUAUUUUCAUAUGAAGAUUAUAUUAAGCUAUUAAAAUAAUUAGAUGAGAGGUAAACAGUUACAGCAGGCUAUAGUGUUUAUGAUGCUUAGAGUUACCCUUAUAUCUUCACUACACUGUGCGUGUACUGAAAGUGGUAAUUUUGUCUUGUAGACCACUUUCUCAAGAUUUUCAUUUAUUUAUAAAAUGAUUGUUCAAUGGCAGUUAUGAAGUUGAUCUCUUUUCUCCACCUUCAAUAAGGCACAGAGUCAGCCAAGGCCCAUAGGUAAAAGAACUUGUUUAUUGAUCUUAAGGACAACUGCGAUCAACACAGGUUUCCACAACAGAAUAUCUUACCAGAGAGCAGUCCUAAAGGCAAUAUGUAUAUUACAUGAUUACCUGAAAUAACAAAAUGGAUACAUUUAAUUGGCUGUAUAUUUUUGCAACUUAGGCUAAAUUCAAAUGUCUUAACAUAAGAUACACCUUAAUAUUUAACGUAAUAGCAAUUAACGAUGGACAGAUCUGAUAAAAAAAAAAAAAUCUCCAUUCUCCAUUUUCUUUAAAAACACAUUUCAAACUCCCCUCUGCCUGUAACGUUCCACCUACAAUAAGGAUAGAAUAAAAGUAAGGUUUUUCUACGUGGCAAUCUAUCCGAAUAAAGCUAAAAGAAUUUUGUUCACAAGAUCAAAUGAAAAAUUAGCUUAGUAAUUAUAAACAAACAAAUGAUUGGAUUGUACCUUUGCUAUUAGGUAUUCUCAUUCUCCUGCAUUUUUUUUUUUACUUUGCCCUAUUAAAGUUAUUAAUUUACUCCAUCAAAUAAUAUUACAACCUUCGUUCUACUUAUAUUGAAAGAGAAGACUUUUUUUUUUAGACUCUUCUGCAUACUAAUGCUAUACAUAUGAUGAGUGGAAUCUGUACAUAUGUGCUUCAUUUUAAUGAUGGGUGUAUAUGUUUUAGUAUUGUAUAAAUUGGGACCUGUUUCGUUAGCAAAUGUCAUCAGUUUUAUAGCUGUUAUUAAUAAAAAAAAUCUAACAAUGUUCUGCCAACUCAAGGUAAUUGUGGGUAAAGAGAGUCACACUUAUAGCAUCUAUAUUGCAAGCUUGCAUCUCUAAUCUAUACUCGUGAUAUUACAACUAGAUGCUUUUAAAAGCAGCAAUGAUUGUGGCUUUUAUUUCAGACUAACAUUUUUCAACUCAUCCCUUGCAUUUUGUGUUGAACUCCUCAAUAUCCAAACAGAUUGUAUGCCCUUGCAAAUAGAGCACCAAAUAAGACUAAGUCUGUACACACGUAAUAUGGCUAUACCACAUGACAAUGACGUACAACUGGCACAAUAAUAUUUGCAAUAUAGAAAAUAUAGAAGCUCAGCUGGUCCUGUUACUUCCUGGUAGUGUAGCUAAACUCAAGAGGCAGCCUUCCAAAGGCUUCUCAUUAAGCUGCAUUGUGAAGCCUGCGAUUGGACAGCCACGGAAAGUCUGGGCUGGGGAAAAAUGGGAGGGCUUGCAAAUGCUUCAGACAAGUGAUGCAUCUUUUACUAGCUGUUUUUUAGAUAAACUCCAAUGAAAAAAAUGGAUAAUAAAAUGCAUUCAUGUUUCAUUGGUAAUAUACCUUUUACACAGUGAUUUUUUAUGUAUUGUCAUUUAACUAAAGGUAAUAAAUCUUUUGUACCAAAUGGUAAACCAGGACACAUGUUCUCUGAACACUAGUCUUUUAUUCUUGUUUUAGGAAAUCACAUUUACACAAGUAAGUUUUCACACCAAAUUCUCAUAAAAAUAGAAAAUGUACACUAGUUUACAGUGCAAGGGAAGGCUGAUAUCAAUGUUAAUGCUCACUAAUGCAUAUCUAUAUAUUGUCAGCCACCACUCAAAUUACAGUUUGUGAUUUAUAAUAUUAAACUAUAUUACCAGUGAUAAUAAGUUUUGCUGUCAUCACAUCUAAACCCCAGUGACUGGCAAGAUUAAUGUUUGUACUACUCUGAAAGAGAAAUAAAUUAUAAUAAAAUAUCUAAUGUGUUGCUGAUGUUGACAAUAAACUUGCACAAAAUUUAUUGAAAGUAGAUUUUCUCUCCUCUUUGAAAAAUGUGCCUGAAAUCUUAUUGCCAUUAUUAUAAAACUUUUCUAGUGAGAAAUUUUAAAAACGAUAGCAAUUGUAUUUACAUAGAAUUGAUGUAAGUGAAUAUGCCCCCCCCCCCCAAAAAAAAACAUGGAAAAUGGGUAUUUCAGACUUAGAAAUAUCAAUGCUGUUCCUUGGACCACAGACAUCUUGUUAAUGGUUAAUGUUGCUAGUGUGAUGGAGAGAUGCCUCCAUCAUGAAUGUCCAUUCUGGCAAAAAAAAAGCCUUAUGGUUAAAUGGUUCGACCAUCAAAACUACUCAUCAAUAAAGACUCUUUAUAAGAGGUGAAUAAAAUGGCCUUGUGCUCACACAGAGAUAAUUAGUUUAUUCAUAGCUAUAUAAAUUGAUGAUUUAGUUUAAUGUUUUUAUUAAUCUUUUUUUUUUAAUAUUGCUGAAGAUGAAAACAUGUGGAUAUCAAUAGAUAAUGUUGGUUAUUGGUAGAUUAAAGUUUUAUUUACUGUUUAGGUGUUUUCUAAGUAAAGACAUUAUCACUUGCCUACAUGUAUAUUUACAGACAAAAUGGUGCAGGCAAUAUCUAUAUUAUUAAUGUUUUUCUGUUCCCCAGAGCACUAACUACACUUUGGCACAUGCUGUGGUGAUGGUGGGUUGAAUCACCUGUGGAAGGUUUUCUAUGUCUAUAUAUCUUUAACAAAUUAUUGACAUGAUUAACAAAAUAGGGUUUAUUCACAUUUUUAUUGUUGCAGCCUUGUGCUAGAAUUGCUUAUUUUUGAUAGCAGUCUACACUCAAUAUAGCAUAACAGAAAACAGAGUUUAGAAAAUGUUGCUAAUUUAUUAAAAAAUAAAAUAAAAUAAUACAUUAAAUAAGGAUUAGACCCUUUGCUAUGACACUUUAAAGUUAGCUCAGAUGCUUGAUCAUCUUUGGGGGGUAUUUUUUCAGAAGCAGGGAGUGGUCAAUUUUGAGCAAAAGGUGAAUGCAGCAAAAUACAGAGAUAUAAUUAAUGAAACCAUGGUCUGGAGCUCUCAGGAUCUCAAAAUGAGUUAAACCCUGCAUGCUACCUGACGGUAGGACUUGCAGUGGUAAUGCUCACGUGAAUAGGCUGGAACAUUCUAGCCCUUCCGAAUCGUACUGACCCGAACCAUACCGCUGAGUGGAAACGAGGCAUAAGCAAACAGCCAAGACAAGAGUGGUCAAAGUACCAUAUUUAAGAGUGUCAGUCAGAUAGAAAUAUAGUGUGCACGUUUAGCAGAAUAAGCAUUAGUCUUAGACACAUAAUAUGCUAAAUGAACGAUACAUCAUAAAUAAGAGAACAUUUAUGUAUUGGGUUAAUAAUAAGACAUAUAUAAUAUAUUCUGCAGUUGAAUGAAGAAUAUCCUAAAUAUGAAACUAAUUCCUACUUUUUACUAUGUCUAUUAUUAACACAAGAUCUGUGCCCUGCUCUCAUAAUUGUAAUAAACAAUUUUUUUUAAAGAAAUAGAAAAAGAAAAGGGAGAGGAGAACAAAAAAGGGGGAGAAAAGAGGAGGGUGCCGUUGAGCACAUCUUACUAACUGUCCCAAUUAUUUAAAAAAAAUAAAAGGUUAGUUCAUUCUAGGGAUUCCAUACUUUAGGCGUGACCACAUUGUCUUCAACUUUUGAAAUAAUGGCUUGCAAUGUCGGGGGGCUAAUUUUGAGCCAUUCGGCAGUAAUGACCCUACGAGCCGCUAGUGUGAUUAAAUUUAAAGGUUAAAUCUAACCCUUUAGACACAAUAUGAAAGGAAAUUAGACAAGUCAGUUCACAAAUUACAAAAUUAUUAUUAGAUUAUGUGGCAUGUCAAAUGAAACAGACAGAAAUAUAUUUUUACGAGAGGGCGAACAUAAUUGACAUCCCCUUGGCCUGAUGCCCUCGACCUAGAACACAUAUGAAACCUAUAACAGCGGUUGGAAACCCCUCAGGAUCCAUAGUGUCUGAUGGAGAUAAAAUAUUUAAGAAGUUCCAUUACUUUUACUCCAAACUCUAUAACCAUUGCCCAGAGUUGGACGAUGGGGAGGUGGUAAAGGUUUGAGAGAUUACAGAUUUCUUGAAUUCCCUCUUUUUACCUAGCAUCCCCGCAGAUAUGAUUGGUCCCUUAGAAUCAGAAAUUGCUUUAGAGUUAAUGGAGACAGUGAUAUCAUAAAUUAAAAGAGGAAUGGAUAGAUUUAGAGGCAGUUACUAAAAGAAAUUUCAGGAAAUAUUACCACCUCACCUGUAAGUGAUAUUUAAUCAGGUUUAACAAUCAGAGAAUUUAUCCAUCAAUAUGAUCAUGCCUGCUUACCUUUAUUGUCUAAAAAAGCUGGAUGGCAACAUCCAUACUAUUGCAUCUGUGCUUUUGUAGUAAUAUCUGCCUAAAAUUAGCCCCUCAAUAACAAUUUUGUGAUGUCUGUGACUAGAAAAAGCUCUGCAUAGUAUUUUGCAAAGUAGUUAUUUUUAAUUUCUGUAAAUAACAUGUUCCUUUCCACAUCUUUGAUCAAAUUAAAUUGCUUGUCUAAUUUGAUUUUUUAAACAUCUUAUAUCUUGCAGACAUUUUCUAUUGGACUGAGCGAUGCUCAACUCUACACAUGGACAGAUGGCCUUCGAAGAAAAGACUGGCAUGACUACGAAAGCA